UCAUUGAUCUUCCAAAACUCAAAAGAUUCUGCAACUUCACUGGGAAUAUAAUUGAACUGCCUAUGUUGUGGAGUCUGACUAUUGAGAAUUGCCCUGAUAUGGAAACAUUCAUAUCCAACUCUGUAGUGCACGUGACAACAGAUAACAAGGAACCUCAAAAAUUAACAUCAGAAGAGAACUUCUUGCUGGCUCAUCAAGUACAACCUCUCUUCGAUGAAAAGGUGAUUAUUAUUGUUAUUAUUAAUUUUUCCCUUCACUUUCGUUCGCAUAGAUGUAAUUUCAUUAGAAUCAAAUCAAAUUUAAUGACUCAUCCUUUUGCAUGUCGUCUUAAUUUAUAUCUAAUUUAACAAUAUAACCGCAGUUAUUAACUAACUUUAUAGUAUGAAUUAUAAAAAUGUCUCAAAUUAAUUAGAUGCCUAGUGACAGGAGGUGAUGAACUAUAUCGAUGCGUGUUACAUCUCUGUUUUCCUAGCUAAUUCAUAUUGGAUUUAGCAUCAGAUUUCAUUUAUGUGUUUCAAAGGGUAAUCGAUUUGAUACUUAUAUUUGGGAUCCUACUGCAAAGCAUACUAAUUUGGAAAUAAAAUAUAAAAUGCUGUGAUUAAUCUUGUCCAUAAAAUAUGCAGGGGAAGACUGCAGAGAUUGGAUACAUAUUUUAAUUUACAACUUAAUUUUGUUGAUUUUCAGGUUGCAUUCCCUAAAUUGAGAUGGUUAGAGCUGUCUAGAUUACCCAAUGUGUUGCAUCUCUGGAAGGAAAAUGCCGAAUCCAACAAAGUGUUUGCAAACUUGAAAAGUCUAGAAAUAUUUUAAUGUAGUAAGUUGCAGAAAUUAGUACCAGCUUCGUGGCAUUUGGAAAAUCUUGCGACUCUGGAAGUAUCGAAGUGUCAUGGGUUGAUAAAUUUAUUGACGCUCUCAACAUCUGAAAGUCUAGUGAAUCUUGAAAGAAUGAAGAUAACUGAUUGCAAAAUGAUGGAAGAAAUUAUACAGUCGCAGGUUGGAGAAGAAGCGGAAGAUUGCAUUGUUUUCAGGAAAUUGGAGUACUUGGGACUUGAUUGUUUGCCAAGCCUAACAAGCUUUUGUUUGGGUAAUUACGCUCUUGAGUUCCCGUCCUUGGAACAAGUAGUUGUGAGACAGUGUCCAAAAAUGAAGAUCUUCUCUCAAGGAGUCUUAGACACACCAAUGCUAAACAAAGUGAACGUCACCGAAGAAGAAAAAGAUGAUGAUGAAGGAUGUUGGGAAGGCAACCUCAAUGACACCAUAAAAAAAUUGUUCAAUGAAAUGGUGAGUAUCAAUUAAGUUUCGGUGCUAUUUAGCAAAUUAUUUUAUAGAAACUAAUGUGAUAUAAUAUGAUUGGUUGACUGAAAAUAUAUAAUAAUAAUAAUAAAUAAAUAAAUAAAUUAUGAGGGCCAUGUAAUGUCAAAAGCAGCCAUCCAUCUAGAUGGUCAACAUUCAAAGAAGAGAAAUUUUGCAGCAAGUUGGAAAGGAAAAGGAGCACACGGGCUUGGCAUUUAAAAGAAGAAGUUGGCAACUACUUUGAAAUAUAUACAUAUAUAUAUUAAUUUAAUAGCCAUUUUUUGGCUAUAAAAUGAAGAGCUUCCUCAUUCAUUUUCAUUCAAUUCCAUCGAGAGAAAUCUUUCUUUCUUUGAGUGUUGAGAGUUUUCAAGAGUUUAAUAAACUCUUGAGUGUCUAGUGAGUGAGAGAUUGGGUGUAUUGGGGUUUUGGGUAGUGAGCUAAAAUCUUACAAUACUUGUAAUCCUUAUUUCACUAGUAAAAUAUUUUCUUCUGUCUUCGCCCGUGGAUGUAGGCUAAAAGCCGAACCACGUAAUUUUUCGGUGUCCUCUAUUGUGCUUGUUCUUUAUUUUAUUUUCAAUUUUAUUUUAGCUGCGGUCCUGCUGCACCCACUAAAUUACUAACAGUGGUAUCAGAGCCAUUGGUUGUAUUUUUGGAGUCGGGAAUUGUUCACGUAUUCACGUAUACGGCGUACGGCACUAUUCACGUAUACGGUGUACGGCACUAUUCACGUAUACGGCAUACGGCACUAUUCACGUAUACGGCGUACGACACUAUUCACGUAUACGGUACUAUUCACGUGAAAACGGUGGAAGCGAUCCAAGAAUUUUGCGGUGCAAAGCAGGGAAUAGUGGUGUGAGUAAAGCAACUGUGUGGUUCUGUACAUGUCUAGGAAAGUUUUGUCACAAAGGCGAUAAGAGCCUAAGGAGUCUGGGUUUUAAGUGGGACCAUUGUGACCCCUCCAGUCUUUCCUGGGAACUUUCCUGGUGCGCAUUCUCACACAUACUCACAACUAUUCAAGGUGGUACACUAGCUUGUGUGCAGUAUUAUCAACAAAAUGGCGGCAAAGUAUGAAAUUGAGAAGUUUAACGGAAAUAAUUUUUCGUUGUGGAAAAUGAAGAUGAAAGCUGUAUUGAGGAAAAAUAAUUGUUUGGCAGCAAUUGGAGAAGGGCCUAUGGAGAUAACUGAUGACAAGUGGAACGAGGUAGACGGCAACGCUAUUUCUGAUCUACACUUGGCACUUGCGGAUGGAGUAUUAUCCAGUGUGGCAGAGAAAAAUACGGCGAAGGAAAUUUGGGAUACUCUCACAAAAUUGUACGAGGCCAAGUCACUACACAACAAAAUCUUCUUGAAGAGAAAACUCUAUACUCUUCGAAUGGCGGAAUCUACAAUGGUGACCGACCACAUCAACACAUUGAAGACUCUAUUUUCACAACUCACAACGUUGGGUCAUAAUAUAGAGGAAAAUGAACGUGCAGAGCUUCUACUUCAAAGUCUACCAGAUUCGUAUGAUCAACUCAUCAUCAACCUGACGAACAACAAUCCAGUGGAGGGUCUAGUUUUCGACGAUGUUGCAGCCUCCGUAUUAAAUGAGGAGAGCAGGCGGAAAAAUAAGGAAAACAGACAAGCAAGUUCGCAGCAAGCAGAAGCGCUAUCGGUGAUGAGAGGGAGAUCAACGAAACGUGGCCCCAGUGGGAGUCAAAAUCAGGGUAGAUCAAAAUCCAGAAGUAAGAAGAAUGUUAAAUGCUAUAAAUGUGGCAAGAAAGGGCACGUCAAGAAAGAAUGUUGGAGUAACCAGAAGAGAAAAGAGGGCAAAGAACCUGAGUCAUCAAAUGCUCAGGGUUGUGUAGCAAGUACCUCGGAUGAUGGCGAAAUUCUUUACAGCGAGGCAACAACUAUUUUAGAAGGCAGGAAACGACUUUCUGAUGUCUGGCUUAUAGACUCAGGAGCUACCUGGCACAUGACCUCUAGGAGAGAAUGGUUCCACACAUAUGAACCUAUCUCAGGAGGAUCUGUAUAUAUGGGAGAUGAUCAUGCCUUGGAGAUCGCUGGUAUUGGUACUAUCAAAAUAAAAAUGUUUGAUGGGACAAUUCGCACAAUUGGAGAGGUACGACAUGUCAACGGCCUGAAGAAAAAUCUAUUGUCUUUGGGACAAAUGGAUAGUCAUGGGUACAAAACUCAUGUGGAGAAUGGAAUUAUGAAGAUCGUUAAAGGCGCGCUUGUAUUGAUGAAGGCAGAAAAGAUCGGUGCUAAUCUAUUCAUGCUUAAAGGAGAAACACUACAGGAGGCUGAUGCGUGUGUCGCGUCAAAUGGAGAAGAGUCAACGAUGAUGUGGCAUCUCAAACUUGGCCACAUGUCAGAACAAGGCUUGAAGAUUCUCUCUGAGCGAAAAUUGCUUCCGAGGCUCAAAUCGGUAAGUUUACCAUUUUGCGAGCAUUGUGUUACAAGUAAGCAGCAUAGAUUAAAAUUCAGUAGAUCUAUUGCUAGAAGUAAAUGCAUUCUAGACUUGAUUCAUUCUGAUGUUUGGGAAUCACCGGAUAUAUCCAUGGGAGGUGCAAAGUACAUGGUGACUUUCAUUGAUGAUUAUUCCAGAAGAUGCUGGGUGUAUCCACUUAAGAAAAAGUCAGAUGUAUUUCUAGUGUUUAAAGAAUACAAAGCGCGGGUGGAACUUGAAUCUGGUAAAAAGAUCAAGUGCUUGAGGACAGAUAAUGGUGAAGAAUAUACAGACGGCGAGUUUCUUGCUUUAUGUAAGCAAGAAGGUAUUCAGAGGCAGUUCACAGUGGCAUACACUCCUCAACAAAACGGAGUAGCGGAGCGGAUGAACAGAACUCUUACAGAAAGAAUAAGAGCUAUGUUGAGGACUGCUGGUUUACCCAAUUCAUUCUGGGCAGAAGCAGCCAAAACCGCCUGUUAUAUAGUAAAUCGGUCGCCAUCUACAGCUAUUGGGUUGAAGACAGCGAUGGAGAUGUGGACUGGAAAGCCAGCUGAUUAUUCCUACCUACAUGCAUUUGGAUGUCCUGUGUACGUGAUGUAUAAUGCCCAAGAAAGAACAAAGCUGGAUGCAAAAUCUAGAAGAUGUAUCUUCUUGGGGUAUGCUGAUGGAGUAAAGGGGUAUCGUCUGUGGGACCCCACUGCCCACAAGAUCGUCAUCAGCAGAGAUGUUAUCUUUGUAGAAGAUCAACUAUAAAGAAAAGAUGGAGAUGAUGGCACUGUAAAAGAAAAGUCAGAGACUGUACCAGUAUAUGUCGAAAAUAAUCUAGAAGAUUCAGAUUCUUCUGAAGCAGCACCAGAGCACGAUGGACAAGAACCAGUCGAGUUCGAGGCUCCAGAAGUUCGUCGGUCAACUCGUGAGAGACGACCGCCGGCGUGGCACUCGGAGUAUGUCAUAGAGAUCAACGUUGCAUACUGUCUUCUAACAGAGGAUGGAGAGCCUUCAACUUUCCAUGAAGCUUUAAACAGUUUAGAUGUUGCUUUGUGGAUGACAGCAAUGCAGGAAGAAAUUGAAGCUCUACACAAGAACAAGACAUGGGAACUUGUACCACUACCACACGGAAGAAAAGCCAUUGGAAACAAAUGGGUCUACAAGAUCAAACGUGAUGGCAAUGACCAAGUGGAGCGGUAUCGUGCAAGAUUGGUGGUGAAAGGAUAUGCUCAGAAAGAAGGUAUUGACUUCAACGAGAUAUUUUCUCCAGUGGUUCGACUCACAACAGUCAGAAUAGUCUUGGCGAUGUGUGCUACAUUUGAUCUACAUCUUGAGCAGUUAGAUGUGAAAACUGCAUUUCUUCAUGGAGAACUUGAAGAAGAAAUAUAUAUGCUCCAACCAGAAGGUUUUGCAGAAACAGGAAAGGAGAACUUGGUUUGCAGGUUGAACAAAUCUCUAUACGGUCUCAAACAGGCGCCGAGGUGUUGGUAUAAGAGAUUUGAUUCCUUCAUAAUGAGCCUUGGAUACAACAGACUCAGUUCAGACCAUUUUGCAUAUUAUAAGAGGUUUGAAGAUAAUGAUUUCAUUAUUUUGCUGUUGUAUGUGGAUGACAUGUUGGUAGCAGGUCCCAACAAAGAUCGAAUCCAAGAAUUGAAGGCACAGUUGGCUAAGGAGUUUGAAAUGAAGGACUUGGGACCAGCAAACAAGAUUCUAGGGAUGCAAAUUCACCGAGACAGAAAUAACAGGAAGAUUUGGCUUUCACAGAAGAAUUACUUAAAGAAAAUCUUGCGACGCUUCAACAUGCAAGAUUGUAAGUCAAUUUCUACCCCACUUCCUAUUAAUUUCAAAUUAUCCUCAAGUAUGUGUCCUAGCAAUGAAGCAGAGAGAAAGGAGAUGUCUCGAGUUCCUUAUGCAUCAGCAGUGGGAAGUUUAAUGUUCGCUAUGAUAUGUACAAAACCGGACAUUGCACAAGCAGUGGGAGCAGUCAGUCGAUAUAUGGCGAAUCCUGGUGGAGAGCAUUGGAUAGCUGUGAAGAGGAUUCUGAGAUACAUCAGAGGAACCUCAGAUGUUGUAUUAUGUUAUGGAGGAUCAGAGUUUACUGUCAGGGGCUAUGUGGAUUCAGAUUUUGCAGGAGAUCUUGAUAAAAGGAAAUCCACUACUGGUUAUGUGUUUACACUUGCGGGAGCAGCUGUAAGCUGGGUUUCAAAACUGCAGACCGUUGUGGCUUUAUCUACAACAGAAGCAGAAUACAUGGCAGCUACACAAGCUUGCAAGGAAGCUAUUUGGAUACAAAGAUUAUUGGAGGAGCUCAGGCACAAACAACAGAAAAUUCCUGUGUUUUGUGACAGUCAAAGUGCCUUGCACAUUGCAAGGAAUCCAGCCUUUCAUUCCAGGACAAAGCACAUAGGAGUUCAGUAUCACUUUGUUCGUGAAGUAGUGGAAGAUGGAAGUGUGGAUUUACAGAAAAUCCAUACUAAAGAGAACCUAGCAGAUGUUUUGACCAAGCCGAUAAAUACUCAUAAGUUUAUCUGGAGUAGAUCCUCUUGUGGCCUAGCAGAAACGUAGGCAACAUGAUUAUGGCGAAGCAGAAAGGAUGGUGUGGAGAUUGAUUGAUUCUCCAUCAAAGCUCCAAGUGGGAGAAAUGUCAAAAGCAGCCAUCCAUCUAGAUGGUCAACAUUCAAAGAAGAGAAAUUUUGCAGCAAGUUGGAAAGGAAAAGGAGCACAUGGGCUUGGCAUUUAAAAGAAGAAGUUGGCAACUACUUUGAAAUAUAUACAUAUAUAUAUUAAUUUAAUAGCCAUUUUUUGGCUAUAAAAGGAAGAGCUUCCUCAUUCAUUUUCAUUCAAUUCCAUCGAGAGAAAUCUUUCUUUCUUUGAGUGUUGAGAGUUUUCAAGAGUUUAAUAAACUCUUGAGUGUCUAGUGAGUGAGAGAUUGGGUGUAUUGGGGUUUUGGGUAGUGAGCUAAAAUCUUACAAUACUUGUAAUCCUUAUUUCACUAGUAAAAUAUUUUCUUCUGUCUUCGCCCGUGGAUGUAGGCUAAAAGCCGAACCACGUAAUUUUUCGGUGUCCUCUAUUGUGCUUGUUCUUUAUUUUAUUUUCAAUUUUAUUUUAGUUGCGGUCCUGCUGCACCCACUAAAUUACUAACAUGUAAUUUUUUUAUUUAACCAAUCAUAUUAUGUCGCAUUAGUUUAUACAGUAUUGUUUGUGCACAAGAGGUGGUGGUCAUAUCAUUACUCUAGCUUUAUUAUUCUUAUGGUGGCAAUGUAUGCUGGCUUACACGAGUAAUUACAAAAUCUGCAGAAUUCUAAAGAAGAGAUUGAGCCAACCCUUCAGCUACAGUGAAGAAGCUAUCCCGAACCAGGCCAAUCUCCUAUACAUGAUUUAGCUUGCUCGUUCUUCUGUACUUGAAUAAUUUGGUUCUACAUAUUUACAAUUUUUUGCUCAUGCUACAAACUUGCAAGACACUUUGGAUUUUGUUUGAUGCAUUCUUUGUUUAAGAAAGGACUUGAAUUGAUGUUUCAUGUUUCAUACAAUAUUCGAUUAGAUUCUGCCUAAAUUUCUGUAUUAUUCGUUCAAUUGGUCUUUUAAGCAUUUGAUUUCUAACCUCUCCUGAUAGAAGAUCAUUAGCCGAAGAAAACAGCAUAACAUUUGUGGCAUUAUCAGAAUAAGAAUAUUUUUUAGUAUAGUAAAAUUAUCUCGACCACUGUUAAAAAGAAUUAAUCAGUCAAACUGACCUUCUCACACCAGCACGCUUUAAAUUAAAAGAAUUUCGUGAAAUCAAGACCAUGUUAUAGAUCUCGUGGAAAGAAGUAAACCCGUAAUUUUUUUCACAGCAUCAUAAGAAAAAUCAUUUUUUUAAAGUAUUUUUGUUAGCUGUUGAGUUUUAAUAGUAGUAGCUAUUAAAUAAUAACAAUUAGUGUAUAUUAAAAAGUUGGAAACUGGUUGAUACCACUCGGGAAUCGAGCAGUUCACUUGUUUGCGAGUAGAAACCAACUUUACUACUAAUUGCCUUGUGACAAAAUAAAAUACCAUACUAUAAUGUGUUGAACCAGGAACCUGCAGAUGCUUAGGUUACAACUAUACAACCUCCCAAUACAAUAAGUUUGAAACUUAAUACCUUCUGAAAUGAAACAAACUUACUUGAAGAUUAAAGAUCAGUGAGAAAAGCCCUUUUUCAGAAGCAACCUACAUUUUUUAGAAGAGGGUCAGUGUGUUAUAGAUUCAAUGAACCAUGAGAAGUUAUUUACAUUAUAGUAUCUCACAGGCAGUAUUUUCUCCUAAUGCAUCAAUGGUAAAGGAAAAAUAAAAAGAAAAGAAUAGUUACUUGUGCAGCACAGCCUUUACGCCUAGCUACAUGGUCCAUUCUCUGUCUUUGAACCAAUCAACAGCAACAAGUUCCAUUAAAUGUUUUCCUGCAGGUAUCUGCAGUUACAAAUUGCACAAAGCACAAGAAGAGCCAACCAAACUACAUCAUAACCUGUCUACCUAGCCUAUGCAGGAUAUAUAAAUACCAUAAAUAAGUACCAUAAAUAACAAAUAAACAACAUAUGGGGGAACCUUUGUUUUGUCAUAACAAAAAUGCUUGCUACGAACUCUAAAGUUAUUUCCAUCAGAAAGUUUCCAGCAGUCACGAGCAUUAUCAUGGUCAUCGUGUCGUAGAUUGCCCGAAAAACAAGACAAAUCAAUUUGAUCAGCCUGCUCUUCCUCUAGGGCUGCAACUAAUUGAAAAUUAAAAAAAAAAAAAAAAAGAUCAAUACCAUAAAAAUCCACUAAUGCGGACAUUAGCCAAAUAUACAAAAAUGAAUACUUAUCAUCCACCUGUCCUCUUGAAAUCAUUCUCAAUCUUUUUUUCAUUUGCCUGAAAUCCCAAGGAAAAAUAUGUAACGAAUACUUCCCAUUCAUGACUAUAGUCUGUUGUAUAAACAUGACAUAUUUAAUUGGAAUAAUAAAAUUAUUUAAUUAUUUUAAUUAAAUGUUAAUCCUACAAAUUAUUUUUGUUAAAUCUAGCAAGAAUAACUAAAAUUUCUUUAAGAUAUAUUUUGGUAGUAAAUUAAAAAAAUUUAAUUAUUUGGCAGGAAUUAUUGAAAUUGGAGCCAUUUUUUUUGUGGGAAUUGAAAUAUAUUCUUUAAAUUAUUAUAUAAAUAGCAAAAUGUACAUACACACACAUAUAUAUAAUUCAUAUAUAAAAAUUCUCUAAUUUGUUCACAAGUAUCAUAGAUUAUAAUUCAGUUAUGAAAUAAAAUAACUACAAUAAUUAUAGUUAAAUGAAUACUUCAUUAAUUCUUAAUUUGCUUCCUAACAUUAAAUGAACAACUUGAGUCAGCCACCUGAAUUAACCAGUAACAACGCCUGAGUCAACCAUCUGAAUAAACCAGCAACCCUAGCUGAUUCAAGCACCUGCAAUUAACAUCAGCACAACAGGAACAAUCUUAAAUCAACACCAAGAACAGACCAAACUGCCAUCAAAUGUCACAAAACCAAACAGUCUGCUACUGCCAUCAAAUGCAAGCAAACAUAUGCAACAAAACCAGAUGCAAGUGAAAUUCUGGAGAACAUCGGAUAAACCAAACCAAAUGCCACACUUCUAGUAAUUAGACUAGAUGCAUUGUUCAAUUAAACUAAAUGUAGUCUCAUAUUACAUUCAAAAUUUCUAAAAAAGGCAGUGUUCCAUCAGAGAAGCACCAAAACCAAACCAAUCUAAUCCAGCAUAAUUACCAGCUCAACCCAAAACAAUUACACAUUAUAUUGACAUAUCAAAAUUCGCUAUCAAAACAUAGCCAAAUAAAUGACAAUAAACUCAAAACAGACCCAAACCAACUGAUGUUGCAGCCCUAGUAGUCGUUGUCCGUUCCACUGCCAUGGGAGUGAGGGUAGGCUCCGUUGUUGAUGAGUGAGUAAGAUAAGGCUCCAAAUCAAUAGUUCCACCUCCUUUCUGCAAUUCAAAAAACAGAAAUUCAUAUAUGUAAAACUAUUAAAAAGUGUGAAACAACCUGUAAGUAUUCAACUUCUGUCAACUCAAUAGUACUUACUAAAGUUUUUAUACAGAAGAAAAAGGCAUUUUAAGUCCAAAAAAUUAGAAUUAUUGGUUGAACUCCAACUCCAUCAAUCCAUGCAACCAUCCAAUCUUUAACGAAAAAAUGAAGCAUAAUUAACAAGACAUCUGAAUCAGAAAGAUUGUGCUUUCGUUUGGCACGAGGUGUUGGAAACAACUUAACAAAUCUAGACACAAUCUAUAACCAUCAAGUCCAAACAAAAGUCAGGAUCUAAAAUACUUUGAAAAAUCAGAAAAACAGCAAAAUAUCAGUUUCAAUUUCUUUUUCAUCCAUUGUAAGCUCAAACUAAAGGUAGCCGCGCUACCUUUAAACAUCAUUUGGGCUUGUACAUGUGACAUUUGCUCAUGAACAACUAAAGUUGAAUAAGAUUUUUAUAUGAAACAGAAUAUAAAAAGUCAAAGUAGAAUAUGACAGGAGCUACAAUAUAUUAUUCAGCAUUAGCAUUAUGUAUAAAAUAAAUUUAGACGCAUUAUAUUGAUUCACAAUCUUGCAGAGGUAAUACCAGAUUAUGGCACGCAACUCUUAUAUAGCAGAUAAAGGAGGAGAUGCAGUGGGAAGGUAGUAUCUUGCUUGCAUGAGGAUUAGAAAGCAAUAGCCCAAGAUCAAUUAUAGAUCUCAUAAAACAAAAACAGUGAGGCAAACACAAUUAUUGUGAACAAUUAUUCAUAGAACCACAUACCAGCAACAAGAUCAGAGUCAUCUGUGUAUAUAUCGAUUCCCCAUAGCUGACUGCCUCUGACCUAAACAUAAUGAACUUACAUAACUAAGAAGUAGAGUCAUAAAAUAUGCAGCUGUAACAGCUAUCAAUAAAUUUCCAGACAAAUGGAAUUUGAUCUGUAAGGCUAUAACUAGCAACACUUCAAAAUAAUUUGAAGUAGCAUGAUCUUACUUUAAGGAUCAAUACUACAAUCUUUCAGAAAAAUUAAAGUCUAAGCAAAAUUAAAACCUUAAACAUACUAAAAUCUGGUAAAUAGACCUACAGGAAUUCCAAUGACCUCCAAAAUAUUUGAAAGAAAAAUUAAUUUACAGCAAAAAAUGUUAAAAGAUUUGUAAAAUGGAAGCCCAUACUACUAUUCAAAUUACAAAUGAGGAAAGGGAGCUGGCCAUUAAAUGAUAAAGGCAUGCAUAAAGAAAUACAAAUAAUAUGCCCAUAAAGACGUCCACUCAAGCGUUAUAAGCGGCUUUAUGCAAAGGAAAGCCAAUUAGUUAACAAUAAAUGAAUUUCAAGGUGCAAUAAUUAAACUCCCUGAUCAGCACAUAUAAGGUUCAUGCAUUUCUACAAAACAUGUAAAUCAUAAGAACUUUUUUGGUCCAAAUGCUAACCAAUAAUUAAGUAGAUUAUCAAAGUUGUCACAGAACAAGCACCACAUUGAUUGCUAUGCAAAAGAUGAAAGUAAAAGUUAAUACUUUAUUUUAUUUUACUUUUCGAGAGUUUUGAUCAUCAUGUGCAAAAUAGUAGUAUAACUUGCUCAGUGUUAUCUCAAAAAGCUUGCUUAAAAUACCUAUUAGCACCAGUCCAAGUAGUCAAAUAAAUCCUUAUCUAUCCAUUCAUCUCUGACCUUGCCAAAAAGAUUUAAAUGAGCAUCUAUAUUCUCACUCCAAUCUUUCACAAUCAUGGGCUUUAUCUUUAGACCAGUUCUUCAAUAUCCCUUCCACUGUGAGCCCCUCGAAAACCUUGUAAAUUGAAUCACAUUUGUCGUCAGUUUCAAAUCCAUGUGUCAAAAGGCUAAGCAAAUGAAUAUACAAUCAACACCAUUCUUCCAAACGAAUAUACAGUCAACACCAUUCUUCCAAACGAAUAUACAGUCAACACCAUUCUUCCAAACACAAACAAAGUUUGAACGUAUGACAGAUUUUUAGCCAUUUAAUAUUCCAUCAAAGAUAAUUAGAUAACACCUACCAAGGAUUUUUGAAAAGAAUGCAUUCUCAUCUUAAGCAGCAACCUCACCAGUAACACAUUUUCAUACCCUGUUUCCACCUCUGGUCGCACCACCAAAAAAAAAUCAGUACUAAUUAGCUUCAACAGAGUCUAUUUUUUUAUUUCUUUUUUUUUUCAAAAUAAACCUCCAUUCUUAUACAUAAAAUUAAAAUAUCAAUUAAAUAAAAAAAGUCUAUGCUUACUAGUAAAACACGUCCAUUUUCAGGUAGAGGCAGAUAAUAAAAGAAAAUUGAUACUGAGAUAAAAUAAGAAGAGCUUACUAUGUGCAUUUGAUCAACAAUCCAAUCCUUAAUGAUGGAAUCGAUGCUAUCAAAUAAACGUGACUUAAUCUUGAAACAUUAAACUGCACUAAGCAUAGCACCAAAGCCAGAGCGUGACUAUAAAGAAGAAAAAGAAGAAUUAAAUCAACAUGAAAUUGAACUUUUGUUUUAUCUUCCACAAGCAAGAAAUUCAACUGGAACAAUACAAAAUAUGAAAUUUUUAGCAAUCUUACUAGCAUUAUACACAAAUCUCAAUUCACGACAAAUAGGGGAAUGAAUCACUAACAUCACCCAAUUCAUAUAUUCAAAUAAUGUAUCCCCACUCCUAACAAGCAACGUGCUACCACAGUCGAUUAGUUGUUAGGGUUAAGGCUCACCAUAGAGAACUGGAUGGCGCUAACUAAAUGACACGUUGAAACGGCAUCUGCAAUCGUAUUGAAUGACAUUGAACUUUUUCAGCUUCGUCGGUUGCGAAUGUGAGACCUUGGCUUAGGGUUCUAUACAGUGUUGUUGAUGCUUAAAUCUGCUCGCCUUUUGACCGACCAGAUUCUUUCACCAACAUUUGUGUUGUCAACUGCUGCUCGGACCACUGGGGUUGGAAUUGCCCUCCUUCCUCUUACUAGACCUGCGUUCACCAAAAAUGGAUCAGAGACGCCGGUGGUUUUGCCGGCGUAAACCCUCCGAUGCCUAAGUUAGCACAAGGUAUUUACGGGAAAACGGUGUAAUUUGGAUUCAAGAAGGGCUUAUAACUUGUUUCGAAGUUUGUAAGGAAAAGGCAUGAUUGCAAUUUGGCAGCGUUUUCCCUCUCUUCAUUUUUUUUGUCCUUUUCUUCAUCGAUUUCUUCUCCUUUUAUAGCCGUUGUCCCAUGUUCCCGUUUGGCUUUCAUCCCUCUUUUUUCGGAUGGUGGCAGCCCCUCAACGGACUCUAACUGCUACAUCAUGGGCAAACGUGGGGUCUCGCAUUACUCGCAACGGUUCUGGGAGAAGCGUAACUACCAUGAUUCUGUGGGAUCGUGUUCCCGCUUUUUCGGGGGAUGGGUAUCGGCUCGGUAUAUACCUCUGGUCGGUAUACUCCCCUGGUUGUACUCGUCUCUGGUCGGACCAUACUUGUCCCUGUGUUCUGCUCGUACCAUUUGGUUAAGGUGAUCCAUGCCGGCAUGGAAAUAGAAGCAUGGCCGACCUGGUGCGUAGCAUGGCCGACCUGGUGCUUUUAUUUACUUAACACCAGUCCCCCAGUUUCUGGUCUUGCGAGUAAAAUGAGUUAAGAGUAGAAACUGAUGGUUGAAUCUUACCAGCCCGGGGCUUCUCAUCUGGUCUUCUGUCAUUCCGGGACGGACCUGAGGUACCAUUCUUGUUCUGGGGGGAUUCUGACCUGAGCAUGGGCCUUAAUAAGCAUGUCCAUUGCAUAUAUGGACUUGCAUCUAGCCUGGCCUCUUGUAACGGUUAGUGACGUGGCGCUUCUCGACUCUUCGUAUUUGAAAUUUGAAACGACGGGCUAUCCGUCCUCGAUAUAUGGGGGGUGAGCUGGCAUAUCCCAUCACUUAAACGCUUCCAUUUCCCCCUUUUCGUUUCAAAUCCCUAGACUGGAGUCAUCAUCAUCUUGUUAUUCGUUUCUCCGCCGUUAAUCAAAUUUUUCUCUGAACUUUGCUCACACUUCCAGCGUCCAGAGUAUCCAUUUGGUGGGUGUUUUCUCUGUCACGGCAGCGCUAUCAGUGUCAGUCUAUUCCAGGUAUAGCCUUUAACCUCUUCUUUGGCUGUUGUUGAUUGGGUUCUGUGUUGCCCCUUUUUGUAUUCGUGUACUUGGGUUUGUUUUGGUUUCCUUUUGGGAUUCCGGUAUGUCGAAUCGGAGAAGGCAGUUGAUUGUAGAUGAGGGUGACGAAGGAACAGAGGAUUCACGCCUUAAUGUUUCAAUACCCACUGAAUUUUUACAUCCCUCUAGUACUGUAGGCUUCUCCCAUGGGAGGGAUACCCUUGAGUACCCACGUCCCUUGUCCAUUUCAUCUUCCCCUGAGCUAGGGCUUGUAGGAAAUAGAGGGGGACCUGCGUCGGGCUCUGGUGAGAACCACAGUUCUGGUGGGGUUGGGGUCCUUGAAGAAGUGGGUAAUAGUGAGGGAAGCAGCUCCGAGCCGAGCCGACCUCCUAAGAAAAGAAACCUUGGGCAUAGGGUGGAGGCGAAUUCUUACCCUAUCGACCAUAUAGCCUGUGCCACCACCCAAACUGACCUGUUCAAGCUUAGGAACCUCUACAACAUUCCUAAGGAGGUUCUUCUUGUAGUUCCUAGGAAGGGUGAUGUUCCUAGUCGGCCUCUGCGGGGGUAUGUGACGAUGCACCUGGAGAGUUUCAAACUAGUAGCUCGGCUGCCCCUUCAGCGUUAUUAUGCCAAGAUAUUGGGGGCCAUGCACCUGGCCCCAGGUCAGCUACACCCAAACGGGUGGAGGGUCCUCUCGGCUAUGUUUGUGUUGUGGGAGAGAUGCGGGUCGGAGGAGCCUUCCCUUGUUGAAGUGAAGCAUUUGUAUCAGCUGCGGAGCAGCCCAAGGGAGGCAGGCUGGUACUACUUCAUGUCCAGUUCUGCGAAGAGAAAGCCCAUUACCGGUUUCCCCUCCUCGUGCAAAAAUUGGAAGAACAAAUUCUUAUUUGCUGGGGGAAAUUGAUGUUCAGCAGUCCGUUCGUUGGGUGGUGAUAUUUACCUUCCAACGCAAUUUGUCACCCCAGGUCGUUCAUUUUUUGCCUGUAUCCUUUCUCGAAUUGCCACUUAUUGGGUUCUUUAACCUUGUUUGUUUUUUCAGAAUCGUGGGGUUUGGUUAAGGAUCUCGAAGACCGGCCUUUGCUUCAGGUGGAAACUGCUCUGGUGAACGCGUCUACUUGUCAAGACCUCCUGUCACCAACAAGCUUGGUCGGUUCGGGCUUAGUAGAUAUUGCCGCAGGAAUGGAUAACAAGAUCCUUAACGCGAUGAGCAGAAAACGUGGUCGGGCUCCGAGUAGCUCCAGCAACCCUCCUCCUCCUCCAAAGAAACCCAGCGUCGGUCCUUCCAAGGCGCCUGUUCCUGCUCUGCCCCCUCCUCCACCUCGUAAGAGUGGUGGGGAGAAAACCUCCGACAAGAGUCCUGAGGUCAGCUUGCAGUCAGGGGACCGAUCUUCUCCUCUUCCAUCUCGGGAUCAAGGUGACUACCUGAGCCCUUAUCAGAAGGAUUAUAAAAAAUCGGUUGGGCCCAAGAUGGUGAAGGACAUCGAGAGCAUGAACCUCUCUGAGUUAGCUGCUUCUGUUCAAAGAGUCUCAUUCAGGCUGGCCACAAUGGUCUCGUGCUACAAGACCGGAUCCGCGCGCCAUGAGAAGAAGCUUCAAGCUGACAAUCAGGAGUUGAAGAAGAAAGAUGAAUCUGCUGACCGCUCCAAGGAGAAACUGGCCGAGUUGAACAAGCAGAUUACGGAGCUGGAGGAGAAAAUUGCAGUUGCUGAGUCCACUGCCUCCAAGUUUGAGGGUGAGCUGGGUGGCCUGAAGUCGGACCUUCAGGUAGCUCAAAGUGAAAGAGAUACUUUGAGGACCGCCCUUGAGGGAAAAAUCAAAUCCCUGAACGAGCAGCUGGCUGAGGGGAAAGGUAAAUCCGCCGAUGUGGACGAUCGGUUGGAUGCCGAGUAUGACUCGGGGGUUGCUUUCUCCUAUAAGUGCAUUAUGUCUGUGCUUCAGGGAGAAUAUCCCGAGCUGGACAUGAGCAAGUUGGAGGCUGGAGUGCAGCGAUAUAUGGCAGAGGUCGGUCAGGCGAACAAGGAGCAGGGUGAGCAGGAUCAGGUGGAGGCUCCUUUUGAUGGGAUGCAAGAGGGGGAAGCUGGGGGACGCACUUUCGAAGUGGGUCAAGGGUCCAUGCCUCCUCCUCCCGGUAUUGCUGAUCUCCCACCUCCUGAUGUUGCUGAUCCCUUACUUCCCGAGCUCGCUGAUCCUUCGGCUGCUGGAACCGUUGACUCUGCUAAGCUUUGAGCCUAUUUUUGUAUAAACUCUAGAUUUGCAUUUGUUUUGUAAACAAUUGAACAUUUAUAAAUUUUUAGAUGCUCUUUAUUUGCUUUCUUGCCCGGUUUUUGCUCAUAGAUUGUUUCUGAAAAACAAUUGGACAACUUAUCUGAUUUUGCCUGCUGGUUCUUUAGUGAGCCGAGCAGGAGUAGGCAUUUGUUUGCCUUAGUAAGAUUUCCAUAAAAUUGGUUACUAGUCUUUAUUGACCGAGCAGAAUUAGGCACUUACUUGCCUUAGUAGGAUUUUUGUAGGAUUAGCUGCUGGUCUUUCUUUGACCGAGCAGAGGUAGGCACUUAUUUGCCUUAGUAGAAUUUUCGUAGAUUAGCUGCUGGUCUUUCGUUGACCGAGCAGAUGCGGGCACUUACUUGCCUUGGUAAGAUUUUCGUAGGAUUAGCUACUGGUCUUUCUUUGACCGAGCAGAGGUAGGCACUUAUUUGCCUUAGUAAAAUUUUCGUAGAUUAGCUGCUGGUCUUUCGUUGACCGAGCAGAUGCGGACACUUACUUGCCUUGGUAAGAUUUUCGUAGGAUUAGCUGCUGGUCUUUCUUUGACCGAGCAGAGGUAGGCACUUAUUUGCCUUAGUAGAAUUUUCGUAGAUUAGCUGCUGGUCUUUCGUUGACCGAGCAGAUGCGGGCACUUACUUGCCUUGGUAAAAUCUUCGUAAAUUUAGCUGCUGGUUUUUCGUUGACCGAGCAGAAGUAGGCACUUGCCUUAGUAAAAUCUUCGUAAAUUUAGCUGCUGGUCUUUCGUUGACCGAGCAGAAGUAGGCACUUGCCUUAGUAAAAUCUUCUUAAAUUUAGCUGCUGGUUUUUCGUUGACCGAGCAGAAGUAGGCACUUACUUGUCUUAGUAGAUCUUUUUAAUGGACUUAUUGGCCAGGGGAUUUCAUGCUGAAUUCAUCUUUAUUGAACUUUGAAUGCGUUACAGAAAUACAGAAUAUAUGCAUAUGCAACAAGCCAUCAUGCGUUUGAAAGGAAUAACUUAUCAAAAUGAAAAUUAAUAGGGCACUUUGCUUACUGGAAGUACUUUUUCAAGUGCUCGGCGUUCCACGACCUCUUCACCUCUCGUCCGUCUGGAUACGCCAGCUUGUAGGCUCCCGGUCCAGUUGCUCGUAUCACCCUGUACGGGCCUUCCCAUUUCGGGCCAAGAGCUCCAUGGUUGGGAUCCCUGGUGUUUUGGUUCACCUUCCUAAGCACCCAAUCUUCUGUUCGGAACUGCCUCACGCGUACGUUUUUGUUGUAAUAACGCGUGACCCUUUGCUGACAUUGGACCACCUUCUGCGAAGCCCGUUCCCUUUUCUCCUCCAGCAGGUCCAGGCUCAAGCAGAUCUGCUCGCCAUUUAUUGCUUCGCCCAAUUCUGAUCCGACCUUAACCACUCUGCUAGGGUCACUCCUGCUUACAACAACUUCCUCCAGCUUCUCAACAGGUUCUUGGCGACCGUUUUUUGAAUCCCCUCGGUUAUCUAGAGAGGUAACUUGCAGUGUUUCCUUGGCCGCUGUAGCAUAGCAGCUCCUGGCCAUUCUCUGGUCGCCCUUUACUACACCCACAACUCCAUUUAUUCUGUAUUUCAGUGCCAGAUAAUGUGUGGACAUUACACAUUGGCUUAUUCUCAUGAACGGUCUCCCCAAUAUCAUCUGGUAAGGACUUCUUUCCUCUACCACGACAAAGUCUAGCAUCAUCGUUCUUUCAAAUGGCUUUGUCCCCACAGUAAUCGGGAGUUCAAUGACCCCCAUGGGAGUUAAUCGUCCCCCUCCAAACCCCUUCAAGGAUGUGUUCGUCCGCUCCAGCUUUAAGUCUGAAAUCCCCAUAUCAUCUAGGGCCGACUUAAACAGAAUAUCGACUGAGCUGCCCGUGUCCACCAGUAUUCGCCUUACUUCUGUACUAGCUACCAACGCUUUAAUCACCAGUGCAUCCUCAUAAGGAUACAAAAUGCCCUCUUCGUCAUCCUCCGUCCACAUAAUGGGCACUUGCCGCACUCUUGCCUUCUUGGCUGCUGGCAAAUUUAGAAGCACCUCUUUGCCAGUCAUGGCGUACCUCCCAUAGUUCUUCCGUGCUCUAUUUGAAUCCCCGACCAAUGUUGGCCCUCCUGCUAUCACACGGAUGGUCGGCUGUUCACGUUCCAGAUCCCUCUCAACUCCUUCAUCCCGUGUGUACUGUGAUUCCAUGGCAGGGGACAUUCCAUCUACAUACUCGUCCAAGUAUCGGUUCCUCACUAAAUCCUCCACCUGAAUCUUCAGGUCACGACAUUGGCUGAUAGUGUGACCAUGAGUGUCGUGGAACUUGCAGAAUCUGCUCUUAUCCCGUCGAUGAGUCGGUUUUGUUAUUGGGGCUGGAAGGUACAGCAGGCCUCGUCCUUCGAUCCUCUCAUACAAUUUCUCCAUGGAGAUCUUUAAUGGAGUGUACUGUCUAUAUGCCAAGCUCUGGUCUACUAGCUGAACUGCUCGGCUAUCAUGAACGUCUCCUCGGGUUGGUAUAGCCGGUAGCUGCUCUAGUCGUCCAGACCUGUAAUUAGUUGCACUUAAUCCUCUGGGAGUGCUGUGAUAAGGGUAGGCAGCCAUCUGCCUGAAUUCUCGCUGUCGCUCUGGGAUCGGGGGGCGCAGAGGUUGAGCCCGGCUGUGUUGGAACUGUUGUGAUCUCGGAGCUAUGGGAUAAGGGCGGGACCGAGCUGAUGUUCCGCCCCUUACUGAGGACUCCCCAGCUCGCUUUCCCGACCCGCUCCCACUUGGAGUUCUUCUUUCCUUUCGUCUCAGCUCCUCCAACUGUUCACUCUUUAUCCUUGCCGAUUUUUCUUCUUCGAUUUCGAUGUCUCUCUUUGCCUGCUCAUACCCUGCUGAAUAACUCUGCACUAGGGGGCUCCUCAGGUUAUUCCAUAGCCGGCCUAUCCUCACACCCUCCUUUAAUCCCCUCAAUGCCUGCGGGUGAUUGAAAGCUCCCAAAUCAAGUACGGCUUGGUGGUAUCGCUUUACAAAAUCCCGUAGGGAUUCAUGCUCCUCCUGUUUUAUCCCCAUCAGUUCCAUCAUGUCAUCCUCUGGGGCUGCUGCUCCUCGGAACUGCUCGGCCAACUCCUGGCACAUCUGCUCAUACCCCUUUAUACUUCCUCGGGAUAGCUUGCGGUACCAUUCUCGGGCUCGUCCCUCUAGUGUCAACGGGAACACCCGGCACCUCUGAGCUGGUGUCAGCCCCUGCACACCCGUCAUGUCGUUGAAACGCUCGAUGUGCACCAGCGGGUCACUUCGCCCGGAGUAUUUGAGGUCGGGGAAGCGGAAAUCUCUUGGGAUUAUGAUACCCAUGAUCUCAGUUGAUAACGGAGAUUCUUCAUCUAGCAUUAUCCUCCAGCUCGGGGGCUUUCUCUUGCCCUGUUUCCUCGACUCUACGCCUCCAGAGGUUGGAUUCUGCUCCAACUUCAUCUCUUCCCACGGGGGUUUCACAAUCCCUUCUCCGCUCAUCCCUCAGCUCAAACAAUAUGGCCGCGAGAGUCUCCAUUUGUUUCUCCAUCCGCUCCAGUCUAUCUUGCAUCAUCCUCUCUCGGGCUUCAUUUGCAAUUUCCCGAAGAGUGAUUGUCUCCCCAGCUUCGUUAUCCUCCCUCAAGGCGUCCUUCCUCGUCACAUCCAUGUCUAACCGUUCGUCGUUUCUCCGGUAACUCCUAAUUCGGUGGUAGCUUUUUAUCCAGCUCCCCACAGACGGCGCCAAAAUGUUGAUGCUUAAAUCUGCUCGCCUUUUGACCGACCAGAUUCUUUCACCAACGUUUGUGUUGUCAACUGCUGCUCGGACCACUGGGGUUGGAAUUGCCCUCCUUCCUCUUACUAGACCUGCGUUCACCAAAAAUGGAUCAGAGACGCCGGUGGUUUUGCCGGCGUAAACCCUCCCAUGCCUAAGUUAGCACAAGGUAUUUACGGAAAAACGGUGUAAUUUGGAUUCAAGAAGGGCUUAUAACUUGUUUCGAAGUUUGAAAGGAAAAGGCAUGAUUGCAAUUUGGCAGCGUUUUCCCUCUCUUCAUUUUUUUUGUCCUUUUCUUCAUCGAUUUCUUCUCCUUUUAUAGCCGUUGUCCCAUGUUCCCGUUUGGCUUUCAUCCCUCUUUUUUCGGAUGGUGGCAGCCCUUCAACGGACUCUAACUGCUACAUCAUGGGCAAACGUGGGGUCUCGCAUUACUCGCAACGGUUCUGGGAGAAGCGUAACUACCGUGAUUCUGUGGGAUCGUGUUCCCGCUUUUUCGGGGGAUGGGUAUCGGCUCGGUAUAUACCUCUGGUCGGUAUACUCCCCUGGUUGUACUCGUCUCUGGUCGGACCAUACUUGUCCCUGUGUUCUGCUCGUACCAUUUGGUUGAGGUGAUCCAUGCCGGCGUGGAAAUAGUAGCAUGGCCGACCUGGUGCGUAGCAUGGCCGACCUGGUGCUUUUAUUUACUUAACAAGUGUUAUAGAGAGAGGCUCAGAGUUGAUUCAUUUUAGGUUGCAGUGGCCAGUGGAGAGAGAGGGAUUUAUUCAACGCUUAGCCAAAAUUUGGCGGAAGUGUUGAUGUGUUUUAAGUUAUAUAAAACGGUGUCGUUAAUUUAAACGGCACUGUUUUACAAUCUUAUAAUUUCACAAAACUUAAGCAUGACUUAUAUGUAUCAUUUAUUUAGGACGGUUAAGUUACGUCAUGAAUAUGUCAUAUAUUCUGGACAUAUGAAUAUAUAUCAUGAAUCUAUCAUAUUUUUAUGAUACAUUCGUGACACAACGAUAUAUGUCAUAAAAUUUCUGUCAUUAUUUAAUACUUUUCUAGUAGUGUCAUAUCUUUAAAACCUUUCUAUUAAUAGCAAAAACUCUAAUCCUUUAGCAAAAGACUAAAAAUUUAAAAAAAAAAAUUCUGUUUAAAUAUCAGUUGGCUCAUGAUCAACACUUCAAUACUAUUUGUUGUAUUUUCUUUCUUUCUUUCUUUGUCAUUUUAUUAGAUUUGCUUAAGUAAUUGUUCAUUGUUUACGUCUGUGUUCUUACUAGCUUUUGAUAAUUUAUGGUUGGUUUUUUAUUCAAACCCUCGAAGUACCUUUCUGUUAACAGCAAAACCUUUGAUCCUUAAGAAAGAAAAAGAAAUUCUCUAUUUAGUUAUUAGUUGGUUCAAGAUCAAUAUCGCGAUAUUGUUUGCGGUCUUUUCAUUCUCUAUCUUUCCCUCUAGUUCAAUUUAAUUUAUUUGUAUUCCUUUCUUUGACCCUUGUAUUUAUAUAUAUAUAUUGUUAAGCAACAGGCAAUGGCUGCAGAAGGGUGCCUCCCUGCUUUUUCCAGCAUUGUAUCACAAGGUUCAAAAGCGUUAUUCGAACCGAUUAUGCGGCACAUAUAUUAUGUGUUCGAGUACCAGAGCUACAUAGAUGGGCUAAAAGAUCGAGUGAAGGAGCUGGAAUAUAUAAGAGAAAGGGUGCAAAUGCUGGUUAGAGAGGCUACUCUACAAGGAGAUGAGAUUUAUAAGGGUGUCAGAGACUGGCUAAAUAGAGUUGCUGAAUUCAGUGAAGGGGUUGCAAAAUCCAUCAUUGAUGAUAAAGAUAGAGCUAAGAUGUUCUGCUUCAAAGGGUUGUGCCCAAAUUUGAUUUCUCGUUACAAGCUUGGUAAACAAGCAGCAGAGGCGCAAACGAAGCUGACAAACUUGUGAAAAAAAGGCGAAUUUAACAUAUGUAAUCAUGUUUCCUACCGUCCUGCUCCAGAGAGUACAGAAUAUGUGCAAGUGAAAGAUUACGUAGCCUUUUAUUAUAAUAUCUUUUCACUCUAUUAACUUAAAAAAAGAUUGACUUCAAAUGUUAAAAAUGUAACAGCGUAUACAUUUUAUAAUAAUUUCAAUAUUUAAAAAAUAUUUGAAUACUUUACAAUCUUAUAUUAUAUUAAACUAAUUUUAUAAUAUAUAGAAACAUAAUAGUAAAAUAAAUAUAUAAAAUUUUAAGUUAGGCUUAAUAUUAUUUAAAAUAAUUUAAAUAUCAUUAAUACAUGAGAUAUAUUAUAUUAAUUAUAAAUUCUAUUUAAUCUAAAUAUUUAUUUAAAUUUUUUAUACUAAAAAUAGAUAUAUUAUUAAAAUAAAUAUAACAACUAACAUUUUAAAAAUUAAUACUGAAAUUAAAAUUAUAAAUUAUAUUAAUCUACUAAAAAGAUUAAUCUAUUUGACACUCGCAGCGGACAAUGAGGUCACGGCAUAGGACAACUUCUUUUGAAAAAAAAAAAAAUCAAAAUCAAAGUCAUUGAAGUGCGUUUGAUGAUUUGCUGUGUAGCUUCUCUCUCAAAUGCUUUUCGAGUGCCUCUGGUAUCUGCUUUUAUAUAAGCUUUUGUCUUUAAUCAUUCAUUCAAGCUUUCGCUAAGAGUGAUGCAGCACAGCACGUAAAUAUAGAAGCAUUGACAGCCGUAGUCAGGAGCUCUUCGGUAUUUGAAGCAAGAAUGGUUGUUUGGCUUUGUGCAUUGAAAGAGAAAAGAAAAUAGAAUGACUAAUUUCAAUAAUACAAUUUAAUUAAUUAAUUUAAAAUAAUAAGCAUAUAAUAAUGAUGAAAUUAAUUAAUAAAAAGAAGAAAAUGAAAAUUGCACGUGCUAUUAGCAUAAACCAAUUGCCGGAAUGAGGUCACUUUGUAGACAAAUGAUUCUGGAAUCAGAACUUGGGCCAGCUUUGGGUUAUGGAUCCAAAAUAAAAAUAAGGUGGGCCACAUGGUCUCUUAUGAUCAAUAAAAAUCGAUUGAAAAGGAUGGUAUGGUGAGUGGAAGAGAAAUGUCGAUGGCAGAUCAAGGGAUGAAGAUACGAGCUCACUUGCAACGUGGUAUAGUUCAUCAUGGCUUUCCUAUAAGUUCAGGUCCUUUGAAUACUUUCAAUGACCUUAUUAGUCAGGAAUUUAACAAUAAUUUUUAUUUUUUUACAUCCAGGAACGGUUUUAAGCAUAGGAAAAUUAGGCCUAUAAUAGCAAAUCUUCUUUUUUAGGCCUCUUUUUAGUUAGUAAUUAUCUUAUAAUUAAGAAUUUUUAUACACAUUCUAUAUUUGAUAACCUUAAUAUUAAAGAUCUCUAAUUGUUAAUUUAUUAUUAGUUUUUCCAAGAAAAAAAUUAAAUUCUUUAUCUAUUUAAAAAAGUUUAUUAUUUAACAUUAUAAAAUUUUUUGCGCCAUUCUCUAUAAAGAAAAUUAUUACAUUUAUUGGUUCACUUUUGAAUUAAAAAAAAGUUUAUUAAAUAAUAAUUCUAGAGGAAGUAAAAAAGAUAUCUUCUUGGAAAUGUUUCAAACCCAUGUGUUUGGAUCUGUUUGAUAAUUUGUCGAAUUUGCCCACAUAUGAAAUUAGUAUGAUUUUACAGGUUAUAUUAUUUAAUUGGCUAUUUCAUUAAAAAAAAAAAAAAACACACACACACACACACACACAAGGAUUUUUAUUUGAUGGUAGAAGUUAAGUUGUUUUUCAGUGAUAAAUAAUGUUGUUAACCAAAUUUAAUUGACAUUCUACGUGGCAGUAAUUCAAUUUUAUAGAAGCACGUGGAUUAAAGGACAAAAACACAUCCAGUAUUUAAUAUUGGAUAUGAAUAUGGAUUUUAUCCAUAUAGAUAUGGAGAUCUACGGAUAUUUUAUUUUUAUUAUAUAAAACUAAUAAUAUAAAAUAGUUAAAAUUUCAAUAUCAAAUUUGAUUAUUAAACUAUUUAUAUUAGUAAUAAUAUAUAUAUAUAUAUAUAUAAUGAAAUGGCCGUCCGGUGGCCGGCAACGGAGGUCCGCGAAGUCUCUUCAUUCUCCUGUUAAGUAAUAAAAAAAAUCAAAACAGAGGAGAAACAUGGCCCUCUUUUCAUUCCCCUGUUUGAUAACAAUAAAAACAAAACAAAGGAGAUACGUGGACUCUCUUCUCAUUCCCCUGUUUUUCUUUUCGGUUUGGCGAUUUUAAAAUUUGAUAUCUACACUCAUUAAAAAAAGAAAAAAAAAAGUUAUUCCAAGAUGAUUUUCUAUUUUCAUAUAGACGUUUAUUUAUUAACCAAAAUUUAAAAAGUGUAAUUCUAAACUUAUCCUUGUGCUUUGAUCUUGGAGGGAUUUUUCAUUUUUUCUACACUGGUCUUAUCAAUUAAUGAUGAAAGUUCUUAUCAUUAAUUGCUUUGGAAAUGAGCAAGCACGGUAUGACCCCUAAGAGAAUUUAUUAAUUGGACAAGUUAUAUAACACCUUUGAUAUGGCUCCUAGACAUGUAUGCAAUUUGUAUCUUUUAGUUUUGCUUUUAAUUCUUUUUUAAUUAAAUGAGUCCGGAUUAGGUCAGUGGCAGAUAAAAGAGUCGGUUUUUCCAUUACUAAGCUUUUCAUGGAUGAAAAUUUUAUUUAUUUUUUUGGUUUUAAAGGUUCUCUGUGAAUGCCAUUAGAAAUGAGAUUGACUAAUUCAAGCUUCCUUUUUCCCCUUAGCAUCCAAACGUGUGAGGCAAGGGCAACUAAUGAGUCCCUUGUGAUGAGAACCUUUGUCUAAGCAAAAGCAGAGGUCAAUUGCUAAUACCGUAAUGUUAUUACUUUCAGUGCUUAAAUUGCUCCAUAAGCUUGCAUUUUAAAGUCUUUGUCUUAAUUUCUGUGGUAUACUGGUUAUGAGACCUCCUGCCAAGUUCAAGUUUCUUGAUGUCUUAUAAUUCCAUUUGUUGUGGUGGUUACUUUGUCAUAGAACUGACUGUUAAAGGCCAUCAAUCAGCUCUGUUUUGUAUUUGUGUACGUUUUUUUUCGUAUAAUGAUCAAUCAAAUGUUAGCCCUUAGAUUGCAUCCAAUAUUUAUUGAUUGUCUUUAAUUAGGAUAUAAACUAAAUUCAUAAGACAUUCCCUUAUUGAUAUUCAUUCCAACACGUCCUAGUCUUUUGCCUUGUAGAAAUGCUUGUGGUUGAAGAGCUUUACACAGAAGCUGUCGUCAGUACUGCGCGGAAAUUGAUUAUAUUGAAUCAGAAAACUUGACUAGGUAAGGUCUAUGUGCAUGAGAAUACUUGGAAAAUCUUCACAAUACUGAGGGCCGGAUCUGCACUCUUUCCUCUAUAUGUGUCUUCAAUAUCAAUGGCUCAAAUACAUGUGUUAUGGUCUUUUAAUAUAAAAUACCAUUAUCUCAUGCGUUAUGGUCUUAUCCUUGUAUUCUUAAAAACUAUAUAAAAUACCAUUAUCUCUGCUUUUGUAGCUAUUGAAUUCGACUUUCACAACAUAAAUAUUUAUUUAUGUUAAUGUGUAUAAUUUUGAAAAUUAUAUGCAUUGUUAAUGUGUAUUAUUGUCUAAUAUUUGGAUUUUAUUAAUUUACAACUGCUAUAACUUAAGGCCUCUUCAAACAUAAUGUGAGUCCCACCACGUGUUAAAUUUUUUACAUUAUUUUUGAAGGAACUAUAAGUUACAGCAGCUGUAACUUAGCAGCACCUCCAAUAUUUUACUUUACUUCCCCUAAUAUUUUACUUGUACUUUUAUAUCUUUACAAAACAAUACCAACAAGACAAUAAUGUAUGAAAUAAAUAAAUAAAGAACUGACAACGAAAUUAGGCCUAUCAUUAAUUUCUCGUGGCGUGAACUCUUGACAAUUCUCCCAUAUCCCACCUGAAGCUCUCGCGUGGUGUGAACGCUUGACGAUUCUCCCAUAUCCCUCCAAAAAUUUGUCAUAUUACGAAAAGCAAUGUCAAUUCAAUGUCGUCUCCAUUAAUCAUAGUGGCAGAUAGGACUAGAAUUUGUUGAAACCCCCGGACUUAUUUUUCCUUUUGAAAAUAAUUUUGUAGAAUCUCAUAUCGUGAAUAACAGACAAUGAGACUCUUUUUUUUAACUAUAAUAUUUUUUUUUAAAUUAUUAACUAAAAAAAUAAUUUUAAUAUUUUUAUAAUAAAUAUAAGUAGGAUAUUAAAAUAAAUAUAAUAAUAUUUAUAUAUUAAAAUAAUUUCAAUACCAAAAAAUAUUUUAAUAUUUUACAAUCUCGUAUUCUAUUAAACCAAAUUAUAAUAAAUAGAGACAUAAUAUUCAAAUAAAUAUAUAAAAAUUUAAAUUAUUUUCAACAUCAUAUAAAAUAACUUUAAUAUUAUUAAAACAUGAGAAAUAUUAUAUUAAUUAUAAAAACUAUUUAACCCAAGGAUUUGUUUAAAAUUUUUAUAAUAAAUAUAUUAUUAAAAUAAAUAUAUUAAAUUACAUUUUAAAAAUUAAUUAUUUAAAUUAUACAUACUAGUCUACUAGAAAAUUUAAACUAUUUAAAUCAUAUAUACAUUUAGUAAAAAAUUUUGAAGUCAUUUUUUUUUAUGUGGCUACCAUAAGAGUACUAUAGUCAAAAAGGGUAUUGGUGUUCUUUAUUAAAAUUUUGGGGUCUACAUGACUAUUUUCUAAAAUUUUAAGGGUGUCAUUUUAUUUUUGGAAAAAAAUAAAAAUUUCAUUUAAACGGCUAAAAUGGUGAAUGAUGGUUGUCGAAGCCAACAAAAAUAAAUAGAUACUCUAAAUAAAUUGUAUAUAGUGAUUGAGCAGGGUCGUGUCCACAUAGAUCGGUAAUUAUUUAAAUUCUUUUAAAACAUAAAACAUAAAAUGGGGGUUUUGUUGACAAUAAUAAAAAUCAAAGUAAAAAAACGAAUGCAAAUUAAAGUUGGAAUUCAAAUUGGAGAAAGCUCUGGUUGAAGGAAUUAACUCAGCUUGAUUCAACUGCUGAUCAUUGAUUCAAAUAUAAAUUAUUAUUACUUAUGAAUAGACCGGUUAUAGCUACUGAGACCCUCUAAUAGCCAAUCUCUCCUUAAUUAGUCAAUAACCAAGGUACGACCGUUGGUUAUUUUCCUAAUCAAUAGACAACCCUAGAUACGAUCAUAGAAUUUAAUCAAUUGACAGCCUGAAAAACCAGAGAGACCCAAAUCCUAAUCAACAAACACAUACGAUGGUUCAUUUAAAUUAGAUUGUUUAUUCUCACAACACAACUCUUUGCUAUGUUAUUUGUCACAAACAUUAAAAUCUUCAUACGAUGAAUCCUUUAAUUGACAAUAGAUUAAGUUGAUAAUUAAAUAGUGGCCAAUUACCUAAUUAACAAACAUAAUCAUGAAAAUAAUUUAGAGAAUAAACAAAUACCCAAAAAGCAAUAAAAAAAUUAAAGCAUAAGAAAGAUCUCACAGUAGUGAUGAAUCAAAGCUUCAUUAACCUUCAACCAGAAAAAUAGGUUUAGUUCUUCAUAGAGAGAAGAGAAAAGUUUAGAUCUAGGGUUUCUUUCUUUUUCCAAUCUCCCAUUUUUCACAAUAGAUUCCUCCCUUAAAUACUCUCUCUCUCUUCUCAUCUAGAGUUCUAUUUAAAAUAAAAUACUAAUAUCUGAAAUAUUAAAUUCAUAAUUACAAAAAUAACCAAAAAUACAAAACACGUUAAACUAAAAACUGCAGGUCCGUAGUUGACAGCACGCGCCCACGCCUUAUCAACAAAGUUCUUUUGACGCUCAUAAUUUCUCCAAUGGAACAAUCAUCCUUAAACAUCAUCUUGUAACUCAAUUUUUGCACCAAUCAAUAGAAUUGCACCUAUAAAAAUAAAACACAAGUAAAUCACUAUUAUUAAGUACAAAACAUCGAUAUUAAGGGAAGUAAACAAUUCAAAACUAGUGCAUAAACUGCACUCUAACAGUGAAUAGUACAAUGCUACAGUGGGCGUAAAUGGAAGGUAAAAAGCACUCAAAAUGACCAACAGUCUAAUGCCUCAGCAGGGACAUAAGGUCAAAGUUUGUUACAUGUGGUUAGGGCCAUUUAGUCUGUGAGUGGGUCCUGCGUGUCAUUUUUGGGCAUUUCAUCUUCUUUAGCAUUGAAGAUUAAAUGUUGCCGAUAUUUUCAAAAUUUUGGAAGACCCAUCACACUUUUGGAUGGUUGUCAUUAUUUGAUAUUAUCAUUAUAUGACGAAAUAAAAUUGGAUGUAACACUUGUUUCGCGUUGUGUGAACUUUUGACAAUUCCCCCAUAUCCCCCAAAAAUCUUUCGCCAUUUUGGGAAGAUGCCAUUUAUUUUCAUUUUCAUCAUUGAUAGUGGCAGAUAAUGGGUUCGGGGACAUACUAUAAAUUAUUAUGACCCAUGGACUUUUCUAAUUUUUUUCCCUUUGGAUAGUUGUCGUUAUUUGAUAUAAGGAGAUAGAGAUAAAGUUUUUUAAUCAAAUGCCCAUUUUUUUUACCUUUGGAUAGUUGUCGUUAUUUGAUAUAAGGAGAUAGAGAUAAAGUUUUUUAAUCAAAUGCCCAUUUUAUUUAACAUGGAAGAAGAUCUUUAAACUCUAAGUGAGGCUAUCACUUCAACUGAUGCAGCCCUCAAGAAAGAGGUAACAAGUGAUGAGAUAGACUCAUUAUUGUCUAAUCAAAAAAGGACAUCAGUAGAUGUAUCAGGAUCUUAAGUUAGAUUGGAAUUUGAUACAUUGUUGCUGGUAACAUUGGUUCAAACCUUUAAAGCGAGGUUGGAUGCAAAAUGGUUUACACCAAAGAAGUGAUUUAGGAAGUUAAUUAACGUUAUUUUAGAUAAUUUAUAAUUCUAGAAUAUUUAUUAUUUUAUGAUUUUCUAUUUUAGUUUGAGUCAAUUAUGGUAUGUAUCUUAAUCUUUUAUUUCCAUUAUAAUUAUGAUUUAAAUUUUCUUUUUAGGUUAAUUUAGGAAAGUGGAUUUCUUUUAUUAUAAAUAAAGAUGUCUGUAAUAAAAAAAAAUAAAGAUGUCUUGUCAUUAUUUUCAAAACUUCAAGUUCAAUUAUUAAAUAAAACCCCUCUUUUAUAAUUUCCUCUAAGAUUAUUUAUCAAAAUCUCUCUUGUAGAGUCGUUUGGAUUAGAGUGUCAUCUAAUCUCGUAUUACGCGUUAUUAAAAAUCGCAUUGAGUCAUUUGGAUUAGAACAAUAUCUAAUCACGCUUCGAAUAGAGCGUAAGCUAAUUGCAUUGGCUUGGUCCAGUAUUAGAACGAUAUCUAGUGUUUCUUACCCUAUAAUUCUGCUUCCGCUACGCCUCGCUCCAUCAAUUCGUAUCAAAGCGAUUCUAUGCGAAUCACACAUCGUUCCUAGAUACACGAUACCCAUCCAAACCAAAUCCAUCAAAAAAAAAAAAAUUUACAAAUUUGAAAACCCUACCCGUCACAUCAACCUCCACCGCCGCCCACACCGCCGAUCAGCCAGCCAACACCACCACAAACCUCACUAGCCACCGUCGACCAAGCCUCAGUCAUCGCUGCCUCAACGGCCGCUUGAACAGCCGCAAAUCACCAACGCAAACCCGCGGCUCCACCAAGCAACCCACCACCAUUCAGCCACUUUCUCCAUCAGCCACCUCCACCAACAAACUCGCCGGCCUCCGUUGGCCAAAAACCAACCAACUUCAGCCCUUGAUCGCCGCCCGCUGUCACCAGACGAAACGACAACCCACGAGUGCUUCCUACACGCGCCGCCACCAAAACACCUUGUUUUUCCGUCAAUUUACACCACCACCAUAAUCCCUAGCAGUCGGCAACCGUAAAUCCAGUCUUCUGCCACUGUAAGGCCGCCAUAAACCAAAAGCCACAUCACCAAAAUCAACCGCCAAUUCAAGUCGGAUUUCCCCCAAUUCAAGUUGCUGAAUAUAAAAAGGACUCAUGAAAAUUACUAAAGUUUCAAAUAUUGUUAUUCAGCAACCACUUUUAGGUUACAUUAGUUUCAACCCAAAUUUUAUAUAAAUAAUUUAUAACUCCCAUUAUUAUUAUAAAAAAAAUUGUAGCAAUUGUGGUUAUAUCACAUGAAAAAAAAAAAUUCUAAUUAAAGAAAUUGACAUUAUAACUUAAAAGGAUAGUUGCUCUUUUAAUCAUUAGAAUUUAUGUCAAUUAUCCAGCUUAUCAUUGCAUUCUUAAAAACUAUAUACAAUACCAUUAUCUCUGCUUUUGUAGCUAUUGAAUUUGACUUUGACAAUAUAAAUAUUUAUUAGCAACAACUUAAAAUUCAAACAAAUCUAAUAUGUAAUGUAUGAAAUACAAAUAACAAUUAAACAAAUUUUGAUUAUUUAAUAUUAAGAUAUAAUCACAUUAAUAUCAUAAGGAUAUGUGGUACUCAAAUAAUCUUUUAAAAAUCAAACCCAAAUUAUAUAUUAUUAAUAUGUAUUAUUAUCUAAUAUUUAGAUUUUGUUAAGUUACAACUGCUGUAACUUAAGUCUCUUAAAAAAUAUGUGGGUCCCACCACCUAUUAAAUUUUUUACAUUAUUUUUAAAAAAAUUAUAAGUUACAUCAGUUGUAAUGUAAAAGCCCCCCUAAUAUUUUACUUUACUUUUAUACCUUUAGAAAAACAAUAAUGCAUGAAUAAAUAAAGAACUGACAACAAAAUUGGGCCUAUCAUUAGUUUCUCGUGGUGUGAACUCUUAACAAUCCUCCCCUAUCCCACCUAAAGCUCUCGUGUGGUGUGAACGCUUGACAAUUCUCCCAUAUCUCUCCAAUAAUCUGUCAUAUUGCGAAAAGCAAUGUCAAUUGCAAUGUCGUUUCCCAUUAGUCAUAGUGGUAGAUAGGACCAGAAUUUUUUGAAACCCCUGAGGCCCUGAACUUGUUUUUCCUUUUGAAAAUAAGAAAAGGACACCCGUCUGGAGAAAUAAUUUUGUAGAACCUCAUAUCUUGAAUAACGGACAAUAAGAUUUUUUUUAAAUUAGAUAUUUUUUAAAUUUAUUAACUAAAAAAAUUAACUCUAAUAAUUUAUGAUAAAUAUAAAUAGGAUAUUAAAAUAAAUAUAAUAAUAUAUACAUAUUAAAAUAAUUUCAAUAUCUAAAAAUUUUAAUAUUUUACAAUCUCGUAUUCUAUUAAACCAAAUUAUAAUAAAUAGAGACAUAAUAUUCAAAUAAAUAUAUAAAAAUUUAGGUUAUUUUCAAUAUCAUAUAAAAUAAUUUUAAUAUUAUUAAUACAUGAUAAAUAUUAUAUUAAUUGUAAAAUCUAUUUAACCUAAGGAUUUAGUUAAAAUUUUAAAAUAAUUACAAAUAUUUUAUAAAUACAAAUAAAUUAAUUUACAUUUUAAAAAUUAGUAUUGAAAUUUAUUAUUACUUGGACAAAUUAACACCAAAAUUAAUAUCUAUGCAAUUUGUGUCAUUUACUUUUGCUUUGUAAUAUUUUUUAAAUGAGUCCCGAUUGGUUCAUUGGCAGAUAAAUGAGUCGGUUUUUCUGUUUUUAUUUUAUUUUAUUGUUUUUGAAAAUGGUUUUUCUGUUACGAAGCUUCUCAUGGAUGAAUUUUUUUUUUAAUUUGGGUAAUUUUUAAUUGGGUCCUAAUUAUUUCUAGAAAAAAAAUUCAGAGACCAAAAGUUUACUAAAUGAAUGAAUUAAAUCCUUUUAAGUGCAAAUUUAUGUCAUUCAAGCCCUUAACCCAAUUCUUCCGUUAAAAAAAUUAGUGAAAAUGUUAAGUUAAAUAUAAAAAGACAGGUAUACCCUUAUAAUCAUAUUAGUGAUUUAAAAUACAAUUUUAGCCUUGGACAUUAUUUUUUUUUUCAAUCUAACAACCUAUUUAUCAAUUUGAGUAUUUGAAAACACUAAACGAAUAUCUUUCGCCAAUUUUUAUAAAAAUUCAAAUAUAAAGAGUGAAUUAUACAUGAAAAUGUAAUUUGCUAUCCAUAUAAUUUCAUCACAUCAAUAAAAAUAUGAUAAUUGUUAAACUAAAUAACAUAUGUAUUGAAUAUAAUAUUAAAAAAAACACAAUAACAUUCGGUCUAAAAAUGAAAUUAAAAGUAUGAAAGUCAAUUAAAUUCAAACUAACAAAUACCUUAACAAUACUAAAGUAAACUGAAAUUUAAACACAAAAAAUAGUUAAUUGUCUUCUGAACUCUAUAAUGGAGAAUUAAAUGCCAACCCAAGGUGAAAUUGUACUAUCCUACUCCCUGUUAACUAUGAUAAGUUCUUCAUUUUGAGGUUGAGGUACAAUCCACAAUAGUUGUGUAUACAGUCCCACUAGUUGAGUGACAUUGAUUGAAGCCUAACUAGCUUGUUUUGGAACUAUUGCCAAUUGAUUGUUCAUUGACAUCUACUUCUUGAGAUUGUGGGUUAGUUUCAUGCUAUUCAAAAAAGAAAAAAAAAACAUCAAUUUCAUUAAAUAAAAAAAAAAGAAUCAAUCUAUUCAAUAUAAUUCCACAAUCAAAUCAAACAUAUAUAGCUAGUCAUGUUUUAUUAGCUGCAUACACAUCACUAGGAUCACCAAGUUAUUAAUCCAUUUGAUAACAUAACAAAAAAAAAUAUAAUGAGAUUCAAUUACAAAAUCAGACCUGUGUGGUUGAUGAAGUGAUAUCACUUGCCUGUGCACAAAAAAAAAAUCACCAAGUUUUAAGCAAUUUAAUGAAAAAGAACAAAAAACAAUCCUUUAGAAUUAAAUUUUCAAAAUCAUAUUAAACACGUCCACUUGAUUAAGUCUUAUUUCUUCCUUACACACAACCAAUAUCACCAAGUUUUAAGCAAUAUCUAGUGCAAAAGAAAAAAAAUCCUUUUGAAUUUAAUUAUAAAAUAUAAUUAAAUUAAACCAAUGCACUUGAUGAAGUCCUAUUGCUUCCCUGCACAACAUGAAGAUCAAUAUUUGUUAACUUCACCAAACGAAAUUUAAAAAACAAAAAUGACUCUUAUAUUAUACCUUUAUGGUUCUUGUGGUUUUUGGAAAAUUAGGGCAGCCCCUUUUGUUGUGCCCAAGAUGUCUGCAAGCACCACAUUUGAUAAUAAACCGUUUAUUAGUUAGUUUGGCCUCACCAAUGUCUUUUGUUCUUUUCUUUUUCGGUCUACCAACUGGAGCCUUUAUGUAAGGUGGUCCAACCUUCACAGGCACCACAACAUCAGGUGAAGGUUCAUCUUCCACUUUAGGCCAUGCACACUCAUAAGGAAUAGGAUUUAUAGUCCCUAUGUAUGUCAUCAUAAAAAAUUCAUUGGUCAGAUAAUGAUGCACAUAAUCUUCACGUUGCCCUCCUUUAUUAAAAAUAGCAGCUACUGAAUGUUUGCAAGGCACUCCACUAACUUGCCACAUCUCACAUUCACACGUACCAUCUAUAAUAUGUACUAGGAAAUUUCUAUAGCCAUCUUGACAACAUUCAAACAACUCCUCUCUACCUCCAAAGACCUUAAUUCUCCUUGUCUCAUUUGAGGAUUGAUUUGGUCUGUCUCUAGCAUAUGGGGUCAAACGGUCUUGCCAAGUUUCCCCUUGUUGAUAUUUUUCCAAUAUUCUCACCAUUAGUUGUCUACGAAUAUGCUCAAGAAUGGUUAGGACAAGCUUGUCCCUAACCUCAUCCACCCACUUAUUAAAAGAGUCAAUCAUGUUGUUUGUAACAUGGUCAAAUUUCACAUGGUGAUCAAACCCGCUUCUAGACCACUGUGCAGAUGGUAUUUUUCUCAACUAUUCACAACAAUUUUAGUCUUUAGCCCUAAUUUGACUCAUUGCCCUCUCAAAGUCAUACUGAUUUACAGCCCUAUAAGCUUUCCAAAAUAACCCCAUGACAUUCAAACCAGGAAACUUACACUUCAAAUUGGCAAAGAUAUGCCUAGCACAAUAUCUAGUACUAGCAUUAGGCUAAUAUUUUUCCAGUCCCUAUAAAAGACCUUUUUGUCUAUCACUAAUAAUAGUCACAUGCCUAUGAUCAUCAUCCCUAAUGAAUUCCUACAGCAAAGAUAAAAAAUAACCCCAACUAUCAUAGUUCUCUGCCUCACAUAUGCAAAAAGCCAGCGGAAAAAUUCCACUAUCAACAUCUAAUGCAACAACAAAUAACAAUACUCCCUUGUAUGGCCCCUUCAAGUGACACUCAUCCAAUCCUAUGAAAGGUCUACACCCAGUUAGGUACCCCACUUUAAGUGUAGGAAAUGACAAAAAAAAAAAAAAACUUUGAAAACCUAGGCUAUUUGACUAUGGCCUAUCAACCUUUACCUUGACACAAGCACCUUUAUUCAUUUUCAUUAGAAUGUGAGCAUAUUUCAAAAGCUUUCCAUAGCAAGUAAUGUGGUCAGCACCUCGGUUUUUUAAUGCAAUUUUUUUGCCCUGUAUAGUUUUUGUUUGUCACAUUCAAUCCCAUGUUUAUCUUUUAACUCACUCCUUAUAACAUUUACACCAACUCCUAGGUUAGUUUGAAUAAGUUCAGCACAACUUUAGCUAUCCAAAGUGCUGUUGCAUCUUUGUUAACUGAUUUAAUAUGGCAAUCAUGUUUCCCUUUAAUAUACCUAACUUUAAAAGUUAUCCCAUCAACCAUCGAUGAAGCAUGAAAUUUCCAAGUUCAUUUUGGAUUGACACAAUAACAAGUAUACUUAACACCAUCAUUUUUAAUCCUAUUUAACUCAAAAUCCUCUUGGAUUGCAUAUUUCACCAUAACCUCUCUUAAUAAUGCAACAGAUUCAAAGGUAUUUCUUACUUUUAGACUAACUGAACCAUUUAGUUUUGGUUUCCACUCAUUAUCAAUAAUGGAUUCAUACAUAUGUGAGAGACCAUUCUCUUCAUCAAAUGAGUGCACUCCGAUAAAGCCAUCCUCACUAAAUUUUUCAAACUUAUCAGUACCCAUACUAACACCUAUAUUGAUAGGACUUUUAGAUCCUAUUACAACACUUUCAUGACAUGAUUGACCACCUAACCCAGUGUGCACCUCAAACUCAAUAACAUGCCAACUAUUAGUAAAGAACUCCUAAAAAACCGAAUACAAUUCACUAUCAUUUGAAAUUAGCUUCCUCUGCCUACUUGUAGUCCAUGGUAACACAACAGAAAUUUCAAUCAAAUCCAUUUCGUUGUGUCCAUAUUUAACCAUGACUUCUAGAAUUUCAUGAAACAACCUAAUACUCUUAUAUUCCUAUGGGUUCCUAUAUCCUAUCUCAUACACUGCCCCAUUAAUUUUAACCAACAAAAAAAAGGUAACAUGGCUACCUGCAUCAAUUUUAAACAAAAGGUAUUGCAUCAAAAAAUGGCUAAACUAAUACAAUUUUAUUUAGCAAAGAAUAAAAAAACUCAACCUAAAUGAAAUAUACAUGUAAUUCAGUUAAAAAAGGUACAAAAGCAAAUUCAAUCUAAUACAUAUAAAAAUAAAAAUUGAAAAGAAAAAAUAACCCAGCAAAUAUAGAGAAUUUAGUCUAAUAUAUAAAAAUUACCACUCAUAAUAACACAUAGAAUUCAAUUUUACAUGAACAAAGAAGCAAAUACAACGAAUUCAAUCUUAUUAAUAUAACGAUACCAAUUAGUUGAAAUGAAAUAUUGUACAUAUACAACAACUCAAGAAAGCAAAUAAAAUAAGCUAAAUAAGUUCAAUAAAUACAUAUAUAAAUAUGGUGUAUUUGUUCUAUUUAUUAUAUAAAGAGCAAAUUAAAAAAAGUAUAUUAAAUACAACAUUCAAUAAAAAAAUCCACCAAUAAUUAAACAUAGUUUGUCAUUUAGAAAAAUAGACUUGAAAAACCUAAUUUUUCACAAAGAUCACUAAAUAUGGAAACAAUUUUUUCAGAAAAUGCUUGCAAAAAUCACUAAAAAAUUAGAGUUACUAACUUUGAAACUCAGGUUCUCUCCAACACUUGAACUCAACCAAUGCUAACAAAUCUUUGGUCAAAAUCACAAUAGAUUUAUACAACAUGUUUUGCGCCAUCCCACGUUCUCUCAAUCUCUCCUCUCACACGAAGAAUACGGCAGUUUCUAUAGUAUUUUUUUUUUUCGUUUGAAAGAACUUUAACUUGGUUAGGUUAAUUGACUUUGCUUUAAACUAUUGCCACCUGUAAGCAAACUAUUGCCACCUGUCAAAAAUAAAAGAAUGAGGAAGGGUUCAAUUGUUCUUUUACUAAAAUGUCCUCAAUGUUGUUAAUAUCUCUAACGGACGAGUUAAGUUAAGGACUUGAAUGACAUUACUUUGUACUUGAAAGGAUUUAAUUGAUUUAUUUAGUAAACUUCUGGUUUUUGAAUUUUUUUCUAAAAAUAAUGAGGGCUUAAUUAAAAAUUACCCUUUAAAUUUUAUAGAUUCUCUGCGAGCGCAGUUAGAAGUACCAAGUUUUGUUAGGUAGAAGGGUAUUUAAGUAAAUCUGCCCACAAUGAAGAAUAGUUCAGAACAGUUGAGGAAGCAUGAGAAUACUUGAGGAAAGCCUGAUAAGAAUUACGGCCGGAUCUGCACCCUUUCCUCUAUAUGUGUCUUCAAUAUAAAUGGCUCAAAUAUAUGCGUUAUGAUCUUUUAAUAUUUCGCCUCUGAUAUUGCCCACAUUGCUUACUGCAACACAUAAAGCACUUCGUUUACCCCAAAUCCUGAUAGGGAAGUAUAAAUAUAUGCUUCCGAAAUAGCGCAACUCUCCAUAAUUAUUUAAUAUGCCUCUCAAUGAAGCAAUCACCUUCAUUUACAACUCUGCGAUUAUUAAUCCUACAUACACGUGUUUCUUUUGUCUCUAAAAGUAUUCUCAAUUAAUUUACAUAAUUUAAUAUAAUAAGUACCUAAGACUAGACAAAUUUUCAUUACAAUAAAAUGAAUAAAUUAUAAUAGUAUUGACACAAUAAUGUCAAUAAUAAAAACUUUAAGAAGCCUAUAAAUUUUAAAAUAUGACUCAGAGUGCUACAAUGAACCACAACAAGUUAUUAUAUGAUCUAUAAUCAAUAUUCUAAUGAUAACAGAGUUCCUCUAUUUUCAAUCCCCUACUUUUCUAUUUAGCGAUUGUCAAAUUUUAUAUCUAAAAUUCUUCUAAUUUUACACUAAGGUUUAUUUUUUUAAAAAAAAAGGGGCAGGAGAAAGAGGCUAGAGAGUAUUAAAAAAUGUCAUUCUAAAUUUUCACUUGAGCGUGGUGUGAUUUUUAUCAUUUUUUAAAAUUGGCCAUUUAUAUUGAGUAAAUAAAAGAAUGAAUAGACGUUUGGACCACUUCUUUUCUGUUAUAAUAAAACAUGAGAUGUCUUCUCUUGAUGCUUUCGUCACAAAAGAAUAUGUUUAUGUCAUCAUAGGCUUAAAUGGGGUAAGUAAAUUAAGAUCGAGGACAAGUUUGUUUAAGCACUAAAGUCGCUAAAUAAAAGAAAGGCUCAUAUAAAAAUUACCUAAAGCACCAAAUAUUGUUAUUCAGCUACUUCUUUUAUGUUACAUUAUUUUCUACGCAAAUUUAUAUAAAUAAUUUAUAACUCCCAUCAUUAUUAAAAAAAAAAAAAACUGUAGCAAUUGUGGUUAUAUCACGUGGUGUGAUUGUUGUGAAAAUUUUAAUAUACUCGCAAGCGCACGAAUCUAGAAAUAGAGUAGUGGUAACGAGGUCGAUCCCACAGGGAUUGAUAAAAAGUCUAAUUUAAAUCUAAAAUUAAUAUUACUCCUAACCUAGUUGAGCAAAUUGAGUUUUUAAGAAAAUUAAACCAAUUAAACUAAGGAAGCAAUUAAAAUAAAAGAGAAUUCAAUAAGAUAGAAAUUACCAAGGUUUCAGAAUCCACCACUAUUCAACUAGUAAUUAUCUAAUUAUUAAUUAAUCCCCAAUUUUAGAGUGACAACUCGAAAUCAAUCUAUGUCAUCUCAUAGAUAUAACAAUUAAGCCCAAGUAAUUAAAUCUAAUGUAGGUUCUUUUUCUGCUUAAUAAUAUGACAUCUAAGCAUCCCAUGUAAACAUAUUGAAUAACAAAGAGUCAAAGUUUUCCUAAGCACUCUAUGUAAACAAUUUAAUGAAAGACAUAAAAUCAAAGAUAAUCAUGUAUAAACUUUAUAGAUCCAAGCAUAGAAUUAAUCGAAUAUUAAUCCUAACAAUCAAUAAUGCAUGACAGAAUUGAUGAAAAGAUUUUAAUAACAUCCAAUUAAUCAUGUGAAAUAAAAACCAUAAUUAUCAAAGAACAUAUAUAGGGAAUUAAUUAAAUAAAAAGAGAUAAUUAUUUCAUUGAAUAGGGUUUCAUCCUUAACCUCAGUAUAAGAGAAUUAGUUAGACAUACUUGAAUUGGGAACAACAAAAAAAAUAAAAUCACCCAUGGAAACCGAACUGCUGCUGCCCAACCUUGCGUCUUGCGUCUGCCGAAUUCUCCUUCUCCUUUCGUUUCUGUCCAGCAGCUCCCUUUUAUAUUGCUUGGCCACGGAAUCCUAUUGUGAUUCUAAUAACUAAACCAACUCUUACAAGCUAAAGCUCUAAGCUUGCCACGUAAUUGAAAACAAUAAAAGCCAAAAGCUAUUGAUUUCCUUCCUUUAUUCUACUUUGACUUUCCAUUCAAAGGCUUAAUUAAAAGCUUUGUUUUUAUGUGCUGCCCACUUUAGCUUUAACUUUCAUCUUUGUUUGCACGAGCAUGGAGAAUUCAAUUUAUUGGAUUCGGCUUCUUCCACAUGCACGUAUGUCUAAUUGGUUCCAAAUCAAUUAAUCUUUAAUGCUUACAAAUUGAACUCCUUUAUGCUCUUUUUAUCCAUAAUCUCCAAUUAAUUCCCUAUUCAAUAAAAUAAUUCAAUUAAUUAAAAAUAACAAAUAAAAAUAACUAGCAAUUAAAUAAUUAAGGGUAAAAUAUGUAUAUAAAUUAUGCUCAUCAAAUACCCCCAAACUUAGAUUUUGCUAGUCCUCGAGCAAAACUAAAAAAAAAAAAAAACAAAAAUAAAAAUAAUGAAACAAAAAGUAAAUCCGAACUAAACCACUUUCGCAGGUAAUCGCGAUUGCAUUUAGCGUAUGCAACAAGCCUUUAAACCCCUAGGCGGCCCUAGUGGACGAGUUAUAGUCUCGUGAGGGCUUCAGUGAUGAUACCCACAAACAUCAUUUUUCAAAGAAUUAAAAUAAAAAUAAAAUGAAAAGAACAACAAGCUUUAAACAAAACAUGAAGAUAGCCUCAAAGAUUGCAUAAAUUAUAUAGCUCAAAGAAAAUUUCAAAUAUUGGCAAAGUUCUAACUUUAAUUCAAUAAUCAAUCCCAUCUCUCUUUCGAUUCUUGUAGUGUGUGUGUGUGAAAUCAAUUCAAUCAAAUCCAUUCCCAAAAUCCUCAAUAUCAAUAGCCUUCGCCUCAAACAAAGAAAAGAGUAGAUCAAACUAAUCUUAUCAUCUUGAUCUCCAAUUUUUUUUUUCAGGCUUUUAUGUGCAUUUUCUUUUGAUUUUUUUUUUUUAGCACAUGCACUUGAUUUUUUUUUCUUUUCCUUUUCUUUUUUUUUUGUUUUUUUUUCUUAACCAUAGUCAGGAGCUUUCACUCUACCCCUUAAGGUAGCCUUCUUCUCAUGGUAGAUUAUCCUCUACAUACUUGUGGUACAUAGGCCCAAAUUACUCAAGGAUAACUUCACUCUUAAGGGUUAUAGGUAGCUAUUUCUGACUUUGGCGCCUGUGUAUACUAAUUUGUAUUGUGGAGAUAAGAAUCAAGACAAACAGUCAUUUACUCUAUCUAAAAUUCUCAACUCAGGCUGUGUCAAUUUCAAAUUUCAAGCCAAAAUUAUAAAAGAACUGAUAUUAGUGCUCAUAGUUUAAAGAAUCUCAAUCAAGAGGAAUUAACACAAGAAUCAAGUAUAAACUAAGACAAUAUUCAACCCUUUCUAAAAACCAUAUUCAUUGUCAAUCAAGUUCUUAUCAUUGGCUUUUCACAUAAAAACAAAAAGAAAAAAAAAAACAAAACAUUUUUUUUUGAAUUUUUUUUAAUAACAAACAAAACACACGCUAUUCCCACCCCUAAAUUUAUUCGGAACAUUGUCCUCAAUGUUUCAUAAACAAAAGAUAUGCAUGCAAACAAAUGAAAGAGAAAUAAUAAUAAUAAUAAUAAUAACAAUAAUAAUAAACAUAAAUAAUAAAAAGAAAGUUGGAGAGAACACACCUGGAUGGGCUGGGAAAGCUUAAAAGAAAAUGCCAAAUGAAAAGAAAACAUUAAAAUAUAUAUAUAUAUUAGAAAAGAAAAUAAAUAAAGAAAAGAAAACCGACUAUUAAAAUAAAACAAGAGUGUAAAGAUGAACUUAAUUAAUCCUGAUAAACAGGAUCAUCUAAAAGUAUCUCCUCAACUUCUGGUGUUUUUAAUUCUAAAAAUGGUUUUAAUCUUUGACCAUUCACCUUAAAUAAAUCACCAUUUUUAGGAUUUUCAAUUUCAAUUGCUCCAUAAGGGAAGAUAGUACGAACUAUAAAAGGAUCAGACCAUCGAGAACGUAACUUACCUGGAAAGAGAUGCAAUCGGGAAUUAUAUAAAAGUACUUUCUGACCUGGUGUAAAGGCUUUUCUCAAAAUAUGUUUGUCAUGAAAGACUUUCAUUCGCUGUUUAUAAAUCUUGGCAUUCUCAUAUGCAUCAUUCCUGAUCUCUUCAAGUUCUGCUAGUUGUAAUCUUCUCUUGGACCCAGCUUGCUGCAUGUCAAAAUUGAAUUUCUUGAUAGCCCAAUAUGCACGAUGCUCCAACUCUACUGGCAGAUGACAUGCUUUUCCAUACACAAGUCGAUAAGGUGACAUCCCAAUUGGUGUUUUAAAAGCAGUUCUAUAUGCCCACAAUGCAUCAUCAAGUCUCAAAGACCAAUCCUUUCUAUCUGGCCUAACUGUUUUCUCUAGAAUCUGCUUGAUCUCUCUAUUAGAAAUCUCUACUUGGCCACUGGUUUGAGGAUGAUAUGGGGUGGCAACCUUAUGUGUAAUGGAAUAUUUGUCCAAAAGAGUUUUGAAAGGUUUAUUACAAAAAUGGGUACCACCAUCACUAAUGAUUGUUCUAGGAAAACCAAAACGAGACAGAAUAUUACUCUUCAAGAAUUUCACUACAACCCUAUGAUCAUUGGUUUUGCAUGGAAUAGCUUCAACCCACUUCGACACAUAGUCCACUGCAACCAAUAUAUAUUGAUAACCAAAAGAUGGAGGGAAAGGUCCCAUGAAAUCAAUACCCCAUACAUCGAAGAUCUCAACCACAAGAAUAGGAUUGAGUGGCAUCAUGUUCCUCUUUGAAAUGCUACCCAUACGUUGGCACCUAUCACACAAAGAACAGAAAACAUAAGCGUCAUGAAAAAGAGUAGGCCAAUAAAAACCACACUGUAAAAUUUUUGUUGCUGUCUUUUUAGCACUAAAGUGGCCUCCGCAAGCUUGUUCAUGGCAAAAUGAGAUAACACUUUGAAUUUCAUUAUCGGGAACACAUCACCUAAUAAUCUGAUCAGCACAAUAUUUAAAUAAAUAGGGAUCAUCCCAAAAGAAGUCUUUCGCUUUAGAUAAGAACUUUGUUCUAUCUUGCUUAGUCCAGUGCUCUGGGAUUUGACCUGUAGCAAGGUAAUUAACUAUAUCAGCAAACCAUGGUACAACAUUUACACUCAUAAGUUGCUCAUCUGGGAAAGACUCAUUCAAAGGUAAAGAUUCUGGAAUAAAUUUAAGAUCAAGGCGAGAUAAAUGAUCCGCCACAACAUUUUCAGAACCUUUUUUAUCUCUAAAUUCAAUGUCAAAUUCUUGUAAAAGCAACACCCAACGAAUCAAUCUUGCCUUAGCAUCUUUCUUAGUAAACAAAUAUUUUAAAGCAGCAUGAUCAGUAAAAAUAAUCACUUUACAACCUAUAAGAUAAGAUCUGAAUUUAUCAAGUGCAAAUACCACAGCUAGCAUUUCUUUUUCUAUAAUUGAAUAGUUCAACUGUGCAUCAUUGAGUGUCAUACUAGCAUAAUAAAUCACAUAAGGCACACGAUCUAAUCUUUGUCCUAAAACUGCUCCUACAGCAUAAUCAGAUGCAUCACACAUAAUUUCAAAAGGCAAAUCCCAAUUAGGUGGCUGAAUGAUAGGUGAAGAAGUCAAUAAUUUCUUAAGGUUUGCAAAAGCAUCAAGACAAGAUUCAUCAAAGAUAAAAGGUGCAUCCUUAACAAGUAAAUUGCAUAAGGGUCUAGAAAUUUUACUAAAAUCUUUAAUGAAUCUUCUAUAAAAACCAGCAUGUCCAAGGAAAGAUCUUACUUCUUUUACGGAUUUGGGAUGUGGAAGAUUAGAAAUUAAAUCCACCUUAGCUUUGUCGACUUCUAUACCUUUGCUAGAAAUUAUAUGACCAAGAACAAUACCUUGUUUUACCAUGAAGUGACACUUUUCCCAAUUUAGAACCAAGUUCUUUUCUUUACAUCUCUGCAAAACUAAUGUUAGAUGCUGCAAACAUUCAUCAAAAGAAUCUCCAUAAACAGAAAAAUCAUCCAUGAAUACUUCAAGAAAUCUCUCAACCAUAUCAGAAAAAAUACUAAGCAUGCAUCUUUGAAAAGUAGCAGGUGCAUUGCAUAAACCAAAUGGCAUUCUCCUAUAUGCAAAAGUUCCAAAUGGACAAGUAAAAGUAGUUUUCUCCUGGUCCUCUGGAGCUAUAGGGAUCUGAUUAUAACCUGAAUAUCCAUCUAGAAAACAAUAAAAAUCAUGACCUGCAAGUCUAUCAAGCAUUUGAUCAAUAAAUGGAAGAGGAAAAUGAUCUUUUCUUGUGAAUGAAUUUAAUUUUCUAUAAUCAAUGCAAACACGCCAACCUGUAGUUACUCUAGUGGGAAUUAAUUCAUUAUUAGCAUUAGUAACUACUGUAACACCAGAUUUCUUAGGAACAACUUGCACAGGGCUAACCCAAGAGCUAUCUGAAAUAGGAUAAAUAAUUCCUGCAUCUAAUAAUUUGAUUACUUCAGCUCUUACCACUUCUUUCAUGUUAGGAUUUAGCCUACGUUGCAUUUCCCUAAUAGGUUUAGCAUUUUCUUCAAGAUGAAUACGAUGCAUGCAAUCUACUGGAUUAAUACCUUUAAUAUCAGCGAUGGUCCAUCCUAUUGCCUCCUUAUGCUCUUUUAGAAUAUCUAACAAUUUACCUUUUUGCUCAAGAUCGAGGGAAGAAGAAAUAAUAACAGGUAGAGUGUCAGAUUCUCCCAAGAAUGCAUAUUCCAGAGUGUCAGGCAGUGCUUUGAGUUCCAAUUUUGGUGGUGCCUCCGCAGAUGGGCCAAUUUUCUUCUCAGAAUGAGGCAGUAGUUCUGACUUUGUCUUCCAUUUAAUUGUGUCCGUAAUUAGAGGUGCAUCAAGUAAAGCGUUGAUUUCUGCAAUUGCACUGUCAUCAUUAAAAGAUAAAUCAGAAUGAGUUAGACAUGCCUCUAAUGGAUCAUCAUUAUGGUUAGAAAUGAAUGAAUCUUCUACUAAUUCCUCUAUCAUAUUCGCUUCAACAAAUUCAUCUUCUUCUUGUGGCUGCUUGGUAACAUUAAAAAUAUUCAAUUCCAUGGUCAUAUUACCAAAAGAUAACUUCAUGUUUCCAUUCCUGCAAUUAAUAAGAGCAUCAGCUGUAGCUAAGAAAAGGACGACCUAGAAUAACUGGGGUGUGUUUCUUAGGAUCAUGUACAUGCUGAAUAUCAAUAACAAUAAAAUCAACAGGAUAAUAAAAUUUAUCAAUCUGUAUCAACACAUCCUCUAUAAUACCACGAGGUAUUUUCAUUGAUCUAUCAGCAAGUUGCAAAAUAAUAGGAGUUGAUUUUAACUCACCUAAUCCAAGUUGCAUGUAAACAGAAUAAGGCAAGAGAUUAACACUAGCACCCAAAUCCAAUAAUGCUUUAUCAAAACAUUGGUUUCCUAUAACACAUGAGAUAGUAGGAGAACCUGGAUCCUUAAAUUUUGGUGGCAUUUUACAUUGGAGUAAGUUGCUAGUUUGUUCAGUUAAAAAUGCCUUUUUAGUGACAUGUAAAUUUCUCUUUUUCGUGCAUAAAUCUUUUAAAAACUUUGCAUAUGAAGGAACUUGCUUAAUAGCAUCGAGUAAAGGGAUGUUUAUACUUACCUGUUUGAAUAUUUCCAUAAUCUCACCUGUUGAAGUCCCUUUCUUUACCUUUGUUAACCUUUGAGGAAAAGGAGCCUUGCGAAUGUAAGCUGGCGGGCCACUCUCUUCUGGAUCAUUUGUUGAUGAGUCUUGUGAUGGAACUGGAUCUGAAGAAGUAGGCUCAGAUGUCUUCCUUGUUUGAACCUCUACUUUGUUGUCAAAUAAUUUUCCUCUUCUCAAGGUCAUAAUAGAUUUUGCUUCUUCAUGCUGAUGGCUCGAACUCGAUCCAACUUCAUGCACUCCUUUAGGAUUGGGAAUUGAUUGACUUGGGAAUUUUCCUUUUUCUCUCUCAGCUACAGUAGUUGCUAAUUGACCCAAUUGAUGUUCAAGUUUUAGAAUAGCUUGAGUGUUUGACUGAAAAGCUUGUUGGGUUGACUGAAUGAAACUUUGAAGUGUAUCCUCUAAAGAAGGCUUUCUUUGUUGGGGUGCAACAAAUUGAGACAUAGGUUGUUGGGCAUGAGGAUGUACUUGGUUAGGAGGGACAAAUUGUUGAUUGGGCAUGUUAAAUUGUUGCCCUCCUUGGUUUGACAAAGGUUGAUUUUGUUUCCAAGAAAAAUUAGGGUGAUUCCUCCAAUUAGGAUUAUAUGUGGAUGAAUAUGGACUAUUGGAGGUUUUCUCAUAUGAUUGUAAGGCAUGUACCUGCUCAGAAUAAGCAUCUGGAUAGACUGGUAAUGAUGGACAAUUUUGUGCUGUAUGAGACAAGUUAGAACAAAUAGCACAAACCUCAUUAGCUACACUAGGAUGAUGAUUUAUGGAUUGGUUCAUAACUAAGGCAUCUACUUUCCUAGAAAGUGUAGCUAGAGUGGAUUUCAUAUCUAAAUCAUCCUUAACUUCAUAUAGCCCCUUUCUAGAAACUUGAGAUGAUUUUUCCCUUUGAUUUGAAAAAUCCCACUGUUGAGAAUUUUCAGAAAGUGAAUUAACGAAAUCCCAUGCUGCCCCUUCAUGUAAGUUCAAAAAUCUCCCACCAUUCAUAGAUUCCACCAUAUGACGAUUCGACAUGGUUAAACCGUUAUAAAAGCAUUGUAUAAGUCUCCAUUUCUCAAAACCAUGAUGGGGACACUUAAGGAGUAAAUCAUUAAAUCUUUCCCAACACUCAUAAAAUUGCUCACCAUCUCUUUGAUAAAAAUCACUUAUCUCUCUCCUAAGGGCAUUUGUUUUAGACAUAGGGAAAAACUUGGUGAGAAACUUAUUACUCAAUUCAUCCCACGUAGUAAUAGACCCAGCAGGAAGUGAAUUCAACCAAGCUUUUGCUUUGUCUUUUAAUGAGAAAGGGAACAUACGAAGCCUAAUUGACUCAUCAUUAAAAUUUUGAAAACGAAAUGUAGAGCAUAUGUCAAGAAAUUCCUUAAUGUGCAAAUAUGGAUCCUCUCUCUCUAACCCAUGGAAGGAUGGCAAAAGUUGAAUGACAGAGGGCUUAAGUUCAAAGUGUGUUGCUGUAGUUUGUGGCAACACAAUACAAGAUGGUUGGUUGGCUGCAAGUGGUGAAAAAUAUUCUCUAAGGGUUUUCUCUGCUUGCACUGGUGGGAGUAUUGGCAAUAGUCUAUUUGGGUCAUCCAUCACUUCUAAAGAACUAGUUUGACUACUAUCAAUUUUUGACUCUCUUUUAACCAAACGAUUUGUUGAAUCACGUUCCCAAACACUCAUAAACUAACUAGACAAGGAAAGAAAGAGAAAUAAAAUAAAAUAAACCAACAAAAAUGAGAAUAAACGAAAUUUAAAAAUAAAAGAAAUCAAACAACCAAACAAUGAAUUUAAAAUAAAAUAAAAUUAAAAUUAAAAUUAAAAGUUUUUUUUUGUGUUUUUUUUUAAAAAUAAAAAUUGAAUAAAUAAAAUAAAAGACAACCUAAAUUAUAACUAGUGGAAGAAUCAAAUUAACCUAGAUUAAACUGACUUUCUAGCACAAUCCCCGGCAACGGCGCCAAAAACUUGAUGUGAAAAUUUUAAUAUACUCGCAAGCGCACGAAUCUAGAAAUAGAGUAGUGGUAACGAGGUCGAUCCCACAGGGAUUGAUAAAAAGUCUAAUUUAAAUCUAAAAUUAAUAUUACUCCUAACCUAGUUGAGCAAAUUGAGUUUUUAAGAAAAUUAAACCAAUUAAACUAAGGAAGCAAUUAAAAUAAAAGAGAAUUCAAUAAGAUAGAAAUUACCAAGGUUUCAGAAUCCACCACUAUUCAACUAGUAAUUAUCUAAUUAUUAAUUAAUCCCCAAUUUUAGAGUGACAACUCGAAAUCAAUCUAUGUCAUCUCAUAGAUAUAACAAUUAAGCCCAAGUAAUUAAAUCUAAUGUAGGUUCUUUUUCUGCUUAAUAAUAUGACAUCUAAGCAUCCCAUGUAAACAUAUUGAAUAACAAAGAGUCAAAGUUUUCCUAAGCACUCUAUGUAAACAAUUUAAUGAAAGACAUAAAAUCAAAGAUAAUCAUGUAUAAACUUUAUAGAUCCAAGCAUAGAAUUAAUCGAAUAUUAAUCCUAACAAUCAAUAAUGCAUGACAGAAUUGAUGAAAAGAUUUUAAUAACAUCCAAUUAAUCAUGUGAAAUAAAAACCAUAAUUAUCAAAGAACAUAUAUAGGGAAUUAAUUAAAUAAAAAGAGAUAAUUAUUUCAUUGAAUAGGGUUUCAUCCUUAACCUCAGUAUAAGAGAAUUAGUUAGACAUACUUGAAUUGGGAACAACAAAAAAAAUAAAAUCACCCAUGGAAACCGAACUGCUGCUGCCCAACCUUGCGUCUUGCGUCUGCCGAAUUCUCCUUCUCCUUUCGUUUCUGUCCAGCAGCUCCCUUUUAUAUUGCUUGGCCACGGAAUCCUAUUGUGAUUCUAAUAACUAAACCAACUCUUACAAGCUAAAGCUCUAAGCUUGCCACGUAAUUGAAAACAAUAAAAGCCAAAAGCUAUUGAUUUCCUUCCUUUAUUCUACUUUGACUUUCCAUUCAAAGGCUUAAUUAAAAGCUUUGUUUUUAUGUGCUGCCCACUUUAGCUUUAACUUUCAUCUUUGUUUGCACGAGCAUGGAGAAUUCAAUUUAUUGGAUUCGGCUUCUUCCACAUGCACGUAUGUCUAAUUGGUUCCAAAUCAAUUAAUCUUUAAUGCUUACAAAUUGAACUCCUUUAUGCUCUUUUUAUCCAUAAUCUCCAAUUAAUUCCCUAUUCAAUAAAAUAAUUCAAUUAAUUAAAAAUAACAAAUAAAAAUAACUAGCAAUUAAAUAAUUAAGGGUAAAAUAUGUAUAUAAAUUAUGCUCAUCAGUGAUCUUUUGACAAUUCUCCCACAUCCCACCAAAAACUCUCACGCGGCAUGAACUUUUGACAAUUCUCCCAUAUCCCACCAAAAAUUUGUCAUAUUGCGAAAGGCAAUGUCAAUUGCAAUGUCAUUUCCAUUAGUCAUUGUGGCAGACAAUGGAGGUCCCGAGAUAGGACUAGAAGUUUUUGAAACCCUGAACUUAUUCUUACUUUAUUUUUUCUUUUGAAAAUGAGAAAAGGACACUUGUUUGAGGAAAUAAUUUUGUAGAACCUCAUAUCGUGAAUAGGGGAUAAUAAGACUUUUUUUUUUUUACUUUACUGCAAUACUCUGUAAUUUUAUUAAUUUUAUAUUUUAUAAUAAAUAUAAAUGUGAUAUUAAAAUAAAUGUAAUAAUAUAUACAUAUUAAAAUAAUUUGAUAUUGAAAAACAUUUUAAUAUUUUACAAUCCCAUAUUAUAUUAAACCAAACUGUAAUAAAUAGACAUAAUAUUAAAAUAAAUAUAUAAAAGUUUAAAUUAUUUUGAAUAUCAUAUAAAAUAAUUUUAAUAUUAUUAAUAAAUUAGAAGUAUUGUUGAGGUUAUGGGGCCCCAACAAUUCUUCUUUGCGCUUGUGGGUGUAACAUCCUUCUGUGUAAUUCCAUUGAGGUGGCAGUAAGGUUACCUAGGGCGUAACUGCCCGGCCCAUUGGCACAAUUACAAAUGUGUGCAGCCCCUCAUGUCCAUCCACCGCUUAGUGUGGGGCUCUGCGCUUCCAUUGUAUAAGAAAAUAAAGUUGCACCUUGGCUAUCAGCUUAAGCUUUUAGCCCAAUGGUAAGCGCUUGAUCCUAACAAGUAUUACAUUAAUUGUAAAAUCUAUCUAAUCCAAGGAUUUAUUUAAAUUUUUUAUAAUAAAUUAAAAAUAUAUUAAUUAACAUUUUAAAAAUUAAUAAUGAAAUUAAUUAUAUAAGUUAUACAUAUUAGUCUACUAGAAAAAUUUAAACUAUUUCAAUCAGAUUUAUAUUUAGUGAAAAUUUUUGAAGUUAAUGUUUUUGGUUAUCAUCUACUAAGAAUCUUGUAGUUAAAAGGGGUAUUGACAUUCUUUAUUAAAAAAUUGAGGUCUACAUGACUAUUUUUUAAAUUUUAAGGGUGUCAUUUUAUUUUUGAUGAAAAUAAAAUUUCAUUUAAGUGGCUAAAAUGGUGAAUAAUACAAUGUUACAACUGGCAUAAAUGGAAGGUAGGAAACAAUCAAAAUGACCAAUAGUCUAACGCCACAGCAAGGACAUAAGGUCAAAAAUCCCCUUAUUAAUUAGUAAAAGAGAGUCCUUUGUGCUUAUAAAUAGUAAGGGCGGGCAAAAUCGGAUACAGAUCAAAUUCGGAUUAAUCUGAUAAAUUUCAGAUUGUUUGAAUUGAUAAAAAAAGUCAUCCAAAUGUAAUCUAAACUUUUGUAUGUGUAUAUAUACAUACUUGUUAUAAAUUAAAGUUGCAAAAGUCUUUAAGCAAGGCCAUUCAUAGUAAGUUUCAAAUUUUUAGGUUAAUUAUGUAACUUCAUUAUGCGGGCCAUGCAUAAAGCCCGUAGGUCUAGGCGGGACUGACCUGAGUUUUUUUACCAAUCCUACACAUGACGGGAGGUGUUAGGAAUAACAUCCCGCAUCAAUUGAGUAUUGAACUUGGGUUCAGUAUAUAAGAUUUGGACAACUCUAAACUCUUGAGCUAACUUACUAGUUUUUGGAUUGAGUUAAGCCUGUACGCUGCAAUAUUACAAAUUAGUCUUUCGUUACCAUUACUUAUUUUUUGUAUUGUUUAAAAUUAACACAAUAAAUGACCUUUCAUCCCAAAAGAACUAAAGUAAUCAUUUCGCAUUGUUACGGCCGUAUCUACACUCUUUCCUCUAUAUGUGUCUUCAAUAAAUAUAUGCGUUAAUGAUCUCUCAAUAUUUCGCAUCCGAUAUUGCCCACAUCGCUUACCACAAUAUAUUCACUUUACAAACAGAGUUUGCAACCCAAUUACUAAUAGAGGAAUAUAAAUAUGUACUUGUCAAUGAAGCAAUCACCUUUAUUUAGAAAUUUUUUAUUAUUAAUCCUACGUACACACACUUCUUUUGUCUCCAAAAAUAUUCUUAAUUAAUCCACACAAUUUAAUAUAAUAAAUACCUAAGAUUACAUAAAUUUUCAUUACAAUAGAAUAUAUAAUUUAUAAUAUUAUUGAUACAAUGAUGCCAAUAAUAAAAAUCUUAUAAACCUUACAAAUUUUAGAAAAUGGCUUAGAGUGUGAUAGGUUGAAUGAACCACAACAAAUCAUUUUCAUUAUAGUACCUAUGAUCAAUAUUCUAAUACAAAUUUUACAUUUCCCUAUAUUUUCUGUUUGGUGAUUGUCAAAUUUUAAGUCUAAAAUUUUUCUAAUUUUACCGUGAGGUUUAUGUUUUAAAGAGAGAGAGAGAGAGAGAGAGAGACUCAAAGAGAAAUAAAAAAUGUAAUUCUAAAAUUUUACUUGUGCAUUGUGUGAUUUUUACCAUUUUUGCAGUUGGCCAUUUGUAUUGAAUAAAUAAAAUAAUAAAUAGACUUAUGGACCACUUUUUUCUGUUAUAAUAAACAUCAGAGGUCCUUUCUUGAUGUUUUCAUUCCAUAUGAAUAUAUUAUAAUUUUAUUGAUACAGUAAUGUCAAUAAUAAAAAUCCUAACAAACAUACAAAUUUUAGAAUAUGGAUUAAAGUGUUACAAGUUGAGGGGAUCACAAGUUAUUUAUACUGUAAUGUCUAUGAUCAGUAUUUCAAUGAUAUCAAGGUUUCCCCUGCAAUUUUUGUUUGGUCAUCGCCAAAUUUUGUAUCUAAGAUUUUUCUAAUUUUACACGACAUUUAUUUAAAAAAAGAAAAAGAGAAAGAGAGACGCGGAGAGAAUUAAAAAUGUAAGUCUAAAUUUUCGCUUGUGUGUUAUGUGAAUUUUACCAUUUUUAAAGUUGGCCAUUUGUAUUGAAUAAAAAAGUAAUUGUUGAAUCUGGUUCGUUAGCUAUUCUUUGAUCAAGAACCAGAUCCUCCCAAGAUUCUCAGCCAAGAUUAAUCAGGAUGCAAUAUCAGCUUAGAUCAACUUCAGAGAAUCAACUAAACCCAAUAAGACUCGUAACAAAAAGGAUUAAUUACAAACUUAGAAACCAAAACCAGCAAGAAAACCAAUCACACAAAACAGAGCACAAGCUUUAACGUGGUUCAGCCAUUAAUGGCUUACAUCCACGAGUGAAUUCCUCAGACAGCUUUAUUGAAUGAUUCAAGAAGUUUGUUACAGAGAUUCUAAGAACAAGAACAAGUAAGACACUUCCUCUUUGAUUUCCCUCAAUCUCUAUCACGCACGAUUACCUCCAAACCAGAAGGCUGCAGCUUAUAUACCAGUCUUGUAACAGCUCUAACAACCCAGAUUGCACAGCUCCUUGACACGUGUACUAUGGGUCUGUUAUUUAACGAACUCAGCUUCAGCUAACUAUCACGUGAAGAACCCGUGACUCCACUUAAGUUGAGCAUAUCCAAAACGCACUCAUGUGUUGCCGUUUCGGAACCAGGAUUGGUUGUGCUUCUCACGUGAUCACUUAAAGCUUCUGAACACUACUGGAAACGCUGUCGUUUGCUGGCAAAGGUGUUUGAAUUCACCUUUCAGCCAACAGUAAUGAAUAGACUUAUGGACAACUUUUUUCUAUUAUAAUAAAACAUUUUCUUCCCCUGAUGUUUUUCAUUCCACAAGAAUGUGUUUGUCAUAAGGGGUCCAAAUGGGGUAAAUAAAUUGGGAUCAAGGACAAGUCUGUUUAAGUGUUGAAAUUGCAAGAAGACCUCAUUAAAAAAUUGCCUAAAGCCCCAUUAUUGUUAUUCAACUAUUACUUUCAUGUCACAUUAGUUUCCACACAGACACUUAUACAAAUAAUUUAUAACUCCAUCUUUAUUUGGGAAAAAACUGUAGCAAUUGUUGUUAUAUCACAGGAAAAUUUUCCAAUUAAAAAUAUAAUAAGAAUUAAUUACAAAUUUUUUAAUAAAUAUCAAUAUAAUUUAAUGGUUUAAUUUUUUUGGUAGAUCAAUAUAAUUUAAAAAAUUAAUAGCAGUAUUACUUUUUAAAAUGCAAAUUAUUAUAAUUAUAUUAAUAAUAUAUUUGUAUUUAUUAUAAAAUUUAUUUUAAUAAAAUCUUAAUUUUUUUUAAAUAUUUGUAUAUAUUGUUAUAUUUUGUUAUAAUAUUAUAUUUAUAUUUAUUAAAAUAUAAGAGUCAAUAUUUUUAAAUUAAUUAAGAUAAAAAGUAUUAUAAUAAAAAAAAAUUCUUUUAUUAAAAAUAUAAUCAUUCUCCCAAACUUAUCCUUGUCCCUUUUUGAAAGGAAAAAAUAAAUUAGAAAAGUCUAUGGUCAUGAUAACAUCUAGCCUUGUCCCGUGGGACAUGGCUACGGUGCAGAAGCUGCAAGUAACAGCUUCGAGCUUUCCCAUUUCCAUCACCUUGUAUUGGGACCUCUUUCUCUCUCCUCUAGCACCCGUGGAAGUUCCCCAUUGGCCGCUGUUACUUACAGAAGCCGUAACAUAGACUUCCCCCGUCCCGUGAUGUCCAUUGUCUGCCACUAUGAAUAAUGGCAAUGACAUUGCAAUUGAAACAUUGAAAAGGUAUUUUCGCAAUAUGACAAAGUUUUUGUUAGGAUAUGGGAGGAUGUCAAAAGUUCACACUACGUUCAUUAGCAUUAGAUCUAAUUUUAUUUCGUCAGUUCCUUAUAUAUUUAUUUCAUUUAUUUCAUGGGUCCCUCUAUGAUGCUGUAAUUAUUUUACAGCAUCAAUAGUGUAAGCAAUAUUAACCAUUAGAUUUUAUCAACAAUGUAUAUUAUAUUUAUUAAUAAAAAAAUAACAUAACCGGUUAACAGGGGUGAGCUGUUGGAUCGUGGAGUUGGUAGAAGUAUGCGAAAUUUCAAUGACGACCCCUACAGUUUUAAAAAUUCUCACAUGUUUCACUUGAAUAGCAUAUUCAGAAGAAUAACACAAAAUUUAAUAAAAUAUAUGAUUUCAAUGAAAUAUAUGAACAUGCAUAUGAAACCCACAUUCAUAGAAAUGUUUCAUUAGACUUUUAACGUUUAUCUUACCUAUGUAUCCUAAACCAUUCAUUAUCAACUUUUCGUAAUUUUAUUAAAUAGAAAUUUCAAGCAAAACAAGAAAGAGUGACAAUAUGUAAUUAAUUUGAAGAUUUAAUAUAAAACUCACAAUUGCUAAAAUAGUGCUUAAAUUAUAUCAUUAAUGUUAUAAGAUAAUUUGAUUAUCAUGUAACCAAACUAAUUUCAAAAUUUAUUUUGAAAGCAUGCAAAACUAAUUUCAAAAUCUAUUUUGAGAGCAUGCAAAUGGAUGUAGUCUCCACUAUGUGAUUUUUUUAUUCUAAUUUAUGGCCAUGGGAGAGAAUUGGAAGAUCCAUAUUUGUCCAAUAGUGAAAUAUAAAUAAUAGCCCGUCAAUUUCUCAUGUAGUAUAUUUCAUUGGCUUAUUAGCUUACAAAACUAUAUACAAGUGUUAAACAUUGGACUACUGCAUGAAAUGUCAUGUGAUAUAUUUCAUUUGACCUUAGAUUAAUUAAAUGCCUAUAAAUGGUUUACAACAUUAAUCUAAAAAUUAAUUUUCACUGAUAUUUAUAUGUGACAUAUCAAUUCAUAAUAUAUCAGGGUAAUUACGAUUUUAAUUUCCCUUCUAUUAAUAAAUAGGGGUAGAAAGAAGUACUCAAUAUGUGUGUGUGUGUGUGUGGGGGUAUCAAUUCAUGUCUUAAUGAAUACAAGAAAAAUCACAUCUACUAAUUUAACAUAUGCCUUUCUAUAAUAGUGUUUGUAAAAUAUAUUUUAUUUGCUAUACUUUGGAAGACGUGUAGUAUAUUAUUUUAUAAUUCGUUUUGUAAUUUACAGAAAACGUGUUUAACAUGUUUUAACUUUUAUUACUAUCAAAUAGAUUCUGUUUAAUACAUUUUAUAAUUUGAUUUAAGGUUUAGGCUCACCAAACAUACAUUACACCUAUACUAUUAAAAUGAAAAUGAAAAUCGGGGCUACAAAAUGAUACUGAACAUACCCUAAGUUACUUGGAGUGUUAGUUUAGAAAUAAGUAUCACUGUAGGCUUAAAUUUAUGGAACAACUUUUCAGGACUGUUGGUCUUCCUCCAUUAGCUUAAUUUAGGUCUGUAUUUUCAUUUUUUUUUAAAUGGCGCAAGAUGAUGAUGAUGAUGAAAUUGUGCUAUUUGUAAUGAUGCUCCUUCGUAUUCAAUAAGAAUCAUAUGCAUAUUCAAUAGUGAAAAUAUGAUAACUCUAUCGUAAUUUGAUCAUAUUACAAUACAAUUGAUUACUAAAAAAUGUCUUUAUAUUUUUUUAUUACAUUUUACAUUAAAGUUGUAGCACAUUAUAAAUGCAAAGCUUAAUGUUUAAUAACAUAACACUUCAACAAAAUCAACAUCUUAAGUAUGAUGUAUGAUAUAGAAUAUUGAAAUAGUUAUACCUAACACUCACAACAAUUUAUAAAAAUUUAUAGUGUUUUAUUUACAAUAUCUUUUCUAAUUAUAUAUGUAUUAAUAUCUAUCUUAAAGUCAAUUUUUGGAUUAGUAGAUUUUAAUAAAUCCAUUGGUAUAGAUUAAUAAUAACUUAAUAUUAAAAAAAUUAAUUAUACAUGUUAUUUUAUUAAUUACACUUAUUUUAAUAUUUUAUUUGUAUCAUAUGAUAUUUAUUAUUAUUUUUAUCCUAUUACUAUAUGUAUAUUUAUUUAGGUUGUGUAAAUCAAAACGUAUAAUAGUCAUUUAUGAAAAUUAAGGGGUCUGUAUUACCAUUUAUGAAACUAAGUGGAUCUAUAUGACUAUUUGAGCAAACCUUGGGAUGUGUGUGGCUUUUUCUCAAAUUAAUAUUAAUUUAAAAUUAAAAAAAUAUUUACCAACAACUUGUAGACUACGUGCUACAUUUUCAUUAAUGAUUUAAUUAUCCAUUAUAUUAAAUGGAUGAUUGAGAUUAAAAUACUUAAAACUAAUAGUCCACAUUAAUCCCAGUAUCAAUAUUGUAAAAAUACAUACAGUAUCAUAAAGAAAUCCUUAUUUCAUACAUAACUGUUUUUUUUCUUUGGUUUUUCUUUUUCCAAAACAUAAAUAGACCAAGCACAUCUCCAAAUCGGGUUGGAGCGGAGAUUCUAACCCUACGAUGGCCAUAUUAAAAUUUAAAUUUUUUUAAUUUAUUUUUUUCUUUUAUAGCUACAUCUCAAUAUUUGAAAAAAUGAUUAUACAGAUCUAUAUAUUUUUAAUAAGAGAUAUUAAGAUGCUCUUUUUUUACUAUAACACCUACUAGUUCUAUUAACUCAAAAAAUUACCAACAAAGUGUUGGCUCCACUGGCAAUGGAGUCCCCUUAAGUGGCUUGACUGGGUUUGCUCUCCAGUUCGAGUCGCAGGGAAGUCGCCUUUGUUGGGAGAACAUGUGUCUCCCGGUUUGAGCGGGGACUUCUAGUCUGGGUUGUGGUACGGGCUUAAAGGUGCUUCCCACAGUUGGGGCCCUCCCCAGGAUACCUCGUGGAUAAGACCAAAAAAAAAAACUCAAAAAAUUGACUUCAAUAUUAAUACAUAUAUUUUAAAAUUAUUUUAAUAUUUUUAAAAAAUAUGAAAAAAAAUUUAAUACUUUACAAACUUAUACUAUAUUAAACUAAAUUUUAUAAUAAAUAGAAACUUAAUAUGAAAAUAAACGUCUAAAAAUUUAAAUUAUUUUCAAUAGCAUAUAGAAUAAUUAUAAUAUUAUUAAUACCUAAGAUAUAUUAUAUUAAUUAUAAAUUCUAUUUAACACAAAUAUUUAACUAAAACUGUUAAUUGCAAUUUCUUUUGAAAACAAUAGAUCAAAUCAUUAAAGUGCAUGUGAUGAUGAUUUGCUGUUUAAUUAUUUCUUUAGAAUAUAUCCAAACGUAAGGUUGUGAACUAGUGCUUUCUUCAACUUAAUUGGGUCCAACAAUACACCGCAGCUUCCUCUUUUGGUCAUUCCAAGUUUAAUUCUUAUGAAAGAAGUUACUACUGAUUUAAGUGCAUGUGAAUGAAAAAAAACAAAUACAUAUAAUUAUUCUAUACAUGCGUCAACAAGGCAACAGUAACCAAAUAAAUGAUAUGAAAGGGGGUGCAUGAUUAAGUCCUUUUCUUAUUCAAUUCAUUGUUAUUAUCCUCAUCAACUCUUUUCUCACUUAUUUUUCAGCAGUUACUGUUCAUAGCAUUGUUAUUAUUCUCAUCACUCAUUAAAAUUAUUCUUAAAUAUUCAAGGCCGAAAAGAGAAGCUCAUCAACUGUCUGAUCCCGGAUAAUUAAAGAGGUGAACUUGUUCUAAAUCCUUUGAUAAUUUCUAUUAAUAGCAUAAUCUCCUUGAUCCAAGAAAAAACAUCUCCUGUUUGUCUUAAUCUUGUCAUUUAAUUUUCUUGAUUUAGGUUACUGUUCAUUGUUAACUUCUGUGUUCUUUAGCAUUUGUUAAUUUGCAUCCCUCCUCUAAAAGUCUCUAAAAAAGAAUGUUGCUUUUCAUUCAUACCCUUGAAACCUUUCAGUUAAUAGCCAAAACUCUAAUCUUUCUUUCUCUUCCUCUCAAAAAUGUGCCAAAAAAUGUGCCAAAAAAGUGAAUCCAAUUUUUUCAACAGCAAAUAUAUAUGUACACACACACACAUAUUGUUAAAAAGUGCAGAAAAGCCACUCAAAAACGUGGAGAAAAAUCACUCAAAUUUAUACAAGCGUCAACAGGGAAACAGUAACCAAAUACGUGAUACAAAAAGGGGUGAAUGAUUCUGUCUUUUCCUUUUGCAAGUCGCUGUUAUUACUCUCAUCAACUCCUUUCUCACGCAUUUCUCAGCAGUUACCAGUAAUAUUUAAAAUCGCUGUGUAGGUAUGCAAAAGUUCGGUAAGUGCACUAAUAAUUAUUUGCCAGAAAAAAAGUAGUUGCGUCAAUGAUAUAUUAAUCUUUAGUUGAAUUGACAUCCAGGAACCCAAUUGAGUUGCUUAAUGAUUAAUUAAUUAAUCAAUUUAUAAUAUAUUAAUCUUUUUAGUUGAAUACUUAAAAUCUUAGACCCUAAACAAUAAAUUAUUUGAGCCAUAUAAAAGAGAAAUUAUCAUUCAAUUUUUUUUUAUUUGUAGCUUAUAAAAGAGAAAUUAUCAGUCAUUUACUCAAAGUUUAUUCAAUUAUUAAAAUUAUUAUAAAAAUUUAAAUUUAUUUAAUUUUACACCCAAUGUAUGUAAUUUGUAUUAAAUAUCCGUUAAAAACAUAAAGUUAUUCUUUCAAAGUCACAAAAUAGGAGCGAACACAAAAUUGUAGUGGUGAUUAUGUUUUGGGAGUAACUUUAUCUUUUUAGUAAACAGUUGAUACACAUUGUAAUAAUGGGUAUAAAAUUAAAUAUAUUUAAAUUUUUAUAACUUUUUGGAAAAUAAGAUAAUUCUUAGGUGGAUAAUUAAAAAUUUUUCUUUUCAAAAUAUUUUGAAAACAAUACCAAAUGUACCAUAUCAUUGUUUAUUUACACUAUAUAUAUAUAUAUAUUAACUCAUUCUUAUCCACAAUCUGUCAAUGAAAUAAUUAUUGACACUCAUAUUUGAAAACUUUCGAAAAGAUAAAAUCCAAUAUGAAAGGUGAAACGUUAUAAUCAUAGUAACUAGAAAAUGGAUUGAUUUACAAAUAUCAAUUUAAACAAUUUUCAAGUUGAUCGACAAUUUAAGUAGAUUGACAAAGAUUGAAGUAAUUACUGUUGGUGAUUGAUUGACUUUGUCCUUAUCCUCGCCGCCUUCUUAUCAAAAGUCGAGUGUCAAUUGGGCCAGGGCUUCUGAUUGCAACUAAUAGACUUCAUAUACGCAUAAUGGUCCCUACGUACAUACGUACCAAUAUUUGAUUGAAAAAGGGAUGCGUGCUUAAUGCUCAAGUCGUCUUCUUUUGGAAAUUCAUUGUUAUUACUCUCAUCAACUCGUUACUCGCAUUCCUCUUUAGUCAACAGAGAUCCUUUUGCUCAAUAAAAUUUUUCUUCUAUAUUCAAGGUGAAUACAGCAGCUCAUCAACUCUGAUCCCAGACAGGUAAAGAGGUGCACUUGUUCUAAGACCUUUAAUAUUCUUUUAGUAGCAGAAUCUCUGAUACUUGAUCUUCAUAGCGGUUCUUUCUUAAUUUGCAUCAACUUUCCUAGGAAAAAAUUCUCUGGUUUUUCUUAAGUCAUAUAAUUUAUUUUUCUUAAGUCAUAUCAUUUAUUUUUAGCAGCAGAAUACUUGAUCUUGAUAACGGUUCUUUCUUAAUUUCCAUCAACUUUCCUUGAAGGAUACCUUUUUGUUAAUAGCGAAACCUCUGAUCCUUAAGAUGGAAAAAGAAAUUCUCUAUUUAGAUAUCAGUUGGUUCAAGAUCAAUAUCGCGAUGUUGUUUGCAGUCUUUUCUUUCUCUGUCUUUCCCUUUAGUUCAUUUUAAUUUAUUUGUAUUCCUUUCUUUGACAUAUUAUUAGAUUUGUUAAGUAGCAGGCAAUGGCAGAAGUGGGUCUGGCUGCUUUUUCCAGCGUUGUAUCAGAAGGUGCAAAGUCACUGUUCAAACCGAUUAUACGGCAGAUAUCUUAUGUGUUCAAGUACCAGAGCUACAUAGAUGGCCUAAAAGAUCAAGUGAAGCAGCUGGGAUAUAGAAGAGAAACGGUGCAACAACCUGUUAAUCAUGCUAGACUACAAGGGGAUGAGAUUUAUGAGGGUGUCACAGACUGGCUAAAUCAAGUUGAUGAAUUCAGUGAAGGGGUUGCAAAAUCCAUCAUUGAUGAUGAAGAUAGAGCUAAGAAGUCCUGCUUCAGAGGAUUGUGCCCAAACUUGAUUUCUCGUUACAAGCUUAGUAAACAAGCAGCAAAGGCCGCAGAAGCUGCCGCUAGUCUCGUGGGAAAAGGAAACUUCUCUAAUGUUUCCUACCGUCCUGCUCCAGAGAGUACAGAACAAAUGGAAGUGAAAGAUUACGAGGCCUUUGAUUCAAGAAUGAAAGUAUUUCAAGAUGUUGUGGAGGCGUUGAAGGAUGAUAAGCUCAACAUAAUUGGGGUCUACGGCAUGGGCGGCGUGGGUAAAACCACGCUAGUCAAGCAAGUUGCAAGGCAAGUGAUGGAAGAAAAGUUGUUCGAUAAGGUCGUUAUGGCUGAGGUAACACAGACCCCAGAUCAUCAGGAAAUUCAAAAGAAACUUGCUUCUGAUUUAGGCAUAAAGUUUGAGUUGAAUGAGAGUAUAUUCGACCGAGCGGAUCGAUUGCGUGAAAGAUUGAAGAAAGAGAAGCGGGUCCUCAUUAUAUUGGAUAAUAUUUGGAAAAAACUCGAGUUCGAAAAAGUUGGAAUUCCUUCCAGGGAUGUUGAUGAUAAAGAUAAAAAGGAUGAUCAGAGACGAUGCACAAUAACAUUGACGUCUAGAAGUCGAGAUUUAUUGUGCAUUGAUAUGAAUUCUCAGAAAAAUUUCUCGAUCGAUGCUUUGCCACGAAAAGAAGCAUUGCAGUUAUUUGAGGAGAUAGUGGGUGAUUCAACUAAAAUAUCUGCUUUUCAAAGUAUAGCAAAUGAGAUCGUUGAAAGAUGCGGAGGUUUGCCUGUUGCACUGAGUACAGUUGCAAAUGCUCUGAAAACUAAGGAGCGUGACUUUUGGAAAGAUGCAUUGAAUCAGCUAAGAAGAUCGGAUGCAAGAGAAAUUCAUGGCAUGCAAGCAAAUGUGUACACCUCCAUAAAAUUGAGUUAUGACUUCUUGGAAAGUGAGGAGGCAAAAUCUCUGUUCCGUCUUUGUGGUCUAUACAGUGAAGGUAAUGUCAUACAAGUUUCUGACUUAUUGAGAUAUGGUGUGGGUUGGGAUUUGUUUGAAAAUGUUUACACAUUGGAAGAAGCAAGGAGUAGGGUGCAUCGGUUGAUCGACAAUCUCAAAUCUUCAUGCUUAUUGUUGGACGGAGAUGCUGAAGAUGAAGUUAAAAUGCAUGACGUCAUUCAUGUUGUUGCCGUAUCAAUUGCCGCAGAGAAGCGCAUGUUUAAUAUUCCAAAUGUUGCCGACUUGGAGAAAAAGAUGGAAGAGACAAUACGGAAAGAUCCAAUUGCCAUUUCUUUACCUUAUAGAGGUGAUCAAGUGCUUCCCCAAAGAAUGCGAUGUCCCCGUCUUGGGCUAUUUUUGUUGCAUAGGAAGGGUCUUUGCUCUAUGCAAGUUUCAGACCACAUUUUUGAAGGGACGGAAGGACUCAAAGUUUUGGAUCUUGCCAGAAUUCACUUCUCUUCAUUACCUUCAUCACUUGGGUGCCUCAUUAACCUUCAAACAUUGUGUUUAGACUAUUGCCGACUAAAAGAUAUAGCAAUAGUUGGACAGCUAAAGAAAUUAGAGAUUCUCAGCCUUGUAUAUUCCGAUAUCAAGCAGUUACCACUCGAAAUUGGACGAUUGACGCGGUUACAGUUGCUAGAUUUGAGCAAUUGUCGGAGCCUUGAGUUGAUACCACCAAAUGUCAUAUCAAAAUUAUCUCGAUUAGAAGAACUGUUUAUGCAUAACAGCUUUUCACAGUGGGAUAAGGUUGAAGGAGGAAGUAAUGCCAGUCUUGUCGAGUUGAAAGCGUUGACAAAGCUAACUACUUUGGAGAUAGAAGUUCCGGAUGCCGAAAUUCUGCCGCCGGAUUUUGUCUCCGUGGAAUUGGAAAGAUAUAAGAUAUUUAUAGGAAAAAUGUCUGUCCGACGGCUCGUCGAAUCUAAAACAUCAACAUUGAUGGUGCUCAAGGGGCCAGAAAGAGUUAGCCUUCUUUUGGGGAAUGAUGGGACGAAAAUGUUGCUGAAGAGAACUGAAGAUCUCCGUCUAUACUCACAGAAGGGUGUUCAGAAUAUUGUUCAUGAAUUAGACAAUGGGGAAGGUUUUCCACGAUUGCAGCAUCUUCUAGUAACAGACUGUUCUGAGAUUUUACAUAUUGUCGGUUCAGUUGGACGGGUUCGUUGCAAAGUCUUUCCCUUGCUGGAGUCAUUGGAUCUUAUUGAUUUAACUAAUUUGGAGACGAUAUGCUGCAGCCAACUCAGAGAAGAUCAAUCUUUCAGCAACUUAAGGAUUAUAAACGUAGAUUCCUGUCCAAAAUUGAAGUAUCUCUUCUCAUUCUCUAUGGCUAAAAACCUAUUGGGGCUUCAAAAAGUAAAAGUGAGAAAUUGCGAUGAAUUGGAAAUGAUGAUUGGUAAGUGUUUAAAUUAAUUAUUGGUAGGAUUAUUGACAUUGACUCAUUCUUUUUUUCUUUUUCUUUUUUUUUUGGGUGAAAAAACAACGGAUGUUUAUUAUAUAUUGUUUUUGUUCAUUUAUAGGGCCCGACAUGGAGAAACCAACAACUACUGAGGGACUCACAGAAAUCAUUGCAGAGGAUGAUCCUAUUCACAAGGUGAUAAUUUUCUGUUUAAUAAUUAAUUAAUUAAUAUUUUAUCGCGAUUGAUCUUCAAUCAUCAAAAGAAUAUUAUAUUAGAAGUUGUAGUUGAAGGAACAAAAAUGUACGGUUUUGCUGUGCAGGUUACUUUUCUACGCUUAGAGGAACUGAAACUUGACGGUUUAAAAAACAUCAAAAAAUUAUGGCCCGAUCAAUUUCAGGGAAUGUAUUGUUGUCAAAAUUUAACAAAAGUGACCGUGGAAAGGUGUUAUCGUCUGAAGUAUAUGUUUUCAUAUUCUAUGGUUAAUAGUCUUUUGCAACUCCAACAUCUUGAGAUUAUUAAUUGUUGGUCAAUGGAAGGGGUAGUCAACAACACCGCGGGGGGGUUAGGAGGAAGAGAUGAAUUAAAGGUUUUUCCUAAACUACACUCCCUGCGGCUCCAUUGCCUUCCAAAACUAUGUAGCUUCACCUCACCAGAAGACGUCAUUCACACUGAAAUGCAACCUCAAUCUUUCUUUAAUGAAAAGGUUUUUUUUUUUUUUUUUAAAUUAAUUUUAUUUUCAAUAGUUAAUUUCUUCUUUCGUUGAGUCUUCAAAUUUAAUUAAUAUCCAUCUCUAAUUGCAUUGAAUUUUUAACUUCAGGUACGACUCCCAAGUCUGGAGGUAUUACAUAUUAGUGAGGCGGAUAAGUUGAGAAAAAUAUGGCACCACCAGCUUGCUUCGAAGUCUUUUAGCAAAUUGAAAAAAUUGGAGAUAUCUUGGUGUAAUAAUCUAUUGAAUAUUUUUUCUCCAUUGGUAAGAUUGCUAUAUUCAUUUUGAAUUUUUAUUUCAAAUAACAUUCAACAAUUAUUUUAAUCAUUUUUGUGUUUACAAAUAAUUUUCAUUCACAAAUUAUUUAUUGCAAGUAUUGUACUUCAAACUUCUGGAGGGAAAAAAAGUAGUGUACUUCAAAUCACCAUUCUGAACUCUGCAUUUUCAAUCUAAUUUAUAGGUUCACCUGCAUUAAAGUCAACAAUAUAAUUGUUUUAAACACGAUUUAACAGCAUAAUAUAAUUCAAUUUAAUUUUUUUUUCUUAAAUCGUAAUAAAUAAGAUUUUCAGAAAUUAAAAGAUACUUAGUUACUCAGCUUUUAAGUUCACAAAUUCAUAUAUAUUUCUCUUGUCCUUGGGUCUUUAGAUUUCGAUUUUAAAAAAAAUAAAGAAAAGUGUUCAAAUGUAGUUAGUAUCUCUAGUUUAGUUAUGAAUUGAUUACGCCAUUGAUUAAGCACAAAUUCAUGAUGGUCAUUUUGAAUCGACCGUUGAUUAAAAAAAUUCCUCAAAUAUUCACUCUAUAACAAUCCCAUGUUGAUGGCGUUGGGAAGUGUUUUCCAGAAAUGUUUUCCAUUUUUAAAAGCAUGAAUAUCGGGAAAAAAAAAAAAAAAGAGAAAUACAACGUUUUAGUUUAGUUAUUUUAAAAAUAGGCAUGUUUGAAAAUUAAAAAUUUUUAAAAACUAGCAUCAAGAUGAAAAAUGAAUUUAUAAUAUUUAAAAAUUACCUGAAAUUCUUUCUCCGUUCCUAAUACUAAAUAGUGUAAAUGCAUUUUCAUUAUCUUUGUUUUUCUGGACUUCUAUUUAUUUAUUUAUUUUUGUUUUAAUUUUUUCCUUUUUUUCUUUAACAAAAAAUAUCUAGUAGACAUUCAUGAUUUGUUAUUUUUCAUAAAACAAUUGUAUGAUUUUGACAUACUUUGAAUCUAGUUGAAUGCUACUCUUUAUUUUAAGGUUGGAAUUCCUAGUAGCCUGGUGAAUCUUGAUGUAUCAUACUGUGAAAAAAUAGAAGAAAUCAUAGGACAUGUUGGAGAAGAAGCGAAGGAGAAUCGUAUUGCUUUCAACGAAUUAAAACUUUUGGUACUUGAUCAUUUACCAAGGCUUACCAGCUUUUGUUUGGAGGAUUACACUCUUGAAUUCCCAUCAUUGGAACGAGUUUCUAUGACAUGUUACCCGAACAUGAAGACUUUUUCUCAGGGAAUCGUAUCCACACCAAAGCUGCACGAAGUGCAGGUGAGUAAAAAGGAAGUAUUAAGUUUUAUAUGAAACUGUGAUGUUGUUUGGUUACUAAGAAAAUAGGAAGAAAGAAAACUUCUGUAAGCUGAGAAUUCUGUUAUUAUUGAUCUAAUGAAUCUGGAAAUUACAAGCCUUUUUAUAUGUGCAUAGAAGAUUCUACACACAUUGCACACACGCACAGUUUACUACUAACAACCUCUAUAACAACCUUUAGCUGACUCAGCUGCCAUGUCAGCAUACUCAUUAACUAACUAAUUCUAUUCUUAACAGGAAGAGGGUGAAUUGCGCCGUUGGGAAGGCAACCUUAAUUCCACUAUACAAAAGUGUUACGAAGAAAUGGUAUGUGUUAAAUCGAUUCGUCGAAAUUACUUAUGCAUCUCCCUUGCACUUGCACAUUUGAACAUAUAAGUUUAAUGUAUAUAUAUAUCUAAUGCCUUUCAAGAAAAAAAUUUAUAUAUAUCCAGUGCAAUUGUUUUGGUUUGUGCAGAUUGGAUUUCGUGACAUACAGGAUUUGCAACUCUCACAUUUUCCACGUUUGAAAGAAAUAUGGCAUGGCCAAGCACUGCCUGUCAGCUUCUUCAACAAUUUAGUACGACUGGUGGUGGAUGACUGCACGAAUAUGUCGAGUGCUAUUCCUGCCAAUCUGCUACGGUGCUUGAACAAUUUGGAAUACCUGGCAGUGACGAAUUGUGAUUCACUAGAAGAGGUGCUUCAUUUGGAAGAGCUAAAUGCUGACAAAGAACAUAUAGGUCCCCUGUUUCCUAGGCUUUACAGUCUAAGGCUCACUGAUCUUCCAAAACUCAAAAGAUUCUGCAACUUCAUUGGGAAUAUAAUUGAAAUGCCUGAGUUGGAGAAUCUAACUAUUGAGAAUUGCCCUGAUAUGGAAACAUUCAUAUCCAACUCUGUAGUGCACGUGACAAUAGAUAACAAGGAACCUCAAAAAUUAACAUCAGAAGAGAACUUCUUGCUGGCUCAUCAAGUACAACCUCUCUUCGAUGAAAAGGUGAUUAUUAUUAUUAUUAUUAUUAUUAUUCCCUUCACUUUCGUUCGCAUAGAUGUAAUUUCAUAAGAAUCAAGUCAAAUUUAAUGACUCAUCUUUUUGCAUGUCAUCUUAAUUUAUAUAUGAUUUAACAAUAUAACCGCAGUUAUUAACUAUCUUUAUAGUAUGAAUUAUAAAAAUGUCUGGAAUUAAUUGGAUUCCUGGCAACACGAGGUGCUGAACUAUAUUAAUUAUGUGUGUUAAUUCAUAUUGGAUUUAGGAUCAGAUUUCAUUUAUGUGUUUCAAAGGGUAAUCGAUUUGAUACUUAUAUUUGGGAUCCUACUGCAAAGCAUACUGAUUUGGAAAUAAAAUAUAAAAUGCCGUGAUUAAUCUUGUCCAUAAAAUAUGCAGGGGAAGACUGCAGAGAUUGGAUACAUAUUUUCAUUUCCAACUUAAUUUUGUUGAUUUUCAGGUUGCAUUCCCUCAAUUGAGAUGGUUAAACCUGUCUAGAUUACACAAAGUGCAGCAUCUCUGGAAGGAAAAUGACGAAUCCAACAAAGCGUUUGCAAACUUGGGAAGUCUAGAAAUAUCGGAAUGUAGUAAGUUGCAAAAAUUAGUACCACCUUCGUGGCAUUUGGAAAAUCUUGCGACUCUGGAAGUAUCGAAGUGUCACGGGUUGAUAAAUUUAUUGACGCUCUCAGCAUCUGAAAGUCUAGUGAAUCUUGAAAGAAUGAAGGUAGCUGAUUGCAAAAUGAUAGAAGAAAUCAUACAAUUGCAGGUUGGAGAAGAAGUGAAAGGCUCCAUUGUCUUCGAGAAAAUGAACUACUUGACACUUGAUUGUUUGCCAAGCCUAACAAGCUUUUGUUCGAGUAAUUACACUCUUCAAUUCCCAUUCUUGCAAAAAGUAGUUGUGAGACAGUGCCCAAAGAAGAAGAUUUUCUCUCAAGGAGUCGUAGACACACCAAAUCUAAACAAAGUGAAACUCACCGAAGAAAAAGAUGAUGAUGAUGAUGAAGAAGAUGAUGAUGAUGAAGGAUGUUGGGAAGGCAACCUCAAUGACACCAUAAAAAAAUUGUUCAAUGAAAUGGUGAGUAUCAAUUAAGUUUUGGUGCUAUUUAGCAAAUUAUUUUAUAGAAACUAGUGUGACAUAAUAUGAUUGGUUGACUGAAAAUAUAUAAUAAUAAUAGUAAAUAAAUAAAUUAUGAGGAGCAUGUAAUGUUUUUGUUUAACCAAUCAUAUUAUGUCGCAUUAGUUUAUACAAUAUUAUUUGUGCACAAGAGGUGGUGGUCAUAUCAUUACUCUAGUUUUAUUAUUCUUAUGGUGGCAAUGUAUGCUUGCUUACACGAGUAAUUACAAAAUCUGCAGAAUUCUAAAGAAGAGAUUGAGCCAAUCCUUCAGGUACAGUGAAGAAGCUAUCCCGAACCAGGCCAAUCUCUUAUACAUGAUUUAGCUUGCUCGUUCUUCUGUACUUGAAUAAUUUGGCUCUACAUAUUUACAAUUUUUUGCUCAUGCUACAGACUUGCAAGACACUUUGGAUUUUGUUUGAUGCAUUCUCCGUUUAAGAAAGGACUUGAAUUGAUGUUUCAUGUUUCAUGCAAUAUUCGAUUAGAUUCUGUCUAAAUUUCUGUAUUAUUCGUUCAAUUGGUCUUUUAAGCAUUUGAUUUCUAACCUCUCCUAAUAGAAUAUCAUUAGCCGAUGAAAACAGCAUAACAUUUGUGGUUGUGGCAUUAUCAGAAUAAGAAUAUUUUUUAGUAUAGUAAAAUUAUCUCGACCACUGUUAAAAAGAAUUAAACAGUCAAACUGACCUUCUCACACCAGCACGCUUUAAAUUAAAAGAAUUUCAUGAAGUCAAGACCAUGUUAUAGAUCUUGUGGAAAUAAGUGAACCCGUAAUUUUUUUCACACCAUCAUAAGAAAAAUCAUUUUUUUUAAGUAUUUUUGUUAGCUGUUGAGUUUUAAUAGUAGUAGCUAUUAAACAAUAACAAUUAGUGUAUAUUAAAAAGUUGGAAACUGGUUGAUACCACUCGGGAAUCGAGCAGUUCACUUGUUUGCGAGUAGAAACCAACUUUACUACUAAUUACACUCAUACCAAAAAUAGUGACGAAAGAAUCAGGGAAUUUCCUAUUCACUAUUCUUCAUUUUUUAAUGCAAAAUUCCCAUUCGAAAACACCAAUGACUUUCAUUCAAAGUAAAUGAGAAAUUACAAUGAAAAUAGAAUCAAAAUACAUAUAUGUAUACCUAAAACAAAUGAUUUUUUUAAUUAAAAAAAAAAUACAGUUGAGGUGAAAUGAAACCAGAGUCAUGAUAUCUCUGGUUCCAACUUUGGGACAACAGCAGACUUGAGUUCUAUAUGAGAAACACGUACAGCACCAAUCAGCCGCUCCAGUAAUUCAUCUGUAGUAUUUGCCUGCAUACAGAAGAGCAAGAUAAAGAAGACAAACACAGAAGCAUUAUAUCAUUCUGAGAACAUUCAAGUAUGCAAAAAUGCAAGUUGCAGUGCAAUAUCUCAAAAUCAUGUCUUUUCCCUUGUGUCCAUUUAGCAGUGGGGGAAAAAAACAAUCAUACAUACCUGUACAAGGAAAGCCAUGUCAACCACCAAUGUCGUAAUUACACCAAUUACAAGGCCCAAAACUCCAUUAGCAACAGUAGAAGAAUCGAUGUCAACAUCAAUCUACAGAAAGAUGAACAAUGUUAAACCAUGUUAAAGGUAUUGGACGCUAUUUGAAAGGGGAACAUCUCAUGUACUAUAGAAAUUCCAAGAGCAUUUACUUCUAAGUACUUGGGACCGCGAAUAUAGUUACAAUCAACUGCCUUCCCCAAUAAACAAGGGGUGCUUCCAACACUCUGGCGCACUAUCCAUGACCCCUGCAUGAUUCAGUGCUUAAAAUCAAGAACAAGUGCAAAACAAAUUCAAGAGGGUAAAAAGGACAUAGUUUGAAUCUGAAUCCAAAUCCAUUAAUCCAGAGUUCAUAGCUUGGAUGAAGACUGAUCAACUUCUGUUGAGUUGGAUGAUGUCGUCGAUACAGCAAAAUCUACUUGCUACUGUGAUUGACUCCACAACUUCAAAACAGCUUUGGGAGACUCUUACUAGUAUGUUUAUUUCUUAAUCACAAGCUAGAAUCCAAACACUUAGAAUGCAGAUUCAAACUAUUAAGAAAAGUGCAAUGCAUAUGUCUGAUUACUUUGCAAAAGUAAAACGUAUAGCUGAUACUUUAGCUCUAGCUGGAAAACCUGUUGAGUUAAGUGACCUUGUGAUGCAUGUAUUAACCGGUCUUGAUUCAUCAGAUUAUGAAUCUUUAGUCACAGCUAUUUUAGCUCGAGGUGAGAAGAUAACAUUAGAUGAACUAUAUCCUUUGCUGUUGAAUCAUGAAAAUAGAGUUGAGCAAAAGAAAGGAAAAAUUGCUGGUGAUGUGAUGCACAAUAUAACAGCAAAUAUUGCUCAGAAGAACUCAUGCUGGAAAGAAUAAUGGCAAUUUUCAAAAAAAUUAUGGAAAUAAUUCUGGAGGUGGAAAUAAUUCUAGGUAUGGAGGUUUUAAUGGAUAUGGAUAGGGUCAGUUUAAUAAUGGUGGUAAUUCCUUUGAAAUUGUUUGUCAAAUCUGCUUAAUACCUGGUCAUGCAGCCAAUAGAUGCAAAAAUAGGUACAAUUCAUCUUUUGUUCCACAAAGAAACUAUGGCAGAGGUAAUAUGAAUGGUGUCAGAGGUUUUAAUCAAGGGCAAUAUGGUAGAGGAAGAGCUUUUAAUGGUAAUGGUGGCAGAGGUUUUGGAGGUUUUGGUUUAAAUGCCGGUUUUGGCUAUGCACCCAGGGGUUUUGGCUAUCAAGGAAAUAUAGUGUAUCCAGAUAGGAAUCCUUCUGCUUAUUACUCAUUCACCCUUGGACCAUCUACUUUUGUUUCUGGUCAAGGAAAUAAUAAUCCUGGACAGUCAAGUGCUUCAUCUUCCUCAGCUAUGCCUUCUUCACUUCCACCAGAACACAUUGAAGAUCCUUCAUGGUAUAUUGAUAGUGGAGCAACAAAUCACAUUACAAAUUAUCUAGGUAAACUUCUGGAUUCACAAGUUUAUACUAGUACUGAAAAAUUGUUUGUUGGAGAUGGAAAUGCAUGAGCUAUUACACAUGCAGGAUCAGUUGUGCUAAAUACUUCAACUUCUAAACCUUUAAGAACCAUCUUCUGCAUGUCCCUUUUAUUACUAAGAAUUUGCUUAGCAUUUCAAAAUUAUUGGCUGACAAUCCAGUUAUUGUUGAAUUUCUUGGUGAUUUGUGUUUUAUAAAGGCUAGGAACACAGGGAAAAUUUUACUUGAAGGUGUUGCUAAAGGUGACUUGUAUAGAGUCUCUUCACAUGUUGCUGCUCAUUCAGUCUUUCUCAUUUCAGUUGGUCAAAAUAAAACUCACUCUCUUUGCUUGUUCUCCUGUUUUCAAUUCUGAUCAGCUCACUGCUGUUAGUUCUUAUGAAUUGAAUAAAAAGUCAUGUCUGUCAGUUGUUACAAAGAGUUCUAUUGAUGUAAAUCUUCUUCAUAGAAGAUUAAGACACCCAGCAUCUUAUACUCUCAAAACUAUACUCAAAACUUGUAACAACUCUACUGCUUAUAAUAAAAUUGAAAGCUUGAAAUUUUGUUCAGCAUGUCAAUAUGGGAAAAAUCAUAUGCUGCAUUUUGAUUCAGUUGAAACAAAAACUUCAGCACCCUUACAAGUGAUAUAUGCAGAUCUUUGGGGUCCUUCUCAUGUCUAUUCUACCCAAGGAUAUAAUUACUACUUAUCAAUCUUAGAUGAUUAUAGUAGAUUUACCUGGAUAUUUCCAUUGUCAGCCAAAUCUGAUGCUCUUGAAGUGUUUACCAAUUUCAAAAUUUUUAUUGAAAAGCAUCUUCAACUUCAAAUCAAAACUGUCCAAACUGACUGGGGAGGAGAGUUCAGAACACUUUCCUCAUUACUCACUGCUUCUGGUAUCCAUUUUAGACACCCUUGCCCACAUAUUCAUCAUCAAAAUGGAAGAAUUGAGAGGAAACAUAGACACAUAGUUGAUGUAGGUCUGACCUUAUUAGCUCAAGCACAUUCACCACUCAAAUUUUGGUGGAAUGCAUUCCACACAGCUGUCUAUUUGAUAAACAGACUUCCAACUCCAGUUCUAAACAACAUUUCUCCUUUCCAAAAGUUAUUUCAUCAUCAACUAGAUUAUUCAACACUUAAAACCUUCGGUUGUGCUUGUUAUCCAACACUCAGACCAUACAAUAGACAUAAGUUUGAUUUCAGAACUGCCAGAUGUAUAUUCAUUGGCUACAAUUCACAACACAAGGGAUAUCAGUGUCUUCACUCUUCUAAGAGGGUUUACAUUUCAAAUCAUGUCACCUUUGAUGAAAAUUCUUUUCCUUGUGAGUCUGGAGCAGAUUUUUCUUCACUCUCUUCAAGUUGUCAGUCAACAAAAAACUAUAAGUCUUCUUUCAAUUCCUCUGUUCCUUCUGUUACUCAGUUACAAGCACCUUUAGCAGCAUCAUCAGAACACCAUCAAAAUGUUCAUCAUUUAGAUGCUCCUACUCCCUCACCAAAUUCUACUCCACUUUAUUUUUCUGAUAAUUCCAACUCAGCUUCUUCUUCUUCACCACCACAUAAUUCACCUCCACAUACAUUGCCACAACCUGCAUCAACUGGUCAUCCAAUGAUAACCAGGUCAAAAGCAGGUAUUUUCAAGCCAAAAAUUUAUUUGUCAGCUUUAUUAGCCCAAAAAUCAGAACCAACUUCUGUUUCCCAAGCACUUUCUGAUCCUAUGUGGUAUAAGGCUAUGCAAGAAGAGUAUCUAGCACUUAAAACUAAUCACACCUGGGAUUUAGUUUUACCUGCUACUCCAGUGAAGAUAGUUGGCAGCAAAUGGGUGUUUCGAAUAAAGUAUAACUCAGAUGGUUCAGUUUCAAGAUAUAAAGUCAGGCUUGUUGCAAAGGGGUUUCAUCAGACACAUGGGAUUGACCAUACAUAAACUUUUAGUCCAGUGGUUAAAGCUUCAACUGUUAGAGUUAUUCUUAGCUUAGCAGUAUUGAAUCAAUGGGUGAUUAGGCAAGUAGAUGUUAAUAAUGCCUUUCUAAAUGGCAUUUUAAUUGAAGAGGUGUACAUGGCUCAACCUGAAGGUUUUGUUGACUCAACUAAACCUAAUCAUAUCUGCAAGCUGAAUAAAGCUUUGUAUGGCUUAAAACAGGCACCCAGAGCCUGGUUUGAUAGAUUCAAGGAUGCAAUGAUCUCUAAACAGCAUUUCCAACAUUCAAGGUCUGAUAACUCUCUGUUUCAUGCCUGGAACAGUGGUCAUCUAACUCUUGUUUUGGUCUAUGUUGAUGAUAUUAUCAUCACUAGUUCCAGUCCAACACUAAUUCAGCAAGUUAUUCAGAGUAUGAAUCAAGCCUUUGCUUUAAAAGACAUGGGGGAACUUAGCUAUUUUCUGGGGAUUGAAGUCAGCAAGUCUUCAUAAGGGGUUUCCUUGACACAAGCAAAGUAUAUUACUGACAUUCUAGAUAAACAUGGCAUGACAGAUUGCAGUCGUGUGCCUACUCCAAUGUCUACUGGUUAUUAUCUCACAAAAGAAUCAGGAGAGCUAAUUGAUAAUGUUUCUCAAUAUAGGAGUGUUAUAGGAGCUCUUCAAUAUGUUACUCUUACCAGACCUGACAUUGCUUUCUCUGUAAACAAGCUAAGUCAAUUCCUUUCAAGUCCUAGAACACAACAUUGGGAAGCAUGCAAAAGGUUAUUGAGGUACUUAAAAGGCACUAUACAUCUUGGGCUGCAAUUUAAUAACAAAGGAGCUUUGCAACUACAUUGUUUUUCAGAUUCUGACUAGGCUUGUGAUCGUGAUGAUAAGAAGUCACUGGUUGGCUUUGCUGUUUACCUAGGCCUUAAUCUAGUCUCAUGGUCAUCAAAGAAACAAGCUGUUGUUUCCAGGUCCAACACAGAGGCUGAGUAUAGAUCUCUUGCUCAUGCUGCUUCAGAGGUUCCCUGGAUACAAUCUUUACUUGGUGAACUUAACAUCAAAUUGAGCUCUACUCCUAUGAUGUGGUGUGAUAAUCAAGAAGCAAUUGCUUUAGCUUACAAUCCAGUCUAUCAUGCUAAAACUAAGCAUGUCGAAUUGGAUAUACAUUUUAUCCGAGAUAAAGUUACUGCUAAAGAGAUUGAAGUAUGUUUUGUGCCCAGUCAAGAUCAAACAGCAGAUGUGUUGACUAAGGCUUACUUUCAAACAGUUUAGUUACUUAAGAAGCAAGCUGAAUGUUCAUCCUAAACAUUUCAGCUUGAGGGGGGAUGUAGUGAAUUGAAUGAAGUUGGAGCAAAGCAUGAUGUUGCUGUGUAGCUGACUGUAGCAGAUCAACUCACUAGGCUGACCUGGCAAAGUUAGUUAGCUGGUUGAGCUGAUGUGUCAAAUUAGUUAUGCAGCAAAUGGUUAUGUGAUGUAAAAAACUUGUGUGUGUGUUGAGCAAAUUGUAGCUUAAUAUAAAUAUCAGUCUGUAUUCAUUUAGUUGUAAUGCUAGAGUAAUAAAGGUUCUACAAACUUCUUUACAGCGCUUUCUUUUAUUUUCUUUCAUUUUCUAGCUUGCCAAACAAUACAAAACUAAGUUUCUUUCGGAAAAGGAAAAAUAAAAAGAAAAGAAUAGUUACUUGUGCAGUACAGCCUUGACGCCUAGCUACAUGGUCCAUUCUCUGUGUCUUUGAACCAAUCAACAGCAACAAGAUCCAUUAAAUGUUUUCCCGCAGGUAUCUGCAGUUACAAAUUGCACAAAGCACAAGAGCCAACCAAACUACAUCAUAACCUGUCGACCUAGCAUAUGCAGGAUAUAUAACUACCAUAACAAACAACCAAAAUAUGGGGGAACCUUUGUUUUGUCAUAACAAAAAUGCUUGCUACGAACUCUAAAGUUAUUUCCACCAGAAAGUUUCCAGCAGUCACGAGCAUUAUCACAGUCAUCGUGUCGCAGAUUGCCUGAAAAAUAAGAAAAAUCAAUUUGAUCAGCCUGCUCUUCCUCUAGGGUAGCAACUAAUUGAAAAUUAUAAACCAAAAAAAAAAAUCAAUACCAUAAAAAUCCACUAAUGAGGACAUUAGCCAAAUAUACAAAAAUGAAUACUUAUCAUCCACCUGUCCUCUUGAAAUCAUUCUCAAUCUUUUUUUCAUUUGAUGGCAGGAAUUAUUGAAAUUGGAGCCAUUUUUUUUGUGGGAAUUGAAAUAUAUUCUUUAAAUUAUUACAUAAAUAGCAAAAUGUACAUACACACACAUAUAUAUAAUUCAUAUAUAAAAAUUCUCUAAUUUGUUCACAAGUACCAUAGAUUAUAAUUCAGUUAUGAAAUAAAAUAACUACAAUAAUUAUAGUUAAAUGAAUACUUCAUUAAUUCUUAAUUUGCUUCCUAACAUUAAAUGAACAACUUGAGUCAGCCACCUGAAUCAACCAGUAACAACGCCUGAGUCAACCAUCUGAAAAAACCAGCAACCCUAGCUGAUUCAAGCACCUGCAAUUAACAUCAACACAACAGGAACAAUCAUAAAUCAGCACCAAGAACAGACCAAACUGCCAUCAAAUGCCACAAAACCAAACAGUCUGCUACUGCCAUCAAAUGCAAGCAAACAUAUGCAACAAAACCAGAUGCAAGUGAAAUUCUGGAGAAUAUCGGAUAAACCAAACCAAAUGCCACACUUCUAGUAAUUAGACUAGAUGCAGUGUUCAAUUAAACUAAAUGUAGUCUCAUAUUACAUUCAAAUUUUCUAAAAAAACCAGUGUUCCAUCAGAGAAGCACCAAAACCAAACCAAUCUAAUCCAGCAUAAUUACCAGCUCAACCCAAAACAAUUACACAUUAUAUUGACAUAUCAAAAUUCGCUAUCAAAACAUAGCCAAAUAAAUGACAAUAAACUGAAAACAGACCCGAACCAACUGAUGUUGCAGCCCUAGUAGUCAUUGUGCGUUCCACUGCCAUAGGAGCGAGGGUAGGCUCCGUUGUUGAUGAGUGAGUAAGAUAAGGCUCCAAAUCAAUAGUUCCACCUCCUUUCUGCAAUUCAAAAAACAGAAAUUCAUAUAUGUAAAACUAUUAAAAAGUGUGAAACAACCUGUAAGUAUUCAACUUCUGUCAACUCAAUAGCACUUACUAAAGUUUUUAUACAGAAGAAAAAGGCAUUUUAAGUCCAAAAAAUUAGAAUUAUUGGUUGAACUCCAACUCCAUCAAUCCAUGCAACCAUCCAACCUUUAACGAAAAAAUGAAGCAUAAUUAACAAGACAUCUGAAUCAGAAAGAUUGUGCUUUGAUUUGGCACGAGGUGUUGGAAACAACUUAACAAAUCUAGACACAAUCUAUAACCAUCAAGUCCAAACAAAAGUCAGGAUCUAAAAUACUUUGAAAAAUCAGAAAAACCGCAAAAUAUCAGUUUCAAUUUCUUUUUCACCCAUUGUAAGCUCAAACUGAAGGUAGCGGCGCUACCUUUAAACAUCAUUUGGGCUUAUACAUGUGACAUUUGCUCAUGAACAACUAAAGUUGAAUAAGAUUUUUAUAUGAAACGGAAUAUAAAAAGUCAAAGUAGAAUAUGACAGGACCAACAAUAUAUUAUUCAGCAUUAGCAUUAUGUAUAAAAUAAAUUUAGAGGCAUCAUAUUCAUUCACAAUCUUGCAGAGGUAAUACCAGAUUAUGGCACGCAACUCUUGAAUAGCAGAUAAAGGAGGAGAUGCAGUGGGAAGGUAGUAACUUGCUUGCAUGAGAACUAAAAAGUAAUAUCCCAAGAUCAAUUAUAGAUCUCAUAAAACAAAAACAGUGAGGCAAACACAAUUAUUGUGAACAAUUAUUCAUAGAACCACAUAGCAGCAACAAGAUCAAAGUCAUCUGUGUAUAAAUCGAUUCCCCACAGCUGACUGCCUCUGACCUAAACAUAAUGAAAUUACAUAACUAAGAAGUAGAGUCAUAAAAUAUGCUGCUGUAACAGCUAUCAAUAAAUUUCCAGACAAAUGGAAUUUGAUAUGUAAGGCUAUAACUAGCAACACUUCAAAAUAAUUUGAAGUAGCAUGAUCUUACUUUAAGGAUCAAUACUACAAUCUUUCAGAAAAAUUAAAGUCUAACCAAAAUUAAAACCUUAAACAUACUAAAAUCUGGUAAAUAGACCUAUAGGAAUUCCAAUGACCUCCAAAAUAUUUGAAAGAAAAAUUAAUUUACAGCAAAAAAUGUUAAAGAUUUGUAAAAUGGAGGCCCAUACUACUAUUCAAAUUACAAAAGAGGAAAGGGAGCUGGCCAUUAAAUGAUAAAGGCAUGCAUAAAGAAAUACGAGCACCACAUUAAAUGAUAAAGGCAUGCAUCGAGAAAUACAAAAAAUAUGCCCAUAAAGACGUCCACUCAAGCCUUAUAAGCGGCUUUAUGCAAAGGAAAGCCAAUUAGUUAACAGUAAAUGAAUUUCAAGGUGCAAUAAUUAAACUCCCUGAUCAGCACAUUUAAGGUUCAUGCAUUUCUACAAAACAUGUAAAUCAUAAGAACUUUUUUGGUCCAAAUGCUAACCAGUAAUUAAGUAGAUUAUCAAAGUAGUCACAGAACAAGCACCACAUUGAUUGCUAUGCAAAAGAUGAAAGUAAAAGUUAAUACUUUAUUUUAUUUUACUUUUCGAGAGUUUUGAUCAUCAUGUGCAAAAUAGUAGUAUAACUUGCUCAGUGUUAUCUCAAAAAGCUUGCUUAAAAUACCUAUUAGCACCAGUCCAAGUUGUCAAAUAAAUCCUUAUCUAUCCAUUCAUCUCUGACCUUGCCAAAAAGAUUUAAACGAGCAUCUAUAUUCUCACUCCAAUCUUUCACAAUCAUAGGCUUUAACUUAGACCAGUUCUUCAAUAUCCCUUCCACUGUGAGCCCCUCGAAAACCUUGUAAAUUGAAUCACAUUUGUCGUCAGUUUCAAAUCCAUCUGUCAAAAGGCUAAGCAAAUGAAUAUACAAUCAACACCAUUCUUCCAAACGAAUAUACAGUCAACACCAUUCUUCUAAACACAAACAAAGUUUGAACGUAUGACAGAUUUUUAGCCAUUUAAUAUUCCAUCAAAUAUAAUUAGAUCACACCUACCAAGGAUUUUUGAAAAGAAUGCAUUCUCAUCUUAAGCAGCAACCUCACUAGUAACACAUUUUCAUACCCUGUUUCCACCUCUGGUCGCACCACCAAAAAAAAUUCAGUACUAAUUAGCUUUAAUAUGUAAAUUUUCGCUUAGUUUAAGCUAGGGUUUUCUUUCGAUUGAAACAGAGGAAAGCUUUUGGGUUAUUAAAGUGAAAGAUAUGGAAUAAUACAAAAAAUUAUUGAAGUGAAAGAGCAGGAAUACAAAAAAUCAGCAGAUGAGAUCGUUGAAAGAUGCGGAGGUUUGUAUAUAAAUAUUAAAUUGAUCGUUGAAAGAUGUAUAAACCUCCAUAAAAUUGAGUUACGACUUGAAGGAUUGUAUAUAAACAUUAAAUUGAUCUAAUUUAACUUGUAUGUAAACACUAAAUUGUAUAUAAAUACACAAAACAGAACCAUAUCAGUGUUGGAAAAAAAAUAAGAAUCCAGAGUUAUAUAAAUUCAAUAAAAAAGUAUUGAAUUUUUUAUUACUAACUUUGAACACUCUAAUUUCAAUAAAAAAAAUAUAUUACUAAAAUAGUCUUAAUUGAAUUUAAUAUUAAAGAUAUUAGAAUAACUCAACACUAAUAUUCUCAAAUAUAUUUCUCUCCAUAGUCUAAUCUAAUCCAUUCUAAGAAUCCUAUAGAAAAUCUAUUAUUUACUUUUUCCUUAUUAAACACAAAAACAUGUCAUUUUGUUGCUAACUAAAAUUUUGGAACUAACAACAGCAGAUUAACUAAAAUUAUCAGGAAAAGAAAUCAAACAGGAUUUUAAUCGUCAUCAUCUUCACUCUUGCCUUUUUCUUUUUCUUCACACAUGUGGCUUGCACACGCAUUCCCCUCUCUCAUCCUUAGGGCCGCCCUUCAACAAUAUCCAAUCAUCGAUUAUAAUUAUUUAGAUUGACCAAAUCAAGCUUUGAUCAUAUAUCGGUUGAGGUUAGAAGUAGGCAGGCAGCAACGACAAUACUAAUUAAUAUCUCAUGAGAAUUUUAAAAAAGAAUCUAACGUUGCCCAAUUCGUUUGAUUUCAAUGAAAUCUUUCUCCUACCUAUACUUUCGCAUAUUCUCUUUUAUUUCCAAAGUUAAGGUUAUGGAUGUUGUAGAGUAAAAAGAUGAACAUUGCUAGGAAAGCAAUAAAAGGAAAUAAAUAAAAAUUAAAAAUAUAAAAAGAGUUAAGUCAUUUUUUUUGUCUAUUAGUGUUUUUGUAUUUAAUAACGAAAGAUAAAAAUGAAGUAAAUAUUAUCUGUUAGAUUAUUAAAAUACAUACUUAAAAUGUUUUAGUGACAAUCUAAUUAUAAAUUAAGGGUCUAUUUGAGAUUGAGAUUGAACAGUUAAAAUGUUAUAGUUGUUGUAGUUUAGAAGUUAAGAUGAUUUGAUUUUACACUUAUAUGAUAAAAAAUUAUUAUAUCUUUAUUAAUUUUAUCAAAAUUAUUAUUAAAAAAACUAAAUUUAUUAUAUACUAUUAAUUUUUAUUUUAUACUUAAAAUUUUUUUUUUCUUACGGCAAAAGUUUUAGCACCUCAAUACCCAACCAAGUCUAAAACUGCACAAUAAUAAUUAUGAGUGUGCAUGUUAAAAUCUACACACAUUCUUUAAUUUCAAUCAACAGUGUUACAAACUUAGUUAAAAUAUUAUAUCUGAAAUUAUUGAGGGGAAAAAAAAAGAAAAAAGAAUGUUGUUUUCAUGAUAGUGACAUGCGUCGUGCACAUUUUGCUGUUGGCUCUUUGGUCUCUAACCUAGCGAAUAGGUUGCUGUGUCCUCGUUGUUAGAUGCCCGAACCCAGCGCAAGAACUUUGUACGAUACCAUAUAUUUUGUAUGAAUUUAAGCUGAAGUUGGUACCUUUUAUUGUUUUAUAUCAUGACAUCAGGGAAAUUUUUAAUAGAUCUUCAUUUUAGGCUAAAGUACCCGAACAAUAGUUCCCAUGCACUUUGUGAUCUUUUUACAAAAUAUUAAACUAAAUAGCUGUGGAAGUAACAAAGAGGGCAACUUUUUACCAUAAUGUGAUGAAAAUAAUUUAUUUGUUGUCAUCACGAACUAACCAAAUCAAAACAAAAAACUAACUCAAAUCUGUGCGUCUAGUAACUUAUAUGAUGAUCAUUAGAUCUUGUUCUUGUUAAUGCGUCUAGUAACUUAUAUGAUGAUCUGAUGAUAUCCGUAACAUUAACAUACCCAUAAUCCAUUAUUUUAUAAUUAUAAAAAUUGAAGAUUCGGUCAUGCAAUUUUGUAUGAUGAACAGUGUUUCAUUUUUCUGUGAAACAUAAGAACAAUUUGUAAAUAAUGUCCAUGCGGACCUUGUAAUAGCGAAGCAUCAUUAUUGAUCUUACUUUGAUGAUCGCACUUUAGUUUCUUUUUAAAGUGCCUUUUGUUUAUUUUAUCGGCAUCCGCUUUUACAAAAGUUUUGGUCCUCGUUCAUUCAUCAAAGCUUCUACUUUUAUCUUUUAUUAGGCAUCUUAUAAAAAGCUUAAUUUAAUUGGAUUCAUGUUCGAUAUGAAGAUUGUUUUACUUACUUCAAUCUUUCAAUCAACCGAAUUUAUUCUUUUCUGAUCUGGAAAUUAUUCAUGAAAAAAUAGGCGCGUCAGUAGGACAACAGGGACCAAGUACAUAAUAUGAAAAUUCAUUUGUAUUGCUUACUCUAAUAAGCUCUUAAACUCACACAUUCCUCUGCAGUUACCAGUGAUCUUUUGCUCACUAAAAUUGUUAAUAUAUAUUCAAGGUGAAUAAAGAAACUCAUCAUCCCAGAUAAUUAAAGAGGUGAACUUGUUCUAAAUCCUUUAAUAAUUUCUAUUAAUAGCAUAUAUAAUCUCUAAUCCUUGAUCUUGAUAGUAGUUCUUUCUUAAUGUCCAAGAAAAAUAUCUCUCAUUUGUCUUAAUCUUGUCAUUUAAUUUUCUUGAAUUCUGAGUUAGUGUUUAUUGUUAAAUUCGGUUUUCGGUUAGUAGCUGUUGGUUAAUAGCUUCGGUUAAUCCUUGAAUUAAACAUAUUAAAAUCUAAUCAUAAACCCGCCUUUCCCUAUUUUACGACACCCUUUGUGUAAUAGUGACUUCAAAAGUGUAACAUAUUUUUGAACAAUUGCAAGGAAAGAACAUAUUUGACACUUCACGAAACGGUAAAUAUAUAAGCUUCAAUUCUUGUACAACAAAUUAAUAUAACCAACAUCAACCGUCAAUUGAUCAAUAAUUCAGUAACAAAAAGGGACAGAUAUCCUAGUCUUUCUUUACUAAUGAAGCAAGCCAUUAAACUUCGAAAGCUAUUUCUAUUUCCACAUUCUUCAUGUACCAAAGCCAAAAAAAAAAAAAAGCAACAAAAAUUUGGAAGUAAUCAUCUUUAUUCAGCAGCAUGCAUAUUAAUUAAAACAUAUUCAAAAAGAGAUAUACAAUAUCAGGUCUGGAGACGAAAUGAGCCCACAGAGACUACCAAUAAUGUAGUGGCUUGAUUAAAAAUAUUAAUCAAGCCACUACAUUAGAAGAACAAGAGUUAAUCAUGCAUAUUAAUUAAAAAUAUUUUUGCUAUCAUCCACCUGUUCUCUCUAAAUAGUUGCCACUUUUUUUUUUCGUUUGUCUGAAAUUCCAAGCAAAAAUAUAAUUAGAAGAACAAGAGUUAAGGGUUAAAAAAAUGGAAAAAUAGGGCUCCUCUGUUUUCAUUCCCCUGUUUUUCUGUUCGGUGAUUACAAAGAUUUAAAUCAAAAUUUAUGAUGCAGGCUACACGGCACCUGGUGGAAGACUGCUAGGGUUUACCUUUUAUUGUUAGUUAGAAAUUUAAUUUAGAAUUUGUAGUGUUUGCCUUAUAUAAGUAGGUUUCCUAAUAGUAAAAUUAAAUAAUCAAGUUUAUGAUGCACUAGGAUAUGGUUGUGAUAAAUGAGCUUUUUAUGUAUCCUGUGAGGCUGAUUAUUAUUUUAUUACAUUGAAGAUUCAGUCAUCUCUUGGUAGUCUUGUGAAUCAAGCGGAUUUAGUUAGUAGUAGGUAAUACUCUGGACUUCACAUAGUAAACGGAAUGGAGCAUUAUUUUAUCCCGCUAAAUCAGUUUUUUUUUUAAUUAAAAAAUAAUUCAUCAAACACUUUAUAGCUCUGGUUUUAAGUUGGUAAACACUUUAAGCCGCAACUUUAAAUUCAGUUUACGAGAACUCCUAACAGUCACUGUGGCUUGGGUAGAAAUGAAUAUACUAGCAUAAGUAAUGCUACCCAGGAAAUGUAGUUGAACCUAACCAAACUAAAACCAGAUGAUGAAAGCUUAUAUACGCCAAGAGAUUUAUUCGUUUCUGAGUUUGUUUCCAGAAACCCGGAACCUCCCCUGUUUCUACAAACACGGCACCUUUGUUUUCAUUCCCCUGUUUUUCCAUUUGGUGAUUGUAAAAAUCUAAAUCUAAAUUCUUGAUGCAGUCUACACGGCACCUGCUAGAUGAUUGUUUGGGUUUAUCUUUUAUUCUUAAUUAUCAAUUUAAUUUAGAUUCGUAGUGUGCACCUUAUGAAAGAUUAAAUAGAAUAAUGUGAAAAAAAAAGAAUGCCUUUGUUAAUUUUGACUUCAUAAUGUUGCAGUAACCGUCCUCUCUUAUCAUUCCCCUGUUCUUUGGUUUAGUGAUUGCAAAUAACAUUCUUUUCAUCUACUCUUUAUUUAUUUAUUUUUAAUUUUUAACUCAUUAAUUCUUGUUCUUCUUAAAGCGUUUAGUAAAUUAUAUGAUCACCUGAUCAAAUCCCUCACAUUAACAUACAACAUAACUAACAAAGUGUUGGCUCCACUGGCAAUGGAGUCUCCUCAAGUGGCUUAACUGGAUUUGCUCUCCAGUUCGACUCGCAAGGAAGUCGCCUUUGUUGGGAAAACUUGUACCAAAAACUCUGAUCUGUUGGCUUUGUAUCAGUAUUGCUUGUUUGUUGUCUUUUAUUUCAUUAUUUGUAUCUAAGUUUAUUUGAAGAUUACAGAUCAGCAGGAAAAGCCCUUUUUCUAAAGCUAACUAUACAGAUUUUAGAAUAGGGCUCAACCACAUGAAAAUAUUUACGUUGUAAUAUCUCAUAUUAAUAAUCUAAAAACAACCAAUCCAACAAGUUCAAAUUCAGUCAAAUCUAAAAAAAAAUUGCUUUUAAGGAGUACAUGAUAGCUAUUAAACUUUGGUUAAAGAUCUUUUGGGCAAACGUGAAAUUCAGUCAAUCAUAAAUCAACCAAUCCAACGAGUUCAAAUUCAUCACUUGCAAAAUUAAGUUUUCUUCCGAAAUUGAGUUUUUUCCAGUAGAAAUUUUCCCGCAGUCACGAGCACUAUCAUCAAAACAAGAUUAUUAACAUAAGAACAAGAGUUGAGGAAAAAAAUAUCUGUUUAUAUGGACACGGGGUGCACGCUUUAAGUCUUGUUCUUUUACAAUUCAAUUGUAUUGCUUACUCCCAUAAACUCCUUACUCACAUUCUUCUGCAGUUAACAGUGAUCUUUUGCUCAUUAAAAUUUUUCUUAUAUAUCGAAGGCCAAGAGUGAAGCUCAUAAACUCUGUGAUCCUAGAUAACCGAAGAGGUGCGUUUGUUCUAAAUACUUUAAUAAUUUCUUUCAAUCGCAUAAUUUCUAAUCUUUGAUCUUGAUAGCAGUUGUUUCUUAAUGUCCAACAAAAACUAUCUCUUGUUUGUCUUAAUCUUGUCAUUUAAUUUUCUUGAGUUUUAAGUUACUGUUUAUUGUUAACUUCUGUGUUCUUAUGCAGUAUUAUUAAUGGUUAAUUUGCAUCCAUCUUCCAAAAAAGUUUUCUUUCUUCAUAAAAUUGUUGGUUUUCCAUUCAGGCCCCUGAAACCUUUUUCUAAAAAGUUUUUUGUUGUCGUUUCUUUCUUUUUCUUCCCCGCUAGUUCAUUUAAUUUAUUUGAAUCCAUUUUUUUUUCAACAGCCAAAAACUAGAUAUUUAUAGUUAAGCAACAGGCAAUGGCUAUAGAAGCGUGUCUGGCUUUUUUAACCAACUGUGUAUCAGAAGGUGCAAAGUCACUGUUCAACCCUAUUACACGGCAGAUAUCUUAUGUGUUCAAGUACCAGAGCUACAUAGAUGAGCUAAAAGAUCAAGUGAAGCAGCUGGGAUAUAAGAGAGAAAUGGUGCAGCAACCAGUUAAUCAUGCUAGGCUACAAGGGGAUGAGCUUUUUGAGGGUGUCACAGACUGGCUACAUAGCGUUGAUGAAUUCAUCAGUGAAGGGGUUGCAAAAUCCAUUAUUGAUGAUGAAGAUAGAGCUAAGAAGUCCUGCUUCAAAGGAUUAUGCCCAAACUUGAUUUCUCGUUACAAGCUUAGUAAACAAGCAGCAAAGGCGGCAGAAGCUGCCGCUAGUCUCGUGGGAAAAGGCAACUUCUCCAAUGUUUCCUACCGUCCUGCUCCAAAGCGGGCAGAACAUAUGCAAGUGAAAGAUUUCGAGGCGUUUGAUUCAAGAAUGAAAGUAUUUCAAGAUGUUGUGGAGGCGGUGAAGGAUGACAAGGUCAACAUAAUUGGGGUCUAUGGGAUGGGCGGCGUGGGCAAAACCACGCUGGUCAAACAAGUUGCAAACCAAGUGAUGGAAGAUAAGUUGUUCGAUAAGUUCGUUAUGGCCGAGAUAACACAGACCCCAGAUCAUCAUAAAAUUCAAGACAAACUUGCUUUUGAUUUAGGCAUGGAAUUUGACUUGAAUGAGAAUGAAUUUCAAAGAGCUUCUCGACUGUGUCAAAGGUUGAAGCAAGAGAAGCGGCUCCUCAUUAUACUGGAUAAUAUUUGGACAAAACUUGAGUUGGAUGCGGUUGGAAUUCCUUCUGGAGAUGUGGAUGAGAAAGAUAGAGAGGACGAUCGGAGAAGACUCACAAUAAUAUUGACGUCUAGAAGUCGAGAUUUAUUGCGCAAUGAUAUGAAAUCUCAGAAGGAUUUCUCAAUUGAAGUUUUAUCAAAGGAAGAAGCAUUGCAAUUGUUUGGAAAGAUAGUGUGUAAUUCUGCAAAAGCAUCUGCUUUUCAACCUUUAGCAGAUGAGAUCGUUGAAAAAUGCGGAGGAUUGCCUGUUGCACUGAUUACCCUUGCAAAAGCUUUGAAAAAUGAGAGGCUUGACACUUGGAAGGAUGUGCUGCGUCAGCUAAGAAGUUCCAAUGCAAAAGAAAUUGAUGGAAUGGAAAGAAAUGUGUACAUCUCCAUAAAAUUGAGUUACGACUUACUGGGAAAUAAGGAAGCAAAAUCUCUGUUCCUUCUUUGUGGUCUAUAUACUGAAGGUGAUGUCAUACACGUUUCUGACUUAUUGAGAUAUGGUAUGGGUAUGGGCUAUUUUAAAAACGUUUACACACUGGAAGAAGCAAGGAGUAGAGUGCAUACGUUGAUCGGUAAACUCAAAUCUUCAUGCUUAUUGUUGGACGGUGAUGCCGAAGAUGAAGUUAAAAUGCAUGACAUCAUUCAUGCUGUUGCUGUAUCAAUUGCAGAAGAGGAGCUCAUGUUUAAUAUUCCAAAUGUUGCCUACGUGGAGAAAAAGAUGGAAGAGACAAUACGGGAAGGUCCAAUAGCUAUUUCUUUACCUUAUAGAGAUAUUCAAGAGCUUCCCGAAAGGUUGGAAUGUCCCCGUCUCGAGUUACUUUUGUUGUUUUCAAAGCGUGAUAGCUCUUUGCAAAUUUCAGACCUCUUUUUUCAAGGGACAGAAGAACUCAAAGUUUUAGAUUUUACUGGAAUAUUUUUCUCUUCAUUACCUUCAUCACUUGGUUGCCUCAUUAACGUUCAAACAUUAUGUUUAGAUGGUUGCCGACUGAACGAUGUAACUAUAAUUGGACAGCUAAGGAAAUUAGAGAUUCUCAGCUUCCGAGAUUCUGAUGUUAACGAGUUGCCACUUGUAAUUGGACAAUUGACGAGAUUACAGUUGCUAGAUUUGAGCAAUUGUAGCAGCCUUGUGGUGAUAGCUCCAAAUGUCAUAUCAAAAUUAUCUCGAUUAGAAGAACUAUAUAUUGGUAACAGCUUUUCACAGUGGGAGAACGUUGAAGGAGGAAGUAACGCCAGUCUUGUUGAGUUGAAGGGGUUGUCAAAGCUAACUACUUUGGAGAUACACGUUCGGGAUGCCGAAAUUCUACCGCAGGAUUUGGUCUCUGUGGAAUUGCAAAGCUAUAGGAUAUGUAUAGGAAAUAAGUGGUGGAGCAGCUGGUCCGUUAAAUCUGGAUUAUCAAGAUUGAUGAAGCUCCAGGGGCUAGAAAAGUUUGGCAUUCUUUUGCAGAAUUACAGGAUGAAACUGUUGUUGAAGAGAACUGAAUAUCUCUAUCUAGGAGAACUGAAGGGUGUUCAGAAUGUUGUUCAUGAAUUAGAUGAUGGGGAAGGUUUUCCACGAUUGAACCAUCUUUCUGUAAAAAGUUGUUCUGAGAUUUUGCAUAUUGUCUGUUCAGUUGGACGGGUUCGUCGCAAAGUCUUCCCCUUGCUGGAGUCAUUGUCUCUUCGUCGUUUGAUCAAUUUGGAGACAAUAUGUGACAGCCAACUCACAGAAGAUCAAUCUUUCAGCAACUUAAGGAUUAUAAAAGUAUCAGACUGUCACGAAUUGAAGCAUCUUUUCUCAUUCUACAUGGCCAAAAACCUACUGUGGCUUCAAAAGGUAGAAGUGUUUUUUUGCGAUGAUCUGGAAAUGAUUGUUGGUAAGUGUUGAAAUUAAGUGUUGGUGGAUUUAUGGACUUCGCCUCAAUUAUUUUGAAAAAAAAAAAAGACAACGACAAAGAUUAAUUAUGUAUAUUGUUUUAGUUUGUUUAUAGGACCCGACAUGGACAAACCAACAACUUCUUUGGGAUUCAACGAAAUCAUUGCUGAUGAUGAUCCUGCUCCAAAGGUGAUAAUUUUCUGUUCAAUAAUUAAUUGAUUAAUUUAUUAUCACGAUUAAUCUUCGAUCAUCAAAAGAAUAUUAUACUAGACGGUUGUACUUGAAGGAACAAAAAUGUACGGGUUUUCUUUGCAGGUUAUUCUUCCGAGCUUAGAGGAAUUGAAUCUCAUGUCAUUAAGAAACAUCAAAAAAUUAUGGGCCGAUCAUAAUCAAGGAAUGUACUGUUGUCAAAAUCUAACAAAGCUGCACGUGGUCGGUUGUCAUCGUAUGAAGUAUCUGUUUUCAUAUUCUAUGGUUAAUAGUCUUGCGAAACUCCAACAUCUUGAGAUAAGCUAUUGUGAGUCAAUGGAAGGGGUAGUCGACACCACGGGAUGGUCAGAAAGAGAUGAAGGAAAGUUGAUUGAAUUAAAGGUUUUUCCUAAGCUACACUCCCUGCAGCUAGAAUGGCUUCCAAGACUAAGUAGCUUUGCCAAUAUGGGACAUAUUCAUUCAGAUUUAGUUGUUGAAUUCCCUUCUUUGCUAAACCUCAUGAUUGGUUGUUGCAGUAAUAUGUUAAGAUUCAUCUCUACGAGCUCACCAGAAGACACCAUUCAUUCUGAAAUGCAACCUCCUCCUCUCUUUGAUGAAAAGGUUUUUUUUUUUUUUUUUAAUUAAAAAAAAUAAUUUUAGUCACAAUACUUGAUUUGUCUUUUCCUUGAGUCUUCAAAUUUAGUUAAUAUCCGCCUCUAAUUUAGUUAUCAAUUGAUUAUGCCAUUAAUUGAUUAACUAGUUAUUUAAUCUUUAACUGCCAGGUACGAGUUCCUAGGUUGGAGGUAUUAUAUAUUGCGUGGAUGGAUAACCUAAGAACAAUAUGGCACCACCAGCUUGCUUCGGAGUCUUUCAGGAAAUUGAAGAAUUUGGAGAUAGAAGAGUGUGAUAACCUAAUGAAUAUUUUUCCUCCAUUGGUAAGGUUGCUGUAUUCAUUUCGAUUUUUUUUUUCAAAUAACAUUCAACAAUUUUUUAAUCUUUUCUGUGUUUACAAAUGAUAUUCAGCCACUAAUUAUUUAUUUCAAAUAUUGUACUUCAAACCACCACUCUAAAAUCUACGUUUUAAGUCUAGUUUUUAGGUUCACCAGCAUUAGAAUCAACAAUAUAAUUUUUUUAAACACGAUUCAAUAGCAUAAUAUAAUUCAAUUUAAUUGUUUUUGCUCAUAUCUUAAUAAGUACGAUUUUCAAAAAUUAAAGGAUAGUCACUCAUCUUAUAAGUUCACAAAUUCAUCUAUAUAUUUCUCUUUUCCUUAGUUCUUCACAUUUCGAUUGGGAAAAAAAAAAAGAAAGUCUUCAAAUUUAAUUAAUAUCUCCAGUUUAGUUAAGAAUUGAUUAUGCCAUUACUUAACCACAAAUUCAUGAUUGUUUACAACUGACCCUUGAUUGUAAAGAAAUUUCCUCGAGUCUGGAAGUACUUAAUAAAGAUCCACUUUAUAGCAAUCCCUUGUUGACAGUACUGGGAAGUCUUUUCCAAAUUUUUUUUUUCCAUUUUUAUACAUACAUAAAAAAAAGGGGACCAAGGAAAAGGGAAAAAGAGGCAUUUUAGUUGAGUUUUUUUUAAAGGAAUAGUUGAAAUGUGCAAAUUUAUGCUUAAAAACUUAUAUCAAGAUGCAAAAUAAGUCUAAAGUAUUUAGAAAUUGCCUUAAAUUCUUUCUACGUCCCUAAUACUAAAUAGUGUAAAUACAUUUUUAUCAUCUUUGUUUAUCUGGCUUUUAUUUAUUUAUCUUGUUACCUUUUUUGUUUAACAAAAAAUUAUCUAGUAGACAUUUCACAGUUUGUUAUGUUCAUAAAACGUAUAAUUGUAUGAUUAAACAUACUUUGAGCCUAGUUGAAUGAUACUCUUACAUUUUUACUUUUUUAAUAUACACACACACACACACUCUCUCUGCUUAUUUUCAGGUUGGAAUUCCUACUAGUCUGGUGAAUCUUUAUGUAUGGAACUGCAAAAAAUUAGAAGAAAUCGUAGGACAUGCUGGAGAAGAAGUGAAGGAGAAUCGUAUUGCUUUCAGUGAAUUAAAACUUUUGGAACUUGAUGAUUUACCAAGGCUUACCAGCUUUUGUUUGGAGAAUUACACUCUUGAAUUCCCAUCAUUGGAACGAGUAUUUGUGACACAUUGUCCGAACAUGAAGACUUUUUCUCUGGGAAUCUUAUCCACACCAAAGCUGCACAAAGUGCAAGUGACUGUAAAGGAAGAUGGUGAAUUGCACCAUCGGGACGACAAUCUUAAUUCCACCAUACAAGAACACUAUACAAGAUCUCAUGGAAAUAAGUAAACCCGUAAUUUUUUUCACAGCAUCAUAAGAAAAAAUCAUUUUUUUUUUAGUAUUUUUGUUGGCUGUUGAGUUUUAACAGUAGUAGCUAUUAAACAAGAACAAUCAGUGUAUAUUAAAAAGUUGGAAACUGGUUGAUACCACUUGGGAAUCGAGCAGCUCACUUGUUUGCGAGUAGAAACCAACUUUACUACUAAUUACACUCAUUCCAAAAAUAGUAACUAAAGAAUCAGGAAAUUUCCUAUUCACUAUUCUUCAUUUUUUAAUGCAAAAUUCCCAUGAAAAUGGGAUCAAAAUACAUGUAUGUAUACCUAAAACAAAUUAUUAUUUUUAAUUAAAAAAAAACACAGUUGAGGUGAAAUGAAACCAGAGUCAUGAUAUCUCUGGUUCCAACUUUGGGACAACAGCAGACUUGAGUUCUAUAUGAGAAACACGUACAGCACCAAUCAGCCGCUCCAAGACACACGAAGCGUUAUGCCAUUCCGAGAACAUUCAAGCGUUAUAUCUCAAAAUCAUGUCUUUUCCCUUGUGUCUGUUAAGGAAGCACACUGAGCACGUGUGAACUAAGAGUAGCUGCACGAUAAGCAUGUGUUAGUUAAAGAAGUAUAUGCCAGCUCAGCCAAUUAGUUAAGCAGGCUUUUGAUUCUGUUAUAGUUGUGUACCUUGCUUUAAUUCUGUUUUUAUGAUGUAAGCAACGAGUAUAAACACUGCUACGUUUGUCAUUUGUAUGUUAUGGAAAGAAAAGAAAUCCAGAAUAUUCUAUUUCACUUUCUCAUGAAUUUUCUGAGCUUCCAAACAAAAUUAUCAGUUCAAUUUUAAGCUUUUCAACAGUGUCCAUUUAGACGUGCAAAAAAAACAAUCAUACAUACCUGUACAAGGAAAGCCAUGUCAACCACCGACCGAUGUUGUAAUUACACCAAUUACGACAAGGCCCAAAACUCCACUAGCAAAAGUAGAAUAACAUCUAUGCCAACAUCAAUCUAUAGAGAGAUGAACAUGUUAAUGGUAUCGGACGAGCUAUUUGAACGGGAAACAUCUCAUGUACUAUAAUAGAAAUUUUAAGAGCAUUUACUUCUAAGUACUGGGGACCGCGGAUAUAGUUACAACCAACUGCAUUUAGAAACAAAAAUUUGCGCUUGCGACAAGAGCUGAUCUCUUCAUUCCCCUGUUUAGUAAUAAAAAAAAAUCAAAAUAGCGGAGAAACAGGGCCCUCUUUUCAUUCCCCUGUUUGAUAACAAUAAAAACAAAACAGAGGAGAAACGUGGGCUCUCUUUUCAUUCCCCUGUUUUUCUUUUCGGUUUGGCGAUUUUAAAAUUUUAUAUCCACAUUCAUUAAAAAAAAAAAAAAAAGUUAUUCCAAAAAGAUUUUCUAUUUUCAUAUAGACGUUUAUUUAUUAACCAAAAUUUAAAAAGUGUAAUUCUAAACUUAUCCUUGUGCUUUGAUCUUGGAGGGGUUUUUCAUUUUUUCUACACUGGCCAUAUCAAUUAAUGAUGAAAGUUCUUAUCCUUAAUUGCUUUUGAAAUGAGUGAGCACGGUAUGACCCUUAAGAGAAUUAAUUAAUUGGACAAGUUAUAUAACGCCUUUGAUAUGGCUCCUAGACAUGUAUGCAAUUUGUAUCUUUCCUCAAGUAUGCAUGAGAAUACUUGAGGAAAGCUUCACAAUAGUUACGGCCGGAUCUGCACUUCACAAGUCCUAAUAGGGAAGUAUAAAUAUAUGCUUCUGGAACAGUGCAACUCUCCAUAAUAAGUACCUAAGAAUAGACAAAUUUUCAUUACAAUAGAAUGAUAAAUUAUAAUAAUAUUGACACAAUGAUGCCAAUAAUAAGAAUCUUAACAAAUCUACUAAUUUUAGAAUAUGGCUUAGAGUGCUACAAUGAACCACAACAAGUUAUCGAUAUUAUAAUAUCUAUAAUUAAUAUUCCAAUAAUAACUGGGGCUCCUUUGUUUUCAUUCCCCUACUUUUCUGUUAAGUGAUUGCCAAAUUUUUAUAUCUAAAAUUCUUCUAAUUUUAAACUAAGGUUUAUUUAGAAAAAAAAAGGGAGAGAGAGAGAGAGACUCGAAGAGCAUUAAAAAAUGUAAUUUUUAAUUUUCACUUAAGCAUUGUGUGACUUUUAUCAUUUUUUAAAGUUGGCCAUUUGUACUGAAUAAAUAAAAUAAUGGAUAGACUUAUGGACCACUUUUUUUCUGUUAUAUUAAAACAUGAGAUGUCUUUUCUUGAUGUUUUCAUCACACAAGAAUCUGUUUAUGUCAUCAUGCAUCAUGGGUUUAAAUGGGGUAAAUAAAUUAAGAUCGAGGGCAAGUUUGUUUAAGUUCUAAAGUUGCUGAAUAUAAAAAGGGCUGAUAUGAAAAUUACCUAAAGUUUCAAAUAUUGUUAUUCAGCAACCACUUUUAGGUUGCAUUAGUUUCUACACAAAUUUUAUAUAAAUAAUUUAUAACUCCCAUUAUUAUUUAAAAAACUGUAGCAAUUGUUGAAAAAAAAUUCUAAUUAAAGAAAUUGACAUUAUAAUUUAAGGGAUAGUUGCUGUUUUAAUCAUUAGAACUUAAGUCAAUUAUCCAGCUUAUCCUUGUAUUCUUAAAAACUAUAUAAAAUACCAUUAUCUCUUCUUUUGUAGCUAUUGAAUUCGACUUUCACAACAUAAAUAUUUAUUAGCAACAACUUAAAAUUCAAACAAAUAUAAUAUGUAAUGUAUGAAAUACAAAUAAUAGUUAAACAAAUUUUGAUUAUUUACUAUUAAAAUACAUUCACAUUAAUAUCUUAAGGAUAGGUGGUACUCAAAUAAUUUUUUAAAAAUCAGACCCAAAUUAUAUGCAUUGUUAAUAUGUAUUAUUGUCUAAUAUUUGGAUUUUGUUAAGUUACAACUGUUGUAACUUACGAUCUCUUCAAAAAAGAAAAUUGAGUCCCACCACCUAUUAAAUUUUUUACAUUAUUUUUUAAAAGACUGUAAGUUACAUCAGUUGUAACUUAACAGCACCCUUAAUAUUUUACUUUACUUUUAUAUCUUUACAAAACAAUACCAACAAGACAAUAAUGUAUGAAAUAAAUAAAAUAAAUAAAUAAAGAACUGAUAGCGAAAUUAAGUCUAUCAUUAGUUUCUUGUGGUGUGAACUCUUGACAAUUCUCCCACCUAAAACUCUCUAGUGGUGUGAACUUUUGACGAUUCUCCAAAAAUUUGUCAUAUUGCAAAAAGCAAUGUCAAUUGUAAUGUCAUUUCCAUUAGUCAUAGUGGCAGAUAGGACUAGAAAUUGUUGAAACCCAUUGACUUAUUUUUCUUUCUAAAAAUAAGAAAAGCACACCCGUCCGGGGAAAUAAUUUUGUAGUACCUCAUGUCGUGAAUAAGGGACAAUACGAUCCUUUUUUUAUUAUAGUAUUUUUAAAUUUAUUAACUAAAAAAUUAAUUCUAAUAUUUUAUAAUAAAUAUAAGUAGGAUAUUAAAAUGAAUAUAAUAAUGUAUACAUAUUAAAAUAAUUUCAAUAUCUAAAAAUAUUUUAAUAUUUUAAAAUCUCGUAGUCUAUUAAACCAAAUAAUAAUAAAUAGAGACAUAAUAUUCAAAUAAAUACAUAAAAAUUUAAAUUGUUUUCAAUAUCACAUAAAAUAAUUUUAAUAUUAUUAAUACAUGAGAAAUAUUAUAUUAAUUGUAAAAUCUAUUUAACCUAAGGAUUCAUUUAAAAUUUUUUGUAAUAAUUACAAGUAUUUUAUAGAUACAAAUAUAUUAAUUCACAUUUUAAAAAUUAAUAUUGAAAUUAAUUAUUUAAAUUUUAUAAAAAAUUUUGAAGUCUUUUUUUUUUUUUUGGCUACCAUCUACUAAGAGUAGUAUUAUGAUCAAAAGGGGUAUUGGUAUCCUAUAUUAAAAAUUUGAGGUCUACGUGACUAUUUUUCUAAAUUUUUAGGGUAUCAUUUUGUUUUUGACAAAAGUAAAAUUUCAUUUUUGACAAAAAUAAAAUUUCAUUUAAAUGGCUAAAAUGGUGAAUAAAAUAAUACUACAGUGGGCGUAAAUGGAAGGUAAGAAACAAUGAAAAUGAAUAGUCUAAUGUCACCACAGGCACAUAAGGCCAAAGUUUGUUACAUCUGAUCAAGGACAAUUUAGUAUGUGGAGUGGGUCCUGCGUGUCAUUUUUUGGGCAUCUACCUUCUUCAGCAUUGAAGAUUUGAUGUUGACGACAUUUUAAAAAUUUGGAAGACCCAUCAUACAUUUGGAUGGUUGUCAUUAUUUGAUAUUAUCAUUAUCUCGUGGUGAUCCUAUUAUUUAUGUGGCAAAAGAGGUAAUUAAAUAAAAUUUAAUUGGAUGUAACACUUGUUUCGCGUUGUGAACUUUUGACAAUUCCCCUAUAUCCCUCCAAAAACUUUCGUCAUUUUGCCAAGAUACCUAACGAUUGUAAUGUAAUUUUCAUUAUUCAUAGUGCCAGAUAAUGGAGGUCCAGGAACGGACCAGAAAUUAUUGCUACCCGUGGACUUUUCCAAUUUAUUUUUUUUCUUUUGGAUGGUUGACGUUAUUUGAUAGGAGGACGAGAUAGAGAUAGAGUUCUUAAUCGAACACCCGUUUUAUUUAAUGGGGAAAUUAUCAUUUCACCACUACUCUUUUGCCUUAUGCUCAUUCAAUUACUACAAAAUUUUAACAUGUUCUCUGCACUACUUUUCUUUUUUAAAUUUGUAUCAAUUACUCACUUUUAUACUAACACCAUUAAAUAAUUUAAACAAAAUAAUAAAUUUACCCCUAAAUAAAUUAAAAGACCAUUUUAUUUUAUAAAAACUUAAAAAAUAAAAAAUAAAAAUUAUAAUUAUAAUUAUAAAAAUACCCCUAAAUUUAAUAAAGAAAUAAAUCCCCAAAUUAGAAUUUUUAUUUUAAUAAAAAUUAUAAUUAUAAAAUAAUUGCAAAAUUUUGGGAUUUAAUAAACAUCCCCUAAAAUAUUAAAUUUUGGGAUUUAUUUUUAAUAAAUAAAUUUAGUUAUUUUAAUAAAAUUUUACAAAAUUAUAAAUUUGUAAUAAAAAUAAGCUGAGCGCCUCUAUUUUGGAUUAUUUUUUAUUAAAUUUAGGGGUAUUUUUGUAAUUCUAAUAUUUUUUUUCAAAGCUUUUAUAAGAUAAAAUGGCAUUUUAAUUUAUUUAGGAGUAAAAUUAUCAUUUCGUUUAAAUUAUUUAACAGUAUUAGUGUAAAAGUGGCUAAUCGAUUCAAAUUUAAAAAGAAAGAUAGUGCAGAAAACAUGUUGAAAUUUUGUGGUGGUUAAAUGAACAUAAGUCAAAAGAAAGAUGGUAGAAUGAUAAUUUCCCUAUUUAAUAUGGAAGAAGAUCUUUAAACUCUCAGUGAGGCUAUGGCUUCAACAGAUGCAGCCUUGUGGAAAGAGGCAACAAGUAAUGAGAUAGACUCAUUAUUAUCUAAUCAACUAGAUGCAUCAACAAGAUCUUAACUUAGAUUGGAACUUGAAGCAUUGUUGUUUGAAACAUUGGCUCAAGCCUUUAGAGCGAGGUUGGAUGCAAAAUGAUUUACAACAAAGAAAGGAAAAAAUAAAUUUACUAAUUUACAAAAUAAAUUUAGUAAAUUAAUAAAGUCAUUAUAUGAUCUUAAAUAAGCACUAAAGCAACAGCAUGAAAAUUUUGAUUCUAUGAUCAUGUUGCAUGGAUUUUAACAUAAUAACGAUGAUAAAUGCAUUUAUUCUAAAUUAAUGGAUAAAUAUGGUAUGAUAAUUUUCCUCAUUUGAGAAAGAAUUCUUAAAUAAUGUCCCAUAUUAAUUAGUAAAAGAGAGUCACUUGGGCUUAUAAGUAGUAGAGAUGGGCAAAAUUGGAUGCAGAUGAUAUUCGGGUUAAUAUGAUCAGAUUUUGGAUUGUUCGGAUUGAUAAAAAGUCAUAUGAAUGCAAUAUGAACUUGCAUCCAAUCCGAUUAUGUACGGAUCAUAUUCAAAUUGGAUGAAUAGUGCAGAUUAAUUUGGAUUCGGAUCAGAUCGAUAAUAUCAAACUGAAAUCGGAAUCAGAUGUGUUCGAAUAAAUCAGAUGAAUUUCAAUCACUUGCAAGUUGAAAUACAAAAUUGAAAAAUCAUAGAAAUUAAGAAAAAAAUGCAGCAAGCUAGCAAAUGGAAGAACAAAGGCAAAAAAUUAUAUUAUAAAUUAAUCGUAAAAAGGUGCUAUUAGCAAUUGUUGCACAAUGCGAAAAUGUCCUGGAACUCGCUGUGUAGACAUGCAAAAGUUCCGUAAGUGCAUUAACAAUUAUUUUCCAAAAAAAGGUUGUUGCGUCAAUAUUAAAGGAAUUGACAUCCAGGGACCCAGUUUAGUUGCUUAAUGAUUAAUUAAUUAAUCAAUUUAUAAUAUAUUAAUCUUUUAAGUUGAAUACUUAAAAUCUUAGACCCCAAACAAUAAAUCAUCUGAGUAAUAUAAAAGAGAAAUUAUCAUCCUAUUUUUUAUUUGACUUCUUGUAGCUUAUAAAAGAGAAAUUAUCAGUCAUUUACUCAAAGUUUAUUCAGUUAUUAAAAUUAAUAUAAAAUUUAAAUUUAUUUAAUUUUACACUCAAUGUAUGCAAUUUGUAUUAAACAUCCGUUAAAAACAUAAAGUUAUUCCAUCAAAGUGACAAAAUAGAAGCGAACACAAAAUUGUAUUGGUGAUUAUGUUUUAAGAGUAAUUUUAUCUUUUUAGUAAACAGUUAUCCACAUUGUAACAAUGGGUAUAAAAUUAAGUAUAUUUAAAUUUUUAUAACUUUUAGGAUAAUAAGAUAAUUUUUAGGUGGAUGACUGAAAAUUUUUCUUUUCAAAAUAUUUUGAAAACAAUACCAAAUGUACCAAAACAUUGUUUACUUACACUCUAUAUAUAUAUAUAUAUAUAUAUAUAUAUAUAUAUAUAUUUAAUUUCUUAACUCAUUCUUAUCCUUAUUCUUGCUAACAUAUCCACAAUCUGUCAAUGAAAUUUACUUUUAUAAAUUUGAAGAUUCUUUCAUGCAAUUUUGUACGAUAAUGAGUUCUCAUGUCUCUGUUAAAAAAGAAUUCGUAAAUAAUACAAAUGAAAAAAAAACAAAAAGUAGCAGGGCUGGCAAUACAAACCAUAACUUUUUUUCUUUGAAAUAUGCAUAAAUAAAGUUAAUAGUGAUGUGUCAGCACGAUCUUGAGAGCACGGCUUGGAGUCUCAAUAAUUAUUGACACUCAUAUUUGAAAACUUUUGAAAAGAUAAAAUCCAAUAUGAAAGGUGAAAUGUUAUAAUCAUAGUAACUAGAAAAUUGAUUGAUUUACAAAUAUCAAUUUAAACAAUUUUCAUGUUGAUCGACAAUUUAAGUAGAUUGACAAAGAUUGAAGUAAUUACUGUUGGUGAUUGAUUGACUUUGUCCUUAUCCUUGCCUUCUUCUUAUCAAAAAUCGAGUGUCAAUUAAAUUGGGCCAGGGCUUCUGAUUGCAACUAAUAGACUUCAUAUACGCAUAAUGCUCCCUACGGACAUACGUACCAGUAUUUGAUUGAAAAAGGGAUGCGUGCUUAAUGCUCAAGUCGUCUUCUUCUGGAAAUUCAUUGUUAUUACUCUCAUCAACUCGUUACUCACAUUCCUCUUUAGUCAACAGAGAUCUUUUGCUCAAUAAAAUUUUUCUUCUAUAUUCAAGGUGAAUACAGCAGCUCAUCAACUCUGAUCCCAGACAGGUAAAGAGGCGCACUUGUUCUAAAACCUUUAAUAUUCUUUUAGUAACAGAAUCUCUGAUACUUGUUCUUCAUAGCGGUUCUUUCUUAAUUUCCAUCACCUUUCCUAGGAAAAAAUUCUUUGGUUUUUCUUAAUCAUAUCAUUUAUUUUUCUGAAGUCAUAUAAUUUAGUUUUAGUAGCAGAAUACUUGAUAUUGAUAGCGGUUCUUUCUUAAUUUCCAUCAACUUUCCUUGAAGGAUACCUUUCUGUUAAUAGCAAAACAUCUGAUCCUUAAGAUAGAAAAAGAAAUUCUCUAUUUAGGUAUCAGUUGGUUCAAGAUCAAUAUCGCGAUGUUGUUUGCGGUCUUUUCUUUCUCCGUCUUUCCCUUUAGUUCAGUUUAAUUUAUUUGUUUUCCUUUCUUUGAUAUAUUAUUAGAUUUGUUAAGUAGCAGACAAUGGCAGAAGUUGGUCUGGCUGCUUUUUCCAGCAUUGUAUCAGAAGGUGCAAAGUCACUGUUCAAACCGAUUAUACGGCAGAUAUCUUAUGUGUUCAAGUACCAGAGCUACAUAGAUGAGCUAAAAGAUAAAGUGAAGCGGCUGGAACAUAAAAGAGAAAGGGUGGAAAUACCCGUUCAUCAGGCAACUCAACAAGGAGAUGAGAUUUAUAAGGAUGUUGCAGACUGGCUUAAUAGCGUCAAGGAAUUCACUCAGGGAGCUGCAAAAUCCAUCACUGAUGAUGAAGAUAGAGCUAAGAAGUUCUGUUUCAAAGGAUUGUGCCCAAACUUGAUCUCUCGUUACAAGCUCAGUAAACAAGCAGCAAAGGCUGCAGAAGCUGCCGCUAGUCUCGUGGGAAAAGGCAACUUCUCCAAUGUUUCCCACCGUCCUACUCCAAAGCUGGUAGAACAUAUGCAAGUGAAAGAUUUCGAGGCCUUUGACUCAAGAAUGAAAGUAUUUCAAGAUGUUUUGGAGGCGUUGAAGGAUGAUAAGCUCAAGAUAAUUGGGGUCUACGGGAUGGGCGGCGUGGGUAAAACCACGCUUGUCAAGCAAGUUGCGAAGCAAGUGAUGGAAGAUAAGUUGUUCGAUAAGGUCGCUAUGGCUGAGGUAACAGAGAACCCAGAUCAUCAGAAAAUUCAAGACAAACUAGCUUCUGAUUUAGGCAUAAAGUUUGAGUUGAAUGAGAGUAUAUUCGACAGAGCAAAUCGACUAUGUGGAGUAUUGAAGAACAAGGAGCGGCAUCUCAUUAUAUUGGAUAAUAUUUGGAGAGAACUGGAGUUCGAUAAAGUUGGAAUUCCUUCCAGGGAUGUCGAGAAAGAAAGAAUGGAUGAUCAGAGACGAUGCACAAUAAUACUGACGUCUAGACGUCAAGAUUUAUUGCGCAAUAUUAUGAAUUCUCAGAAAGAAAUCCAGAUCGAUGCUUUAUCAAAAGAAGAAGCAUUGCAUUUAUUUAAGAAGAUAGUGGGUGAUUCAAUGAAAACAUUUGCUUUUCAAUCUAUAGCAGAUGAGAUCGUUGAAAGAUGCGGAGGACUGCCUGUUGCACUGAUUACACUUGCAAAAGCUUUGAAAAAUGAGAGGCUUGACACUUGGAAAGAUGUGUUGAAUCAGCUAAGAAGUUCCAAUGCAAAAGAAAUUGAUGGAAUGGAAAUAAAUGUGUACAUCUCCAUAAAAUUGAGUUACGACUUAUUGGGAAGUAAGGAAGCAAAAUCUCUGUUCCUUCUUUGUGGUCUAUUUAGUGAAGGUCAUGCUAUACCAGUUUCUUCCUUAUUGAGAUAUGGUAUGGGUAUGGGCUAUUUUAAAAACGUUUACACACCGGAAGAAGCAAGAAGUAGAGUGCAUACGUUGAUCGGCAAACUCAAAUCUUCAUGCUUAUUGUUGGACGGUGAUACUGAAGCUAAAGUUAAAAUGCAUGACGUCAUUCAUGCUGUUGCUGUAUCAAUUGCAGAAGAGGAGCUCAUGUUUAAUAUUCCAAAUGUUGCCGACUUGGAGAAAAAGAUGGAAGAGACAGUACAGGAAGGUCCAAUUGCUAUUUCUUUACCUUAUAGAGGUAUUCAAGUGCUUCCUGAAAGGUUGCAAUGUCCCUGUCUUGAGCUAUUGCAUACGGAGGGUGAUGGCUCUAUGCAAGUUUCAGACCACCUUUUUAAAGGGACGGAAGGACUCAAAGUUUUGAAUUUUAAUCGAAUUCACUUCUCUUCAUUACCUUCAUCACUUGGUUGCCUCAUUAACCUUCAAACAUUGUGCUUAGACUAUUGCCGACUAAAAGAUAUAGCAAUAGUUGGACAGCUAAAGAAAUUAGAGAUUCUCAGCCUUGUAUAUUCCGAUAUCAAGCAGUUACCACUUGAAAUUGGACGAUUGACGCGGUUACAGUUGCUAGAUUUGAGCAAUUGUUGGAGCCUUGAGUUGAUACCACCAAAUGUCAUAUCAAAAUUAUCUCGAUUAGAAGAAUUGUUUAUGCAUAACAGCUUUUCACAGUGGGAUAAGGUAGAAGGAGGAAGUAAUGCCAGUCUUGUCGAGUUGAAGGGGUUGUCAAAGCUAACUACUUUGGAGAUACAUGUUUCGGAUUCCGAAAUUCUGCCGCUGGAUUUUGUCUCUGUGGAAUUGGAAAGAUAUAAGAUAUUUAUAGGACAAAUGUCUGUCCGGUGGCUCGUCGAAUCUAAAACAUCAACAUUGAUGGUGCUCAAGGGGCCAGAACAAGUUAGCCUUCUUUUGGGGAAUGAUGGGACGAAAAUGUUGCUGAAGAGAACUGAAGAUCUCCGUCUAUGCUCACAGAAGGGUGUUCAGAAUAUUGUUCAUGAAUUAGACGAUGGGGAAGGUUUUCCACGAUUGAAGCAUCUUCAUGUAAAAAGUUGUUCUGAGAUUUUACAUAUUGUCGGUUCAGUUGGACGGGUUCGUUGCGAAGUCUUUCCCUUGCUGGAGUCAUUGGAUCUUAUUAAUUUAACUAAUUUGGAGACGAUAUGCUACAGCCAACUCAGAGAAGAUCAAUCUUUCAGCAACUUAAGGAAAAUAAACGUAGAUUUCUGUCCAAAAUUGAAGUAUCUCUUCUCAUUCUCUAUGGCCAAAAACCUAUUGCGGCUUCAAAAAGUAAAAGUGGAAAACUGCGAUGAUUUGAAAAUGAUUAUUGGUAAGUGUUGAAAUUAAUUAUUGGUAGGAUUAUUGACAUUGACUCAUUCUUUUUUUCUUUUCUUUUUUUUUUUUUGGUGAAAAAAACAACGGAUGUUUAUUAUAUAUUGUUUUUGUUCAUUUAUAGGGCCCGACAUGGAGAAACCAACAACAACUCAGGGAUUCACAGAAAUCAUUGCAGAGGAUGAUCCUGUUCACCAAGUAAUAAUUUUCUGUUUAAUAAUUAAUUAAUUAAUAUAUUAUCACGAUUGAUCUUCAAUCAUCGAAAGAAUAUUAUAUUAGAAGUUGUAGUUGAAGGAACAAAAAUGUAUGGUUUUUCUUUGCAGGUUACUUUUCCACGCUUGGAGGAACUGAAACUUGUCAGUUUAACAAACAUCAAAAAAUUAUGGCCCGAUCAAUUUCAUGGAAUGUAUUGUUGUCAAAAUUUAACAGAAGUGACCGUGUUCGGUUGUGAUCGUCUGAAGUAUCUGUUUUCAUAUUCUAUGGUUAAUAGUCUUGGGCAACUCCAACAUCUUGAGAUACGAAAUUGCUGGUCAAUUGAAGGGGUAGUCAACACCACGGGGUUAGGAGGAAGAGAUGAAUUGAAGGUUUUUCCCAAACUACACUACCUGUCGCUCCAUUGGCUUCCAAAACUAAGUAGCUUUGCCUCACCAGAAGACGUCAUUCACACUGAAAUGCAACCUCAAUCCCUCUUUGAUGAAAAGGUUUUUUUUCAUUGAAUUUUUAAAUUCUCUUUUCGUUGAGUCUUCAAAUUUAAUUAAUAUCCAUCUCUAACUGCAUUGAAUUUUCAACUUCAGGUACGACUCCCAAGUCUGGAGGUAUUACAUAUUAAGAGGCUGGAUAAGUUGAGAAAAAUAUGGCACCACCAGCUUGCUUCGAAGUCAUUUAACAAAUUGAAAAAAUUUGAGAUAUCAGGGUGUCAUAAUCUACUGAAUAUUUUUCCUCCAUUGGUAAGAUUGCUAUAUUCAUUUUGAAUUUUUAUUUCAAAUAACAUUCAACAAUUAUUUUAAUCAUUUUUGUGUUUACAAAUAAUUUUCAUUCACAAAUUAUUUAUUGCAAGUAUUGUACUUCAAACUUCUGGAGGGAAAAAAAGUAGUGUACUUCAAAUCACCAUUCUGAACUCUGCAUUUUCAAUCUAAUUUAUAGGUUCACCUGCAUUAAAGUCAACAAUAUAAUUGUUUUAAACACGAUUCAACAGCAUAAUAUGAUUCAAUUUAAUUGUUUUUUUUCUUAAAUCCUAAUAAAUAAGAUUUCCAGAAAUUAAAAGAUACUUAGUUACUCAGCUUUUAAGUUCACAAAUUCAUAUAUAUUUCUCUUUUCCUUGGGUCUUUAGAUUUCGAUUUUAAAAAUAAAAUAAAGAAAAGUGUUCAAAUGUAGUUAAUAUCUCUAGUUUAGUUAUGAAUUGAUUACGCCAUUGAUUAAGCACAAAUUCAUGAUGGUCAUUUUGAAUCGACCGUUGAUUAAAAAAUUUCCUCAAAUAUUCACUCUAUAACAGUCCCAUGUUGAUGGCGUUGGGAAGUGUUUUCCAGAAAUGUUUUCCAUUUUUAAAAGCAUGAAUAUCGGGAAAAAAAAAAAUGGGAAAUACAGCGUUUUAGUUUAGUUAUUUUAAAAAUAGGCAUGUUUGAAAAUUAAAAAUUUUUAAAAACUAGCAUCAAGAUGAAAAAUGAAUUUAGAAUAUUUAAAAAUUACCUGAAAUUCUUUCUCUGUUCCUAAUACUAAAUAGUGUAAAUGCAUUUUCAUUAUCUUUGUUUUUCUGGUCUUCUAUUUAUUUAUUUUUGUUUUAAUUUUUUCCUUUUUUUCUUUAACAAAAAAUAUCUAGUAGACAUUCAUGGUUUGUUAUUUUUCAUAAAACAAUUGUAUGAUUUUGACAUACUUUGAAUCUAGUUGAAUGCUACUCUUUAUUUUCAGGUUGGAAUUCCCAAUAGUCUAGUGAAUCUUAAUGUAUCAUACUGUGAAAAAAUAGAAGAAAUCAUAGGACAUGUUGGAGAAGAAGCGAAGGAGAAUCGUAUUGCUUUCAACGAAUUAAAACAUUUGGAACUUGAUCAUUUACUAAGGCUUACCAGCUUUUGUUUGGAGAAUUACACUCUUGAAUUCCCAUCAUUGGAACGAGUAUCUGUGACACAUUGUCCGAACAUGAAGACUUUUUCUCAGGGAAUCGUAUCCACACCAAAGUUGCACGAAGUGCAGGUGAGUAAAAAGGAAGUAUUAAGUUUUAUAUGAAACUGUGAUGUUGUUUGGUUACUAAGAAAAUAGGAAGAAAGAAAACUUCUGUAAGCUGAGAAUUCUGUUAUUAUUGACCUAAUGAAUCUGGAAAUUACAAGCCUUUUUAUAUGUGCAUAGAAGAUUCUACACACAUUGCACACACGCACAGUUUAAUACUAACAACCUCUAUAACAACCUUUAGCUGACUCAGCUGCCAUGUCAGCAUACUCAUUAACUAACUAAUUCUAUUCUUAACAGGAAGAGGGUGAAUUGCGCCGUUGGGAAGGCAACCUUAAUUCCACUAUACAAAAGUGUUACGAAGAAAUGGUAUGUGUUAAAUCGAUUCGUCGAAAUUACUUAUGCAUCUCCCUUGCACUUGCACAUUUAAGUAUAUACACCUGCCUUGUAUAUAUAGUUUUAGAAGUUAAAACACAAAACAUGUAAGUUUAAUGUAUAUAUAUCUAAUGCCUUUCAAAAAGAAAAAAAAUUGUAUAUAUCCAGUGCAAUUGUUUUGGUUUGUGCAGAUUGGAUUUCGUGACAUAAUGCGUUUGCAACUUUCGCAUUUUCCACGUUUGCAAGAAAUAUGGCAUGGCCAAGCACUGCCUGUCAGCUUCUUCAACAAUUUAAGAGAGCUGGUGGUGGAUGACUGCACGAAUAUGUCGAGUGCUAUUCCUGCCAAUCUGCUACGGUGCUUGAACAAUUUGGAAUACCUGGCAGUGAGGAAUUGUGAUUCACUAGAAGAGGUGCUUCAUUUGGAAGAACUAAUUAAUGCUGAGGAAGAACAUUUUGGCCAACUGUUCCCUAAUCUUUACGAGCUAAAGCUCAUUGAUCUUCCAAAACUCAAAAGAUUCUGCAACUUCACUGGGAAUAUAAUUGAACUGCCUAAGUUGGACAAUCUAACUAUUGAGAAUUGCCCUAGUAUGGAAACACUGCCUGUCAGCUUCUUCAACAAUUUAAGAGACCUGGUGGUGGAUGACUGCACGAAUAUGUCGAGUGCUAUUCCUGCCAAUCUGCUACGGUGCUUGAACAAUUUGGCAUGGCUGAAAGUGAGGAAUUGUGAUUCACUAGAAGAGGUGCUUCAUUUGGAAGAGCUAAGUGCUAAGGAAGAACAUAUAGGCCCCAUGUUUCCUGAGCUUUCCCUGCUAGGGCUCAUUGAUCUUCCAAAACUCAAAAGAUUCUGCAACUUCACUGGGAAUAUAAUUGAAAUGCCUAAGUUGGAAUAUCUCAUUAUUGAGAAUUGCCCUGAUAUGGAAACAUUCAUAUCCAACUCUGUAGUGCACGUGACAACAGAUAACAAGGAACCUCAAAAAUUAACAUCAGAAGAGAACUUCUUGCUGGCUCAUCAAGUACAACCUCUCUUUGAUGAAAAGGUGAUUAUUAUUAUUAUUAUUAUUUUUCCCUUCACUUUCGUUUCAUAGAUGUAAUUUCAUUAGAAUCAAAUCAAAUUUAAUGACUCAUCUUUUUGCACGUCGUCUUAAUUUUUAUAUGAUUUAACAAUAUAACUGCAGUUAUUAACUAUCUUUAUAGUAUGAAUUAUAAAAAUGUCUGAAAUUAAUUGGAUGCCUGAUAACACGAGGUGAUCUAUUAAUUAUGUGUAUUACAUCUCUGUUUUCCUAGCUAAUUCAUAUUGGAUUUAGCAUCAGAUUUCAUUUAUGUGUUUCAAAGGGUAAUCGAUUUGAUACUUAUAUUUGGGAUCCUACUGCAAAGCAUACUAAUUUGGAAAUAAAAUAUAAAAUGCCGUGAUUAAUCUUGUCCAUAAAAUAUGCAGGGGAAGACUGCAGAGAUUGGAUACAUAUUUUCAUUUACAACUUAAUUUUGUUGAUUUUUAGGUUGCAUUCCCUCAAUUGAGUUGGUUAACGCUAUCUGGAUUACACAAAGUGCAGCAUCUCUGGAAGGAAAAUGACGAAUCCAACAAAGCGUUUGCAAACUUGGCAAGUCUAGAAAUAUCGGAAUGUAUUCAGUUGCAAAAAUUAGUACCACCUUCGUGGCAUUUGGAAAAUAUGUGGGGACUGGAAGUAUCGAAGUGUCACGGGUUGAUAAAUGUGUUGACGCUCUCAGCAUCUAAAAAUCUAGUGAACCUUGAAAGAAUGAAGAUAGCUGAUUGCAAAAGGAUAGAAGAAAUCAUACAGUCGCCGGUUGCAGAAGAAGCGAAAGAUUGCACUGUUUUCAAGAAAUUGAAGUACUUGACACUUGAUUGUUUGCCAAGCCUAACAAGCUUUUGUUUAGGUAAUUACGCUCUUGAAUUCCCGUCCUUGAAACAAGUAGUUGUGAGACAGUGUCCAAAAAUGAAGAUCUUCUCUCAAGGAGUCUUAGACACACCAAUGCUAAACAAAGUGAACGUCACCGAAGAAGAAAAAGAUGAUGAUGAUGAAGGAUGUUGGGAAGGCAACCUCAAUGACACCAUAAAAAAAUUGUUCAAUGAAAUGGUGAGUAUCAAUUAAGUUUUGAUGCUAUUUAGCAAAUUAUUUUAUAGAAACUAAUGUGAUAUAAUAUGAUUGGUUGACUGAAAAUAUAUAAUAAUAAUAAUAAUAAUAAAUAAAUAAAUAAAUAAAUUAUGAGGACCAUGUAAUGUUUUUGUUUAAUCAAUCAUAUUAUGUCGCAUUAGUUUAUACAAUAUUAUUUGUGCACAAGAGGUGGUGGUCAUAUCAUUACUCUAGCUUUAUUAUUCUUAUGGUGGCAAUGUAUGCUUGCUUACACGAGUAAUUACAAAAUCUGCAGAAUUCUAAAGAAGAGAUUGAGCCAACCCUUCAGGUACAGUGAAGAAGCUAUCCCGAACCAGGCCAAUCUCUUAUACAUGAUUCAGCUUGCUCGUUCUUCUGUACUUGAAUAAUUUGGUUCUAUAUAUUUACAAUUUUUCGCUCAUGCUACAGACUUGCAAGACACUUUGGAUUUUGUUUGAUGCAUUCUCCGUUUAAGAAAGGACUUGAAUUGAUGUUUCAUGUUUCAUGCAAUAUUCAAUUAGAUUCUGCCUAAAUUUCUGUAUUAUUCGUUCAAUUGGUCUUUUAAGCAUUUGAUUUCUAACCUCUCCUAAUGGAAGAUCAUUAUCUGAAGAAAACAGCAUAACAUUUGUGGCAUUAUCAGAAUAAGAAUAUUUUUGAGUAUAGUAAAAUUAUCUCCACCACUGUUAAAAAGAAUUAAUCAGUCAAACUGACCUCACACCAGCACGCUUUAAAUUAAAAGAAUUUCGUGAAGUCGAGACCAUGUUAUAGAUCUCAUGGAAAGAAGUAAACCCGUAAUUUUUUUCACAGCAUCAUAAGAAAAAUCAUUUUUUUUAAGUAUUUUUGCUAGCUGUUGAGUUUUAAUAGUAGUAGCUAUUAAACAAUAACAAUUAGUGUAUAUUAAAAAGUUGGAAACUGGUUGAUACCACUCGGGAAUCGAGCAGUUCACUUGUUUGCGAGUAGAAACCUACUUUACUACUAAUUACACUCAUACCAAAAAUAGUAACUAAAGAAUCAGGAAAUUUCCUAUUCACUAUUCUUCAUUUUUUAAUGCAAAAUUCCCAUUCGAAAACACCAAUGACUUUCAUUCAAAGUAAAUGAGAAAUUACAAUGAAAAUAGAAUCAAAAUACAUGUAUGUAUACCUAAAACAAAUGAUUUUUUUAAUUAAAAAAAAAACACAGUUGAGGUGAAAUGAAACCAGAGUCAUGAUAUCUCUGGUUCCAGCUUUGGGACAACAGCAGACUUGAGUUCUCUAUGAGAAACACGUACAACACCAAUCAGCCGCUCCGGUAAUUCAUCUGUAGUAUUUGCCUGCAUACAGAAGAGCAAGAUAAAGAAGACACACACAGAAGCAUUAUAUCAUUCUGAGAACAUUCAAGUAUGCAAAAAUGCAAGUUGCAGUGCAAUAUCUCAAAAUCAUGUCUUUUCCCUUGUGUCCAUUUAGCAGUGGGGGAAAAAAACAAUCAUACAUACCUGUACAAGGAAAGCCAUGUCAACCACCAAUGUCGUAAUUACACCAAUUACAAGGCCCAAAACUCCAUUAGCAACAGUAGAAGAAUCGAUGUCAACAUCAAUCUACAGAAAGAUGAACAAUGUUAAACCAUGUUAAAGGUAUUGGACGCUAUUUGAAAGGGGAACAUCUCAUGUACUAUAGAAAUUCCAAGAGCAUUUACUUCUAAGUACUUGGGACCGCGAAUAUAGUUACAAUCAACUGCCUUCCCCAAUAAACAAGGGGUGCUUCCAACACUCUGGCGCACUAUCCAUGACCCCUGCAUGAUUCAGUGCUGAAAAUCAAGAACAAGUGCAAAACAAAUUCAAGAGGGUAAAAAGGAGAUAAAGUUUGAAGGUACAACCCAUCAAUACAUUCACACCUAAAUGCAUGCCUUCUUUGUACAAAUUGAAGUGUACCAUGCAGUAAAGGGUAAGUAUACGUUAAUAUAGUCCUACUACAUGAAGGCCAAGAUGGAUACCUUAGGAACAGAUGGAAUAAGUUUCAACCUACUAUUGCGAAAUUCAUCAUCGCCAUCAACAAACCGUUGCAAAAGUGAUCCCGUAACCAAUUGCCUUGUGACAAAAUAAAAUACCAUACUAUAAUGUGUUGAACCAGGAACCUGCAGAUGCUUAGGUUACAACUAUACAACCUCCCAAUACAAUAAGUUUGAAACUUAUACCUUCUGAAAUGAAACAAACUUUCUUGAAGAUUAAAGAUCAGUGAGAAAAGCCCUUUUUCAGAAGCAACCUACAUAUUUUAGAAUAGGGCUCAGUGCGUUAUAGAUUCAAUGAACCAUGAGAAGUUAUUUACAUUGUUGUAUCUCACAGGCAGUCUUUUCUCCUAAUGUAUCAAGGGAAAAUGCUAGUGAAUUGAAUGAAGCUAGAGCAGAGCAUGAUGUUGCUGUGUAGCUGACUUUAGCAGAUCAACUCACUAAGCUAACCUGGCAAAGUUAUUUAGCUGGUUGAGCUGAUGUGUCAAAUUAGUUAUGCAGCAAAUGGUUAUGUGAUGUAACAAACUCGUGUGUGUGUUGAGCAAAUUGUAGCUUAAUAUAAAUAUCAGUCUGUAUUCAUUCAGUUGUAAUGCUAAAGUAAUAAAGGUUCUACAAACUUCUUUACAGAGCUUUCUUUUAUUUUCUUCAUUUUCUAGCUUGCCAAACAAUGCAAAACUAAGUUUCUUUCAUGGUAUUAGAGCCAUAAAUGGCGAAUACAGUUCAAAAUAACAACUCUUUUAGUUUUGUUACGCCUGUAAAGCUAGACCAAAACAACUUCAUUUUAUGGCGGGCACAAAUUUUAGCAUCGAUCAAAGGAAACGGUCUGGAAGGGUUUAUCAAUGGUGAUCAAGAAUGUCCUGAGCAGUUUCUUUCUUCUGGAAACAACAAUGGAGCUGAAAUUUUUACUGAAUCUGAAUCCAAAUCUAUUAAUCCAGAGUUCAUAGCUUGGAUGAAGACUGAUCAACUUCUGUUGAGUUAGAUGAUGUCGUCGAUACAGCAAAAUCUACUUGCUACUGUGAUUGACUCCACAACUUCAAAACAGCUUUGGAAGACUCUUACUAGUAUGUUUAUUUCUUAAUCACAAGCUAGAAUUCAAACACUUAGAAUGCAGAUUCAAACUAUUAAGAAAGGUGCAAUGCAUAUGUCUGAUUACUUUGCAAAAGUAAAACGUAUAGCUGAUACUUUAGCUCUAGCUGGAAAACCUGUUGAGUUAAGUGAUCUUGUGAUGCAUGUAUUAACUGGUCUUGAUUCAUCAGAUUAUGAAUCUUUAGUCACAGGUGUUUUAGCUCGAGGUGAGAAGAUAACAUUAGAUGAACUAUAUCCUUUGCUAUUGAAUCAUGAAAAUAGAGUUGAACAAAAGAAAGGAAAAAUUGCUGGUGAUGUGAUGCACAAUAUGACAGCAAAUAUUGCUCAAAAGAACUCAUAUGCUGGAAAGAAUAAUGGCAAUUUUCAAAAAAAUUAUGGAAAUAAUUCUAGGUAUGGAGGUUUUAAUGGAUAUGGAUAGGGUCAGUUUAAUAAUGGUGGUAAUUCCUCUGAAAUUGUUUGUCAAAUCUGCUUCAUACCUGGUCAUGCAGCCAAUAGAUGCAAAAAUAGGUACAAUUCAUCUUUUGUUCCACAGAGAAACUAUGGCAGAGGUAAUAUGAAUGGUGGCAGAGGUUUUAAUCAAGGGCAAUAUGGUAGAGGAAGAGCUUUUAAUAGUAAUGGUGGCAGAGGUUUUGGAGGUUUUGGUUUAAAUGCUGGUUUUGGCUAUGCACCCAGGGGUUUUGGCUAUCAAGGAAAUAUGGUGUAUCCAGAUAGUAAUCCUUCUGCUUAUUACUCAUUCACCCCUGGACCAUCUACUUUUGUUUCUGGUCAAGGAAAUAAUAAUCCUGGACAGUCAAGUGCUUCAUCUUCCUCAGCUAUGCCUUCUUCACUUCCACCAGAACACAUUGAAGAUCCUUCAUGGUAUAUUGAUAGUGGAGCAACAAAUCACAUUACAAAUGAUCUAGGUAAACUUCUGGAUUCACAAAUUUAUACUAGUACUGAAAAAUUAUUUGUUGGAGAUGGAAAUGCAUUAGCUAUUACACAUGUAGGAUCAGUUGUGCUAAAUACUUCAACUUCUAAACCUUUAAAAACCAUGUUCUUCAUGUCCCUUUUAUUACUAAGAAUUUGCUUAGCAUUUCAAAAUUAUUGGCUGACAAUCCAGUUACUGUUGGAAUUUCUUGGUGAUUUGUUUUUUAUAAAGGCUAGGAACACAAGGAAAAUUUUACUUGAAGGUGUUGCUAAAGGUGACUUGUAUAGAGUCUCUUCACAUGUUGCUGCUCAUUCAGUCUUUCUCAAUUCAGUUGGUCAAAAUAAAAUUCACUCUCUUUGCUUGUUCUCCUGUUUUCAAUUCUGAUCAGCUCACUGCUGUUAGUUCUUAUGAAUUGAAUAAAAAGCCAUGUCUGUCAGUUGUUACAAAGAGUUCUAUUGAUGUAAAUCUUCUUCAUAGAAGAUUAGGACACCCAGCAUCUUAUACUCUCAAAACUAUACUCAAAACUUGUAACAACUCUACUGCUUAUAAUAAAAUUGAAAGCUUGAAAUUUUGUUCAGCAUGUCAAUAUGGGAAAAAUCAUAUGCUGCAUUUUGAUUCAGUUGAAACAAAAACUUCAGCACCCUUACAAGUGAUAUAUGCAGAUCUUUGGGGUCCUUCUCAUGUCUGUUCUACCCAAGGAUAUAAUUACUACUUAUCAAUCUUAGAUGAUUAUAGUAGAUUUACCUGGAUAUUUCCAUUGUCAGCCAAAUCUGAUGCUCUUGAAGUGUUUACCAAUUUCAAAAUUUUUAUUGAAAAGCAUCUUCAACUUCAAAUCAAAACUGUCCAAACUGAUUGGGGAGAAGAGUUCAGAACAUUUUCCUCAUUACUCACUGCUUCUGGUAUCCAUUUUAGACACCCUUGCCCACAUAUUCAUCAUCAAAAUGGAAGAAUUGAGAGGAAACAUAGACACAUAGUUGAUGUAGGUCUGACCUUAUUAGCUCAAGCACAUUUACCACUCAAAUUUUGGUGGAAUGCAUUCCACACAGCUGUCUAUUUGAUAAACAGACUUCCAACUCCAAUUCUAAACAACAUUUCUCCUUUCCAAAAGUUAUUUCAUCAUCAACCAGAUUAUUCAACACUUAAAACCUUCGGUUGUGCUUGUUAUCCAACACUCAGACCAUACAAUAGACAUAAGUUUGAUUUCAGAACUGCCAGAUGUAUAUUCAUUGGCUACAAUUCACAACACAAGGGAUAUCAGUGUCUUCACUCUUCUAAGAGGGUUUACAUUUCAAAUCAUGUCACCUUUGAUGAAAAUUCUUUUCCUUAUGAGUCUGGAGCAGAUUUUUCUUCACUCUCUUCAAGUUGUCAGUCAACAAAAAAUUAUAAGUCUUCUUUCAAUUCCUCUGUUCCUUCUAUUACUCAGUUACAAGCACCUUUAGCAGCAUCAUCAGAACACCAUCAAAAUGUUCAUCAUUCAGAUGCUCCUACUCCCUCACCAAAUUCUACUCCACUUUAUUUUUCUGAUAAUUCCAACUCAGCUUCUUCUUCUUCACCACCACAUAAUUCACCUCCACAUACAUUGCCACAACCUGCAUCAACUGGUCAUCCAAUGAUAACCAGGUCAAAAGCAGGUAUUUUCAACCCAAAAAUUUAUUUGUCAGCUUUAUUAGCCCAGAAAUCAGAACCAACUUCUGUUUCCCAAGCACUUUCUGAUCCUAUGUGGUAUAAGGCUAUGCAAGAAGAGUAUCUAGCACUUAAAACUAAUCACACCUAGGAUUUAGUUUUACAUGCUACUCCAGUGAAGAUAGUUGGCAGCAAAUGGGUGUUUUGAAUAAAGUAUAACUCAGAUGGUUCAGUUUCAAGAUAUAAAGUCAGGCUUGUUGCAAAGGGGUUUCAUCAGACACAUGGGAUUGACCAUACAGAAACUUUUAGUCCAGUGGUUAAAGCUUCAACUGUUAGAGUUAUUCUUAGCUUAGCAGUAUUGAAUCAAUGGGUGAUUAGGCAAGUAGAUGUUAAUAAUGCCUUUCUAAAUGGCAUUUUAAUUGAAGAGGUGUACAUGGCUCAACCUGAAGGUUUUGUUGACUCAACUAAACCUAAUCAUAUCUGCAAGCUGAAUAAAGCUUUGUAUGGCUUAAAACAGGCACCUAGAGCCUGGUUUGAUAGAUUCAAGGAUGCAAUGAUCUCUAAACGGCAUUUCCAGCAUUCAAGGUCUGAUAACUCUCUGUUUCAUGCCUGGAACAGUGGUCAUCUAACUCUUGUUUCGGUCUAUGUUGAUGAUAUUAUCAUCACUAGUUCCAGUCCAACACUAAUUCAGCAAGUUAUUAAGAUUAUGAAUUUGCUUUAAAAGACAUGGGGGAACUUAGCUAUUUUCUGGGGAUUGAAGUCAGCAAGUCUUCACAAGGGGUUUCCUUGACACAAGCAAAGUAUAUUACUGACAUUCUGGAUAAACAUGGCAUGACAGAUUGCAGUCCUGUGCCUACUCCAAUGUCUACUGGUUAUUAUCUCACAAAAGAAUCAGGAGAGCUAAUUGAUAAUGUUUCUCAAUAUAGGAGUGUUAUAGGAGCUCUUCAAUAUGUUACUCUUACCAGACCUGACAUUGCUUUCUCUGUAAACAACCUAAGUCAAUUCCUUUCAAGUCCUAGAACACAACAUUGGGAAACAUGCAAAAGGUUAUUGAGGUACUUAAAAGGCACUAUACAUCUUGGGCUGCAAUUUAAUAACAAAGGAGCUUUGCAACUACAUUGUUUUUCAAAUUCUGACUGGGCUUGUGAUCGUGAUGAUAAGAAGUCAGUGGCUGGCUUUGCUGUUUACCUAGGCCCUAAUCUAGUCUCAUGGUCAUCAAAGAAACAAGCUGUUGUUUCCAGGUCCAGCACAGAGGCUGAGUAUAGAUCUCUUGCUCAUGCUGAUUCAGAGGUUCCCUGGUUACAAUCUUUACUUGGUGAACUUAACAUCAAAUUGAGCUCUACUCCUAUGAUGUGGUGUGAUAAUCAAGAAGCAAUUGCUUUAGCUUACAAUCCAGUCUAUCAUGCUAAAACUAAGCAUGUCGAAUUGGAUAUACAUUUUAUCCGAGAUAAAGUUACUGCUAAAGAGAUUGAAGUAUGUUUUGUGCCCAGUCAAGAUCAAACAGCAGAUGUGUUGACUAAGGCUUACUUUCAAACAGUUUAGUUACUUAAGAAGCAAGCUGAAUGUUCAUCCUAAACAUUUCAGCUUGAGGGGGGAUGUUAGUGAAUUGAAUGAAGUUGGAGCAGAGCAUGAUGUUGCUGUGUAGCUGACUGUAGCAGAUCAACUCACUAGGCUGACCUGGCAAAGUUAGUUAGCUGGUUGAGCUGAUGUGUCAAAUUAGUUAUGCAGCAAAUGGUUAUGUGAUGUAACAAACUUGUGUGUGUGUUGAGCAAAUUGUAGCUUAAUAGAAAUAUCAGUCUGUAUUCAUUCAGUUGUAAUGCUAGAGUAAUAAAGGUUCUACAAACUUCUUUACAGCGCUUUCUUUUAUUUUCUUUCAUUUUCUAGCUUGCCAAACAAUACAAAACUAAGUUUCUUUCAGAAAAGGAAAAAUAAAAAGAAAAGAAUAGUUACUGUUGAAAAUAAAGAUUCAAAGUUAUGAUUUCUUUGUAAUCUAGGCUAUUUUAGGAAUAAGUUAAAUUAUAAUGGGAAGAUUCAUUAGGAUUUUUUCCAGAUUUUGUUUCCUAUUAUUUAGGAAAGGAUAGAUGUAGUCUCCUAUUUUCUCUCCUAUUUUGCUGUAUAUAUUCCCUGUACAUACUGUUCUGGAAAGUAAGAAAAAGAGGAACCAAUUCACAUUUUUCUUCAUGGUAUCAGAGCCUGGCUCUAAACCCUAGUUCUCCUAUCAGCCGCCAUUUCCUUCUUCUCUCAUAAAUUGAACAAUCUACCUUCCUUCCUCUCCCAUCAAUUGUAUUCUCUGUGGCAAAAUACGGGAUGGCUUCCUCAUCAACCUCUGUUACAGUAUCACAGUCUAAAGGAAACGUGGAGACUGCAACUCAUGGUGGAAUUGAUUCUUCACCGAUCUUAAUUACCAGUCAUAAAUUGAACGGCCACAAUUAUCUCCAGUGGUCACAAUCUGUCAUGAUGUUCAUCUGUGGCAAGGGUAAGGAUGAUUAUCUCACGGGUGAGGCGGCCAUGCCAAAGGUAUCAGACCCUAGUUUCAAAAGGUGGAAGUCAGAGAACAACAUGAUCAUGUCAUGGCUUAUCAAUUCCAUGAACAAUGAUAUUGGUGAGAAUUUUCUUCUGUUUGGGACUGCAAAGGACAUAUGGGAUGCUGCAAAGGAAACCUAUUCUAGCUCUGAGAACACAUCAGAGUUAUUCCAGAUUGAAACCAUCCUCCAUGACUUCCGCCAAGGAGAACAAUCUGUCACUCAGUACUUUAAUACUCUGACUAGGCAUUGGCAACACCUUGAUCUAUUUGAAACAUACCCUUGGAAGUGCACCGACGAUACAACCUUGUACAAGAAGAUUGUGGAACAGAAGAGAACGUUUAAAUUUCUCCUCGGACUCAAUAAAGAUCUUGAUCAGGUUAGGAGCCGUGUACUCGGGACAAAGCCUCUACCACGCCCUCGUGAAGCCUUUUCUGAAGUUAGGCAUGAAGAAAGUAGGAAAAAGGUGAUGAUGGGGUCAUCAGAACCAACACUGGACGCCUCUGCACUUGCUGCCCGUGCAUCCAACUCUGUAGGGGUUAGUGAAAAUCGUACAAAGAAAGAAAGACCAUGGUGCGAUCACUGUCGUAAGGCAGGCCACUAUAAGGAGAGUUGCUGGAAAAUUUAUGGCAAGCCUGCUGAUUGGAAACCUCGUUCCAAAGGUGACCGUGAAUCUCGUGCUCAUGCAGCAUCCACCACGGACAAUCAGGCCCUACCCGAGCCAAAUCCAUUCAGCAAGGAGCAAAUGGAGAUUCUUCAAAAGCUUUUCGAUCAAGCCACUUUGAACUCCAAUGCAGGGACAAGUCUAGUGGCUCAGAAAGAGACUCAUUCAGCAUUUGCAGCCACUAAUGGAGCAAGCAAACCUUGGAUAAUUGACACUGGUGCUUCUGAUCACAUGACUGGAGAUGCCUCAAUGUUGCAGGAUUAUAAAGCUAGCAUCAACAGCACUUCAGUCUGGAUCGCAGAUGGCUCUCACACAAAAAUAGCAGGGACAGGUUCCAUCAGACUCACUAAGGAGUUACACCUUAAUUCUGUACUUUAUGUGCCUAAUUUGGCUUGCAAUUUACUUUCAAUCAGUAAAUUCACUCGUGAUCAGAAUUGUGUAACUAAAUUCUAUCCAAAUAUGUGCGUUUUUCAGGACUUGGAUUCGCGAAGACGAUUGGCAGUGCUGAGCUAUGUUCUGGACUCUAUCUACUCAAAAGCGAUCAAUCCUCCUUCAUACAAGAUUCGAGAGCAAACUGUGCCAAGUCCAAUAGUCUGUCAACUAGUUAUCCUCAUUCUAUUGUUAGUCCAAAUGUCAAUAACGAUAGUGAAAUUGUUCUGUUACACUAUCGAUUAGGUCAUUCUAGUUUCAUGUAUCUCGCAAAAAUUUUUCCCAAUCUAUUCAUCAAUAAAAACCCUUUAUCAUUUCAUUGUGAAAUUUGUCAAUUUGCAAAACAUACUCGAAAUGUUUAUUCAAGUGUUAAGUAUAAGCCUUCUCGUCCAUUUGCUUUAAUUCACAGUGAUGUGUGGGGUCCCUCAAGAAUUAAAAAUGUUUCUGGGGCUCGCUGGUUUUUGUCAUUUGUGGAUGAUCAUACUCGUCUCACUUGGGUGUUUCUCAUGAAAAACAAAUCCGAAGUUAGUCAAAUCUUCCAAAACUUUAACGCCAUGAUUCAAACCCAAUUCAAUACCAAAAUCCAAGUCCUUAAAACCGACAAUGCCAAGGAAUAUUUCAAAGACUCCCUCAGCUCAUAUCUUCUCCAUCAAGGCAUUCUUCACAUCAGUUCUUGUGUUGACACCCCGCAACAAAAUGGGGUCGCUGAACGCAAAAACAGACACCUUCUUGAAGUGGCUCGCUGUCUUUUGUUCUCAUCUCAUGUUCCUAAUUUUUUCUGGGGUGAAGCUGUUCUCACUGCAGCCUACUUAAUCAACCGAAUGCCUUCUAGAGUCUUGGGGUUUCAUUGCCCAAGAAAAGUUCUUCUCAAUUUCUUUCCACACACUAGGAUUGUUUCAGCAGAUUUACCACAAAAAAUAUUCGGUUGCACAGCAUAUGUCCAUGUUCACUCUCAACACAGGACUAAACUUGAUCCCCGAUCUCUCAAGUGUAUAUUUUUAGGCUAUUCUCCACAUAAAAAAGGAUACAAAUGCUAUUCUCCUCAUACCAGAAAAAUAUACAUUUCCAGAGAUGUAACAUUUGUUGAAAACCUGCCUUUAUAUUCCAAAACUGUUGUUCAGGGAGAGAGUAUGAGCGAACAUCAGCCUUGGGAAUCUUCUUGGCAAUCUUGGCUGGAAACCCCUCAUGAAAACCCUCAUAACUCAACCACCACACAUGAUCAAUCUAUCCAACAGCCACAAUCAGCAAUCCUCCCAACAUCUUCACAACCUUUUGAGUCAUCUGAGUCCUCCCAACCACAAUCAGCCGAGUCACCCCGUCAUCCAUCAGCCCAUCAACUACAGCCUCUAAUCUCACCUCUUCCACAGCUUGCUGUUGAUAAUCUUAAUGUUUAUAGGAGGAGAAGAACUGGAGAGCAGAUAGAGCACAGAACUCAGCCACAUGUCCAAGAAACUGAACCAAAUCCAAGCUCUUAUGAAGACAACACAGGUAUGGAUAGUCUUGCCUCGGUUGAGUUCAUGGUUCCAAGUGUGGAUGAUUCUAAUAAAUCAAUUGCAGAAAGAAAGGGGGUUCAAAGUUGUACCACUCAUCCAAUUGCCAAAUAUGUCUCAUAUGAUGGUUUGUCCCCAUCAUACCGAGCCUUUGUUUCUUCUUUAGAUAAUCUACAUGUUCCCAACAAUAUACAAGAGGCUCUCGGUCAUCCUGAGUGGAAGAGAGCUGUUCAUGAAGAAAUAAAUGCUCUUGAGAAAAAUGAUACAUGGGUUAUAACAGAUCUUCCUGCAGGGAAACGACCAGUUGGAUGUAAGUGGAUUUUUACUGUUAAAUACAAGGCAGAUGGAAGUGUUGAGAGCCUCAAAGCUCGUCUUGUAGCUAAAGGGUUCACACAGUCAUAUGGGAUUGAUUAUCUUGAAACCUUUGCUCCGGUUGCGAAGCUCAACACCAUUAGAAUCUUGCUCUCCUUAGCAGUAAAUCUAGAUUGGUACUUAUACCAACUAGAUAUAAAAAAUGCGUUUCUCAAUGGCGAUCUUGAAGAAGAAGUGUUUAUGGAAGUUCCCCAGGGUCUUGAUCUGAAUCUUACUAGAAAUAAAGUGUGCAAGCUCAAGAAAUCUUUGUAUGGGCUUAAACAAUCCCCUCGAGCAUGGUUUGAUAGAUUUGCGAAGGCAGUUGUGAGACUUGGUUACACUCAGUGUCAGGCAGAUCACACUUUAUUCCUCCGAACAUCACAAGCAAAGAAGAUCUCUCUCCUAAUCGUAUAUGUUGAUGACAUCAUUCUCUCAGGAAAUGAUGAGGAAGAACUGCAGAAGUUGAAGAAACAGCUAGCUCAGGAAUUCGAAGUUAAAGAUCUAGGGAAUCUGAAAUAUUUUCUUGGGAUGGAGGUGGCAAGAUCUAGGAAGGGAAUUGUUGUCUCCCAAAGGAAAUACACCCUGGACUUACUAAAGGAGACUGGUAUGAUUGGGUGCAAACCAGUAGAUACUCCUAUGGAUCCCUACAAGAAACUAGGCUCAGUUGAGAAUAGUGUUCCAGUCAAUAGAGGGAGAUAUCAAAGACUGGUUGGUCGUUUAAUUUAUCUCUCACAUACCCGUCCGGACAUAGGCUUUGUUGUUAGUGUUGUGAGCCAAUUCAUGCACAAUCCUACAGAGGAACACAUGGAUGCAGUCUUUAGAAUUUUGAAGUAUCUAAAGAUGACACCUGGAAAAGGAUUGUUUUUCAAGAAAUCAGAAUAUAGGAAUAUUGAGAUCUACUCUGAUGCAGACUGGGCUGGAGACAUCACAAAUAGAAGAUCAACAUCUGCUUACUGUUCCUAUGUCUGGGGAAAUCUAGUAACCUGGAGGAGUAAGAAACAAUCAGUUGUAGCUAGGAGUAGUGCAGAAGCAGAGUUCAGAGCUUUGGCAAAUGGAAUCUGUGAAGGAAUUUGGAUAAAGCGUGUACUCAAGGAACUCGGUGUGUGCAGCCCUUCAUCCAUUCUAAUGAGGUGUGACAAUCAAGCAGCAAUCAGCAUCGCAAAAAACCCAGUGCAUCAUGAUCGAACCAAACAUGUCGAGAUUGAUAGGCACUUCAUCUCAGAGAAGGUCACUAGUGGAAGUGUGGAACUAAAGUACAUUCCAACUAGACAACAAAUUGCAGACAUCCUUACUAAAGCACUGCCAAGACCUAACUUUGAAGACUUAAGUAACAAGCUGGGUUUGUAUGAUAUACACACACCAGCUUGAGGGGGAGUGUUGAAAAUAAAGAUUCAAAGUUAUGAUUUAUUUGUAAUCUAGGCUAUUUUAGGAAUAAGUUAAAUUAUAAUGGGAAGAUUCAUUAGGAUUCUUUCUAGAUUUUGUUUCCUAUUAUUUAGGAAAGGAUAGAUGUAGUCUCCUAUUUUCUCUCCUAUUUUGCUGUAUAUAUUCCCUGUACAUACUGUUCUGGAAAGUAAGAAAAAGAGGAACCAAUUCACAUUUUUCUUCAGUUACUUGUGCAGUACAGCCUUGACGCCUAGCUACAUGGUCCAUUCUCUUUGUGUCUUUGAACCAAUCAACAGCAACAAGAUCCAUUAAAUGUUUUCCCGCAGGUGUCUGCAGUUACAAAUUGCACAAAGCACAAGAGCCAACCAAACUACAUCAUAACAUGUCGACCUAGCAUAUGCAGGAUAUAUAAAUACCAUAACAAACAACCAAAAUAUGGGGGAACCUUUGUUUUGUCAUAACAAAAAUGCUUGCUACGAACUCUAAAGUUAUUUCCACCAGAAAGUUUCCAGCAGUCACGAGCAUUAUCACAGUCAUCGUGUCGCAGAUUGCCGGAAAAAUAAGACAAAUCAAUUUGAUCAGCCUGCUCUUCCUCUAGGGUAACAACUAAUUGAAAAUUAUAAACCAAAAAAAAAAAAUCAAUACCAUAAAAAUCCACUAAUGAGGACAUUAGCCAAAUAUACAAAAAUGAAUACUUAUCAUCCACCUGUCCUCUUGAAAUCAUUCUCAAUCUUUUUUUCAUUUGCCUGAAAUCCCAAGGAAAAAUAUGGAACUAAUACUUCCCAUUCAUGACUAUUGUCUGUCAUAUAAACAUGACAUUUAAUUGAAAUAGUAAAAUUAUUUAAUUAUUUUAAUUAAAUGUUAAUCCUAUAAAUUAUUUUUGUUAAAUCUAGCAAGAAUAACUAACAUUUCUUUAAGAUAUAUUUUGGCGGUAAAUUAAAAAAAAUUAAUUAUUUGGCGGGAAUUAUUGAAAUUGGAGCCAUUUUUUUGUGGGAAUUGAAAUAUAUUCUUUAAAUUAUUAUAUAAAAAGAAAAAUGUACAUACACACACAUAUAUAUAAUUUAUAUAUAAAAAUUCUCUAAUUUGUUCACAAGUAUCAUAGAUUAUAAUUCAGUUAUGAAAUAAAAUAACUACAAGGAAAAAUAUGUAACUAAUACUUCCCAUUCAUGACUAUUGUCUGUCAUAUAAACAUGACAUUUAAUUGAAAUAGUAAAAUUAUUUAAUUAUUUUAAUUAAAUGUUAAUCCUAUAAAUUAUUUUUGUUAAAUCUAGCAAGAAUAACUAACAUUUCUUUAAGAUAUAUUUUGGCGGUAAAUUAAAAAAAAUUAAUUAUUUGGCAGGAAUUAUUGAAAUUGGAGCCAUUUUUUUGUGGGAAUUGAAAUAUAUUCUUUAAAUUAUUAUAUAAAAAGCAAAAUGUACAUACACACACAUAUAUAUAAUUUAUAUAUAAAAAUUCUCUAAUUUGUUCACAAGUAUCAUAGAUUAUAAUUCAGUUAUGAAAUAAAAUAACUACAAUAAUUAUAGUUAAAUGAAUACUUCAUUAAUUCUUAAUUUGCUUCCUAACAUUAAAUGAACAACUUGAGCCAACCACCUGAAUCAACCAGUAACAACGCCUGAGUCAACCAUCUGAAAAAACCAGCAACCCUAGCUGAUUCAAGCACCUGCAAUUAACAUCAACACAUCAGGAACAAUCGUAAAUCAGCACCAAGAACAGACCAAACUGCCAUCAAAUGCCACAAAACCAAACAGUCUGCUACUGCCAUCAAAUGCAAGCAAACAUAUGCAACAAAACCAGAUGCAAGUGAAAAUCUGGAGAAUAUCGGAUAAACCAAACCAAAUGCCACACUUCUAGUAAUUAGACUAGAUGCAGUGUUCAAUUAAACUAAAUGUAGUCUCAUAUUACAUUCAAAGGUGAAAACACUGUAAAAAAAAAUACAGCCAAAACAAUUGUUUACUUUUAAGUUCUAACAAAGCGUAACAGUCCAAAACCAAAACAUCUUAACUACCAAGCAAACAUCUAACAUAAUUAUUAAAAUUAAAAAGGAAAAAACAUAGGAAUCUCAGUUCUUAUACAUUUUGUAUGCAUUUAGUAAGCACACGCACAUAGACCAUCUAUGCAUAACCUUCUUCUAGCCCACCUGCAGAUGUCACAGAGAAGAGACAUUUUUUGCAGCUUGAAGUGCUCCAAUUGCUUUGUGAAGGUCCAAUUGUAAGCCUAAAUAUUGAAUCCAUGAGUCCAUAUAAUUGAAGGCUGGUGGCGACUUUUGAGUACAAAUCAAGAGAGAGUGAAGUGUGAAUUUCUGCAUGGCCCAUAACUUCAUCCACGUAGCUAUUCACUUCUUUGCAGUGAAAAGUUCCUUAAUCCUGGCACUAAUGUUGGGCAUCAUUUUGAUUUUUCAAGCCCUUUUAGAACACUUAUUGAUUUAGGAAAUUAAGGGAGCCAUUGAAAGGUGACUAAAACGGAGUGAGUUAGGGGUCCUACCUCUCUGUAGGGCUCUCGAAUCGCGGGAAAUGAGCUCCAUUGUGACCUUCAUUUCCUCCUUUUCGGAAAAAUUAGUUCAUGGCGCUUACGAUGUGAGCAAUUACUCUUUCUGGUGUCCUGAUGGUUGAUAACAGAGACUUUCAGCCUCGCUGCCUCAGGUAAGCUUGAUGGGAGGACCAGAUGUCAUACAAAAAAUAAAAGCUUUCUUUUCUCGGUAAAAGCAUGCGCAUUUUUCUGUAAGUGGGGAAGAGGCCGCGCCGUCAACACUGCAUCGGUGAAGAUGGGUGGUGGUUGUUGGUGGAGAAACGGAGGGAGGUGGCGAUUCUGAGACUUGUUGCGAUUUAGGGUUGGCCGGUUGGGUUUGGGGGAAAUUGGGUAAAGCAAAAUGCAUUUUUGUUGUUAUAUAUAUAUAUAUAUAGAUAUAUAUAUAGUAGUUGGAUUAGCUAAAAGACAAAAAAAUUUAAAUUUUACUACACUACAUGAUAAAAUACAGUGCAUUGGAGUAUGUGUUUAUUUUGUCUUUUAACUAAUCCCUGAUUGGAAAACUACUAUAUAUAUAUAUAUAUAUAUUUUUUUUUUACUUAAUAAAAAAGUGGGCACGGGUCCGGGUUCCGGAUUCUUGGUGCUGUGACCGGACCCGUGCCCGGAUCCGCUUUUUCCAUGCAUCCGAUCCGGGUUUUACCCGGACCGUAUGCACCAGGUCCAGUCCGGAUCCGGUCUGAGCGGGCUUUUCUGCCAUCUCUACAGUGGAGAGAGGGAUUAAUUCAACGCUUAGCCAAAAUUUGGCUGCGAGUGUUAAUGGGUUUUAAGUUAUACAAAACGGUGUCGUUAAUUUAAACGGCAUUGUUUUACAAUCUUAUAAGUUCACAAAACUUAAGCAUGACUUAUAUGUAUAAUUUAUUUACGAUGGUUAAGUUAUAAGUCAUGAAUAUGUCAUAUACUCUGGACAUGAAUAUAUAUCACGAAUCUAUCAUAUUUUCAUGACACAUUCGUGACAUAACGAUAUAUGUUAUAAAAUUUCUGUCAUUAUUUAGUAUUUUUCUAGUAAUGUCAGGUCUUUAAAACCUUUCUAUUAAUAACAAAAACUCUAAUCCUUUAGCAAAAGACUAAAAAUUUUAAAAAAAUCUGUUUAAAUAUCAGUUGGCUCAUAAUCAACACUUCAAUAUUGUUUGUUGUAUUUUCUUUCUUUCUUUUUUUGUCAUUUUAUUAGAUUUGCUUUGUAUCAUGGUUUGUUUUGCUUAAGUAAUUGUUCAUUAUUUACGUCUGUGUUCUUACUAGCUUUUGAUAAUUUAUGGUUGGUUUUUUAUUCAGACCCUCGAAGUACCUUUUUGUUAAUAGCAAAACCUCUGAUCCUCAAGAAAGAAAAAGAAAUUCUCUAUUUAAUUAUUAGUUAGUUCAAGAUCAAUAUCGCAAUAUUGUUUGCAGUCUUUUCAUUCUCUGUCUUUCCCACUAGUUCAUUUUAAUUUAUCUGUAUUCCUUUCUUUGACACUUGUAUUUAUUUAUAUAGAUUGUUAAGCAACAGGCAAUGGCUGCAGAAGGGUGUCUCCCUACUUUUUCUAGCAUUGUAUCACAAGGUUCAAAAGCAUUAUUCAAACCGAUUAUGUGGCACAUAUCUUAUGUGUUCCGAGUACCAGAGCUACAUAGAUGGGCUAAAAGAUUGAGUGAAGGAGCUGGAAUAUAUAAGAGAAAGGGUGCAAAUGCUGGUUAGAGAGGCUACUCUACAAGGAGAUGAGAUUUAUAAGGGUGUCAGAGACUGGCUAAAUAGAGUUGCUGAAUUCAGUGAAGGGGUUGCAAAAUCAAUCAUUGAUGAUAAAGAUAGAGCUAAGAUGUUCUGCUUCAAAAGGUUGUGCCCAAAUUUGAUUUCUUGUUACAAGCUUGGUAAACAAGCAGCAGAGGCCGCAAACGAAGCUGAUAAACUUGUGAAGAAAGGCGAAUUUAACAUUUGUAAUCAUGUUUCCUACCGUCCUGCUCCAGAGAGUACAGAAUAUGUGCAAGUGAAAGAUUACGUAGCCUUUUAUUAUAAUAUCUUUUCACUCUAUUAACUUAAAAAAGAUUGACUUCAAUAUUAAAAAUGUAACAGUAUAUACAUUUUAUAAUAAUUUCAAUAUUUAAAAAAUAUUUGAAUACUUUACAAUCUUAUAUUAUAUUAAACUACAUUUUAUAAUAAAUAGAAACAUAAUAUUAAAAUAAAUAUAUAAAAUUUUAAGUUAGGCUUAAUAUUAUUUAAAAUAAUUUAAAUAUCAUUAAUACAUGAGAUAUAUUAUAUUAAUUAUAAAUUCUAUUUAAUCUAAAUAUAUAUUUAAAGUUUUAUACUAAAAAUAGAUAUAUUAUUAAAAUAAAUAUAACAACUAACAUUUUAAAGAUUAAUACUGAAAUUAAAAUUAUAAAUUAUAUUAAUCUACUAAAAAGAUUCAUCUAUUUGACACUAGCAGCGGACAAUGAGGUCACGGCAUAGGACAAGCAGUUAUCGUGACCCAUGGACUUUUCUACUUCUUUUGAAAAAAAAAAAAAUAUCAAAGUCAUUGAAGUGCGUUUGAUGAUAUGCUGUGUAGCUUCUCUCUCAAAUGCUUUUCGAGUGCCUCCAGUAUCUGCUUUUAUAUAAGCUUUUGUCUUUAAUCAUUCAUUCAAGCUUUCGCUAAGAGUGAUGCAGCACAGCACGUAAAUAUAGAAGCAUUGACAGCCGUAGUCAGGAGCUCUUCGGUAUUUGAAGCAAGAAUGGUUGUUUGGCUUUGUGCAUUGAAAGAGAAAAGAAAAAAGAAAGACUAAUUUCAAUAAUACAAUUUAAUUAAUUAAUUUAAAAUAAUAAGCAAAUAAUAAUGAUGAAAUUAAUUAAUAAAAAGAAGAAAAUGAAAAUUGCACGUGCUACUAGCAUAAACCAAUUGCCGGAAUGAGGUCACUUUGUAGACAAAUGAUUCUGGAAUCAGAACUUGGGCCAGCUUUGGGUUAUGGAUCCAAAAUAAAAAUAAGGUGGGCCACAUGGUCUCUUAUGAUCAAUAAAAAUCGAUUGAAAAGGAUGGUAUAGUGAGUGGAAGAGAAAUGCCGAUGGCAGAUCAAGGGAUGAAGAUACGAGCUCACUUGCAACGUGGUAUAGUUCAUCAUGGCUGGCUUUCCUAUAAGUUCAGGUCCUUUGAAUACUUUCAAUGACCUUAUUAGUCAGGAAUUUAACAAUAAUUUUUAUUUUUUACAUCCAGGAACGGUUUUAAGCAUAGGCAAAUUAGGCCUAUAAUAGCAAAUCCUCUUUUUUAACAAUUAAACAAUUAGGAAGUCUCCCUUUUUUAUUUUUGGUAUUACUUAUAAUAGCAAAUCUUCUUUUUUAGGCCUCUUUUUAGUUAGUAAUUAUCUUAUAAUUAAGAAUUUUUAUACACAUUCUAUCUUUGAUAACCUUAAUAUUAAAGAUCUCUAAUUAAUAGUAUUAUCUAAUUGUUAAUUUAUUAUUAGUUUUUCCAAGAAAAAAAUUAAAAUCUUUAUCUAUUUAAUACUUCAGUUUUUUUUUCGUCAGUGGCAGAUAAAAGAGUCGGUUUUUCCGUUACUAAGCUUUUUAUGGAUGAAUUUUUUUUUAUAAUUUCUUUGUUUUAUAGGUUCUCUGUGAAUGCCAUUAGAAAUGAGAUUGACUAAUUCAAACUUCCUUUUUCCCCUUAGCAUCCAAACGUGUGAGGCAAGGGCAACUAAUGAGUCCAUUGUGAUGAGAACCUUUGUCUAAGCAAAAGCAGAGGUCAAUUGCUAAUACCGUACUGUUAUUAGUUUCAGUGCUUAAAUUGCUCCAUAAGUUUGCAUUUUAAAGUCUCUGUCUUAAUUUCUGAGGUAUACUGCUAAUGAGACCUCCUGCCAAGUUCAAGUUUGUUGUGAUGGCUACUUUGUCAUAUAACUGACUGUGAGAGGCCAUCAAUCAGCUCUGUUUUGUAAUUUUGUACCUUUUUUUUUCAUAUAAUGAUCAAUCAAAUGUUAGCCCUUAGAUUGCAACCAAUAUUUACUGAUUGUCUUAUAUAGGAUAUAAACUAAAUUCAUAAGACAUUCCCUUAUUGAUAUUCAUUCCGACACGUCCUAGUCUUUUGCCUUGUAGAAAUGCUUGUGGUUGAAGAGCUUUACAGAGAAGCUGUCGUCAGUACUGCGCGGAAAUUGAUUAUAUUGAAUCAGAAAACUUGACCAGAUAAGGUCUGUGUGCAUGAGAAUACUUGAGGAAAGCUUCACAAUACUGAGGGCCGGAUCUGCACUCUUUCCUCUAUAUGUGUCUUCAAUAUCAAUGGCUCAAAUACAUGUGUUAUGGUCUUUUAAUAUAUAUAAAAUACCAUUAUCUCAUGCGUUAUGGUCUUAUCCUUGUAUUCUUAAAAACUACAUAAAAUACCGUUAUCUCUGCUUUUGUAGCUAUUGAAUUCGACUUUCACAACAUAAAUAUUUAUUAGCAACAACUUAAAAUCCAAACAAAUCUAACAUGCAAUGUAUCAAUUACAUAUUAUGAUUAAACAGAUUUUGAUUAUUUAUUAUUAAAAUAUAUUCUCAUUAAUAUCUUAAGGAUAGGUAAUACUCACAUAAUUUUUUUAAAAAUCAAACCCAAAUUAUAUGCAUUGUUAAUGUGUAUUAUUGUCUAAUAUUUGGAUUUUACUAAUUUACAACUGCUAUAAUGUACGGCCUCUUCAAACAUAAUGUGGGUCCCACCACGUGUUAAAUUUUUUACAUUAUUUUUGAAGGAAUUGUAAGUUACAGCAGCUGUAAAUUAGCAGCACCUCCAAUAUUUUACUUUACUUCCCCUAAUAUUUUACUUGUACUUUUAUAUCUUUACAAAACAAUACCAACAAGACAAUAAUGUAUGAAAUAAAUAAAAUAAAUAAAUAAAGAACUGACAACGAAAUUAGGCCUAUCAUUAAUUUCUCUUGGUGUGAACUCUUGACAAUUCUCCCAUAUCCCACCUAAAGCUCUCGCAUGGUGUGAACGCUUGACGAUUCUCCCAUAUCCCUCCAAAAAUUUGUCAUAUUGCGAAAAACAAUGUCAAUUCAAUAUCGUCUCCAUUAGUCAUAGUGGCAGAUAGGACUAGAAUUUGUUGAAACCCUUGGACUUAUUUUUCCUUUUGAAAAUAAUUUUGUAGAAUCUCAUAUCGUGAAUAACGGACAAUGAGACUCUUUUUUUUAACUAUAAUAUUUUUUUAAAAUUAUUAACUAAAAAAAUUAAUUUUAAUAUUUUAUAAUAAAUAUAAGUAGGAUAUUAAAAUAAAUAUAAUAAUAUAUACAUAUUAAAAUAAUUUCAAUACCAAAAAAUAUUUUAAUAGUUUACAAUCUCGUAUUCUAUUAAACCAAAUUAUAAUAAAUAGAGACAUAAUAUUAAAAUAAAUAUAUAAAAUUUUAAAUUAUUUUCAAUAUCAUAUAAAAUAACUUUAAUAUUAUUAAAACGUGAGAAAUAUUAUAUUAAUUAUAAAAACUAUUUAACCCAAGGAUUUGUUUAAAAUUUUUAUAAUAAAUAUAUUAAAUUACAUUUUAAAAAUUAAGUAUUUAAAUUAUACAUACUAGUCUACUAGAAAAUUUAAACUAUUUAAAUCAUAUUUACAUUUAGUAAAAAAUUUUGAAGUCAUUUUUUUUUUUGUGAAUACCAUAAGAGUGCUAUAGUCAAAAAGGGUAUUGGUGUUCUUUAUUAAAAGUUUGGGGUCUACAUGACUAUUUUCUAAAAUUUUAAGGGUGUCAUUUUAUUUUUGAAAAAAAUAAAAAUUUCAUUUAAACAGCUAAAAUGGUGAAUAGUACAAUGCUACAGUGGGCGUAAAUGGAAGGUAAAAAGCAAUCAGAUUUUGAUUAAACAUGCAAUGUAUGAAAUAUAUAUUAUAAUUAUACAGAUUUUGAUUAUUUAAUAUUAAAUUAUAUUCACAUUAAUAUCUUAAGGAUAGUUAAUACUCAAAUAAUUUUUCAAAAAAUCAAACCCAAAUUAUAUGCAUUGUUAAUGUGCGUUAUUGUCUAAUAUUUGGAUUUUGCUAUGUCACAACUACUGUAACUUAAAGCCUCUUCAAACAUAUGUCGAUCCCACCACGUGUUAAAUUUUUUACAUUAUUUUUUAAGGGAUUGUAAGUUACAACAGCUUAACUUAGCAGCACCCUAAUAGUUUAUUUUACUUUUAUAUCUUUACAAAACAAUGCCAACAAGACAACAAUGUAUGAAAUAAAUAAAAUAAAUAAACAAAGAUCUGACAGCAAAAUUAUGGCUAUCAUUGGUUUCUUGUGGUGUGAACUCUUGACAAUCCUCCCCAAUCCCAUCCAAAACUCCCGCGUAGUGUGAACAUUUGACGAUUCUCCCAUAUCCCUCCAAAAAUUUGUCAUAUUGCGAAAAGUAAUGUCAAUUGCAAUGUCGUUUUCAUUAGUCAUAGUGGCAAAUAGGACUAGAAUUUAUUGAAACCCCUCGACUUAUUUUUCCUUUUGAAAAUAAUUUUGUAGAACCUCAUAUCGUGAAUAAAAGACAAUAAGACUCUUUUUUUUAAUUAUAAUAUUUUUUAAAUUUAUUAACUAAAAAAAUUAAUUUUAAUAUUUUAUAAUAAAUAUAAGUAGGAUAUUAAAAUAAAUAUAAUAAUAUGUACAUAUUAAAAUAAUUUCAAUACCUAAAAAUAUUUUAAUAUUUUACAAUCUCGUAUUCUAUUAAACCAAAUUAUAAUAAAUAGAGACAUAAUAUUCAAAUAAAUAUAUAAAAUUUUUAAUUAUUUUCAAUAUCAUAUAAAAUAAUUUUAAUAUUAUUAAAACAUGAGAAAUAUUAUAUUAAUUAUAAAAUCCAUUUAACCCAAGGAUUUGUUUAAAAUUUUUAUAAUAAAUAUAUUAUUAAAAUAAAUAUAUUAAAUUACAUUUUAAAAAUUAAUUAUUUAAAUUAUACAUACUAGUCUACUAGAAAAUUUAAACUAUUUAAAUCAUAUAUACAUUUAGUAAAAAAUUUUGAAGUCAUUUUUUUUUUGUGGCUACCAUAAGAGUACUAUAGUCAAAAAGGGUAUUGGUGUUCUUUAUUAAAAUUUUGGGGUCUACAUGAUUAUUUUCUAAAAUUUUAAGGGUGUCAUUUUAUUUUUGGAAAAAAAAAUUCAUUUAAACAGCUAAAAUGGUAAAUAGUACAAUGCUACAAUGGCGUAAAUGGAAUGUAAAAAGCAAUCAAAAUGACCAACAGUCUAACGCCUCAUCAGGGACAUAAAGUCAAAGUUUGUUGCAUGUGGUCAGGGCCAUUUAGUCUGUGAGUGGGUCCUGCAUGUCAUUUUUGGGCAUUUCAUCUUCUUUAGCAUUGAAGAUUAAAUGUUGACGACAUUUUCAAAAUUUUGGAAGACCCAUUAUACUUUUGGAUGGCUGUCAUUACUUGAUAUUAUCAUUAUAUGAUGAAAUAAAAUUGGAUGUAACACUUGUUUCGCGUUGUGGGAACUUUUGACAAUUCCCCAUAUCUCCUAAAAAUCUUUCGCCAUUUUGGGAAGAUGCCAUUUAUUUUCAUUUUCAUCAUUGAUAUUGGCAGAUAAUGGGGUCCGAGGACAGACCAUAAAUUAUUGCGACCCAUGGACUUUUCUAAUUUUUUUUUUUCCUUUGGAUAGUUUUCGUUAUUUGAUAGAAGGAGAUAGAGAUAAAGUUUUUUAAUCAAAUGCCCAUUUUAUUUAACAUGGAAGAAGAUCUUUAAACUCUAAGCGAGGCUAUCACUUCAACAGAUGCAGCUUCAAAAAAGAGGUAACAAGUGAUGAGAUAGACUCAUUAUUGUCUAAUCAAACAAGGACAUCGGUAGAUGUAUCAGGAUCUUAAGUUAGAUUGGAAUUUGAUACAUUGUUGUUCGUAACGUUGGUUCAAACCUUUAAAGCAAGGUUGGAUGCAAAAUGGUUUACACCAAAGACGUGAUUUAGGAAGUUAAUUAACGUUAUUUUAGAUAAUUUAUAAUUCUAAAAUAUUUAUUAUUUUAUGGUUUUCUAUUUUUGUUUGAGUCAAUUAUGGUAUGUAUCUUAAUCUUUUAUUUCCAUUAUAAUUAUAAUUUAAAUUUUCUUUUUAGGUUAACUUAGGAAAGUGGAUUUCUUUUAUUAUAAAUAAAGAUGUCUGUAAUAAAAAAAAUAAAGAUGUCUUGUCAUUGUUUUCAGGACUUCAAAUUCAAUUAUUAAAUAAAACUCUUUUUUUUAUAAUUUCCUCUAGUAUUAUUUAUCAAAAUCUCUCUUAUAGAGUUAUUUAAAUUAGAGUGUCAUCUAAUCUCGUAUUACGCGUUAUUAAAAAUCUCAUUGAAUCAUUUAGAUUAAAACAAUAUCUAAUCACGCUUUGAUUAAAGCGUAAGUUAAUUGUGUUGGCUUGAUCCAGUACUAGAAUGAUAUUUAGUAUUUCUUACCUUAUCAAUUCCACUUCCGCUACGCUCGCUCCAUCAAUUGGUAUCAAAGCAAUUCUGUGCGAAUCACACAUCUUUCCUAGAUACACCAUACCCAUCCAAACCAAAUCCAUCAAAAAAAAAAAUUACAAAUUUGAAAACCCUACCCGUCAGACCAACCCCCACCGCCGCCCACCACCGCCAAUCAGCCAGCCAACACCACCACAAACCUCACUAGCCACCGUCGACCAAGCCUCAGUCAUCGCUGCCUCAACCGCCGCUUGAACAGCCGCAAAUCACCAACCCAAACCUGCGGCUCCACCAAGCAACCCACCACCAUUCAGCCACUUUCUCCACCAGCCACCUCCACCAACAAACUCGCCGGCCUUCGUUGACCAAAAACUGACCGACUUCGGCCCUUGAUCGCCGCCCUCUGUCACCACACGAAACGACAACCCACGAGUGCUUCCUACACGCGCCGCCACCAAAACACCUUCUUUUUCCGUCAAUUUACACCACCACCAUAAUCCCUAGCAGUCGGCAACCGUAAAUCCAGUCUUCCGCCACUGUAAAGCCGCCAUAAACCAAAAGCCACAUCACCAAAAUCAACCGCCAAUUCAAGUCGGAUUUUCCCCAAUUCAGGUUGCUGAAUAUAAAAAGGACUCAUGAAAAUUACCUAAAGUUUCAAAUAUUGUUAUUCAGCAACCACUUUUAUGGUACAUUAGUUUCAACCCAAAUUUUAUAUAAAUAAUUUAUAACUCCCAUUAUUAUUAUAAAAAAAAAUUGUAGCAAUUGUGGUUAUAUCACAUGAAAAAAAAAAUCUAAUUAAAGAAAUUAACAUUAUAAUUUAAGGGAUAGUUGCUCUUUUAAUCAUUAGAAUUUAUGUCAAUUAUCCAGCUUAUCCUUGCAUUCUUAAAAACUAUAUACAAUACCAUUAUCUCUGCUUUUGUAGCUAUUGAAUUUGACUUUGACAACAUAAAUAUUUAUUAGCAACAACUUAAAAUUCAAACAAAUCUAAUAUGUAAUGUAUGAAAUACAAAUAAUAAUUAAACAAAUUUUGAUUAUUUAAUAUUAAGAUAUAAUCACAUUAAUAUCAUAAGGAUAGGUGGUACUCAAAUAAUCUUUUAAAAAUCAAACCCAAAUUAUAUGCAUUAUUAAUAUGCAUUAUUGUAUAAUAUUUAGAUUUUGUUAAGUUACAACUACUAUAACUUAAGUCUCUUAAAAAAUAUGUGAGUCCCACCACCUAUUAAAUUUUUUACAUUAUUUUUGAAAAAAUUACAAGUUACAUCAGUUGUAACUUAACAGCACCCCUAGUAUUUUACUUUACUUUUAUACCUUUACAAGAACAAUAAUGUAUGAAAUAAAAAAAAUAAAUAAAUAAAGAACUGACAACGAAAUUAGACCUAUCAUUAGUUUCUUGUGGUGUGAACUCUUGACAAUCCUCCCCUAUCCCACCUAAAGCUCUCGCGUGGUGUGAAUGUUUGACAAUUCUCCCAUAUCCCUCCAUAAUAUGUCAUAUUGCGAAAAGCAAUGUCAAUUGCAAUGCCGUUUCCCAUUAGUCAUAGUGAUAGAUAGGACCAGAAUUUUUUGAAACCCCCGAGGCCCUAAACUUGUUUUUCCUUUUGAAAAUAAGAAAAUGGCACCUGUCUAGAGAAAUAAUUUAUUAGAACCUUAUAUCAUGAAUAACGGCCAAUAAGACUUUUUUUAAAUUAUAAUAUUUUUAAAUUUAUUAACUAAAAAAAUUAACUCUAAUAAUUUAUGAUAAAUAUAAAUAGGAUAUUAAAAUAAAUAUAAUAAUAUAUAGAUAUUAAAAUAAUUUCAAUAUCUAAAAUAUUAAUAUUUUACAAUCUCGUAUUCUAUUAAACCAAAUUAUAAUAAAUAGAGACAUAAUAUUCAAAUAAAUAUAUAAAAAUUUAGGUUAUUUUCAAUGUCAUAUAAAAUAGUUUUAAUAUUAUUAAUACCUGAGAAAUAUUAUAUUAAUUGUAAAAUCUAUUUAACCUAAGGAUUUAGUUAAAAUUUUAAAAUAAUUACAAAUAUUUUAUAAGUACAAAUAAAUUAAUUUACAUUUUAAAAAUUAAUAUUGAAAUUAAUUAUUUAAAUUAUAUAUAUUAGUCUUCUGGAAAAUUUAAAUUAUUUAAAUCAUAUUUACAUUUCGUAAAAAAUUUUAAGUCAAUUUGUUUGAUUACCACCUGCUAAGGGUAUUGUAGUCAAGGGGAAUAUUGGUAUUCUUUAUUAAAAAUUUGGGAUCUACAUGAUUAUUUUUCUAAAUUUUAAUGGUGUCAUUUUAUUUUUGACAAAAAUAAAAUUUCAUUUAAACAACUAAAAUGAUGAAUAAUACAGUGCUACAGUGGCGCAAGUGGAAGGUAGGAAACAAUCAAAAUGAACAGUCUAACGUCACAGCAGGCAUAUAAGGCCAAAGUUUGUUACAUCCCAAUACAAAAAGUUUGAAACUUUGCACCUUCUGAAAUGAAACAAACUUACUUGGAUAUUGGUGAUCAGUGAGAAAAGCCCUUUUUCAAAAGCAACCUUAGGGUACCGAGUGUUACAGAUUCAAUGAACCACAAAUACUUAUUUACAUUGUAGUAUCUCAAAGGCACCGAUUUCUUCUGAUCCGUUAAGGAAAACAAGAAAAAUAAAAAGAAAAGAAAAAGGGUACUUGUGCCACACAACCUUGACGCCUAGCUACAUGGUACAUUCUCUUUGUGUGUUUGAACCAAUUAACAAUAAUGGUGCCUUUACUUCUUGGACUGGAGAAUCGAAAUCCGAAAUCGAAAUCAUUAAUGAUGUUUACUUCAUAAAAUGGAGGCUGGGAUCCGAAUCAGAACUAUGGGGACCACCCAAAUUAGGAGUGAGGAAUGGAAGAUUGAUUCCUAAGGAAGGUGGUGGGAAUCAAUCCCCCAUUCCCAAGAUUGAUCAUUUUGCCCCCUCUCACAAACUAUAAAAUAUCUAUUUUGUCCUCAAUUAAAAAAUUAUUAUGAUUAAUUAAUAUAUGUUUAUAAUUUAUUAAUAUAACUAUUCUAAUCAAUUUAUAUAUAUUUUAAAUAUAUUAUUAUUAAAUAAUUAAUAUAUUAUUAUAAUUAAUUAAUAUAUUUUGAAUUUUUAUUAUUAUCGUCAUCAUCAUCAUUAUUAUUGUUAUGAAUGAUAAAUUUUUUUACAAUUAAUUAGUAUAUUAAUAUAUUAUUGACAAUAAUUAAUAAUAAUAAUAAUUUUUGAAUAAAUAAAUAAAUAAAAUUAAUUACUGAAUUUGAACAUUUUACAAUUAUUCUAUUAUUUGGACUUAUCGAGAACUUACAUGCAGCGUAGCUAGUUUGCUAGCAUAUGUAAGGUUUAAUUUGAAUGCAUGCAGCAUUGAGAAGAGACAACGCAGAAACAAAAUUUCCGCUUGCAAUCUUUUCAUUUCCCUUUUUAAUAACAAGCAAAAUAGAGGAUAAACAGGGACUUUGUUUUAAUUCUCCUGUUUUUCUGUUUGGUGAUUUUAAAAUUUUAUGUCUAUAUUUAUCAAAAAAAGUUAUCCAAAAUUAUUAUCUAUUUUUGAUACACGUUGAUUUAUUAAAAAAAAAUUAAAAACUUCAUUUCUAAAUUUAUCGUUGUGCUUUGACCUUGGGGUGGUUUUUUUCUGUUUUUUUACGUAGGCCAGAACCUUAAUGAAGAAAGUUUUCAUCGUUAAUUGCUUUUGACCUAGGAGAAUUUAUUCUUGGACAAAUUAACACCUUUGUCUUUUGAUGCGGCUCCUAGAUAUCUAUGCAAUUUGUGUCAUUUACUUUUGCUUUGUAUUCUUUUUUAAAUGAGUCCCGAUUGGUUCAUUUGCAGAUAAAUGAGUCAGUUUUUCUGUUUUUAUUUUUUGAAAGACGGUUUUUCUGUUACGAAGCUUUUCAUGGAUGAAUAUUUUUUUUUUAAUUUUAUAGAUUCUCUGCGAGUUUUGUUAGGUAGAAGGGUAUUUAAGUAUUUUCAUUUCAUAUUUUGACAUUUCCUUGACCUUUGAAGUAUUGAAUCAUUGUGCAGGUAUUUAAGUAAAUCUGCCCACAAUGAAGAAUAGUUCAGAACAGUUGCGGAAGAUAAAUGGCUCAAAUAUAUGCGUUAUGAUCUUUUAAUAUUUCGCCUCUGAUAUUGUCCACAUUGCUUACUGCAAUAGAUAAAGCACUUCGUUUACCCCAAAUCCUGAUAGGGAAGUAUAAAUAUGUGCUUCCGAAAUAGUGCAACUCUCCAUAAUUAUUUAAUAUGCCUCUCAAUGAAGCAAUCACCUUCAUUUACAAUUCUUCGAUUAUUAAUCCUACAUACACGUGUUUCUUUUGUCUCUAAAAGUAUCCUCAAUUAAUUUACAUAAUUUAAUAUAAUAAGUACCUAAGACUAGACAAAUUAUCAUUAUAAUAGUAUUGACACAAUAAUGUCAAUAAUAAAUGCCUUAACAAACCUAUAAAUUUUAGAAUAUGGCUCAGAGUGCUACAAUGAACCACAACAAGUUAUUAUAUUGUCUAUAAUCAAUAUUCCAAUGGUAAUAGAGUUUUUUUAUUUUCAAUCCGCUGCUUUUCUGUUUAGCGAUUGCCAAAUUUUAUAUCUAAAAUUCUUCUAAUUUUAUAUCUAAAAUUCUUCUAAUUUUACACUAAGGUUUAUUUUUUCAAAAAAGGGGGGGGGGGGGGGGGGGGGGGGGGGCAGGAGAGAGAGACUUAGAGAGUAUUAAAAAAUGUAAUUCUAAAUUUUUACUUGAGUGUUGUGUGAUUUUGAUCAUUUUUUUAAAGUUGGCCAUUUAUAUUGAAUAAAUAAAAUAACGAAUAGACGUUUGGACCACUUCUUUUCUGUUAUAAUAAAACAUGAGAUGUCUUCUCUUGAUGUUUUCGUCACAAAAGAAUAUGUUUAAUUAUGUCAUCAUAGGCUUAAAUGGGAUGCCUUUUCUGUUAUAAGAUCGAGAACAAGUUUGUUUAAGCACUAGAGCCGCUAAAUAAAAGAAAGGCUCAUAUAAAAAUUACCUAAAGCACCAAAUAUUGUUAUUCAGCUACUUCUUUUAUGUUACAUUAGUUUCUACGCAAAUUUAUAUAAAUAAUUUAUAACUCCCAUCAUUAUUUAAAAAAUAAAAACCAUAGCAAUUGUGGUUAUAUCAUGUGGUGUGAUCUUUUGACAAUCCUCCCACAUCCCACCAAAAACUCUCACAUGGCGUGAACUUUUGACAAUUCUUCCAUAUCCCACCAAAAAUUUGUCAUGUUGCGAAAGGCAAUGUCAAUUGUAUUGUCAUUUCCAUUAGUUAUAGUGGCAGACAAUGUAGUCCCGGGAUAAGACUAGAAGUUUUUGAAACCCAUGGACUUAUUCUUACUUUAUUUUUUCUUUUGAAAAUGAGAAAAGGACACCCGUUUCGGGAAAUAAUUUUGUAGAAUCUCAUAUCGUGAAUAAGAGAUAAUAAGACUUUUCUUUUUUACUUUACUGCAAUACUCUUUAAUUUUAUUAAUUUUAUAUUUUAUAAUAAAUAUAAAUAUGAUACUAAAAUAAAUGUAAUGAUAUAUACAUAUUAAAAUAAUUGGAUAUUGAAAAAUAUUUUAAUAUUUUACAAUCCCGUAUAAUAUUAAACCAUAUUAUAAUAAAUAGACAUAAUAUUAAUAUAUAUAUAAGUUUAAAUUAUUUUGAAUAUCAUAUAAAAUAAUUUUAAUAUUAUUAAUAAAUCAGAAGUAUUACAUUAAUUGUAAAAUCUAUUUAAUCCAAGGAUUUAUUUAAAAUUUUUAUAAUAAAUUAAAAAUAUAUUGGUUAACAUUUUAACAAUUAAUAAUGAAAUUAAUUAUUUAAGUUAUAUAUAUUAGUCUACUAGAAAAAUUUAAACUACUUCAAUCAGAUUUACAUUUAAUGAAAAAAUUUGAAGUUAAUUUUCUUUUUAUCAUCUACUACGAAUCUUGUAGUUAAAAGAGGUAUUGACAUUCUUUAUUAAAAAUUUGAGGUCUACAUAACUAUUUUUUUUUUUAUUUUAAGGGUGUCAUUUUAUUUUUGACAAAAAUAAAAUUUCAUUUAAAUGGCUAAAAUGGUGAAUAAUACAAUGUUACAGCUGGCGUAAAUGGAAGGUAGGAAACAAUCAAAAUGACCAACAGUCUAAUGCCACAGCAAGGACAUGAGGUCAAAAAAUUCCCUUAUUAAUUAGUAAAAGAGAGUCACUUGGGCUUAUGGCGGGCAAAAUCGGAUAUAGAUCAGAUUCAAAUUAAUCCGAUAAAUUUGAUAUUGUUUGCAUUGAUAAAAAAAGUCACCCAAAUGCAAUCUAAACAUGUGUGUGUGUGUAUACAUAUUUGUUAUAAAUUAAAGUUACAAAAGUCUUUAACCAAGGCCAUUCAUAGUAAGUUUCAAAUUUUUAGGUUAAUAUCUGUAACUUCAUCAUGCUGGCCAUAAAUAAAGCUUGCAGGUCUAGGCGGGAUUGACUCGAGUUUUUUUGCCAAUCCUACGCAUGACGGGCGGUGUUAGGAAUAAUAUCCUGCAUCAAUUGAGUAUUGAACUUGGGUUCAGCAUAUAAGAUUUGGACAACUCUUAACUCUUGAGCUAACUUACUAAGUUUUGGAUUGAGUUAAGCAUGUAUGCUUCAAUAUCACAAAUUAGUCUUUCGUUACCAUUACUUAUUUUUUCUAUUGUUUAAUCCUAACACAAUAAAUGACCUUUCAUCCCAAAAGAACUAAAGUAAUCAUUUUAGACGAAUUAAGACACCAUAAAGUAAAUCUGCACACUAUGAAAAAUACUUUGGAACAGUUAAGGAAGCGUGAGAAUACUUGGGGAAAGCUUCAUAAUUGUUACGGCCGGAUCUACACUCUUUCCUCUAUAUGCAAUAAAUAUAUGCGUUAAUGAUCUCUCAAUAUUUUGCAUCCGAUAUUGCCCACAUCGCUUACCACAAUAUAUUCACUUUAUAAACAAAGUUUACAACCCAAAUACUAAUAGAGAAUAUAAAUAUGUACUUGUCAAUGAAGCAAUCACCUUUAUUUAGAAAUUUUUUAUUAUUAAUCCUACGUACACACACCUCUUUUGUCUCCAAAAAUAUUCUUAAUUAAUCCACACAAUUUAAUACAAUAAAUACCUAAGAUUACACAAAUUUUCAUUACAAUAGAAUAUAUAAUUUAUAAUAUUAUUGAUACAAUGAUGCCAAUAAUAAAAAUCCUAUAAACCUUACAAAUUUUAGAAAAUGGCUUAGAGUGUGACAGGUUGAAUGAACCACAACAAAUCAUUUACAUUAUAGUAUCUAUGAUCAAUAUUCUAAUGAUAAUAGGGCUCCUCCAUUUUCAUUUCCCUACAUUUUCUGUUUGGUGAUUGUCAAAUUUUAUGUCUAAAAUUUUUCUAAUUUUACAGUGAGGUUUAUUUUUUAAAGAGAGAGAGAGAGAGACUCAAAGAGAAUUAAAAAAAAUGUAAUUCUAAAAUUUUACUUGUGCAUUUUGUGAUUUUUACCAUUUUUUAAGUUGGCAAUUUGUAUUGAAUAAAUAAAAUAAUAAAUAGACUUAUGGACCACUUUUUUCUGUUAUAAUAAAAAUCAGAGGUCCUUUCUUGAUGUUUUCUUUCCAUAUGAAUAAAUUAGAAUUUUAUUGGUACAGUAAUGUCAAUAAUAAAAUUCCUAACAAACAUACAAAUUUUAGAAUAUGGAUUAAAGUGUUACAAGUUGAGUGGAUCACAACAAGUUAUUUAUAUUGUAGUGUCUAUGAUCAGUAUUUCAAUGAUAUCAAGGGUCCUCUAUUUUCUUUCCCUUGCAAUUUUUGUUUGGUCAUCGCCAAAGUUUAUAUCUAAAAUUUUUCUAAUUUUACACUGACAUUUAUUUUUUUUUUAAAAAAAAGAGAAAGAGAGACACGGAGAGAACUAAAAAAUGUAAAUCUAAAUUUUUGCUUGUGCGUUAUGUGAUUUUUAUCAUUUUUUAAGUUGGCCAUUUGUAUUGAAUAAAAAAAGUAAUAAAUAGACUUAUGGACCACUUGUUUUUUUAUUAUAAUAAAACAUUUUCUUCUCCUGAUGUUUUUCAUCUCACAGGAAUAUAUUUAUCUCAUCGUGGGCCCAAAUGGGGUAAAUAAAUUGGGAUCAAGGACAAGUCUGUUUAAGUGUUGAAAUUGCAAGAAGACCUCAUAAAAAAAAUUGCCUAAAGCCCCAUUAUUGUUAUUCAACUAUUACUUUCAUGACACUUACACAAAUAAUUUAUAACUCCAUCUUUAUUUAGGGAAAAAACUGUAGCAAUUGUUGUUAUAUCACAGGAACAAAUUCCAAUUAAAAAUAUAAUAAGAAUUAAUUGCAAAUUUUGUAAUAAAUAUCAAUAUAAUUUAAUAGUUUAAUUUUUUUUGGUAGAGUAAUAUAAUUUAAAAAAUUAAUAUUUAAAAAAAUAAUAUCAGUAUUACUUUUUAAAAUGCAAAUUAUUAAAAUUAUAUUAAUAAUGUAUUUUUAUUUAUUAUAAAAUUUAUUUUAAUAAAAUCUUAAAUUUUUUUAAAUAUUUGUAUAUAUUGUUAUAUGUUAUUAUAAUAUUAUAUUUAUAUUUAUUAAAAUAUAAGAGUUAAUAUUUUUAAAUUAAUAAAGACAAAAAGUAUUAUAAUAAAAAAGAAUUCUUUUAUUAAAAAUAUAAUCAUUCUCCCAAACUUAUCCUUGUCCCUUUUUGAAAGGAAAAAAUAAAUUAGAAAAGUCUAUGGUCAUGAUAACUUCUAGCCUUGUCCCGUGGGACAUGGCUACGGUGCAGAAGCUGAAAGUAACAGCUUCGAACUUUCCCAUUUCCAUCACCUUGUUGAUGGUUGUUGAAGCCAAUAAAAAUAAAUUCCUACUCUAAAUAAAUUGUGUAUAGUGAUUGAGCAGGGUCGUGUCCACAGAGAUCGGUAAUUAUUUAAAUUCUUUUGAAACGUAAAACGUAAAAUGGGAGAAUUGUUGACAAUAAUAAAAAAUCAAAUUAAAAUAACAAAAAUGCAAAUUAAAGUUGUAAUUCAAAUUGGAGAAAGCUUUGGUUGAAGGAAUUAACUCAGUUUGAUUCGACUACUGAUCAUUGAUUCAAAAAUAGAUUAUUAUUACUUAUGAAUAAACUGGUUAUAGCUAUUGAGACCCUCUAAUAGCCAAUCUCUCCUUAACUAGUCGAUAACCAAGGUACGACUAUUGGAUAUUUCCCUAAUCAAUAGACAACCCUAGAUACGAUCAUAGGAUUUAAUCAAUUGACAGCCUGAAAAACCAGAGCGACCCAAAUCCUAAUCAACACAUAUGAUGAUUCAUUUAAAUUAGAUUGUUUAUUCCCAUAACACAACUCACUGCUAUGUUAUUUGUCACAAACAUUAAACUCGUCAUACGAUGAAUUCUUUAAUUGACAAUAGAUUAAGUUGAUAAUUAAAUAGUGGCCAAUUACCUAAUUAACAAACAUAAUCAUGAAACUAAUUCAGAGAAUAAACAAAUACCCAAAAAGUAAUAAAACAAUUAAAGCAUAAGAAAGAUCUCACAGUAGUGAUGAAUCAAAAAUUCAUUAACCUUCAACUAGAAAAAAUAAGUUUAGUUUUUCAUAGAGAGAAGAGAAAAAUUAGAUCUAGGGUUUCUUUCUUUUUCUCCAAUUAAAAUCCCCCCUUUUUCACAAUAGAUUCCUCCCUUAAAUACUCUCUCUCUCUUCUCUUUUAAAGUUCUAUUUAAAAUAAAAUAAUAAUAUUUGAAAUAUUAAAUUCGUAAUUACAAAAAUAGCCAAAAAUACAAAACACAUUAAACUAAAAACUGCAGGUCCGCAGUUGACAGCACGCGCCCACGCCUUAUCUAUAAAGUUCUUCUGACGCUCUAAAUUUCUCCAAGAGAACAAUCAUCUUUAAACAUCAUCUUAUACCUCAAUUCUAUCACAAAUCAAUAGAAUUGCACUUACAAAAGUAAAACACAAGUAAAUCAUUAUUAUUAAAUGCAAAACAUCGAUAUUAAGGGAAGUAAACAAUGCAAAACUAGUGUAUAAAUUGUACUCUAACACUUGUAUUGGGACCUCUUUCUCUCUCCUAUAGCCCCCAUGGAAGUUCCCCAUUGGCUGCUGUUACUUACAGAAGCCGUAACAUAGACUUCUAGCCAUGUCCCGUGAUGUCCAUUGUCUGCCACUAUGAAUAAUGGCAAUGACAUUGCAAUUGAAACAUUGAAAAGGUAUUUUCGCAAUAUGACAAAGCUUUUGUUAGGAUAUGGGAGGAUUGUCAAAAGUUCACACCACUUGAAACUAGAAUUAGAUCUAAUUUCAUUUAUUUCAUAAAUUAGAAAAGUCUAUGGUCGUGAUAACUUCUAGCCGUGUCCCGUGAUGUCCAUUGUCUGCCACUAUGAAUAAUGGAAAUGACAUUACUAUAAUAAAAUGACAUUGCAAUUCCAAUAUGCAAUUGAAAAGUCUAUGGUCGUGAUAACUUUUGUAAUAUGACAAAGUUUUUGUUGGGGUAUGAGAGGAUUGUCAAAAGUUCACACACCACAUGAAACUAGUGUUAGAUCUAAUUUUAUUUCGUCCGUUCCUUAUAUAUUUAUUUCAUACAUAUAUGUCUUAGGGUGAUAUUGUUUUGUAAAGAUAUAAUAGUAAGGUACUAUAAAAAGAAAAGAACUGUGUGUAUACUUCCCAGUGUAAUAAUUAUAUGUAGAAGAAAACUAACAAGAGGAAAAAUGACAAAGAGCAAGGCGCUGGUUGUUGGGAGAAGAGGACAUGUCGGCAGAGGAUAGAGAAGCCAAUCUUAGCCUUGUUGAUUGAGGGCUCAUCUUCUGAUCAUCGUAGCCUUGUUGGAGCUGUCAAACAAGUCGAUGUUGUCAUUUAAGGAGCCACAACAUUUUGAUGCUGCUUAAACUUGUUGGGGCCAUCAAAUAAGCUGUAAAUAUUAAGGUACGUAAGCCUUAAUUUUUAUGUAAUUUUAAUUUCAGAUCCAAAAUUGCAUGCAAGCCAUUAAUUUCUUUCCUUUUUUAUUUUUGAUUUGAUGAGGUGCUUGAUUUGGUCGGGUGUGUAUUUUUUCUUUGUUCUUUUUUUUUUUAAAACAUAAAUCUCCAAAUCGGGUUGGAGCGGGGAUUCUAACCCUACGAUGGCCAUAUUAAAAUUUAAAAUUUUUUAAUUUAUUUUUCUACAUCUCAAUAUUUGAAAAAAUGAUUAUAUAGAUCUAUAUAUUUUCAAUAAGAGAUACUAAGAUACUCUUUUUUACUAUAACACCUACUAGCUCUAUUAACUCAAAAAAUUAGCUUCAAUGUUAAUAUAUAUAUUUUAAAAUAAUUUUAAUAUUUUAAAAAAAAUGAAAAAAAUAUUUUAAUACUUUACAAGCUUAUACUAUAUUAAACUAAAUUUUGUAAUAAAUAGAAACUUAAUAUAAAAUAAAUGUCUAAAAAUUUAAAUUAUUUUCAAUAGCAUAUAGAAUAAUUAUAAUAUUAUUAAUACCUAAGAUAUAUUAAAUUAAUUAUAAAUUCUAUUUAACACAAAUAUUUAACUAAAUUUUUUAUAAUAAAUAUAAAUAUAUUAUUAAAAUAAAUCUAAUAAUUAACAUUUUAAAAAAUAAUACUGAAAUUAAUUUUUUAAAUUAUACUAACACUAGUUUCACGCUGUGCGAACUUUUGACAAAAACUGUUAAUUGCAAUUUCUUUUGAAAACAAUAGAUCAAAUCAUUAAAGUGCAUGUGAUGAUUUGCUGUUUAAUUAUUUCUUUAGAAUAUAUCCAAACGUAAGGUUGUGAACUAGUGCUUUCUUCAACUUAAUUGGGUCCAACAAUACACUGCAGCUUCCUCUUUUGGUCAUUCCAAGUUUAAUUCUUCAUGAAAAUCUUAGACACUAAUACAAGGAUAUCGAAUCCAAAAUUAUAAUAAUACAUGUAAUUAUUCUAUACAUGCGUCAACAAGGCAACAGUAACCAAAUACAUGAUAUGCAAAGGGGGUGCAUGAUUAAGUCCUUUUUUUAUUCAAUUCAUUGUUAUUAUUCUCAUCAACUCUUUUCUCACUUAUUUUUCAGCAGUUACCAGUGAUCUUUUUGCUCUUUAAAAUUAUUCUUAAAUAUUCAAGGCUAAAUAGAGAAGCUCAUCAACUAUCUGAUCCCGGAUAAUUAAAGAGGUGAACUUGUUCUAAAUCCUUUGAUAAUUUCUAUUAAUAGCAUAAUCUCCUUGAUCUUGACCGCAGUUAUUUCUUAAUGUCCAAGAAAAAAAUAUCUCCUGUUUGUCUUAAUCUUGUCAUUUAAUUUUCUUGAUUUAAGUUACUGUUCAUUGUUAACUUCUGUGUUCUUGUUAUUAGCAUUUGUUAAUUUGCAUCUCUCCUCUAAAAUAGUUUCUAAAAAAGAAUGUUGCUUUUCAUUCAUACCCUUGAAACCUUUCAGUUAAUAGUCAAAACUCUAAUCUUUCAGUUAAUUUAUUUGAAUCCAAUUUUUUCAACAGCAAAUACACACACACAUUGUUAAGCAACAGCCAAAAAAGUGCAGAAAAACCAGUCAAAUUUAUACAUGCGUCAACAGGGAAACAGUAACCAAAUAGGUGAUACAAAAAGGGGUGAAUGAUUCUGUCUUUUCCUUUUGCAAGUCGCUGUUAUUACUCUCAUCAACUUCUUUCUCGCACAUUUCUCAGCAGUUACCAGUAAUAUUUAAAAUCGCUGUGUAGAUAUGCAAAAGUUCCGUAAGUGCAUUAAUAAUUAUUUGCCAGAAAAAAAUAGUUGCGUCAAUAUUAAAGGAAUUGACAUCCAGGGGACCCAAUUUAGUUGCUUAAUGAUUAUUUAAUUAAUUAAUUUAUAAUAUAUUAAUCUUUUAAGUUGAAUAAUUAAAAUCUUAGACCCGAAACAAUAAAUCAUCUGAGGCAUAUAAAAGAGAAAUUAUCAUCCUAUUUUUUCUUUUUUCUUUUUAACUUCUUGUAGCUUAUAAAAGAGAAAUUAUCAGUCAUUUACUCAAAGUUUAUUCAAUUAUUAAAAUUAUUAUAAAAAUUUAAAUUUAUUUAAUUUUACAUCCAAUGUAUGCAAUUUGUAUGAAACAUCUGUUAAAAAUAUAAAGUUAUUCGUUCAAAGUGACAAAAUAGAACCGAACACAAAAUUGUAGUGGUGAUUAUGUUUUAGGAGUAACUUUAUUUUUUUAGUAAACAGUUGAUACACAUUGUAAUAAUGGGUAUAAAAUUAAAUAUUUUUAAAUUUUUAUAACUUUUUGGAUAAUAAGAUAAUUCUUAGAUGGAUAAUUGAAAAUUUUUCUUUUCAAAAUAUUUUGAAAACAAUACCAAAUGUACCAAAACAUUGUUUACUUUCACUCUCUCUCUCUCUCUCUCUCUCUCUCUAUCUAUCUAUCUAUAUAUAUAUAUAUAUAUAUAUAUAUAUAUAUAUAUUAUUUCUUAACUCAUUCUUAUCCUUAUUCUUUCUAACAUAUCCACAAUCUGUCAAUGAAAUUUACUUUUAUAAAUUUGAAGAUUUUUUCAUGCAAUUUUAUACGAUGAUGAGUUCUCAUGUUUCUGUUAAAAAAUAAUUCGUAAAUAAUACAAAUGAAAAAAACAAAAAGUAGCAGGGCUGGCAAUACAAAACCAUAACUUUUUUUCUUUGAAUUUUGCAUAAACAAAGUCAAUAGUGAUUUGUCAGCACGAUCUUGAGAGCACGGCUUGGAGUCUCAAUAAUUAUUGACACUCAUAUUUGAAAACUUUCGAAAAGAUAAAAUCCAAUAUGAAAGGUGAAACGUUAUAAUCAUAGUAACUAGAAAAUGGAUUGAUUUACAAAUAUCAAUUUAAACAAUUUUCAUGUUGAUCGACAAUUUAAGUAGAUUGACAAAGAUUGAAGUAAUUACUGUUGGUGAUUGAUUGACUUUGUCCUUAUCCUUGCCUUCUUCUUAUCAAAAAUCGAGUGUCAAUUAAAUUGGGCCAGGGUUUCUGAUUGCAACUAAUGGACUUCAUAUACGCAUAAUGGUCCCUACGUACAUACGUACCAAUAUUUGAUUGAUAAAGGGGGUGCAUGCUUAAUGCUCAAGUCGUCUUCUUUUGGAAAUUCAUUGUUAUUACUCUCAUCAACUCGUUCCUCACAUUCCUCUUUAGUCAAAACCUGUAAUAUUUCUUCUAUAUUCAAGGUGAAUACAGCAGCUCAUCGACUCUGAUCCCAGACAGGUAAAGAGGUGCACUUGUUCUAAAACCUGUAAUAUUCUUUUAGUAGCAGAAUCUCUGAUACUUGAUCUUCAUAGCGGUUCUUUCUUAAUUUCCAUCAACUUUCCUAGGAAAAAAUUCUCUGGUUUUUCUUAAUCAUAUCAUUUACUUUUCUUAAGUCAUAUCAUUUAUUUUUAGUAGCAGAAUACUUGAUCUUGAUAGCCAUUCUUUCUUAAUUUCCAUCAACUUUCCUUAAAGGAUACCUUUCUGUUAAUAGCGAAACCUCUGAUCCUUAAGAUAGAAAAAGAAAUUCUCUACUUAUGUAUCAGUUGGUUCAAAAUCAAUAUCGCGAUGUUGUUUGCGGUCUUUUCUUUCUCUGUCUUUCCCUCUAGUUCAUUUUAAUUUAUUUGUAUUCCUUUCUUUGACAUUUUUAUUCAUUUUAUUCAUAUAUAUACAUAUAUUGUUAAGCAACAGGCAAUGGUUGCAGAAGUGGGUCUGGCUGCUUUUUCCAGCAUCGUAUCAGAAGAUGCAAAGUCACUGUUCAAACCGAUUAUACGGCAGAUCUCUUAUGUGUUCAAGUACCAGAGCUACAUAGAUGGCCUAAAAGAUCAAGUGAAACAGUUGGGAUAUAAAAGAGAAAGGGUGGAAAUACCCGUUCAUCAGGCUACUCAACAAGGAGAUGAGAUUUAUAAGGAUGUUGCAGACUGGCUUAAUAGCGUCAAGGAAUUCACUCAGGGAGCUGCGAAAUCCAUCACUGAUGAUGAAGAUAGAGCUAAGAAGUUCUGUUUCAAAGGAUUGUGCCCAAACUUGAUUUCUCGUUACAAGCUCAGUAGACAAGCAGCAAAGGCCGCAGAAGCUGCUGCUAGUCUCAUGGGAAAAUGUAACUUCUCUAAUGUUUCCUACCGUCCUGCUCCAAAGCGGGCAGAACAUAUGCAAGUGAAAGAUUUCGAGGCCUUUGAUUCAAGAAUGAAAGUAUUUGAAGAUGUUGUGGAGGCGUUGAAGGAUGAUAAGCUCAAGAUAAUUGGGGUCUACGGGAUGGGCGGCGUGGGUAAAACCACGCUAGUCAAGCAAGUUGCAAGGCAAGUUAUGGAAGAUAAGGUGUUCGACAAGGUCGUUAUGGCUGAGGUAACACAGACCCCAGAUCAUCAGGAAAUUCAAAAGAAACUUGCUUUUGACUUAGGCAUGAAAUUUGGCUCGGAUGAGAAUAAAUUCGAAAGAGCAGAUCGAUUACGUGAAAGAUUGAAGAACGAGAAGCAGGUCCUCGUUAUAUUGGAUAAUAUUUGGAAAAAACUCGAGUUCGAAAAAGUUGGAAUUCCUUGUGGGGAUGUUGAUGAGAAAGAUACAAAGGAUGAUCAGAGACGAUGCACAAUAAUAUUGACGUCUAGAAGUCGAGAUUUAUUGCGCAUUGAUAUGAAUUCUCAGAAAAAUUUCCCGAUCGAUGCUUUGCCACCAAAAGAAGCAUUGCAGUUAUUUGAAAAGAUAGUGGGUGAUUCAACUAAAAUAUCUGCUUUUCAAAGUAUAGCAAAUGAGAUCGUUGAAAGAUGCGGAGGUUUGCCUGUUGCACUGAGUACAGUUGCAAAUGCUCUGAAAACUAAGGAUAGUUACUUUUGGAAAGAUGCAUUGAAUCAGCUAAGAAGAUCGGAUGCUAGAGAAAUUCAUGGCAUGCAAGCAAAUGUGUACACCUCCAUAAAAUUGAGUUAUGACUUCUUGGAAAGUGAGGAGGCAAAAUCUCUGUUCCGUCUUUGUAGUCUAUACAGUGAAGGUAAUGUCAUACAAGUUUCUGACUUAUUGAGAUGUGGUGUGGGUUGGGGUUUGUUUGAAAAUGUUUACACAUUGGAAGAAGCAAGGAGUAGAGUGCAUCGGUUGAUCGACAACCUCAAAUCUUCAUGCUUAUUGUUGGACGGUGAUGCUGAAGAUGAAGUUAAAAUGCAUGACGUCAUUCAUGUUGUUGCCGUAUCAAUUGCCAGAGAGGAGCGCAUGUUUAAUGUUCCAAAUGUUGCUGACUUGGAGAAAAAGAUGGAAGAGACAAUACAGAAAGAUCCAAUUGCUAUUUCAUUACCUCAUAGAGAUAUUCAAGAGCUCCCUGAAAGGUUGCAAUGUCCCAAUCUCCAGUUAUUUUUGUUGUAUACGGAGGGUAAUGGCCCUAUGCAAGUUUCAGACCACUUUUUUGAAGGGAUGGAAGGACUCAAAGUUUUACAGUUUCCUGGAAUUGGCUCUUCUUCAUUACCUUCAUCACUUGGUCGCCUCAUUAACCUUCAAACAUUGUGUUUAGACUGGUGCGAACUAGCAGAUAUAGCGGCAAUUGGACAACUAAAGAAAUUAGAGAUUCUCAGCCUCGCAUAUUCCAAUAUCAACCAGCUACCAGUUGAAAUUGGACAAUUGACGCGGUUACAAUUGCUAGAUUUGAGCAAUUGUUGGUGGCUUGAGGUGAUAGCACCGAAUGUCAUAUCAAAAUUAUCUCAAUUAGAAGAAUUGUAUAUGGGUAACGGUUUUUCAGGGUGGGAGAAGGUUGAAGGAGGAAGUAAUGCCAGUCUUGUCGAAUUGGAGAGGUUGACAGAGCUAACUACUUUGGAGAUAGAAGUUCCGGAUGCCGAAAUUCUGCCGCCGGAUUUUGUCUCUGUGGAAUUGCAAAGAUAUAAGAUACGUAUAGGAGAUGGGCCCGAAGAUGAGUUUGACCCAUUGCUCGUCAAAUCUGAAGCAUCAAGAUUGAUGAUGCUCAAGGGGAUAAAAAAAGUUAGCAUUCUUCAGGAGAAUGAUGGGACAAAAAUGUUGCUGCAGAGAACUGAAGAUCUCUGGCUAGAAACAUUGGAGGGUGUUCAAAGUGUUGUUCAUGAAUUAGACGAUGGGGAAGGUUUUCCACGAUUGAAGCGUCUUCUCGUAACAGACUGUUCUGAGAUUUUACAUAUUGUCGGUUCAGUUAGGGUUCGUUGCGAAGUCUUUCCCUUGCUGGAGGCAUUGUCUCUUAUGUUUUUAACUAAUUUGGAGACGAUAUGCUACAGCCAACUCAGAGAAGAUCAAUCCUUCAGCAACUUAAGGAUUAUAAACGUAGAUUCCUGUCGAAAAUUGAAGUAUCUCUUCUCAUUCUCUAUGGCCAAAAACCUAUUGCGGCUUCAAAAAGUAAAAGUGGAAGACUGCGAUGAUUUGAAAAUGAUUAUUGGUAAGUGUUGAAAUUAAUUAUUGGUAGGAUUAUUGACAUUGACUCUUUCUUUUUUUCUUUUUCUUUUUUUGGGGAAAAAAACAACGGAUGUUUAUUAUAUAUUGUUUUGGUUCAUUUAUAGGGCCCGACAUGGAGAAACCAACAACAACUCAGGGAUUCAUAGAAAUCAAUGCAGAGGAUGAUCCUGUUCACCAGGUAAUAAUUUUCUGUUUAAUAAUUAAUUAAUUAAUAUAUUAUCACGAUUGAGCUUCAAUCAUCGAAAGAAUAUUAUAUUAGAAGUUGUAGUUGAAGGAACAAAAAUGUAUGGUUUUUCUUUGCAGGUUACUUUUCCACGCUUGGAGGAACUGGAACUUGUCAGUUUAACAAAUAUCAAAAAAUUAUGGUCCGAUCAAUUUCAGGGAAUAUAUUGUUGUCAAAAUUUAACAAAAGUGACCGUGUGGAGUUGUCAUCGUCUGAAGUAUUUGUUUUCAUAUUCUAUGGUUAAUAGUCUUGGGCAACUCCAACAUCUUGAGAUUCGUAAUUGCCGGUCAAUUGAAGGGGUAGUCAACACCACGACGUUAGGAGGAAGAGAUGAAUUUAAGGUUUUUCCCAAACUACACUACCUGUCGCUCCAUUGGCUUCCAAAACUAAGUAGCUUUGCCUCACCAGAAGACGUCAUUCACACUGAAAUGCAACCUCAAUCCCUCUUUGAUGAAAAGGUUUUUUUUCAUUGAAUUUUUAAAUUCUCUUUUCGUUGAGUCUUCAAAUUUAAUUAAUAUACAUCUCUAAUUGCAUUGAAUUUUUAACUUCAGGUACGACUCCCAAGUCUGGAGGUAUUAAAUAUUAGUGAGGCGGAUAAGUUGAGAAAAAUAUGGCACCACCAGCUUGCUUCGAAGUCUUUUAGCAAAUUGAAAAAAUUGAAGAUAUCUGGGUGUAAUAAUCUACUGAAUAUUUUUCCUCCAUUGGUAAGAUUGCUAUAUUCAUUUUGAAUUUUUAUUUCAAGUAACAUUCAACAAUUAUUUUAAUCAUUUUUGUGUUUACAAAUAAUUUUCAUUCACAAAUUAUUUAUUGCAAGUAUUUUACUUCAAACUUCAGGAGGGCAAAAAAGUAGUGUACUUCAAAUCACCAUUCUGAACUCUGCAUUGUCAAUCUAAUUUAUAGGUUCACCCGCAUUAAAGUCAACGAUAUAAUUGUUUUAAACACGAUUUAACAGCAUAAUAUAAUUCAAUUUAAUUGUUUUUUUCCUUAAAUCCUAAUAAAUAAGAUUUUUAGAAAUUAAAAGAUACUUAGUUACUCAGCUUUUAAGCUCACAAAUUCAUAUAUAUUUCUCUUUUCCUUGGGUCUUCAAAUUUCGAUUUAAAAAAAAAUAAAAGAAAAGUGUUCAAAUGUAGUUAAUAUCUCUAGUUUAGUUAUGAAUUGAUUACGCCAUUGAUUAAGCACAAAUUCAUGAUGGUCAUUUUGAAUCGACCGUUGAUUAAAAAAAUUCCUCAAAUAUUCACUCUAUAACAGUCCCAUGUUGAUGGCGUUGGGAAGUGUUUUCCAGAAAUGUUUUUCCAUUUUUAAAAGCAUGAAUAUCGGGAAAAAAAAAAGGGAAAUACAGCGUUUUAGUUUAGUUAUUUUAAAAAUAGGCAUGUUUGAAAAUUAAAAAUUUUAAAAAACUAGCAUCAAGAUGAAAAAUGAAUUUAGAAUAUUUAAAAAUUACCUGAAAUUCUUUCUCCGUUCCUAAUACUAAAUAGUGUAAAUGCAUUUUCAUUAUCUUUGUUUUUCUGGACUUCUAUUUAUUUAUUUUUAUUUUUUCUUUUUUUUCUUUAACAAAAAAUAUCUAGUAGACAUUCAUGGUUUGUUAUUUUUCAUAAAACAAUUGUAUGAUUUUGACAUACUUUGAAUCUAGUUGAAUGCUACUCUUUAUUUUCAGGUUGGAAUUCCCAAUAGUCUAGUGAAUCUUGAUGUAUCAGACUGUGCAAAAAUAGAAGAAAUCAUAGGACAUGUUGGAGAAGAAGCGAAGGAGAAUCGUAUUGCUUUCAACGAAUUAAAACUUUUGGAACUUGAUGAUUUACCAAGGCUUACCAGCUUUUGUUUGGAGAAUUACACUCUUGAAUUCCCAUCAUUGGAACAAGUUUCUAUGACACAUUGUCCGAACAUGAAGACUUUUUCUCGGGGAAUCUCAUCCACACCAAAGCUAUACGUAGUGCAAGUGACUGAAAGGGAAGAGGGUGAACACCAUUGGGAAGGCAAUAAGCUUAAUUCCACUAUACAAAAGUGUUACGAAGUAAUGGUAUGUGUUAAUCGAUUCACUUUACGAAGUAAUGGUGUUACGAACACCAUUACGAAGUAAUGGCAAUAAGCUUAAUUCCACUAUACCACAUUUAAACAUAUACACCUGCGUUGUAAAUAUAUUUUUAGAAGUUAAAGCACAAAACAUGUAAGUUUAAUGUAUAUAUAUAUCUAAUGCCUUUCAAAAAAAGAAAUUUAUAUAUAUCCAGUGCAAUUGUUUUGGUUUAUGCAGAUUGGAUUCCGUGACAUAGAGCAUUUGCAACUCUCACAUUUUCCACGCUUGAGAGAAAUAUGGCACGGCCAAGCAGUGCCUGUCAGCUUCUUCAACAAUUUACGACAACUGGCUGUGGAUGACUGCACGAAUAUGUCGAGUGCUAUUCCUACCAAUCUGCUACGUUGCUUGAACAAUUUGAGAUGCCUGGAAGUGAGGAAUUGUGAUUUAAUAGAAGAGGUGCUUCAUUUAGAAGAGCUAAAUGCUAAGGAAGAACAUAUAGGCCCCCGGUUUCCUAGGCUUAACAGACUAAGGCUCAUUGAUCUUCCAAAACUCAAAAGAUUCUGCAACUUCACUGGGAAUAUAAUUGAACUGUCUGAGUUGGAGAAUCUAACUAUUGAGAAUUGCCCUGAUAUGGAAACAUUCAUAUCCAACUCUGUAGUGCAUGUGACAACAAAUAACAAGGAACCUCAAAAAUUAACAUCAGAAGAGAACUUUUUGCUGGCUCAUCAAGUACAACCCCUCUUCGAUGAAAAGGUGAUUAUUAUUAUUAUUAUUAUUAUUAUUAUUAUUUUCCCCUUCACUUUUGUUCGCACAGAUGUAAUUUCAUUAGAAUCAAAUCAAAUUUUAUGACUCAUCUUUUUGCAUGUCAUCUUGAUUCAUAUAUGAAUUAACAAUACAACUACAGUUAUGAACUAACUUUAUAGUAUGAAUUAAAAAAAUGUCUUAAAUUAUUUCGAUGACUGGUAACAUGAGGUGAUGAACUAUAUCAAUUAUGCUUGUCGCAUCUCUGUUUUCCUAGCUAAUUCAUAUUGGAUUUAGUAUCAGAUUUCAUUUAUGUGUUUCAAAGGGUAAUCGAUUUGAUACUUAUAUUUGGGAUCCUACUGCAAAGCAUACUAAUUUGGAAAUAAAAUAUAAAAUGCCGUGAUUAAUCUUGUCCAUAAAAUAUGCAGGGGAAGACUGCAGAGAUUGGAUACAUACUUUCAUUUACAACUUAAUUUUGUUGAUUUUCAGCUUACAUUCCCUCAAUUGAAGGAGUUAAAGCUAUCUAGAUUACACAAAGUGCAGCAUCUCUGGAAGGAAAAUGACGAAUCCAACAAAGCGUUUGCAAACUUGAAAAGUCUAGAAAUAUUUGAAUGUAGUAAGUUACAGAAAUUAGUACCAGCUUCGUGGCAUUUGGAAAAUCUUGAGGCUUUGAAAGUAUCGAAGUGUCACAGGUUGAUAAAUUUGUUGACGCUCUCAACAUCUAGAAGUCUGAUAAUUCUUCAAAGUAUGACGAUAGCUGAUUGCAAAAGGAUAGAAGAAAUCAUACAGUCGCCGGUUGCAGAAGAAGCGAAAGAUUGCAUUGUUUUCAAGGAAUUAAAGUACUUGGGACUUGAUUGUUUGCCAAGCCUAACAAGCUUUUGUUUAGGUAAUUACGCUCUUGAAUUCCCGUCCUUGAAACAAGUAGUUGUGAGAGAGUGUCCAAAAAUGAUGAUCUUCUCUCAAGGAGUCUUAGACACACCAAUGCUAAACAAAGUGAACGUCACCGAAGAAGAAAAAGAUGAUGAUGAUGAAGGAUGUUGGGAAGGCAACCUCAAUGACACCAUAAAAAAAUUGUUCAAUGAAAUGGUGAGUAUCAAUUAAGUUUUGGUGCUAUUUAGAAAAUUAUUUUAUAGAAACUAAUGUAAUAUAAUAUGAUUGGUUGACUGAAAAUAUAUAAUAAUAAAUAAAUAAAUAAAUUAUGAGGGCUAUGUAAUGUUUUUGUUUAACCAAUCAUAUUAUGUCGCAUUAGUUUAUACAAUAUUGUUUGUGUACAAGAGUUGUAAUGUAUGCUUGCUUACACGAGUAAUUACAAAAUGUGCAUAAUUCUAAAGAAAAGAUUGAGCCAACCCUUCAGGUACAGUGAAGAAGCUAUCUCGAACCAGGCCAAUCUCGUGUACAUGAUUCAACUUGCUCGUUCUCCUGUACUUGAAUAAUUUGGUUCUAAACGCAUUUACAACUUUUUUGUCAUGCUAUAGACAUGCAAGACACUUUGGAUUUGUUUGAUGCAUUCUUUGUUUAAGGAAGGACUUGAAUUGAUGUUUCAUGUUUCAUGCAAUUUUCAAUUAGAUACUGUUUAAACUUCUGCAUUAUUCAUUCAAUCGGUGUUUUAAGCAUUUGAUUUCUAACUAGUCCUGAUAGAAGAUCAUUAGCUGAAGAAAACAUCAUAACAUUUGUGGCAUUAUCAGAAUAAGAAUAGUUUUAUGAGUAUAGUAAAAUUAACUAGACCAUUAUUAAAAGGAAUUAAUCCGUCAACUUUAAGUAAACUUUAGAUGAUGGUUCUGACCUAAACCAUUUUAAUGCUUGGCAAAAUCACAUCCUGAGCAUAGAGUAAAGAAAGUGGCAUACAUGGUAAUCAACUUCAAGAAGCUCUUCGAAAUGCAUAAUACUGUUGGGGAGAAAAGAAAAAGAAAGAAUACAAAUAAAAAGAAGUCACACAUCAUCAGCAGUUUUUCGGGAACACAAAAAUGUUAUAAUAACUUUUCUUGAUUGCCACCCACAUGCUAAACUGAUCAAAUACAAAACAGGAUACAGAAAAUCUCUAACCUUUUUGGCACUGAAGAAGACGCCAGUGCUUUCAAAAGAAAAUGCUUGAUUGUUGGCAUUCUGGUUUGAAAAAUAUGAGUCCAAUUCCUGUGUCCAGUCAUGUACCAAAUCAGGACGACGUGCAAGUCAUACAAAGAUGACAAAAAUACAGUAUAAAUUGCGUCAAACCAAUUCAAGUCAAUUGGAGAAGUAAAUCAAGGACCAUUUGCAAUAGUUGUUCUCCACAUCAAAUUUGGGUGUCCAUCGUCUUCAUCCUCUUGUGCACUGAACCUGAGAGUCCACGAGAAAUACAUAUAAAAAUUAGGCAUGAUUGAAAUUGAUAGUAGUACAAAAUGGAUAUAAACAUCACGAUGAACAAAUUAAAUUGUUCCCUGUCAGACAAAUCCAACCUGCAAGCUUAAGCUCUUAAGCUAGACCAAAUCACACUGCAAAUAACAAGACAUAAGGCCAAAAAAAGAUAAUAUGUAUCAUUCAUAUGCUUCGCCCUAUAGAAAUGAUUUGGGCCAUAGGUCAAUUAUGUUAAAAGCAGCGAUACUAAACCCAAAAGAAGAGAGGUGAGGCGAGGGAGUGGUGGGUUUUUUUUUUUUUUUUUUCAUUUAUAUAUUUUUACCUUAAACCAAAUGACCGGUUUUACAGGUUUCUGGUUGUUUCAAAUUUUUUUAUUGCUUAAUAAUGAAACAAAUCUCAGCCAUUAGAUCACUCCAUUUAAUCCAAUGGUCAGUUUUUGUGCAUGUAUCAGAUGCACGCAUGUAUUGUAGCCGCCCCAUUUUCCUUUUUAGUUGCAAAACCUCGUUCGAAAGCAACAAUGACUUUCACUCAAAGUAAAUGAGAAAUUACAAUGAAAAUGGGAUCAGAAAAAGGUUGAGGUGAAAUAAAACCAAAGGGAUGAUGUUUCUGCUUUCCAGCUUUGGGAAACGGCGUGGAUGGAGCACGUUCAAUACGAAAAACUUCAUUAGCUCACGCGCUGCUCAGCUGAUUCUUAACAGAAAAUGAUUUAGUGGAAACGGCGUGGAUGGAGCACGUUUAACAUAUCAGUUUAAGUAACCACGUGAGAAAGCAUGUGAUGAAGGUUGUUCCGAGUUCGUUGAAGGUUGUUAACCACGUGUCAAAACAAAGUGUUCAUACUGGAAAGAAACAAAAUAUUAAUAAAUAAACCAUUAAAAAGAUUAUCUGAAAAUUAUGUUUAACUAGGCCAAUUCAAUUAUCGAGCAGUUUGAUAUAUUAAAUGAGCUAGAACAGUAGCCUUUUAAUUAUUUCACUUACUAUUAUCGAACAGUUUUAUAUCAUUCCCUAUCUUAUAGUAAAGGUAAAAGAACAGAAAAGGUAUAUUGCAUUAGAGUUCGUGUACUUCUACCUUUUAGUUUAUUCUUCAUUUUAUUAAAAUGACAGAUUCCUCAUUAAAAAAGGUCACUCUACAUAGUAUGUGGGUGUAUGUUCUUUUAAAAAGGACUGAGAGAAAAAUAAAUGUGAAAAACAAGUAACAUCUGAAGAAGAAAGUGAUGCUGACACAUUAACGACCACUUGAUUUUGUAGGGACUGCACAUAAUUGAUAAUUUCAUCCAACAUGAGACCUUUCCAAUUACCUAAUUUUAUACCAAACAACAUGAAGUUUAUAAGAAAUAUUAAAAACACAAAAACUCGUUAUUUGUUUUAAGACAGGAAAAAGUGAAUAAAAAACAAUAACAAAAAAAAGAACUCAAAUUACUUAAUUACCAUAGCUAUGAACAAGUUUUUGCAAAAUUUUCAUCCUCUCACUAACUUUCUCUCUUCUUACCUAAAACCAAAUAAUGACAAGACAACUGCCCAUUAGACUAUGACAAAAGUUGGAAAUUAAAAUAAUAUAGUAGGUUAUUUUGGAUAAAAUUAGAAAAAGAAAGUUUGAAUUUGUAUUAAUAUACUCACCCUUUCUGUUAACCCCUAUUUGAAGGGCCGAAAGAGUAGUAACAGUAGCAAAAAAUUCAAAUAAUAGAAAUCAGAGUGCCCACUACAUAUAAAUGGAUCUAAAGAAUAGAUUAUAUAAUAGCUUGUUUCUUAUGAAUGAUACAUGUGAUUCCACAGAUAAAAAGAAAAUAAAAAUCAAGUAUGUGAAUUAAAAAAAACACCUAACCAAUAGGGGUUAGUGAGAUAUUUUAGCUAAAUAUCAGUUGACAGAAUCUGACCCACAAUAAAAAUUGCUAUCUUUUCACAAUGGGAAUCUGAAUUAUAAAAUUACUGAACAAAACUUUUAACACCUACAAGUCCAAAUAACAUCAAAUAAAAUGCCUAACCAGCUGUUAAAUAUAAAAUGUCCAUGUAGGACUAAAGCCCUGUGGCUAAUCCUUCAAAGUUCCAAGCAACAAUAUGAUAAAAACAUAAUGCAUAAUAUAUAAGGAGCUUAUCUGUAAAACUUCCAUACAAUACUUAUCAUAUUAAACAAUGUACAUAAUGAAAUAUUGGCUUAUUUCUACAGAAUAUUACGAUCUAAGUACACCAAUUUCUCAAGCAAUGCCAUAUAGAAAGAUACCGAAGAAAAAAGGAAAAUAAAAAAUCGAAGUAUGUUAGUUAUGAUUUCAACUUUUGAACUAAAAGUCUGUGACAAAUUUUGCUUCGGGAAAUACUAACAAACACUUGAGAAAAACUAAAGUGUAUCACACUUGAACCGUAUAUAAAGCACAAGAAUAAAAACAACAAGGGGCAAAAAGAGGCUAGAUGUAUCAUCUUCAUUAGUUAAACAACAUAAAUAGAAUCAAAAUAUUAAUGCAUACACCAAAACCUUCAAAAUUCUCUAAACAUUCAAUUUUUUUCAGAGUAAGAAAAUAAAUUUAUAAGAAAUCGAGAAUGCGUAUUUGUUGCGGUAUUUUAUCAAGCAAUUAGCAUGCAGCAAUGUAAAUGACAAUUAAAACAUGUAAAUCUCUGUACUUUGAAAGCUCACCUUCGUUAUUCAUCCAAAGAGAAUAUAUAGGGCAUGUAAGCUCCUUCUUUGAUAUUUAUCCCUAUCGUUCAAUUAUUUUGUUUUCAUCAAAUUCCGUUAGCUCAAGUGGAGACAAAGCAAUACAAAUGGUGCAUUUAGAAGGUACAACUUUAGAAACCGAAUUUGUGCUUGCAACAUAGGAGAAACAGGGGCUCUCCUUCCAUUUUCCUGGUUUUGUGUUUGGUGAUUUUAAAAUUUUAUAUCUAUAUUUACGAAAAAAGAAAAGAAGUUUUCAAAACUAUUUUUUUUAUACAAGUUCUGUGUCAACUCAAAAAUUGCUCAUGACCAAAAAACAUCUAUGGUUCUUCAGUUACUCAAAAAUUCCUCGUUUUUGAGUUACUUUUUUUUUUUUUUUUAAUUUUUAUUCUCAAGUAAUUUUAUCAUGGAAUUGUUAAUUUUUAUUGAAUGUUGAACAAGCCUUUAUUUCUUUUCUUUCCCUUUUAAUGAAAUUAAAUAAAUGGUGGGGAUAUACCCUACAAAUUAUUGUCUCCACCCCAUAUUUAGUAUUGCUUUUACCACAUGAAAAAUUAAUUUUAUACGAUAAAUUUAUUUACUUGAAUAUUAAACCAUAUCAUGAACCAAUUGACAGGUUGAAGAAUUAACUUUCAAGUUUCAACAUUAUAAGAUUAAUAAAUAGCAUAAACAAAUUUUUAUUUUCAUUUAAAUUAAUCUAAUCCUACCAACUUCAUUUGGAUUUCAUAGUUGUUGGUUUCAUGUAUCACACGAAUUGUUAGGCACCAACUAACACAAGUAUAUGUUACUCAAGCAUCUCACUUGAAUAAUAGUCUAAGGAACUUUGAUUCGGAUGGUAGAUAUUUAACUAACUAAAACUAACAUUCUUAACUCAAAGCUCAUUUACUAGUAAAAGUAGAACCUUCUCCGUCAGCUUAUCUUGUUCAUUAUAUAACAAAAGAUAUUUAGUGAAAAAAAAAAAUUGGAGGGGGGGGGGGGAGGGGGAGACUAUGAUAAUAAUUAUGUUCAAGAUCUAGCCGCUAGGGAUAGAUUUGGCUAUGACUAUUUGUUGAUCCAGUAAUUAAUUUGAACAAUAUUGUUAAUUUUAGUUGAAACUGGAAUGAAUUUUGUGAAAGAUGCUUUCUCAUAACUAACCAACUAAAACUAACAAUCAAAUUAUCAAAAUCAGAGCUCAACUACUAGUAAAACUAUAAAAGUAAAACACUUGCUUCUCCAUCAAGUCAUCUCUUUAUAUAUAACAAAGAAUGUUUUAUGAAAGAUGGCAAAAGCAGUCAAUAACAAUUAAGUCUCAAAUAAUUCAUAAAAGAUGUCAAGCUCUGUUGCGAAUGCUGCUGAGGCUGAGAUUUGGAUUGUCCCAUUCUUCGGUAAGGGACAUAUGUUUCCAUGCAUUGAAUUAUGCAAGCAAAUCACUUCUCGUAAUUACAAAUCUACCCUCAUUAUUCCCUCUCACGUUUCCGCCACCAGCAUCACCCCUUCUUUUGUUCACCAAUACCCUCUAUUUGAAAUUACUGAAAUACCCUCCUCAUCUCCACUACUACCAUCGCCUCCUUCUUACCUCCAUGUUGUCAUGCACAACCAAAUGCUUCAGGGUCUUCGAAACCUCCUUUCAACCCGGAACCCGAAAGCCGACCUGUUUGCGUAGUCAUCGGCGUUAUGAUGGGCUGGACGGCUGAUGUUUUCAAGAAUUUUGAAGUUCCCAUUGUUGGGUUCUUCACUUCUGAUGCUUGCUCAGCAGCUGUGGAGUGUGCCAUGUGGCAGGCUCGCAUCCAGGAUGUCAAACCGGGAGAGGCCCAUUUACUUCUUGGGUUACCCAAGGAUGUUGCUUUAUUCCAAUCAGAUCUUAAACGCAGGCCUCACGGGUCCCUUCCUGGUGGCCCACAACCUUUGUGAGGUGCACCCGGUUCAGAGAAAAUAGGUCCAUCAGAACCGAGUGAUCAACCACACUGGAUGAAGCAAGUGGAGGGAUCGAUGGUGUUGAUGCUAGUGUGGGGAGUGGGCCCAUUGUUACCUGAACAAUUUUACAAAUCGACCGGUUCAGUGCUUCGUGAUUGUGAGAUGAGAACCAACCGGCGGAGUUCUAACAUGACCAAAGAUGAGAUCAUUCAAUGGUUAGAUUUGAAAUCAUGUGGAUCAGUGUUAUACAUGUCAUUUGGUACCGAAAUGGGUCCCACCUUAAAUGAUUAUUCAACAUUAGCCAAUGAUUUAGAAGCAUCAAAUCCACCGAUUAUUUAGGUAAUUCAAACUGAUGUAAAUAGAUUGGAUCCUCCACGUCAUUUAACCAGCUUAUUUUCAUAGUGGUUUAGAUAGUAAAGCCGGUAAAAAGGGUUUGAUAAUAGAUGGAAUGGCACCACAAUUAUUGAUGCCGAGUUAUCAAUUAAUAGGUGGAUUUUUAUCUCACUGUGGAUAAAAUUCAACUGUAGAAGCAAUUGGCUGUGGGGUCUCAAUUUUAGCAUGGGCAAUUAGAGGUGAUCAACGUUACAAUGCCAAAUUGGUGAUCAAUCAUCUCAAGGUGGGGUGCAUGAUCUCUGAUGAUCAGUCGAAAUUGACUUAAAAGGAUGAUAUAGUGAGUGGUAUAGAAAAGCUUAUGAGUAGGGUUGGGCAAAAUAUCCGACCCGAUCCGAUCCGAUCUGACCCAAAAAAUAUCGGGUUCAGAUCGGAUCGGAUUGUUAACAAAAUCCAAUCGGAUGUAACUUUGCCAACCCGAUCGGAUCAUGAUCGGAUCGGAUGAAACCCGAUCCGAUCCGAAAACCCGAUCGGGUUGGCUUAAAAAAAAAACUGUGUAACAAACUAACAAAGUGGCAAACACAACAAAAUCGGAUUCACACCACACAAAAAGCAAAUCUUAGAUCUAAAUUAAAAUAAUCUGUAAGUGCACACACACACACUCACAUCACACACGGUCACACACAAAUAGAGGUUUGGCCUCGGAGAUCGGAAAUGUUGAGAUGCCAAACAACGAAGCAGCAGCCAACAGAUUGGAGAUACAACCGCAAGAAGCAGCAACCAGCAGACCGGAGAUGCGGCCGCGCGAAGCCGCGAACCAGCAGCCAGCAAUCACCGACGUGAUCGUGCGAAGCCAAACCAUCGGAGAUCGGAGAUGUCAGCGAAGCAGCGGUGAGCAGAUCGGAGAUGCAACCGCAAGAAGCAGCAGCCAGCAAAUCGGAGAUGCAACUGCGUGAACCAGCAGCCAUCAGUCACCGACGCGAUCGUUCAAAGCUAAGCCAUCGCUGCAACCGCAACGUGCCGAUGGAAUCUACUACACCUCGACUGCUACCGCUUGCUGCCACUAGCUUCACCGGUUACCACAACUGCUACAACUAAAUUCACCUCCACAUUCACUGUCACCAAGUUUUUGGUGGUAUUGACUAUAUUGUUUUAAAUAAUUUAAUUUAAAAAGCUUAAAACAAAACUAUAUCUUGAGAAAAGGUUGAUUGUUUUACUUGAUUGCUUCUGAAAUUAACCCAGAAAUAUAGAAUGGAUAUAUAACCCGAAUGCUUUUAAAUCUGAAUCUAAUCCGAAUUAAUCCGAAUUUUCGAUCCAAUCCGAUCCGAAUUAUAUUCGGAUCGGAUUGGAUCGGGUUAAUAAUUCGGAUUGAGUUCGGAUGAUUUUUUCCCCAACCCGAUUGAUCCGAAAUUGAUCAAAUCAACCCGAACCCAAUCCGAAUCCGAUUUUGCCCACCCCUACUUAUGAGUGAUCAAAGAAAUUGAAAAACGAGCUCACAUGCUUCGCCGUGUAUUUAAUCAUGGCUUUCUUAUAAGUCAAUGACUUCUUUAAUAUAGUGUUUACUUUUUGGAGUGAGAGUGAGGAGUGUGGAUUCCUCUUACUCCAGUGUUUACUUACAAUUUUCAAAGGGGAAGUGAGAAUUCCACUCCGUGGAUCCCACCUAAUUUUGGAGUGGGGGAGUGAGAUUCCCACUCCCAUGGAGGAAGGUGGGAGUGGAAAUUCACUCGCCUCUCUUCCUUUUUCACCCUUAUAUUUAAUAAAAUAAAAUAAAUAAUAUCAUAUUUAUUUAACUUAUAUUAUUAUUUUAUUUUAUAAAUUACAUUUAUUAAAAAUAAUAAUAUUAAACAUAUUUAUUUUAUUAAAUUUAAUAAAAUAAGUAAAAUCAUAUUUAUUUAAAUAAUAAUAUUUUAUUAUUUUAUAAAUUAAAUUUAUUAAAAAUAAUAAUAUUAAACAUAUUUAAAAUAAUAUUAAUUUUUUGGUUAAAAAUAAUAAUUUACAUUGAUUCUAAGUUAAAAUUACUUAAAAAUAAUAUCAUUAUAUUCAUAAAGAAUUAAUAAUAUUACUAUAUUCUAUUUUUAUUUGAAAAUAUAAUAUUAUUAUACUUAUUUAAAAAUAAUACUAUUAUAUUUAUUUAAUAUUAGUAAUUAAUAAUAAUAAAUAUUUUAUUCUAAAAAAAUUAAUUUUGUACUAUAUUAUCAAUAAUAAUGUUUCAUUUGUAUUGUUGUUAUUAAUAAUUUUUUAUUUAUAUAAUUAAAAUUAAAAUUAAUAAAAUAAUUGUGAUUUACAUAGUUAAGAAUAUUAAUAAUUAUUAUUAAUUUAAAAAUAUAAUUUUUAUUAAUUUUGUAAUUAAUAACUAUAAUUCUUUAAGAGUAAAGCUGUAAUUUAAAAUCAUUACUCACAAUCUAAGACAAUGUAAACAAAUAAAUUGGAUUCUGAUUUCAAUUCCAUACUUCCAUUUCAGUGUAAGUAAACAACAUACUUCGACUCCCACUCCACACUCCUAAUCCCAGGAUUCUCACUUCUCACGAUUCUCACUCCAACGCAAAAUGUAAACGCUACCUAAAUGCUUUCAAAUAUCUUGUUAACCAGAAAUCAAUUUAACAAAAACAAUUACCGUGUAUAUUAUUAACGAAAAGGCUUUGAUUCCGUUGGCUUGGGUGUAAAUAAAUCGACUUUAUCAAGAACAGACAUCUCAGCAACUACAUAAUAAUAUAUGUAAGCUUUUGUUAAUUGACUGCAUUAAAUCAUUAAAUCAAAAGCCUUACAAAGCAUCUACAAUAAAAAGAUGGCACAUCCUCCAUCCAAACGACAAAAACAUGGACUCGCAACGCAAUUCUUGCUAAUUAAUUAAUAGGUAGUCAUAUUCCUCCGAGCAACAAAAUGAACAUCAAAUUGUUGAUGAGGCACCAUAUGCACAAAAUGUUGAUAUUGUUUAAUGUUUAAUAUUAUGGGAAAGUUUUAAUAGAUCUUCAUUUCCCUUACAUAUUGUGAGCUUAUAACCAAAAAUGGGACUAUAUGGUUGUGUGACAAACAAAAAGGGAAAUUUUUUACUAUUCGGCUAAAUUUUAAUGUCAAUAAUAUAGGAUCUGAAUUCACUUUAAUAUGAUAUCGACAUGUGUAGAAAAUUCCUUAAGUAAAUAGAUUUUGCAUAAAAGGUAUCGACCCAGAGUCAGAGGAAAAUUAAAUAGAAUGUCUUUUAAUACAACAAUCACUGGUGACCCUGUUUGGGCAUAGUUUGAGAGUACUAAAAUAUCUACUGCCAACUCUAUUCUAGUUGAAAGGCUAUCAAGGCAAAUUGGUCGCAUUGUUGAUGAUGAGGAAAUAGAGGUUGGAUUCAAGAAGAAGAAGAUUAUGGUAGUAAUGUUCUUGAAGGUCGAGAGAUGGAGAGAUUGAGAAAUAAUAGUGCAGCAAGUUUAAUGAGUGGAUAAUAUUAUGGUCAUAUGUUUUUUUUUUUUACACACAUGUAUAUAAUAUUAUAUUUCUAUGAACUAGUUUGAUUACAAUGAUUUUAUGUACAUAAAAGUUUAUAUAAAGAUUAAAUUUUUGCAUUUUCUUUUUUGCACUUAAUUUAUUAAUCAAACUAAUGAUAUGUUAGUAUUUGUUAUAUCACGAACUACAUAACAAAUUUUUUAGUUAAAAAGAUAUUGAAGUUAAUUUUAUUGCAAAUUAAAAUAGUUAAUAAAAAAUUAUUUAAAUAUGUAAUAAAGAAAAUAGAAUAUGCUCUUAAAAAAUCUUGUAAAUAAAAAAAGAUUUAAAUAAUAAUAUUCUAAAUAAAUUACAAACAAGUAAACAAGUACAUUUUUGUCAUUGUACAUGAACAUUUUACACUUUUAAUUUUCAUUUACCAGAUUUGUAUAGUAAACCGUUUAAAAAUUGAUUGUCAAAUAAUCAUCAUUUACCAAACACCCUAAUAGAUUAUUUGUAAAAUUAUUUUUUUGUUCAGAAUCAAGGUAGAAAUUAAUUCUUGGAAAGUAAAGGAAAUCUCAAACAUACCCUCAAUCAACCAUGGGAAGUUAUUUAAGUUGUAGUAUCUAAUAAGUUCUAUUAAUAGUGAGCGCACAUAUCAAAUAUAUAAAAAUAAGUAUUUUAGUUAUUAUCCACCUGUUCCCUUGAAAUCAAUCUCAGUUUUUUUUUUCUUUUACCUAAAAUUCCAAGAAAAAUAUAUAAAAGAAGAAGAACUUUUUUUUGGGGGGGGGGGGGGGGGGGGGGGGGCGGGGAUUGGGGUGGGGGAGGGGGGAGCUCCUCUGUUUUCAUUCCAUUGUUUUGAAAUUAUCUAUCAUCAGUAUAAAGUUAUACUUUUGAAUCAAUAUGCUUUGUGACUCGAUAAUUUAGCAUAAUAAAAAAAGAAAAACACACUUACUCACAUCCCGAUUGAAUCUUAUCUCUAAGGAUAAGUAAAAAAUUAUUGUUCCUCUUUUUCUUUUACGGUUUGUUUACGAAAAGAAAACACUCACACCUUCAAGAUAUUUAUAAGUAGAACACUUAAGUUUUAAGAAUAAUACACCCUAAUUUGAAAAAAAAUGAAUACAUGUAUCAUAUUUUAUGUUUUUUUUUUAAAAAAAUUAUUUGAUGACAUUAUGAGACUCUAUAUGCCAAGAUCUAUGUGAUGGUGAGAAUGGUUUCAUAAAAGAAGCAAUAGUAUAACCGCACACAUGGCAUUGUUUGUAAUGACUAAAAUUAGAAGAGAGUCUAUGUAUCUACUCCUGAAACAUUAAGAAUUUAACUAUUUAUUAAUUAAAUCAAAAUUUCAAGAUCAUAGUGUCGUUUUACAUAAAGAACCCAAAUACUAAAUCUAGCUAAUAAAGGAGAACGGUUUAGAUUAGUUGCUUGGACUUCCUUGUCUCGGGGCUGUGUGGUCAAGCCUGUCCAUCAGGCGGAUUCAGAUUUUGAAAGUUAUCUGAAUCUUCUUCUCUAUGUAAGCCUAUACAAUGAUUUUGUGAAAGACAUAUGCAAAAACAGUACCAGUAAGCAUAUUUAUUUAUCAAAGAUGUCAAGCUCUGAUGCUCAGAUAUGGAUAUCAAAGAGAGAGAUUGAAAAAGAGAGAGAGAGAGAGAGGAUAAUCAGGGACUCGUCUGUUAUCAUUCCCCUGUUUUUCAGUUUGGUGAUUGGAAGUAACAUUAUUUGCGUGUACUCUUUAUUUAAUUUAUUUUUCAAUUUUUUAAAAAUUAAUUAUUGUUCUUCUCAAAGCGUUUAGUAAAUUAUAUGAUAAUCUGAUCAAAUCUCUAACAUUAAUGUCCGCAUAAUCUAGUAAUGAAACUUAUAAUUUUAUAAUAAUCAAAUUGAAGAUUUCUUCACGCUGUUUUGUAUGAUGACGAGUUUUUAUUUUUCUGUUAAACAUAAGAUCAUUUUCUAAUAAUGUCCAUCUGGAAUUAGUAAUAACGAAGCAUCAUUUGUGGACAGAACAAUUGAAAUAUCAAGUCACUAUUGAUCCCACUUUGAUGAUUGCACUUUAGUUUCUUUCUAAAAUGUCAUUCUUCAUUCAAGCUUUUACUUUAUCUUUUAUCAGGUAUCUUACAAAGCUUUUCCCUCCUAAUAAGCUCUAAUAAACCAAUGUGCUUUUCAAUUUCGCAGGAUACAAGUAACGUAUAUGCCAAAAUUAUUCAAGCACAACAAGUAUUUAUUCGUCGAAAACUUCAACUUAAUUAUUUCAUUAGAAAAUAUGAAACGCAGAGCCAUAAACUAGUGUUUUCUUCAACUUACUUGGGUUAAAUAAAAUUUUUUCAGUAUUUUUCCCGAUCCAUUUCUUGUAUCUCACUGCAUGCUUUAUUAAAGCUUCGUCUUUGUUCUUGAUUGUGAACUUCAAGAUUAAAUCUUAAAAAUCGGGUAUAAAAGGGGUGCUUGAUUAAGUCUUCUUCUUUUGCAAUUCAUUGUUACGGCUCUUUUCAGCUUUUUACUCACAAAUUCCUCUGACGUUAACAGUGAUCUAUCGCUCACUAAAAUUGUUCUUCAUAAUUUCUUUCAAUACCAGUUCUUAAUAUUCAAGGCGAAUAGAGAGCUCAUCAACUCUCUGAUCCCAAAUAAUUAAAGAGGUACACAUGCUCCUAAAUCCUCUAAUAAUUUCUUUUAACAGCAGUUCUUAUUUAAUUUAAUUUCCGUCUAUUUUCCAAGAAAAAUUUCUCCGGUUUGUCUUAAUCUUAUCAUUUAUUUUGCUUGAGUUGUAAGUUAUUGUUCAUUUGUAAGGUCUGUGUUCUUAUUACUAGCUUUGGUUAAUUUGAAUCUAUCUUCCCCAAUAAAAAAAAAAAAGAAGUUUUUAAAAAAAGCGCGGGUUUUUAUUCGGACCCUUAAAACCUCUCUGUUAAUAGCAAAGAAAGACUCUAAUCCUCGAGCCAGGGGGAGUAAAAAAAGAACAAAGAAUUCUCUGUUUAAGUAUCAAUUGUCUCAAGAUCAACAUUGUUUUUUUUCUUUUUCUUUUUUUUGUUAAUUUGUUUGUUAUUUUAUUAGAUUUGCUUUUAAUCUAAUUGUGCUUGAGGAUUGAAGAUGAGUGAGAAAUACCCUUUUUUUCUGAAGCAACCUACAAAUUUUAGAAUAGGGUAAGAGUAUUAGAGAUUCAAUUAAUCAAAAAAAGUUAUUUACAUUCGUCAUUUGCAAAAAUGUUUGCAUUAGAAUUUUUCUAGCAUUCAAGAGCAUUACAUAUCAUCAUGUCACAAAAUAGCCUGAAAAACAAGAUAAAUCAAUUAGAGCAACUUGCUCUUUAUUGAAUUUUUUUUUUUUUUGUUUGGUUUGCCCGAAAUCCCAGGGAAAAUAUUAUAUAAGAACAAGAGUUAAGAUCAAAAAAAUGUAAAACAAGUUUCCUCUGUUUUCGUCCCCCCCCCCCCCCCCCCCCGGUUUGAUGAUUGAAAUUUUUUUUAUCUAAAUUUUAUGAUUUUCCGUUGGGGUUUUAUUAAAUAAAAAAUAAUUAGAAAAUGUAAUUCUAGAUUUACCCUUGUGCAUCGAGUGAUUAUUAUUAUGUUCUCUUAAGAUUUGAUAGUGCAAUUUUGUGUGAUGUGAAUUUCAUGUUUCUGUUAAUCAAUACAAACACAAUUUGUAAGUAAUGGCCAUGUGGAACUUAAUUAUAACCAAGCAUCAUUUGUGGAAAGAACAAAUGAAAUAACAAAAAAGCAGCGUUGGCAAUACAAUAUCAAACUUUAUUUAUUUAUUUAUUUUUGUUUUUGUUCUUGAAUAUGCAUUAAUCAAAUCAUAUAUUGUUGAUCUUACUUUGAUGAUUUGCUGUUCAGUUUCUCUCUCAAAUGAUUUUUGUGUGUUUCCGGUAUCUGCUUUUAUGAAAGAAGCCCUAAAGUGCAUGUGGAUUUUUAAAAAAAGAUUGCAUAUAAUUAUCCUAUACGUGCGUAAACAGGGCAACAAUAACCAAAUACAUGAUAUAAAAAAGGGGUGCUUGAUUAAUGCUUUUUCUUCUGCAAGUCAAUGUUAUUAUUCUCAUCAACCCUUUUCUUACACAUUCCUCGGCAGUUACCGGUGAUCUUUUUGCUCUUUGAGGUUGUUCUUAAAUAUUCAAGGCCAAAUAGAGAAUCUCACCAACUCUCUAAUCCCAGAUAAUUAAAGAGGUGCACAUUUUCCAAAUCCUCUAAUGUGUGUGUUUGUGUAUAGUAGAUCUUUGAUCUUGACAUCUGUUCUUUCAUAAUUUCCAUCUAUUUUCCAAGAAAAAAAAUUUCUCUGGUUUGUUUUAAUAUUGAAUUUACUUUGCAUGAGUUUUAAGUUAUUGUUCAUUGUUAAAGCCUGUGCUCUUAUUAUUUCGUUUGGUUAACUUGCAUUCUUCCCCCCCCCCCCCCCCCCCCCCCCCCCCCCCCCCCCCCCCCCAAAAAAAGAAAAAAGAAAAAAGAAAAAGAAAGUUUUUAAAAAGAUUAUAGGUUUCUACUCAGACCCUUGAAACCUUUUAGCUUUCCGGUAAUACCAAAAUCUCUAAUCCUCCAACAAAUGAAAGCUAGGAAAAAAAUGUCCUAAAGUUUAAUAUCUGUUGCCUUUGUAUCAAUAUUGCCAGUUUGUUGUCUUUUAUUAUAUUGCUUGUUUGUCAUUUUAUUUGAUUUACUUUAUAUCUAAGUUUACUUGAAGAUUAAAUAUCAGUAGGAAAAGCCCUUUUUCUAAAGCAACAUACAGAUUUUAGAAUAGGGCUCAGCCACAUGAAAAUGUUUACAUUGUAGUAUCUCAUAUCAAUAAUCUAAAAACAGCCAAUCCAACAAGUUCAAAUUCAGUCAAAUCUAAAAAUGAUUGCUUUUAAGGAGUACAUGAUAGCUAUUAAAAAGAUCUUUUAGGCAGAAUUGAAAUGCAGUCAAUCGUAAAUCAACCAAUCCAACGAGUUCAAGUACAGAGUCAAUUGAACAAAUUCAUCACUUGCAGAAUUAAGCUUAUCUUCCGAAAUUGAGUUGUUUCCAUUAGAAAUUUUCCCAUAGUCACGAGCACUAUCAUCAAAACAAGAUUAUUUGUAUAGGAACAAGAGUUAAGGAAAAAAAAAAAAAGGUAAAACAAGAUUCCUCUGUUUUCAUUCCCAUUUUUUUUCCUUGGUGAUUGAAAAAUUUUAUCUCUAAAUUUUUAUAAUUUUCCAUUAAGAUUUAUAUUUAAAUAAAGAAUUAAAAAAAUCUAAUUUUAAAUUUAUGCAUUGAAUGAUUAUUAUUAAAUUCCCUUAAAAUUGGUUACAAUAUCAAUUAAAUAACGCAUAGAGUUAUUGAUCACUUUGUUAAAAAUGAUCAUGUGUUCUAUUUAUAUAAUAAAACAAAAGAUGGGGUCACACUUAAGUCUUGUUCUUUUACAAUUCAUUUGUAUUACUCACUCUCAUGAACUCUUUACUUACAUUCGUCUGCAGUUAAUAUUCAUCUUCUGGUCGUUCUUAUAUAUUCAAGGCCAGCAGUGAAGGUCAUUAACUCUUUAAUAAUUAAAUAGGUACAAUUGUCCAAGAAAAAAUAGCCCUUGUUUGUUUUAAUCUUGUCAUUUAAUUUUCUACGUACUGUUCAUUGUUAACUUCUGUGUUCUUAUGUAAUAUUAGCAAUGGUUAAUCUGCAUCCAUCUUACAAUUUUUUUUUUAAAUUGUUGGUUUUCCAUUCAGGCCCUUGAAACCUUUUUUUAAAAAGUUGUUGGUUGUCAUUUCUUUCUCCGUCUUUCCCCUAGUUCAUUUUAAUUUAUUUGAAUCUAAUUUUUCCAACAGCUAAUAUAUAUAUAUAUAUAUGUAUGUAUGUAUGUAUGAAAGCAACAGGCUAGGCAAUGGCUGCAGACCUGGUUUCCACUACUUUUUCCGGCAUUGUAACAGAAGGUGCAAAGGCAUUGUUCGAACCGAUUAUGCGGCAGAUCUCUUAUGUGUUCAAGUACCAGAGCUACAUAGCUGAGCUAAAAGUUCAAGUGAAGGAGCUAGAAUAUAAAAGAGAAAGGGUGGGAAUACCCGUUCGUGAGGCUACUCAACAAAGAGAUGAGAUUUACAAGGAUGUUGCAGACUGGCUUAAUAACGUUGAUGAAUUCAUCAGUGAAGGGGUUGCAAAAUCCAUCAUUGAUGAUGAAGAUAGAGCUAAGAAGUCCUGCUUCAAAGGAUUUUGCCCCAACUUGAUUUCUCGUUAUAAACUUAGUAAACAAGCAGCAAAGGCCGCAGAAGCUGCCGCUAGUCUCGUGGGAAAAGGCAACUUCUCUAGUGUUUCCCACCGUCCUGCUCCAGAGAGUACAGAACAUAUGCAAGCGAAAGAUUUCGAGGCCUUUGAUUCAAGAAUGAAAUUAUUUCAAGAUGUUGUGGAGGCAUUGAGGAAUGAUAAGCUCAACAUAAUUGGGGUCCACGGUAUGGGCGGCGUGGGUAAAACCACGCUAGUCAAGCAAAUUGCAAAGCAAGUUAUGGAAGAUAAGGUGUUCGAUAAGGUCGUUAUGGCUGAGGUAACAGAGAACCCAGAUGUUCAGAAAAUUCAAGACAAGCUCGCUUCCGAUUUAGACUUGAACUUUGACUUGAAUGAUAGCAAACCCCACAGAGCAAAACAACUUUGUCAAAGAUUGACGAAAGAGAAGCGAGUCCUCAUUAUAUUAGAUAAUAUUUGGAAAAAACUUGGGUUGGAAGAAAUUGGAAUUCCUUUUGGGGAUGUUGAUGAGAAAGAUAGAAAGCAAGAUCUAAGGAGACGCAUGAUAAUAUUGACGUCUAGAAGUAAACAUUUAUUGACCAAUGACAUGAAUUCUCAGAAGAUUUUCCUAAUUGAAGUUUUAUCAAAGGAAGAAGCAUUGCAAUUUUUUGAAAAGAUCGUGGGCAAUUCCGCAAAAGCAUCUGCUUUUCAACCUUUAGCAGAUGAGAUUGUUGGAAAAUGUGGAGGAUUGCCUGUUGCACUGAGUACAGUUGCAAAUGCUCUGAAAAAUAAGAAGCUUCCCGUUUGGAAGGAUGCGUUGACUCAGCUGCGAAAUUCUAAUCCAAGAGAAAUUCAUGGAAUGGAUGCAAAUGUCUGCUCUUCCAUAGAAUUGAGUUACAACUUCUUGGAAAGUGAUGAAGCAAAAUCUUUGUUCCUUCUUUGUACUCUAUUUGGUGAAGGUACUCCUAUACAAGUUGCUUCCUUGUUGAGAUAUGGUAAGGGUUUGUUUAAAAAUGUUCGCACAUUGGAAAAUGCAAGGAAUAGAGUGGACGCAUUGAUCGACAAUCUCAAAGCUUCAUGCUUAUUGUUGGACGGCGAUGCUGAAGAUGAAGUUAAAAUGCAUGACGUCAUUCAUGUUGUUGCCGUAUCAAUUGCCUCAGAGAAGCUCAUGUUUAGUAUCCCAAAUGUUACCAACUUGAAGGAAGAGAUAGAAAAGAUCAUACAGAAAGGUGCAAUUGCUAUUUCUAUACCUUAUGGAGAUAUUCAAGAGCUUCCCGAAAGGUUGGAAUGUCCCCAACUCAAGUUAUUACUGUUGCUUGCAAAUGGUGAUAGCUAUUUGGAAAUUUCACACCUCUUUUUUGAAGGGACGGAAGAUCUCAAAGUUUUAAGUCUUAGCGGAAUUCAUUUCUCUUCAUUAUCUUCAUCACUUGGUCACCUCAUUAACCUUCAAACAUUGUGUUUAGACUGGUGCCAACUAGAAGAUGUAGCGGCAAUUGGACAGCUAAAGAAAUUAGAGAUUCUUAGCUUUCGAUAUUCCGACAUUAAGCAGUUGCCACUUGAAAUUGGUCAAUUGGCGCAGUUACAAUUGCUAGAUUUGAGCAAUUGUAGCAGCCUUGUAGUGAUAGCACCAAAUGUCAUAUCAAAAUUUUCUCGAUUGGAAGAACUAUAUAUGGGUGACAGCUUUCCGCAGUGGGAUAAGGUUGAAGGAGGAAGUAACGCCAGUCUUGCUGAAUUGAAGGGGCUGUCAAAGCUAACUACUUUGGAGAUACAAGUUCAGGAUGCCCAAAUGCUGCCGCAGGAUUUGGUCUUUGUCGAAUUGCCAAGAUAUAGGAUAUGUAUAGGAGAAGCGUGGGGCAUCUGGCGCGCUAAUUCUGAAACAUCAAGAUUGGUGCAGCUCCAUGGGUUAGAAAAUGUUAGCACUCUUUUGGAGAAUUAUGGGAUGAAAAUGUUGCUGAAGUUAACUGAAGAUAUCCGUCUAGAGGAACUGACGGGUGUUCAGAAUGUUGUUCAUGAAUUAGAUGAUGGGGAAGGUUUUCCACGAUUGAAGCAUCUUUGGGUAGAAAGGUGUUCUGAGAUUUUACACAUUGUCGGUUCAGUUGGACGGGUUCAUCGCAAAGUCUUCCCCUUGCUGGAGUCAUUGUCUCUCUAUAAAUUGAUCAAUUUGGAGGCCAUAUGCCACAGCCAACUCAGAGAAGAUCAAUUUUUCAGCAACUUAAAGAUUAUAGAAGUAGAAUCCUGUGAUAAAUUGAAGCAUCUUUUCUCAUUUUCCAUAGCCAGAAACCUACUGCGGCUUCAAAAGGUCAAAGUGGCUUCCUGCAAUAAACUGGAAAUGACUGUUGGUAAGUGUUGAAAUUAAGUGUUGGUGGAUUUAUGGACUUCGCCUCAAUUAUUUUGAAAAAAAAAAGACAACGACAAAGAUUAAUUAUGUAUAUUGUUUUUGUUUGUUUACAGGACCCGACAGGGAGAAACCAACAACUUCUUUGGGAUUCAACGAAAUCAUUGCUGAUGAUGAUACUGCUCCAAAGGUGAUAAUUUUCUGUUCAAUAAUUAAUUGAUUAAUUUAUUAUCACGAUUAAUCUUCGAUCAUCAACAGAAUAUUAUACUAGACGGUUGUACUUGAAGGAACAAAAAUGUACGGCUUUUCUUUGCAGGUUCUUCUUCCGAGCUUAGAGGAAUUGAAUCUCACGGAAUUAAGAAACAUCAAAAAAUUAUGGGCCGAUCAUAAUCAAGGAAUGUACUGUUGUCAAAAUUUAACAAAGCUGUACGUGAGAAGUUGUGAUCGUAUGAAGUAUCUGUUUUCGUAUUCUAUGGUUAAUAGUCUUUUGCAACUCCAACAUCUUGAAAUAUGGUCUUGUGAGUCAAUGGAAGGGGUAGUCGACACCACGGGGUGGUCAGAAAGAGAUGAAGGAAAGUUGAUUGAAUUAAAGGUUUUUCCUAAACUACACUCCCUGCAGCUCUAUUGGCUUACAGAACUGACAAGCUUCGCCAAUACAGGACAUAUUCAUUCAGAUUUAGUUGUUGAAUUCCCUUCUUUGCUAAACCUCGAGAUUGGUAAUUGCAGUAAUAUGUUAAGAUUCAUCUCUACGAGCUCACCAGAAGACACCAAUCAUUCUGAAAUGCAACCUCCUCCUCUCUUUGACGAAAAGGUUUUUUUUUUAAUAAAUAAAAUUAAUUUUAGUCACAAUACUUAAUUUGUCUUUUCCUUGAGUCUUCAAAUUUAGUUAAUAUCCGCCUCUAAUUUAGUUAUCAAUUGAUUAUGCCAUUAAUUGAUUAAUUAGUUAUUUAAUCUUUAACUUCCAGGUACGACUUCCUAGGUUGGAGGUAUUAGAUAUUAGCUGGAUGAAUAAUUUGAGAAAAAUAUGGCACCACCAGCUUCCUUCGGAGUCUUUCAGCAAAUUGAAGAAUUUGGAGAUAUAUAAGUGUCAUAACCUAAUGAAUAUUUUUCCUCCAUUGGUAAGGUCGUUGUAUUCAUUUCGAAUCUUUUUUUUUUUAAAUUACAUCCAACAAUAUUUUAACCAUUUUUGGGUUUACAAAUGAUAUUCAGCCACUGAUUAUUUAUUUCAAGUAUUGUAUUUCGAACCACCACUCUCAAAUCUACAUUUUAAGUCCAUUUUUUAGGUUCGCCAGCAUUAGAAUCAACAAUAUAAUUUUUUUAAUCACGAUUCAACAUCAUAAUAUAAUUCAAUUUAAUUGUUUCUGCUCAUAUCUUAAUAAGUACAAUUUUCAAAAAUUAAAGGAUAGUCACUCAUCUUAUAGGUUCACAAAUUCAUCUAUAUAUUUCUCUUUUCCUUAAUUCUUCACAUUUCGAUUGGAAAAAGAAAAAAAGAAAAGAAAAGUCUUCAAAUUUAAUUAAUAUCUCUUGUUUAGUUACGAACUGAUUAUGCCAUUAAUUAACCACAAAUUCACGAUUAUUUACAACUGAUCCUUGAUUGUAAAGAAAUUUCCUCGAGUCUGGAAGUACUUAAUAAAGAUCCACUUUAAUUUUGUUUCCAAAAUUAAAUAUACAUAAAAAAAAGGGACCAAGGGAAAAGGGAAAAAGCGGCAUUUUGGUUGAUUUUUUUUUCCCAAAAGGAAUAGUUGAAAUUUGCAAAUUUUGUUUAAAAACUGGCAUCAAGAUGCAAAAUAAGUCUAAAAUAUUUAGAAAUUGCCUUAAAUUCUUCGUACGUUCCUAAUACUAAAUAGUGUAAAUGCAUUUAAUAUCUUUGUUUAUCUGGCUUUUAUUUAUUUAUUUAUCUUGUUGCUUUUUUUGUUUAACAAAAAAUUAUCUUGUAGACAUUUCAUGGUUUGUUAUCUUUAUAAAACGUAUAAUUGUAUGAUUAAACAUACUUUGAACCUAGUUGAAUGAUAUUCUUACAUUUUUACUUUUUUAAUAUACACACACUUUUGCUUAUUUUCAGGUUGGAAUUCCUAGUAGUUUGGUGAAUCUUAAAGUAUCGAAGUGCCAAAAAAUAGAAGAAAUCGUAGGACAUGUUGGAGAAGAAGUGAAGGAGAAUCGUAUUGCUUUCAGCGAAUUAAAAGUUUUGAUACUUAAUUAUUUAUCAAGGCUUACCAGCUUUUGUUUGGAGAAUUACACUCUUGAAUUCCCAUCACUGGAACGAGUUUCUAUGAUACGUUGUCCAAAUAUGAAGACUUUUUCUCAGGGAAUCUUAUCCAUUCCAAAGCCAUGCAAAGUGCAAGUGACUGAAAAGGAAGAGGGUGAACUGCACCAUUGGGAAGGCAAUAACCUUAAUUCCAUUAUGCAAAAGUAUUACAAAGAAAUGGUAUGUGUUAAUCGAUUCACCCAAAUUGUUUAUGCAUCUCCCCUGCAAUUGCACAUUUAAGCAUAUACCCCGGUCUUGUAUAUAUAUUUUUAGAAGUUAAAACACAAAACAUGUAAGUUUAAUGUGUAUAUAUAUAAUGCCUUUCAAAAAAAAAAUUGUAUAUAUCCGGUGCAAUUGUUUUGGUUUGUGCAGAUUGGAUUCCGUGACAUAUGGUAUUUGCAACUCUCACAUUUUCCACGUUUGAAAGAAAUAUGGCAUGGCCAAGCACUGCCUGUCAGCUUCUUCAACAAUUUAGCACGGCUGGUGGUGGAUGACUGCACGAAUAUGUCGAGUGCUAUUCCUGCCAAUCUGCUACGAUGCUUGAACAAUUUGCGACGGCUGGAAGUGAGGAAUUGUGAUUCACUAGAAGAGGUGCUUCGUUUGGAAGAGCUAAAUGCUGACAAAGAACAUAUAGGCCCCAUGUUUCCUAAGCUUUCCAAUCUAAGGCUCAUUGAUCUUCCAAAACUCAAAAGAUUCUGCAACUUCACUGGGAAUAUAAUUGAACUGCCUGAGUUGAGAUAUCUAACUAUUGAGAAUUGCCCUGACAUGGAAACAUUCAUAUCCAAUUCUACAUCUGUAUUGCACAUGACAGCAGAUAAUAAGGAAGCUCAAAAAUUAAAAUCAGAAGAGAACCUCUUGGUAGCUAAUCAAAUACAACAUCUCUUCGAUAAAAAGGUAAUCAUUAUUAUUAUUUUUCCCUUCACUUUCAUUCGCAUAGAUGUAAUUUCAUUAGAAUCAAAUCAAAUUUAAUGACUUAUCUUUUUGCACGUCGUCUUAAUUUAUAUCUGAUUUAACAAUAUAAUUGUAGUUAUUAACUAACUUUAUAGUAUGAAUUAAAAAAAUGUCUCAAAUUAAUUAGAUGCCUAGUGACAGGAGGUGAUGAACUAUAUCGCAUAAAUUAUGCGUGUUAGAUCUUUGUUUUCCUAGCUAAUUCAUAUUGGAUUUAUGAUCAGAUUUCAUUUAUGUGUUUCAAAGGGUAAUCGAUUUGAUACUUAUAUUUGGGAUCCUACUGCAAAGCAUACUAAUUUGGAAAUAAAAUAUAAAAUGCCGUGAUUAAUCUUGUCCAUAAAAUAUGUAGGGGAAGACUGUAGAGAUUGGAUACAUAUUUUCAUUUACAACUUAAUUUUGUUGAUUUUCAGGUUGCAUUCCCUCAAUUGAUGAAGUUAAAGCUAUCUGGAUUACACAAAGUGCAGCAUCUCUGGAAGGAAAAUGCCGAAUCCAACAAAGUGUUUGCAAACUUGAAAAGUCUAGAAAUAUUUGAAUGUAGUAAGUUGCAGAAAUUAGUACCAGCUUUGUGGCAUUUGGAAAAUCUUGCGACUCUGGAAGUAUCGAAGUGUCAUGGGUUGAUAAAUUUAUUGACACUCUCAACAUCUGAAAGUCUAGUGAAUCUUGAAAGAAUGAAGAUAACUGAUUGCAAAAUGAUGGAAGAAAUUAUACAGUCGCAGGUUGGAGAAGAAGCGGAAGAUUGCAUUGUUUUCAGGAAAUUGGAGUACUUGGGAAUUGAUUGUUUGCCAAGCCUAACAAGCUUUAGUUUGGGUAAUUACGCUCUUGAGUUCCCGUCCUUGGCACACGUAGUUGUGAGACAAUGCCCAACGAUGAAGAUUUUCUCUCCAGGAGUCGUAGACGCACCAAAGCUAAACAAAGUGAAACCCACCGAAGAUGAAGAUGGUGAUGAUGAAGGAUGUUGGGAAGGCAACCUCAAUGACACUAUAAAAAAAUUGUUCAAUGAAAUGGUGAGUAUCAAUGAAGUGUUGGCACUAUCUAGUAAAUUAUUUCUAUUUAAUGUGGCAUAAUAUGAUUGCUUGACUGAAAAUAUAAAAUAAUAAUAAAUAAAUUAUGAGGGUCAUGUUAUGUUUUUGUUUAAUCAAUCAUAUUAUGUCAUAUUAGUUUGUACAAUAUUAUUUGUGCACAAGAGGCUGUGGUCGUAUCAUUACUCUUGCCUUAUUAUUAUUAUGGUUGUAAUGUAUGCUUGCUUACACGAGUAAUUACAAAAUGUGCAGAAUUCUAAAGAAAAGAUUGAGCCAACCCUUCAGGUACUGUGAAGAAGCUAUCUCGAACCAGGCCAACCUCUUGUACAUGAUUCAACUUGCUUGUUCUCCUGUACUUGAAUAAUCUAAACGCAUUUACAAUUAUUUACAGACAUGCAAGACACUUUGGAUUUGUUUGAUGCAUUCUCUGUUUAAGGAAGGACUUGAAUUGAUGUUUCAUGCUUCAUGCAAUUUUCAAUUAGAUACUGUUUAAACUUCUGCAUUAUUCAUUCAAUUGGUGUUUUAAGCAUUUGAUUUCUAACUAGUCCUAAUAGAAGAUUAUUGGCUGAAGAAAACAUCAUAACAUUUGUGGCAUUAUCAGAAUAAUAAUAGUUUUACGAGUAUAGUAAAAUUAACUCGACCAUUAUUAAAAGGAAUUAAUCCGUCAAAUUAACUUUCUCAGACCAGAACCCUUUAAGUUAAAAGAAUUUCGUGAAGUCAAGACCAUGUUAUAGAUCUUGUGGAAAUAAGUGAACCCAUAAAUGUUUUCACAGCAUCAUAAGAAAAUCAUUUUUUUAGUUGUUGAGUUUUAAAAGUAGUAGGCUAUUAAACAAUGACAAUUAGUGCGGUCGCAGUUGGGGAUCGAGUAGUUCACUUGAUUGCGAGUAGAAACCAACUUCAAUACUAUUACACUCAUUCCAAAAAUAGUAACUAAAGAAUUAUUAAGUUUCCUAUUAAGUAUUCUUUAUUUUUUAAUGCAAAAUUCCUAUUCGAAAACACCAGUGACUUUCUUUCAAAGUAAAUGAGAAAUUACAAUGAAAACGGGAUCAAAAUACAUGUAUGCAUACCUAAAACAAAUGAUUUUUUUUUUCAAUUAAAAAAAAAACAGUUGAGGUGAAAUGAAACCAGAGUCAUGAUGUCUCUGGUUCCAACUUUGGGACAAUAGCAGACUUGAGUUCUAUAUAAGAAACACGUACAGCUCCAAUCAGCCGCUCCGGUAAUUCAUCUGUAGUAUUUGCCUGCAUACACGAAGCAUUAUACCAUUCUGAAAAUGAUUCUUGAGUUACUAUUCAAGUAUGCAAAUAUGCAAAUUGCAGUACAAUAUCUCAAAAUCAUGUCUCUUCCCUCGUGUCAUUUAGAAGUGGGGGAAAAAAACAAUCAUACAUACCUGCACAAGGAAAGCCAUGUCAACCACCAAUGCCGUAAUUACACCAAUUACAAGGCCCAAAACUCCAUUAGCAACUCUAGAAGAACACGUCAACAUCAAUCUACAGAAAGAUGAACAAUGUUAAACCAUGUUAAUGGUAUUGAACAAGCUAUUUGAAAGGGAACACAUCCCAUGUACUAUAGGAAUUCGAAGAGCAUUUAUUUCUAACUACUUAGGACCGCGGAUAUAGUUACAAUCAACUGCUUUUCCUAAUAAACAAGGGGUGCUUCCAUCACUCUGGUGCAUGAUCCAUGACUAAGCCCUAUAUUUAAGUCAUAUUGAGGAAACAUAAGAAAAAAAUUCCAGAAAAAGUAUCAGCUAAGAAUUAAAAUUAAAUUCAUCAAAAUGAUCUCAAUCACUAGAUUUUUUACUGUCACAGUAUGUUUAAAAACUUGCAGAAGGCCCAAAGAGAACUUAGGACUGAACCGAGGGAAAAACAAGACGGUGUAUUUAUUUUAUUUCUGAAUGCCAACAAUUACAUUGGGAUACAGAAAUUUUAGGUAAUUUCCUCACAUAUUACAUCAGAAGAGAGGAAAGGGGAAAGAAGAACAAUAAAUGUUCUAUUCUGACCAAAGCAUAAAUGAGAUGAUUGAAUCAAGAGACUAUUACAUUGGAAGCCAGUCCAGCUGAAGCCUAUGAUAGAGAAUAGCCGUAUGACCAUCUACCUCUUCAACUAAGCUGCGAUACAGAAGACUACAAUCCCACCUGCACAAAACAUGAAAAACGGUGUACGUGCGGCAAGAACUUUGAGAAAGGUACAUAAAAAAGAUCUGAUGGCCAAGAAAUACAACAAUUGUACAACCAAAAGAGGUAGAAAUCCAUGUCUAGUACACUGCCCUCUUCAAGACCUCUAAAUACUGAGUCAAAUUGAUAGGAAUUUCAUGGAAAUAACUAUUCGACAAAUGAUCAGCCUUGCUGGCCUUUAUAAGCCAACGCACAGAGAUUAUGGAACAAUGCAAUGGUGCAAACCAAGAAUUAUUAGGGUACAGACAGUAAAAUUAAAUAGAAUAAUUUGAACACAUUACUAGCAAACCUUGCCAAGAGACUUGUUAAAAUCUAAUUCGCAAACCAGCUAGAUUUGCUAGGAAACAGGUAAUUUCAGGCAGCACGCCUUCUCCUGUUUUAGAACACUCUUUUAUGUAAUAGUGACUUCAAAAGUGUAACAUGUUUCGAAAAAAAAAAAAAAAGAGGAAAGAACGUAUUUGACACUUCAUGAAAUGGCUAAGAUACAAGCUUUAAUCUAGUACAACAAAUUAAUAUAACUAACUUCAACCAUCAAUUGAUCUAUAGUUCAGCAACAAAAAAUAUAGAUAGCUACAUCUAUUUUGUCUUCAUCAAAUACCAUUAGCUAAGUGGAGAAAAGUUAUAAAAAUGAGUCCUAGUCUUUCUUUAUUAAUGAAGCAAUCCAUCAAACUUCAAAAGCUAUUUUCAUUUCCACAUUCUUCAUAUACUUAAGCAACAAAAGUUUGUAAUAAUCUUUAGAAAGCACCAUGCAGAUUAAUUAAAUAUAUUCAAAAAGGCACAUACAGAAUCGGGACUGGAGACAAUGUGAAUUUCACAGCAUACAAGAGGAAAUAUAAUACUCAGCUUACACAGACAGCCAAUAUAGUCUUGAUUAUGUUAAAGUAACUAAAAAUAAAAAAUAGAAAAGAAGCAUACUCGUAUCGUGUCCCAUCCAUGCUCAUUACAAGUUCAAAUAUUUCUUCACAGCUGGCCUUCAUAACACCAACAGCCUUCAUUGCUCUACUACAGCUUCUCGGCAGCAUUAAGUAAACUUUAGAUGAUGGUUCUGACCUAAACAAAAUCACAUCCUGAGCAUAGAGUAAAGAAAGUGGCAUACAUGGUAAUCAACUUCAAGAAGCUCUUCAGAAAUACAUAAUUCUGUUGGGGAGAAAAGAAAAAAGAAAGAAUACAAAUAAAAAGAAGUCACAAACAAUUCAUUUCCUGCACUACACAUCAGCAGCAGUUUUUCGGGAACACAAAAAUGUUAUAAUAACUUUUCUUGAUUGCCACCCACAUGCUAAACUGAUCAAAUACAAAACAGGAUACAGAAAAUCUCUAACCUUUUUGGCACUGAAGAAGACGCCAGUGCUUUCAAAAGAAAAUGCUUGAUUGUUGGCAUUCUGGUUUGAAAAAUAUGAGUCCAAUUCCUGUGUCCAGUCAUGUACCAAAUCAGGACGACCUGCCAGUCAUACAAAGAUGACAAAAAUACACUAUAAAUUGCGUCAAACCAAUUCAAGUCAAUUGGAGAAGUAAAUCAAGGACCAUUUGCAAUAGUUGUUCUCCACAUCAAAUUUGGGUGUCCAUCGUCUUCAUCCUCUUGUGCACUGAACCUGAGAGUCCACGAGAAAUACAUAUAAAAAUUAGCCAUGAUUGAAAUUGAUAGUAGUACAAAAUGGAUAUAAACAUCACGAUGAACAAAUUAAAUUGUUCCAUGUCAGACAAAUCCAGCCUGCAAGCUUAAGCUCUUAAGCUAGACCAAAUCACACUGCAAAUAACAAUACAUAAGGCCAAAAAAAGAUAAUAUGUAUCAUUCAUAUGCUUCGCCCUAUAGAAAUGAUUUGAGUCUACAUAAGAAAAUUUUUUGAGCUUCCCGAUCCACGAAUAAUAAUAAAUCUCCUUAAAAUAAUCUUUUGUAAAUAAUUUUAUUUUUCUUGACACAUGACAAGCACCUUCAUAUAGAGAAGAAAGGAGAAUCUCAAAUUCCACCCGCUCUCAGAACACCACAUCAAAGCUUCGUAUCAGUGAACAUGGAAGAAGAAUAAAAGAAGUAGCUCAAAUCCUGUAAAAAAGAACCUUGGACUUCGACUCUUGUCAAACAGUUGACUCCGACUGAAUAUAGGAAGAGUAAUUGAGCAAGCAUAGAUCGGCCAAGCUUAAGCAAGCGCAUAGAUCGGCCAAAUUUGAGCAAAGCCGAGAGAGAGAGAUGAUUGUGGUCAAUUUACAGCCGCAGUUGAUCGUUGCCGACUCGUGCCGCCGUUGAUGGCCGUGGAACAAGAAGAGAGGUGAGGUGAGGCGAGGGAGUGGUAAGGCGCGUGACGCGAGGGCGUGGGAGUGGGAGUGGGAGUGGGAGUGGGAGUGGUGGUUUUUGUGCAUGUAUCAGAUGCACGCAUGUAUUAUAGCAGAGUUGAGUUCAAUACGAAAAACACGUACAGCACCAAUCAGCCACUUCGAUAAUUCAUCUGUAGUUGUGAGAUGAUGAAUCAAGUUUGGUUCCCAGAAACGGCUGCGUUUUGAAGCCGUAAAAGCUUCAUUAGCUCACGUGCUGUUCAGCUGAUUCUUAACAAAAAAACGAUUUAGUGGAAACGACAUGGAUGGAGCACGUUUUACAUAUCAAUUUAAGUAACCACGUGAGGAAGCAUGUGAUGAAGGUUGUUCCGAGUUCGUUGAAGGUUGUUAAGCACGUGUCAAAACAAAGUGUUCAUGCUGGAAAGAAACAAAAUAUUAAUAAAUAAACCCUUAAAAAGAUUCUCUGAAAAUUAUGUUUAACUAGAACAAUUAUCUAGCAGUUUGAUAUAUUAAAUGAGCCUGUUAAUUAUUUCACUUACUAUCUUAUAAAUCCUCUCAAAAUUACACCGCUGCUCUGACCCCAAGUUCCAUUAUCAAUUAUAUCAUUCCCUAUCUUAUAGUAAAGGUAAAAGAAAAGAAAAGGUAUAUUGCAUUAGAGUUCGUGUACUUCUACCUUUUAGUUUAUUCUUCAUUUUAUUAAAAUGACAGAUUCCUCAUUAAAAAAGGUCACUCUACAUAGUAUGUGGGUGUAUGUUCUUUUAAAAAGGACUGAGAGAAAAUACAGUAGCACGUAAAAAUGUGCACCCAGCAGCAGAACCAUAUUAAUCCACAACAGCGCAAAAUAAAUGUGAAAAACAAGUAACAUCUGAAGAAGACAGUGAUGCCGAAACAUUGACGACCAAUAUAGUGUCUUGAUUUGGUUAAUUAAAUAUAUUUUUGUUAUCAUCCACCUGUUUGCUUUAAAUAAUUUUCAAUAUUUUUUCGUAUGCCUGAAAUUCCAAGGAAAAAUAUUUGUAUAAGGACAAGAGUUAAGGGGGACAAAAAUGGAAAAAAUAGGGCUCCUUUGUUUUCAUUCCCCUGUUUCUCCGUUUGGUAAUUGCAAAAAUUUAAAUCUAAACUUAUGAUGCAGGCUACAAGGUAGCUGGUGGACGAUUAAUAGGGUCUAUCUUUUGUUGUUAAUUAGGAAUUUAAUUUGGAAUUUGUAGUGUGCGCCUUAUCUAAGCAGACUUCCUAACAGUAAUUAAAUAAUCUAAAUUUAUGAUGCAUUAGGAUAUGAUUGUGAUAAAUUAGCUUUUUUCUCUGUAUUCUAUGAGGCUGAUUAUUAUUUUAAUUUAAGCCACACCUUUAAAUUCAGUUUUCGCAAAACUGACAGGUAGCUUGGGUGUAAAUGAAUAUACAUUAAUGAAGAACGGACAUGUGGAGUACCGAUAUACUAGCAUAAGUAAUGUUUAAUUUUAAUGUAUAAAACAAUGGUGCAUUUAGAAGGUACUACUGUAGAAAUAAAAUUUGUGCUUGCAACUCAUUUUUUAAUUCCCCUUUUUAAUAAUAAUCAAAAGAAAGCAGAGGAGAAACAGGGGAUUUUCCAGUUUUUUAUUCGGUGAUUUUUAACUUUAUCAUGGAAUUGUCAAUUUUUAGUUGAAACUUAUCUAAAUCGUCCUCUCUAUAUAAGCGAAUACAAUAAUUUUGUGAAAGAUAUAUGCAAAAACAAUACUAAUAAGUAUAUUUAUUUAUCUAAGACGUAGAGCUCUAAUGCUCAGAUAUGGAUAGUCCCAUUUUUUGUUAGAGGCAUCUCUUUCCAUGCAUUGAAUUAUUGCAAGCAAAUCGCUUCUCGCAAUUACAAACCUACCCUCAUCAUUGUCUCUCACGUAUCCAGCACCACAGUUACCCAUUCCUCUCCUCACCAAGGCACACAGAUUACAGGACAAUGCAGCGAUGCCAACCAAGAAUGCUUAGGGUAAAGACGGAAACAUAAAACAGAAUAAUAAAAAAAAAUCUAUUCCGUAAACAUAAUAAUUAAACAGAAAGUGGUACGUUCAGACAAAACACCUGCUCCUGUUUUAGAAAAGAGCUCCUCCGUUUUUAUUUCUCUGUUUUACUGUUUGGUGAUUGCAAAAAUUUUUGUCUAAAUAAUGCAUAGUAGAGUCAAGAAUAAAUUUAUGUUAAAACAAAGAAACAUCAAAGAUCCCCUGAUAUUAUUAUCCAGAACAAUAUGUUUAUUGGGCCGAAAUGGGCUAACAUACAUGGGUUCAAGCUUGCAAAAUCCACAUUUAUGUAUAAUUAUAUAGUAAUUAAAUACUGAACUUGAACUCAUACAACUCUUCAAUCAUUUGGAUUUCGAAUCUGUGUUAAUUGAACUAAAUACUGUCAGGCAUUCGAGUAAACACAUAAAGAAUUCAUGAUUUAAUGUCGUUCUGAAUUUUGACUUCAUAAUAUUCCAGCUACCGUUGCAGUUUCUAUUAUUGUGUGAUAAAUAUGAAUGAUGUCUUAGUAUAAAGACAUGUCUCAUUAAUUAUACCUUAUAGAAGAGAUAUCUUUUUAUACUAAAACUAUAUAGUGAAAAGGGGUCCGCCUAAGUUACGUUAAACGUAACUUACGGCCUGGCUGUAAAACUUCAUCCAGCCCCCUAUAUUCGAUAUUAUUUAUAUUAUAUUUGUGAAUAUUAUAAAAAUUUUUGAUUUGAAAAAUUUCGUUUAACCCCUUACACUCAAUUUUAUUUUAUUAAAAUCCUAGAGUACGAAUUUGCCUCCUAUAAUUUUAAAUUCUCAAAAUAACCUCAUUUAAUUAAAAAAUAUAAUUAUUAUUAAUUGAAUUAUAAUUAUAACUAUUAUUUUAUUAUAAUUAUAAAUAUAUUUAUAUUUUUUAAAUAGAUUAUUGUUAUUAUUAAUAACAAGAAUAAAAAGUAUUACAAUUAAUUAAUCUAUUAACAAUAAUUAAUAAUUUUUUAUUAAAUUGUUAAUAAUAAUUAAUGAUAAUUAUUAUUAAUAAUUAAGUUUUGAAUAAUAAUAAUAAUUAACAAUUAUCAUUAAUAGAUUGUGACUGACUCUGAACAAGUUGUCCGAUAUUUUAUAUCAUAUUGUAUGCAUUCACUUCUGGCUACAAAAAAAAUUAAAGAAAUAGCUUUCUCUUUAACCAAACAAGAGAUUUAACAAAAUCAUAAACACACGUUUCUCAAAACUAACAAGGACUUGGACAAUUAUGGCACUAAGUAGUACUGCAAUUAAUAUCAGUGAUGAGAGUAUGUUGCUACUUUGCUAGCUAAGCCUAGGUGGGCAUUGGCAUUCCUAGGACUCUGAACAAUUAUCGUUAAUUUUUAAAAAUCAAUUAUUAAUAAUAAUUAUCGUUAAUUACUACUAUUAUUAAUUUAAUAAAAACUAUUAUUAAUUAUUGUUAAUAGAUUAAUUAAUUGUAAUACUUUUUAUUCUUGUUAUUAAUAAUAAUAAUCUAUUUAAAAAAUAUAAAUAUAUUUAUUAUUAUAAUAAAAUAAUAAUUAUAAUUAUAAUUCAAUUAAUAAUAAUUAAAAUUUUAAUUAAAUGAGAUUAUUUUGAGAAUUUAAAAUUAUAGGGGGCGAAUUCGUACUCUAGGGUUUUAAUAAAAUAAAACUAAGUGUAAGGGGUUAAAUGAAAUUUUCUAAAUAAAAAAGUUUUAUAAUAUUCAUGAAUAUAAUAUAAAUAACAUUGAAUAUAGGGGGCUGGAUGAAAUUUUAAAGCCAGGCCGUAAGUUACGUUUAACGUAACUUAGGCGGACCCAGUGAAAAGAUAUCUCUUCUAUCAGGUACAAUUAAGUAUGGUUGCUUGCAAAGAAAUGUAAAUAUAAGUCAUAAAACAAAGUCUCUAUUAUUUGAAGUACAAUUUCAUUCACAUGUUGCACAUGAGACUUGAGCAACCACGAUGUGCAGAAGACACUUUACAAUGAUUUUGCUUGUUUUUUUCCUAAUCAUUUCUGUAAUUGAUUUUGUUAGAAAAUGUUAGUAAUGAUUAAAUUACUUUAAAAAACACACUCACACAUCUUAACUGUAAAGGUUCAGAAAAUAUAUCGAUAAAGGUCAGAAGUAUCUAAUAAAAGUUGGCCAUAAACUUCAAUAUCCAAAAUUGCUUUAAUAAAGUAGCUGCAGUAAACAAAAGUCAGUAACCAUAGGCGACAAUAAAUCACAAUCAGCAACUAGGUCUCCAAAUCAAAAUAUAAUGGAUUUGGUUAAGUCUUCUUUCGAAAAGCUCUCUCUCCUUUAGAGAGGCUUGAAUGGAAGUAUUGAGGGGUCGUAAGGACUCAUGUGUUCACUCCCUGUGAGUGGAAGGUAAUCCAAAAAAAGUCAGCUUUUGGGGUUGGUGAGCUGGUUGAGAAAGCUUCGAAAGCAAAGUUCGUGUAGAGCGUUGGGGCACGAUUUAAAGCUAGUGAGCCUAAAUAACUUACUACCUAUCCAAGCAUUAACUACCAUGGAUACUGAAGAGCUAAUUCGUAAGUGUCAAGCAAUAACUAUCACAGAGGAAGACAAAGCCAAAAUAACGCUGGAGGUGAAUUUGGAAAAAAAGAAAGAACAAAUGAUGGCAGGAUGCUUAGUGGGCAAAGUACUUCUCACAAAGGGAGUAAAAAAAGAUGGACUUAAGGUUGCGUUACAGCAGGUGUGGAGGACUUUCAAAGAAGUCAAGAUCGAAAGCGUGGGAAACAACAUCUUCAUGUUCAAAUUUGCUGAAGAAGCAGACAAAAAACGAGUUCUCAAAGGGGGACUAUGGCACUUCGACAGGGCCUUGAUUGUUCUCGCUGAGCCAAGGGGGAUUGGGGAAGUCGCAAAACAAUCUUUUAUUCACACAUCCUUUUGGGUGCAUAUUCGUAAUAUCCCACUGGCGUGUAUGGAUAAAGAUUUUCUCCGAGACUUGGGCGGGAAGAUUGGAUCAGUAUAGGAGGUUCAAACGGAUGAUAAUGGAGACUGUAUUGGGGAAUUUUCCAGAAUAAGAGUCUCAAUUAACAUAACACAGCUGCUAGAGAAGAUUUUAUUUCUAAAGCAAGAAGGUGAAACUGAUAUCCCAAUGCCGGUGGUAUAUGAACGCUUGCCAGAUUUCUUUUAUUGCUGCGGAAUUAUUAGACAUCAAUACAAAGAGUGUGGCAAGUACCAAGACCAACCAAGAGAAGAUCUACCAUUUAGGAGUUGGAUGAAAGUGAUUACGGUAGGGGGUUUUACAAAGAGGAAUUGGAACAAGGAAAGGUGGAACUAUGGGGCUGGUAAAUCGGAUGAAAAAUCAACAAGCUCAGGAACUCACAACUUCCCGCAACAGCAAGGGCAAAACCAAGAAAACUCGAUAGGGGCAAACGGGUCAGUACCCAUUGAGAAAGAAAUGGGGCAAACCAUGAAGCAUGCCAAGAAGGAUGUUAUAGGAGGAGUAGCUGAGCAACAAUUAAUGCGAAGAGUGAUACAAUCAGCGGAAAAAAAGUAAAAUGAUGGCAACAAGCAAGCUGGGGAAACUGGCAAUGCAACAACCCCAAGGAAAAUGGGCACACAAGCGGGAAAUGGCAUUCCAAAAGAGAGGGAAAAAAUGCAGAUAAGUCAUGAAGAGGAAGCUGAAAUAAACAAUGGGCCGGAAGUAUCUCAACUACAGCCCAAUAAAAGGAAAUUGAAGUAAUUAACUAGAGAUCUAAGCGAGGGGGGGGGGGGAAAUUAAGUUACGAGUUCAAAAAAGGCCUAGGGGGAAAAAAUUUGGGCAAAGCCCAAGGAAAAAAACAAAGCUCUCUAGCCCCAAUAAGCUUGAGACUAAAAACCUGGAGCAUGUCUCUCCAACAGCAACGCUUCAGCUGGGUUAGGAACUGUUGGUACUGGAAGAAGUGGUAGUCAUGGAAGCAAACAAUAUGGAGAUAUCGGCGGAGGCUGGUGGUCAGCCCCCCCGGAAGCUAUGAAUAUUCUCAGUUGGAAUGUUCGGGGUCUGGGGAAUCCCCGAGCAUUUCAAGCCUUAAGAAAAAUCCUCCAAUUGCAUGGUGCUCAGCUAGUGUUUUUGUGUGAAACAAAGGUAUCAACCAUGCAAAUGAAUGUGAUUGCAAAUAAGCUGAGUUUUGAGAAUUGCCUCGCGGUGAACUGUAAAGGAAGAUGAGGCGGAAUAGCAAUGCUCUGGAAGUCAGAUAUUGGUGCAAAUCAAUUCAUACAGUCAGCACCACAUUGAUGCCGAAACUCAAAUGCCAAAUGGAAAUCGAAUGCGAGUUACAGGAGUGUACGGACAUCCGGAAACAAGACAGAAAAAACACACUUGGAUGCUCCUCAGGCGGCUGGCAGUUUUAUCUUCUAGCCCUUGGUUGUGUUGUAGAGACUUUAAUGAAAUUUUACAUCCAGAUGAGAAGAGUGGCGGCAAUGACAGGAAUGUGAAUUUAAUUAAUGAUUUCAGAGAAGUUUUGAGAGAUUGUGGCUUAAAGGAUGUUGGGUAUCGGGGGUACGCUUUUACUUGGAAUAAUGGAAGAUAUGGGUAGGGAUUCGUGGAAGAAAGGUUGGAUAGAUUUGUUUGCAAUAAAGCUUGGAGUGAUAGAUUUGUGGAUUAUGCAGCAAGCAACCUUGACACAUGGACUUCGGAUCAUUGUCCCAUGCUGAUGGCUGUUUAGGAGAGAAGUGGGGGCAUGAACCAAAGGGGUAGACAUUCCUCACGAAUCCAUUAUGAGGAUAUGUGGAGCUCGUAUGACUUGUACAAAGAGAUAAUCAAGGAGGAAUAUAAUUUGUAUAGAAAUUAGAAUAGUGAAAAUCCAGCCCAAUCCUUUCGAAAAGCAACAAAAGAUUCGAUGGGUAGGCUGUUGGGGAGGAGCAAGUUGGUGAGGAAAUUCGGAAGGUGGAGAAGCAAAUCCAAAAUAUCCUCAUGGAUGAAGAAAUCUACUGGAAGCAGCGCUCAAGAGCAGAUUGGCUCAAGGAGGGGGACAAAAACACAAAAUUCUUUCACGGCAAGGCAUCGACUAGAAGGAAAAAAAAAAACAAAAUUUUGGGGAUUGAAGAUAAUUUCGGGAGAUGGAUUGAAAAGCCAAAAGAAGUGGAGCAUGAGUUUUGCAAUUAUUUCACCAACCUUUUUACAUCAACCCAGCCGAGACAGGAUCAAAUUGCAGCAGCCUUGAAAGGAAUAACUCCGAGAGUUUCAGCCAGCAUGAAUGAGAGUUUGGAGGAACCGUUUACAGCCGAGGAAGUCUUGGAAGCUUUGAGUCAAAUAAAGGCUUCGGGGCCGGAUGGUUUUCCAGCAGUGUUUUACCAAAAGCAUUGGCAUACGGUUAAGGAGGGAGUGCUCACCACUUGUCUGCAUAUCGUCAAUUCACAAGGUACCAUAGGCCCUCUAAAUCACACUUACAUUGCUUUGAUACCAAAAAUCGGGAAGCCUAGGAAAGUGACAAACUUUAGGCCUAUUAGUUUGUGCAAUGUUAUCUAUAGAAUUGUAGGUAAGUCAGUUGCUAAUAUAUUUAAGCAAAUUCUGCACAAAAUCAUCUCUCUAUCGCAAAGUGCCUUCAUCCCCAAUAGGUUGAUCACUGACAACAUCAUAGUUGGCUACGAAUGUUUGCACAAGAUAAGGCAUUGUAAAGGAAAGCGAAAUGGAUUAAUUGCAUUAAAGCUUUAUAUUAGUAAAGCUUAUGAUAGAUUGUAAUGGAACUUCCUAGAGCAAACUUUAAAACAACUAGGCUUCUCGCAUCAAUGGAUUAGCUUGAUCAUGGGGUGCAUUAGUUCAGUUUCCUUCUAUGUGUUAAUAAAUGGCUCAGUGAAAGGCUUAAUUAAACACCAAAGGGGCAUAAGACAAGGUUGCCCCCUCUCUUCGUAUUUGUUUAUUACAUGUGCAGAGGCUUUUUCUUCCUUGCUGUAGCAGGCUGAGCAACAACGGCUUAUUCAUAGGCUAUCAUUUGGAAACGAUUUGAAGAUUUCGCACCUUCUAUUUGCUGAUGACAGCCUUAUCUUCAGCAGAGCUUCCAUGGCUGACUGUCGAAAUCUGAAGAUGAUCCUUGAGUGCUACUCCACAACUUUCGGUCAAAUAUUUAAUUUCGAGAAAUCUUCUCUUUUUCUUAGUGGCAAUGUACAACAAGAUCAAGCUGAGGCAAUUGGGAAUCUCUUUUAGCUCAAUAUUGUGUAAAGACAUAAAAAAUAUUUAGGCUUGCCGUCUAUGAUCGGGAGAAAGAGAAGCAGCUUCUUCAAUGACAUCAAGCUGAAGGUUUUCAACAAGAUCUCAAGCUGGCAGCAUAAAUUUUUUUCUUGUGGAGGGAAAGAAGUCUUAAUCAAAGCUGUUGUGCAAGUCAUCUCAGCCUACGCAAUGAGCGUUUUUAAAAUUCCGAUGGGAGUUUGUGAUGAUAUUUAAAAAAUGGUGGCAAAGUUCUAGUGGGGCUCCAAGAGGGAAGGGAGGAAUAUUCAUUGGGCGAAGUGUGAAAAGAUGAGUCAAGCUAAGUGUAAUGGAGGGAUGGGAUUUCGUGAUUUUUCAAGCUUCAACAGAUCCCUUCUAGCAAAGCAAGGCUGGAGGAUUCAGCAAUGUCCAAACUCGUUGGUGGCUAGGGUCUUGAAAGCCAAGUAUUUCUAGUCAAAAAAUUUCUUGGAUGCAAAGCUCAACUCAAACCCUUCAUAUAUUUGGAGAAGCAUUCUUUGGCGAAGGAAAAUUAUUUGCUCGGGCUCUAGGUGGAGAGUUGGCAAUGGUCAGAAAAUUCAUAUUCAUAAGGCUAACUAGAUUCCACAACCUUCAACAUUCCAGCCAAUGGUUAAGCCAACUUUUCCUUCGAAUGCUAUGGUCUCUGAAUUAAUCAAUGAGGCAAACUACUGGGAUGAGAAGAGGAUUUAUGAGCACUUCGAAAAAAUGGAUGCUGAUUUAAUUACUAAGAUUCCUCUGCCUAGAAGACCAAGGAAGGAUGAGCUAAUUUGGCAUUAUGGAAAAAAUGGCCAGUUCUAGGUUAAAAGUGGGUACCAGACAACUCUCCAAAUAAAGUUUCUAGCCAUGCCUUCAAGCUCAGUGGCUUCAAAAAAUGAAUGGAAUAUUAUUUAGUCUCUUGCUUUGCCUCAAAAGAUCAGAAUUUUUGCAUGGAGGGCAGCCAAAAACCUACUCCCCUCAGCUGAGAAUUUGUGGAAGAAAAAGAUAAUCCAGGAACCUACUUGCCAAGUGUGUAAAAUGGGAAUGGAAAAUGUAUUUCAUGCUCUAGUGGCCUGCAAAUCGGCUAAGAAAGUAUGGAGGCUAAUCUAUUUUGAAGAUGAUAUUAAUGCUGCUCACAGUCAAGAUAUCUUCAGUUUGCCGCAUGCUAUGAAAAGAAUGAGAAGCAAAGUUGACCUGGAGCUGUUGGUAACGAUUUUUUGGGUUAAAUGGAAUGCUCGGAAUCAGUUGCUAUUCAAAGGAAAAAUGGAGACCCCCCAUGUAACACCCUAGGCGAAUCCCAUAUCGGCAAAGCACAGGAGAGAUGCUGGGUUUAUAAGAAGUGAUCCACACCUUAAUUGGCAAGACGCGUUUUGGGGUCUAUGGGCGCCCCAAGAACAAAUCCGUGCAGGCCUUGUUAAGGCCCAAAGCGGACAAUAUCUUGCCAGGUCAUGACCCAACCCAGACCUGGCAAGAUAUUGUCCGCUUUGGGCCUUAACAAGGCCCGCACGGAUUUGUUCUUGGCGUGCCCAUACACCCCAAAACGCGUCUCAUGCUCCUUCUUACUCUUAGAGUAAAUUAAUAUGUCAUCAAUAAAGACAAUGACAAACUGGUCAAGAUAAGGUUGGAAGAUCCUAUUCAUCAAAUCCAUGAACGCUGCAGGAGCAUUAGUUAAUCCAAAAGGCAUAACUAAGAACUCAUAGUGUCCAUAACGAGUUCAAAAAGCUGUCUUCGAUACAUCCUCACUUCUUAUUUUCAAUUGAUGGUAGCCAGAUCGUAAAUCAAUUUUAGAGAAUACCGCUGCACCUCGUAAUUGGUCAAAGAGGUCAUCAAUUCGAGGAAGAGGGUAUUUAUUCUUGACAGUAACCAUAUUCAACUGCCGGUAGUCAAUACACAACCUCAUUGAACCAUCUUUCUUCUUUACGAACAAAACGGGAGCACCCCAAGGCGACACACUAGGACGGAUGAAACCCUUAUCUAGUAACUCUUGUAGCUGGACCUUUAGUUCUUUUAAUUCAAUGGGUGCCAUCCGAUAUGGCGCCUUGGAUGUAAGUGUAGUACUAGGAACUAACUCUAUAGUAAACUCAACCUCUCUAUCUGGGGGUAGACCAGGAAGAUCCUCAGGAAAUACAUCAAUAAACUCCCUUACAAUAGGUAUGUCUUCAAGGCACGCCCCAUCAGGAUGGUCAGCAAUUAUAUACGCUAAAAAUCCUUCACACCCCUUCUUUAGCAUUUUCACUGCCGUCACCAUAGAAAUCAAAGCUUUAUAACUCUUAUGAUUCCCUUGAAAAUGAAAUUCUUCCUCGCCAGGUAGGCGAAAAAUAAUUUCCUUAGCAAAACAAUCUAUUGAAACAUGGUAAGGUCCUAACCAAUCCAUCCUCAAAAUCAAAUCAAAAUCAUGCAUCUCUAAUGGUAGGAGAUCCACAAGGAAUUCUCUAUCACACAAUCUGAUCACACAUGACUUAUAGACAUGAUCUAUUAACUGGCAAUCCCCCAUAGGGGUACUAAUUGUCACGUGAACACCGAGUGGCGUGAUAGGCACAUCAGCAUAACGGGCAAACACACAAGAUACAAAUGAAUGUGUAGCACCAGGAUAAAAAGGAACUUUGGCUUCUCUAGAGAAUAAGGACAAUGUACCUGAUACUACAUCAUUGGACACCUCAGCAUCUUUCUCCGUUAGCGCAAAAACACGCCCUUGCACCUUCGGUUUCUUCCUCUGCCCUUCGUUAGUCGGAGUAUUUGUAGUCUCGCCACGUCUCUUUGGGCAAUCCAUAAUCCUAUGCCCAGAUUCUCCACAAGCAAAACAAGCUCCAGUUUUCCAAUGGCAUUCACCAGGGUGCCUCCUUUCACAAUGUCGACAAAUGGGGUAAUUUCUCCGAGCAGUGUCACUAGUAACACCCUUGUUAUCCCAUUUGUUACCUCCACCAUUAUACUUCUGGGAGUGAGUGCCUUGCCUAUAGGAACUUCCAUUUCGCGGUCCACCUUGUUGAUUCUUCUUAUUUCUCUGAUACCAUAAUGUCAUGACCCAACCCAGACCUGGCAAGAUAUUGUCCGCUUUGGGCCUUAACAAGGCCCGCACGGAUUUGUUCUUGGGGUGCCCAUACACCCCAAAACGCGUCUUGCCAAUUAAGGUGUGGAUCACUUCUUAUAAACCCAGCAUCUCUCCCGUGCUUUGCCGAUGUGGGAUUCGCCCAAGAACAAAUUCGUGCGGGCCUUGUUAAGGCCCAAAGCGAACAAUAUCUUGCCAGGUCUGGGUUGGGUCAUGACAUUAUGGUAUCAGAGCGGCUCCGCGUGUCCUCUUGAGCGAUGGUGGGGCAAACCUCAGCGAGGACGCUGAGUCCCCAAGGGGGGGUGUAUGUAACACCCUAGGCGAAUCCCACAUCGGCAAAGCACGAGAGAGAUGCUGGGUUUAUAAGAAGUGAUCCACACCUUAAUUGGCAAGACGCAUUUUGGGGUGUAUGGGCACCCCAAGAACAAAUCCGUGCGGGCCUUGUUAAGGCCCAAAGCGGACAAUAUCUUGCCAGGUCUGGGUUGGGUCAUGACACCCCAUAUUAUGGUAGCUAAAGUUGAAGCUAUGAUUGCAGCUUAUAAGAGGGUGCAUUCUUCAGUUGAGGCUUCCAGUGAAACAGAGCAGAGGGUACCUCUUCAGACAUGGAAUCCCCCUCAAGAUGGUUUUGUAAAAGUCAACAUUGAUGCAGCUAUCAACUUCAAAAAGAACCUUGUAGGGCUGGGGGCAGUGAUUAGAGAUGAUUCGGGGCAUGUUACAGCAGCUGCAAUCAAGAUUUCCAAGUUUCAUGGAGAUGUUUCUUAUGCUGAGGCAGCAGCUAUGGAAUGGGGUAUGUUGGUGGAGAGAGAAGCUAAAGUGAAAGUUGUAAUCGUGGAAUCAGAUUCUCAAGGUGUGGUCAGUUUAGUUAACAACAAGCAGGGCUGCAGAUCUGAGAUCUAUUGGGUUGUUUCGGAAAUUCAGAAGUUAGCGGAAAACUUCGAGUGUGUUAGUAUUAAGUAUACAGCCUAGAUCUUGUAAUGUUAUUGCCCAGUCUUUAGCUAAGUUAGCUCUAGAAAAACGCGAGACUGUUGUGUGGAGGGUUCAUACCCUUCACAAGUGAUGUAUUUCCUUUCAUCGUUGUUUUAAUUGAAAUCUAUUUUCAAAAAAAAAAAAUCACAAUCAGCAACUACAAUGAUCCAAAACCAACAUAGAAAGACCUAGAAAUAGUAAAAAAUAUUGCAAUAUAUUAAAGAAGAUUAAUUCAUCAGAGUGCCCACAACAUAUAAAUGGAUCUAAAGAAUAGAUUAUAUAAUAGCUUGUUUCUUAUGAAUGAUACAUGGGAUUCCACAGAUAAAAAGAAAAUAAGAAUCAAGUACGUGAAUUAAAAAAAUACCUAACCAAUAGGGGUUAGUGAGAUAUUUUAGCUAAAUAUCAGUUGACAGAAUCUGACCCACAAUAAAAAUUGCUAUCUUAUCACAAUGGGAAUCUGAAUUAUAAAAUUACUGAACAAAACUUUUAACACCUACAAGUCCAAAUAAUAUCAAAUAAAAUGCCUAACCAGCUAUUAAAUAUAAAAUGUCCUUGUAGGACUAAAACCUUGUGGCCAAUCCUUCAAAGUUCCAAGCAACAAUAUGAUAAAAACAUAAUGCAUAAUAUAUAAGGAGCUUAUCUGUAAAACUUCCAUACAGUACUUAUCAUAUUAAACAAUGUACCUAAUGAAAUAUUGGCUUAUUUCUACAGAAUAUUACAAUAUAAGUACACCAAUUUCUCAAGCAAUGCCAUAUAGAAAGAUACCGAAGAAAAAAGGAAAAUAAAAAAUCGAAGCAUGUUAGUUAUGAUUUCAACUUUUGAACUCAAAGUCUGUGACAAAUUUUGCUUCGGGAAAUACUAACAAACACUUGAGAAAAACUAAAGUGUAUCACACUUGAACCGUAUAUAAAGCACAAGAAUAAAAACAACAAUGGGCAAAAAGAGGCUAGAUGUAUCAUCUUCAUUAGUUAAACAACAUAAAUAGAAUCAAAAUAUUAAUGCAUACACCAAAACCUUCAAAAUUCUCUAAACAUUCAAUUUUUUUCAGAUUAAGAAAAUAAAUUUAUAAGAAAAUCGAGAACGCGUAUUUGUUGCGGUAUUUUAUCAAGCAAUUGGCAUGCAGCAAUGUAAAUGACAAUUAAAACAUGUAAAUCUCUGUACAUUGAAAGCUCACCUUCGUUAUUCAUCCAAAGAGAGAUAUAUAGGGCAUGUAAGCUCCUUCUUUGAUAUUUAUAUAUUUUGUCAUAAAAGAUUAUAUAUUGUCCGAAAAGAGCUAACUUUGGACAGGCUUUUUAUGCCAAAAAAAAAAAAAAAAUUCUUUUGUGACUAUUAUAAAGUUCGUCAAAAAGAAAUUGAAACAGGGACCAAGUAAUGUCUCAAAAAGAAAAAAAAAUGGUUAUCAAAUAUAAAAUUAUUCAAGACAAAACAUUCAAUGACUAUUGUUUAAUUUUGUCACUGUAGGUAAUUAUAUAUGAUAAAAAAAAAUGGUCUUAAAAUUAGCCAAAAGAACAAUAAUUUUGGCUACUAAUAUUUUGUGUCAUAGAUUGUGUAGUCAAUUUUACACCCCUCUUUUAGUUACCAAAUAAUUUGGUCGCCUAUAAUUAUAUUUCGUGACUAUUUAUUUUGUCAUAAAUAGUGAAAUAUUGUCUCAAAAUAAUCACUUUUGGAGGGAAGAUUUUGCGCCAAAAAAAUAUCUUUUGGUGACUAAAAUAAUUUUUGUCAUAAAAAAAAUUAAUUAAUGACCAAUGAACAAGUCUCAAAAUAAAAAUAAUUGGUUACAAAAAACAAUAUAAGUUAGGACAAGACUAUUAGCUACGAUUUUAAAAAUUUGUCACAAUAAAUACCAUUUUGUGACCAAAUUUAAAGUUGUAAAAAAUAUCAUCUUAAAAAAUCAAAUUUCUUAUAGUGGCCGAGGCCUAUGAUAGAGCAUAGCUCUAUGCCCAUUUACCUCUUCAACUGCCAUAGAGAACUAGAAUCCCACUUGCACCCAAAACAUAAAAACAAUGUACACUUGGCAUGAACUCUGAGAAAGCUACGUAAAAAUGAUUUGAUGGCCAAGGAUUACAACAAUUGUACAACCAAAAGAGGUAGAAAUCCAUGUCUAGUAUAGUGCCCUCGUUAACACCUCUAAAUACUGAGUCAAAUCAAUAGGAAUUUCAUUGUGGGAAAAAAAAAACUAUGCUACGAAUGGUCAGCCUUGCUAGCCUUUAUAAGCAACGCACACAGAUUAUAGAACGAUGCAGUGAUGCAAACCAAGAACUAUUAGGGUAUAGACAGUAAGAUUAAAUAGAAUAAUUUGAUUCCAUUUCUAGCAAACUUUGCCUAGAGACUUGUUAAAAUCUAAUCAGUAAACCUGCUAGAUUUGACAGGAAACAGGUAAUGUCAGGCAAAUCGCCUUCUCCUAUUUUAGGGCACUCAUGUAUAAUAGUGACUUUAAAAGUGUAAACAUAUUUUGAACAAUUUUAAGGAAAUUAAAACUAUAUUUGACACAUCACGAAAUGGCUAAGAUACAAGCUUCAAUUCCAGUACAACAAAUAUAACUUCAACUGUCAAUUGAAGGAGCGAGAUAAAGAGGAGAGACACGAAGCAAUAUACCAUUAUGAGAACAUUGCAGCAUACAAAAGUGUAAACGGCAGAGCAAUAUCUCAAAAUCAUGUCGUUUCCGAUGUGUGCUCAUUUGAAAGUGCAGAAAAACCACUCAAACAUGCCUGUACAAGGAAAGCCAUGUCAGCCACCAAUGUCGUAAUUACACCAAUUACGAGGCCCAAAACUCCAUCAGCAACAGUAGAAGAACCGAUGUCAACAUCAAUCUACAGAAAGUUUCUAGCAGUCACGAGCAUUAUCACGAUCAUCGUGCCGCAGAUUGCCCUAAAAACAAGACAAAUCAAUUUGAUCAGCUUGUUCUUCCUCUAGAGCUGCGAAUAAUUGAAAAAAAAAAGAUUAAUUCCAUAGAAAUCCAUUAAUGAGGACAUUAAUCCAAUAUAUAAAAAUGAAUAUUUAAGUUUGAAGCUCCUAGCUUGAAGCUUUCCAAAUAUAAAGUUACAUAGUGAAGGACAACAUUUGUCCAUGAGGUUUCUAAAAUGGCAACUUUUGCACAGUAAAAUUAAAACGGACGGCGGAAGCUCUAGAAACCUCGGAUCGGCUUCAUUCAAAAACGAAAAUCACGAGGAAAGAUUUAAGUUUAAUUAAAUCACUUUUAGUUUCAAAAACGGCUUCGUGAAGUAGAAGAAAAAGACUGAAAACAGCACGCUACGAACACUGUCCAGAAAAUAGAGCUCUGCACGAACAGCUUCUGUUUUGCCACGAUUUGAGAUCCUUAAAGCACCCCAAUUGUGAUGCCUCUAAUUAUUCCACACUUAGAAAUGUUCUAGGAGUUCAUAGGAUUUGGAAUCUCGAAAUUUCGUUUAGAAAUGAAAGAGAUAAUGAAAAAACAUGAAUGCUAGUUCAUGAUGAUUCAUUCCAUCAAAUAAAGCUACCAUUAUCUCUAAUAAUGGCACCAAACAUUAUCAUGUGCUAGACCCACCCACUUAGUUAUUAUUUAUUGAAAGUGAUCUUAUCACUUAAAUAAAUUAUUUAAUCAAAUAAAUAAAUAGCUAAAUUAAUUAAUUUCGUAAUUAAUUAAUUAACCCCAUUUUGAUCAAAUCAAAUGGUUAAAUGUGGGCUCAUUUUGUGACAUGUUCUAAUGCUUUCUCUUAAUCCAUAUUAGAUCUAAUAAAAGCCCAAAAUUCUAAACCCAAAAUUGGUCUAGAAGUCCAUAAUCAUAUAUGAACCGGAACAUGUCCAAAAUGGUCAUUUUACGUGCUUGAUAUUGCAUAAUGUUUAAUGGGGAUUUAUGAAAUUUAUUUUGUUCCUUAAACUAUUUAUGGAACAUCUAAAUUUCUAUCUUAAAUCAUAUUUAAGAUAUAUUUAUAUAUAUAUUCAUUCUUAAUGAAUUAUAAUAUAAAUAUUGAUUUUCCUAAAAUUAGGAAAUUUAACUUCUCAUUUUCUAGUAACUCCUUUUUCAUUUCUAUUUAGUGUGUGACCUUUCAGGUUCUUAGUUAUAAGGUAGUAGAACUAUUUUAAUGAUAACUCUUUAUUCAUUAAAUGAUGCUAAACUCUUUAGUAAUCAAUUAGAACUUUUCUAAUGACCUUAAGAUGCAUAGCUAAUAGGCUUUACCAAUAUUGAUCUUAAGGUUUCUAUAAGUCAUGAGUGACACCUAGCAGUAUAUCACAACUAUCCAAAUAACAAGAAUUGUUGGAUCUAUAAAACCUAUUUUAUUGUAUCUCUAUGUCUUGGUCUCUUCAUCAUCCAUGUCUAGAGAAAAGCACGGCUUAUGGUUUAUUAUGUUAAGCAGUUAUGAUUUAUCUCAAAAUAAAUCUAAAUGAACUUAACAUGAAAAUAUAAUUUGAACUCCUUCAAAUAUAUUUCACCUUGGCCAAGGAUUUCUCAUGCCAAUUCAUAUUAUCUCAUAGGGACAUCCUUUUUGUAUAUUACAAAGUGAUUAAUUCCAUAUUAGCCAUACACUUGUCUUCAUACAUAACCAACCAUGACAGCUAUUGCUAGAUCUCUUCCGUGAUUAGGAAUCCAUGAUUAUGCUUUCACAUAUCAGAGAUGUCUAUGUAUAAGACAUCUGUUAUGCCUCAAGUCUAAAGACCAUUAUUAAACAUAGUGUCUAUUACAAUGUAUAAUAAGCCAUUAACACUCAAAACCAUAUGACUUACUAUAUUUGGUCAUGUUCAGUAAACUCGUUCUCUCAACAAGUACCUAUGUGUUUGACUUGACAUGUCAUGUCAAUGAUAUGAAACUCACCAUCCAUUUUAGUAUCACAUACCAUAAGGAGUCAUAACACAUACUAGUGUUUAUAGGAAUUUAUAAUGUCCAAUCAUAAAUCCACCACUAGGAACUAUUUUAGAAGUAUAGUACAAAGGAUGCACGUUUCAUACUCUCGACAAACUCGAGAAUGUGUUCCUUAACUAUUUUACUUCUUGGACUAUAUUCAUUAAAUUAAUUUAUGAAUGUUGAUAACUUUGCCAUUUUAUAAAUAUCAAAAUGCUAUUCAAAUACAAUAAUUCCCUAAACAAACAAACACCAUUUGAUUGGCCUUUAGGGCAUAUUACUAACACAUAGCCCUUAGAAGGCCGAUUGCAAACAUCACCUUUCCCGGGGAUGGAGAGGAGGACGUCCUCAAGGAUAUUAUAAAGGGUUCUUAGUUUGAGUAGGUCAGUAUGGGUAGUGGCACACUUGAGGUAGUCAAUGGGAUAAGAAUCGGCCUCCAUCCUAUAGCCGAGGUUUCUUUUCUUAGAGGGUCGGCUCGGCUCAGAACUAUUCUCCUUGUUAUCACUUUCUUUUUCAGGGAUCCCAGCCCCCUCAGAACUGUGAUUCUCACCAGAAGCCGAUGCUUGUCCACCGCGAUUUCCCAUAGGUUCACAAUCAGAAGGAGGCAAAAUGGCCUUUGGACGGGGGUACUCAAGGGUAUCUCUAUUAUAAGAGGGACCUAUGUUACUGGAAGGAUUUUGGGGAUCAGUGGGUCUUAAUAAAUUGGGGUAUGAAUCUAUCUCUUCAUCACUCUCAUUUACAAUUAUUUUUCCCCUUCGUCUUGACAUAGUGAAGUCUUAAGAGAAAAAUAUAACAAAUUUAAGUAUAUGGGUACAAAAGUGUUGAGUGCGGAAUGCAGAAUCAAGCACACCAAAUAAUUAUAGAAAAAUAAUUGACACAAAAUUUAUGUGGUUCAGUAAUUAAACCUACAUCCACCGGAGCAAGAGAAAAAUAAUUGUAUUAUUAACAAUUAUUUGAGUACAAAUUUGAGUAAAGAAAUCUUACUUUCCCAUAACCCAAAUACACCCAGUACUCUCACACACACACUCUCCAAUUGCUCACACUUUCAGAACUCUCAAAAGCUUAAAAACUAAUAAGCUUAACAAAUUUUUUGGGAUACUUUAGAAUGAAGAAAUGACUUUAAUUUAUAGGCUUCAAGCUUGCACUAUUCCACUUAAUCCCUCUGCAAUUUGUCAAUCUUCAUCUCCAUCAAUUUGACAAAUUUUGCUAAAUUUUCCAUUUUUCUUCAUUUAGUGCAGGAUUGUCAAAUGCCAAAUAUUUUACAGCUUGCAGUUUUGGUGCCGACUUUGAAAAAACAAAAGCAAUGCAUGUGGCUCACUUUUCUUUUUCAACCAAUUUGAAAACACUCAUUGACUUUUCAACAAUUUUCCACCUCGGCGAAGAUUUGUUCAAAUAUGAGCCGACUCCCAACCAAUCAUCAUCCCCAAAGUGGCUGCAUCUCUGUGACUGCUACGUACACAAAAUUUGGGAUCAAGCCAACCGUAGUUCAAAAUUCCUGAAGGACAUAACUUAACAUAAUCGAAGGAUUUGAAUUAGUCUCAAGCAUUGUUGAAACUUAACUCCAGAAAUCACCUUUGUCAACAUAUCUGCUGGGUUAUCCUUGGUAUUGAUCUUUUUCAACAACACAUCACCACCCUCGAUAAUCUCUCUCACAUAAUGAUAUUUCACAUCUAUGUGCUUCGACCGAGCGUGAUAUGUUUGAUUUUUCGCGAGGAAUAUCGCACUUUGGUUAUCACAAAAGACCGCAAUGUUCUCUUGGAUUACUCCCAAAUCACAAAAUAAGCCUUUCAACCAGAUAGCUUCCUUUACAGCUUCAGUUACUACCAUAUACUCUGCUUCCAUAGUGGAUAGAGCAAUUGUCGAUUGUAGAAUCGACCUCCAGCUAACUGAUCCUCUACCCAAUGUGAAUACGUAGCCAGUUGUUGAUCUUUGCUUUUUAAGGUCUCCGGCGAAAUCAGAAUCACAAUACCCAACACAUUGUUGACCACAAUCCUUUUUUAACAAUAACCCAACAUCAACUGUCCCAUAUAGAUAUCGGAGAAUCCACUUUACCGCAAGCCAUUAAUUUUUACUCGGAUUGUGCAUGUACCUACUAACCAUUCUCACUGCUUGAGAUAUAUUGGGCCUUGUGCAUACCAUAACAUACAUAAGACUACCCACAACACUAGCAUAUGGAACACGAGCCAUGUAAUCGCGCUCCUCUUGAGAUUUAGGACAUGAAGAAGAGCUUAAUUUGAAAUGAGGAGUUAGAAGUGUACAUACCAGUUUAGUUUUGUCAUCCAUACCGAAUCUUUUUAGCACUUUCUUCAAAUAAGACUUUUGAGUCAACCAUAUGCUCCCAUUCUUCUUGUCUCUAUGAAUUUCCAUCUCAAGUAUUAUAUGUGCAUCACCCAAGUCUUUCAUCUCGAACUCAGAAGCCAGCUGCUUCUUUAAUCUUUCGAUCUCAUCUCUAUUCUUCAAAACUAUAAGCAUAUCGUUGACAUAGAGUAACAAAUAGAUGAAAGCUCCAUCUAUUAGUCUUCUAAAGUAAACACAAUGAUCGUGUUCACUUUUGGUGAAUUUCUGCCCUUGUAUAAAUUAAUCAAAUCUUUUAUACUACUGCCUUGGCGAUUGCUUCAGUCCGUAUAAAGAUUUAAUCAACCUACACACAUGAUUCUCCUUUCCAGUAACUUUGAAACCACAAGGCUGAAUCAUAUAGAUUUCCUCCUUCAAAUCUUCAUGUAAGAACGCCGUCUUAACAUCCAACUGAGCCAACUCUAACUCAUAUUCUGCAACUAAGGCAAGUAGGAUACGAAUGGAAGUAUGUUUUACAACUGGAGAGAAAACUUCAUUAUAGUCAAUACUUUCCUUUUGAGCAAAACCUUUUGCCACGAGUCUUGCCUUGUAUCGAGGAGUUGAUUGAUUUGGAGAUCCUUGCUUUUUGGUGUAGACUCAUUUAUUGCCAAUAGUCCUUUUCCCUUUUGGUAACUUUACAAGUUCCCAAGUCUGGUUUUGAUGGAGAGAUUUCAUCUCUUCCUCCAUGACUAACUUCCACUGAUCACUUUCACUGCUGCGUAAUGCUUCACCGAAAGUGUUGGGGAUGUCAUCAUCAAUAACUGAAAGUGCAUAGACUACCACCAUAUCUUUAGUAAGCCAUCCGGGUUUCUUUAUCUCUCUUCUUGGUCUCCUUGUUACUAUAAAAUCAUCAUUAUCUACAGCAUCAAUUGUUUCUUCAUUUUGUGGGACAUCAGAAGAAAUAACAUAUUCUUCAACUCUAGGUAUCACCUCCAUAGUUGAACCCUUAUUUGAUGUAGAACUAACUGGUACAUAUGGAGUUGUAUCAAACUUCACCAGCUGCAAUACCUCUUUGGUUUUGUUUUCCAUUUGCUGAGAACUUGAAGUUUUCAUCAUUGAAACUUCAUCAAAUGUGACAUCUCUGCUACACACAAACUUUUUGUCUUUGAGAUCCCAAAACUUAAAGCCAUUUACUCUACCUUUGUAUCCCACAAAAAUAGCUUUUCUAGCACGAGGAUCCAGUUUACCAUCUUUGACAUAAUAAUAAGCUAGACACCCGAAUAUACGAAGGGAAUUAUAGUCUUGUGCAUGCUUUCCAGACCACAUUUCUAUAGGAGUUUUACCUCCAAUUAUAGCAUAAGGCAACUAGUUUACCAAGUGACUUACGUAGUUCACAGUUUCAGCCCAAAACUUUUUAUCUAAACCAGUAUUAGAUAACAUACACCGUACUUUCUCCAGUAAAGUACGAUUCAUACGCUCAGCUACACCGUUCUAUUGCGGAGUAUGUCUCACUGUGAAAUGUCUUUUAAUACCGUCGUUCUGGCAUACUUACAAGAAUGGAUCAGAAGUAUAUUCACCCCCAUUAUCAGGUCGUAAUACUUUGAUUUUUCUGUCAGUUUAAGUCUCCACCAAUUUCUUCCAUUUCACGAAAAUCUCUAGAACCUCAACCUUUGCUCGCAUGGUGUACACCCACACACGUCUAGAGAAAUCAUCAACAAAUGUAACAAAAUAAUGGCUUCCACCAAUUGAUGUAGUCUUGGUUGGUCCCCAUACAUCACUAUGAACAUAUUCAAGGAUUUCACGAGUAUCGUGAUUAGCUGUACCAAACUUGACCCUUGUUUUCUUGCCUACUACACAAUGCUCACAGAAAUUUAAUUUAUAGGUUUUGGUACCUUUUAAGAGUUCGUGCCUCAUCAGAGUUUGCAAAGACUUUUUGCUAGCAUGUCCUAGUCGUACAUGCCAUAGCUUGGUGGUGUCACUAUGCGCCUCAAUAAUAUUUGCUUCAUCAGUUGUACCUCCCUUCAAAUAGUACAGAUUGUGACGCCGAACCCCUUGUAGAAUCACCAUAGCCCCAUGUGUAAACUUCAUUAUACUAUUUUCAAUGGUAGCCUUGUAGCCUUUAGCUUCUAGAGCACCCACAGAAAUUAGAUUUUUCUUUAAAACUAGAACAAAUCUAACCUCUUUGAGUUCUCUGACCAUUCCAUUAAACAUUUUGAGCCGAAUUGUUCUUAUCCCCAUUGUGCGACAAUGUUGAUCAUUCCCUAUCACAACUGCACCGGAUUUUAGAUUACGAGUAUUCGUAAACUAUUCCUUAAUAGGACACAAAUGAUAGGUUGCUCCAGUAUCAAGUAUCCACUUACUCGAACUAGCCACGUAUGCUGCAAGAGUAAUACUUAGUGAAUAAUCAGAAUCUUCAUCUUUCGUGCCAUGUUUGCUGCUGUUGGUUUUUUCCCAUCUCUGUUUUGAGCUUUUAGACAAUCUUUCCUCCUAUGAACCUUUUCAUGACAAAAGGCACACUCGUCUCGAGCUAUAUCUCUGCUUCUCGAUUUGGAUCGAGAAUUCUUUCCACCACCCUUUUUCUUUUUCUCCAUCGCCCAAUCUUUACUCACCAAAACUUCAGACGAUACUCGUUCAGAAUUUUUAUUAUUAUUCUGAAUCUCCAAGUUAGUCAAUGCUGUGCAAACAUCUUUGAAGAUGAUCACGCUUUUCCCAUAUAUCAAGGUAGUCACAAAAUGGCUAUCUUCCUCUGGUAGUGAGUGUAACAGAAUCAUAGCCUUGACUUCAUCCUUAAUAUCUUCAUCAAGAUUCUUCAAAUCAGCAAGUAACUUUUCAAAUCUCGAGACAUGAUCGUGCAUUGAUACCCCAGGCUUCAUUCGAAAGCCAUAUACUUGGCUCAUUGCAUGAAGACGAUUUUCAGGACUUUUCAGCCUAUACUUCUUCUCUAAUGUAUGCCACAAAGUCACCGCACACUCCUCAACUUUCACCAAGUAUUUUACCUCCUUGGUCAAAUAAGAUCUGACCUGACCACAAACUUUCUCGUUCAUACGAUCUCAAAUUUCUUCAUCAUACAAGUGUAUUUUAUUUUUCAAAACAAUAUCGAGAUCGAUUUGAAUAAGGGCAUCCAUAACUUCGCGCAUCCACAUGCCGAAAUUGAUUUUCCCAUCAAACUUUUCAACAUCGAUCUUCUGGCCUCCUAUAACAGGUGCUGAAUAGCGAUUUUACAAGUCUCGUCUCCCACUUGAAGUGUCUUCUAAAAUAGUCUCGAUAGAUCUCUCCUUAAUUCUGGAAGUUUCACCUUAUACCAUUUUCUCAACGAACUAUUUCCACUUGAAAAACAGCCUCUAUGAUGUUAAUUUCGCGUGAAUAAAUGUCCCAGGAAAGUUCCCUAAAGACUAGACGGGAACUCGGUCCUAAUUAAAAAUCGGAAUCCUUAGACUCUUAUCGCCUUUGUUGACAGAACUUUCAUAGACAUGUAAAAAUACACACUACUUACAAUAGACUGUCUCCCAAGUACAAAUGGCCGCCUCCACCGUAUUCGUGAAUAGUACUGUAUAUGUGAACAAUACAGUAUACUGGAAUAGUACUGUAUAUGUGAAUAGUACUGUAUCCCCCCAAGUACGAACCGUCGGCUCUGAUACCAGUUGUUGAGUGCGGAAUGCGGAAUCAAGCGCACCAAAUAAUUAUAGAAAAAUAAUGGGCACAAAAUUUACAUGGUUCGGUAAUUAAACCUAUAUUCACCGGAGCAAGAGAAAAAUAAUUGUAUUAUUAAUAAUUAUUUGAGUACCAAUUUGAGUAAAAAAAUCUUAUUUUUCCAGAACCCAAAUACACCAAGUACUCUCACACACACUCUUGGUAGUGUGUCUUUUAUGGGCACGAUCUGACUAGAAAAGAUACCGACCAGAAGUUCAUACUGACCAGGUACUUGUCACUCAAAGAGAGGACGUGAUCUCACAAACACGCGACAAUUUCACCACGCCCCAAACCGCUGGGAAAACACGACGCCCCACGAUUACCCACGUUCGGUUGUUGAAGACCCAUUAAGGCCCUUAACCACCCAAAUAUGACGAGCAUGGAAAAUACCCUGAAAAAGUGGGAUGAUUGCCUAUAAAAAGCGGAGAAAUCAAUGAAGAGGGGGAGAGACAAAAAGAGAGAGAGGGGAAACUCUGUCAAAUUGACUCCAGGCAUUGUUACAUAGCCACCUUAAAUACAUUUUAUCUUAAGAACAUCGCAAUGAAUGUGUGUGAGCAUAAAUCAUAUAGUUUUCCCGUAAAUUCCAUUUCCUGACUUAAGUAUCGGAGGGUUUAUGCCGGAAAAACCAUCAGCGUCUCUGAUUUGUUUUUGUGAAUGCAGGUUUAGAAAGAAAAGGGAGAGUGAUUCGGUUCCCAGGAGCUCGGGCAAUUACUAUAGCUGGUGGAGCGCAACCUCUUCUUCAUUGUCAACACACUUGUUGAUGAUCCCAUCUGGUCGGGCAAAAGGCGACUAGAUUUCAGCAUCAACAGUACGUUCAGACAAAACACCUACUCCUGUUUUAGAAACGGCCUCCUCUAUUUUACUGUUUGGUGAUUGCAAAAAUUUGUCUAAAUAAUGCAUAGUUGUAGAGUUAAGAAAAAAAGUUAUGUUAAAAUAAAGAAGCAUCAGAGAUCCCCCGAUAUUAUUAUCAUCCAGAACAAUAUGUUUAUUGGGCCAAAGUGGGCUAACAUACAUGGGUUCAAGCUUGCAAAAUCCACAUUUAUGUAUAAUUAUAUAGUAAUUAAAUACUGAAUUUGAACUCAUACAACUAUUCAAUCAUUUGGAUUUCAAAUCUGUGUUCAUUGAACUAAAUACUGUCAUGUAUUCGAGUGAACAGAUAAAGAAUUCACAAUCUGUUCUCAAUUUUGACUUCAUAAUAUUCCAGCUAUGGUCGCAUUUCUAUUACUGUAUGGUAAAUAUGACUUUUAAAUAAUUUUUUUGACAAAAUUAGUCAAGGUGCCAUAUGUGUAUCAAAUAAUAGUUGAUAAAAUCAUCUUAUAUUUUGAACUACAGAAGUAAGUAUUCAUCAAACACUUUAUAAUUGUCAGUCAAUGUUUAUGUGAACGUGACCGAAAAUGGUUACUAAGUGCAUGUUUGGGAGUUAGGAUUAAGUAUGGGAUUAGAAUAACUUUGGUAUUAAAUAUUUUAUCCCAUGUUUGGCUACUUUGCUUGGAUUGGAUUAAGGAGGACUAAAUUUAAAUUUAGGGCUUAAAUCAUGGGAUUAACAAUCGCAAUUUAUAAGUGGAUUUAGAUGGGAUUAGAAUAAGAGAAAAAAAUUUUGUUCAUGUUUCUUUCAUAAAUAACACUAUUUUUUAUUUGAAACCUAAAAUUUAAUUACUUAAUUUAUUAUUUUAUUCAUGAUUUACAUGAAUUUAUUUUUUAUUUUAUUUUUAUAGUCUAAUUACAUUGGUACUUUACUCCAACAAAAUUAACUAUUUAAUAAUUUGUUACAAUAAUUGAUUGUAUUAAAUUCAAUAAUCAACUAUGUAAUAUUAAAAAUAAUCAUAGAAAUUAAUAAUACAAAUAAAUAAUUGAUUUUGUAUAUACAUUAUUUGCUAACUUUUUGAUAAAAUAAAAUAUAUCUAAAAUAUCCGAUAAAAAUUAAUUAAAUAAUUAAAUAGUUUUAUUAAUUUAUAUUUGUUUAUUAUGAAUAUGACUACCCAAUAACUAAUUUACUACAUAUUUAAUGCUAUUGUUAAUUAUCUUUAAAUUAAUUUUAAUUAUUACUUUUAAAUAUUCUUAACUUUUUUUUUGUAUUUAAAUAUGAUUUAACAUUGUCUAAUUCGAUAUUGUACCAAACAUAGUACAAUAUAUAAUAUAAUCUAGCUUAAUCUAAUCUAACUUAAUCCAGUCCAAUCUUAAAAAUUAGCCCAAUUCAAUUCUACGUGUCAAGCACAACCUAAGAGUUCCUAGUGUUAAAAAUUUAACAUACCCACGAUCCAUUAAUGGGAUAAUUUAUUUUAUAAUAAUCAAAUUGAAGAUCAAUUUGUACGAUGAUGAGCUUUCAUGUUUCUGUCAAACAUGAAAUAAUUUUGUAAACAAUGGCCACGUGGAACUUAUAACCAAUCAUCAUUUGUUGAUAGACAAGUGAAAUAACAAAAAAGCAGCGGGUUUGGGCUUUCUCCAGGAAUCGGCUUAACACAAACAAUGUGGGGUUUCUUGAUCUUCUUAAAGAUCAAGCAUAUACGUAUACAUGUUCUAUACCUAUCAAUCAUUCCCCUAUUCUUCGGUUUGGUGAUUGCAAAUAACAUUCUUUGCAUCUACUCUUUAUUUAUUUAUUUAUUUUUAACUCAUUAAUUCUUGUUCUUCUUAAAGCGUUUAGUAAAUAUAUCAUCACCGGGUCAAAUCCCUAACAUUAACGUACACAUAAUCUAUUAAUGAAAUUUAUUAUUUUAUCAUAAUCAAAUUGAAGAUUAGUUCAUGCAGUUUUCUAUGAUGAGGAGUAUUCACUUUUCUGUUAAAUACAAGAACGAUUCGUAAAUAAUGUCCAUUUGGAACUAGUAAUAACGAAGCAUCAUUUGUGGACCGAAUAAAUGAAAUAACAUUUUAGUUUCUCUCUAAAAUGUCAUUCUUCAUUCAAGCUUUUGCUGCAUCUUUUAUCAGGCAUCUUAUAAAGCUUUUCCCUACUAAUACUAAUAAACUUUGUAAAUCAAUAUUCUUUUCAAUUUCACAGGACACAAGUAAUGCAUAUUCAAGCACAACAGGUAUUUAUUCGUUAGAAACUCCAACUUAAUUAUUUCAUUGGAAAAUAUGAAACGCAGAGCCAUAAACUAGUGCUUUCUUCAAUUUAAUUGGGUUGAACAAACUUUUUAAUGUAUUUUCCCCAAUCCAUUUCUUUUAUCUCACUGCAUGCUUUAUUAAAGCUUUGUCUUUGUUCUUGAUUGAUGACCUUCAAAAUUAAAUCUUAAAAAUCGGGUAUAAAAGGGGUGCUUGAUUUAAGUCUUCUUCUUUUGCAAUUCAUUGUUAUUGCUCUUUUCAGCUUUUUACUCGCAAAACUUCUUACUCACAAAUUCCUCUGCAGUUAACCGUGAUCUUUUACUCAUUAAAAUUGUUCUUAUUAAUUCUUUUUUAUAGAGAGAGAGAGAGAGACUCAAAGAGAAUUAAAAAAAAAGUAAUUCUAAAUUUUUGCUUGUGCAUUGUGUGAUUUUUACCAUUUUUAAAGUUGGUGAUUUGUAUUGAAUAAAUAAAAUAAUAAAUAGAUUUAUGGACUACUCUUUUUUGUUAUAAUAAACAUCAGAGGUCCUUUCCUGAUGUUUCAUUCCAUAAGAAUAAAUUAUAAUUUUAUUGAUAUAGUAACGUCAAUAAUAGAAAUCCUAACAAACAUACAAACUUUAGAUUAUGGAUUAAAGCACUACAAGGUGAAUGGAUCACAACAAAUUAUUUAUACUACAAGGUGAAUGGAUCACAACAAAUUAUUCUGACGAAAGCAUAAACAAGAUGAUUGAAUCAAGAGACUAUUACAUGGGAAACCAAUCCAGAUGAAGCCUGUGAUAAAGAAUAGCCGUACGCCCAUUUACCUCUUUAGCUAAGCUGCCAUACUGAAGGAGGCAAUCCCACCCGCACAAAACAUGAAAAACGAUGUACACGUGGCAUGAACUUUGAGAAAGCUACAUAAAAAUGAUCUGAUGGCCAAGGGAUACAACAGUUGUACGACCAAAAAGGGUAGAAAUCCAUGUCUAGUACACUGCCCUCUUCAAUACCUCUAAAUACUGAGUCAAAUUGAUAUGAAUUUCAUGGAUGAAACUAUGCAACAAUCGAUAAACCUUGCUGGCCAUUAUAAGCCUAUGCACACAGAUUAUAGAACGAUGCAGCGAUGCAAACCAAGAAUUACUAGGGUAUAGACAGUAAGAUUAAAUAGAAUAAUUUGACUACAUUACAAGCAAACUGUCACGGACCGCAAUCGUGGCACCCAAGAUAUGCGCUUGUACGCUAGUGUCGAUGAUGGUUGUUGAUGCUGAAAUCUGCUCGCCUUUUGACCGACCAGAUUCUUUCACCAACGUUUGUGUUAUCUACUGUUGCUCGUUCACUGGGAUUGGAUUCGUCCUCCUUUCUCUCAAUAGACCUGCGCUCACUAAAAACGGAUCAGAGACGCCGGUGGUUUUGCCGGCGUAAACCCUCCGAUGUCUAAGUUAGCUCAAGGUGUUUACGGGAAAACAGUGCAAUUUAGAUCUCAAAACGGUUUCUAAAUUAUUCGGAGUUUAUAAGAAAAUGGCCUGAUUGUAAUUUGGCAGCGUUUUCCCUCUCUCAAUUUUUUCUAUCCCCAUCUUCAUCGAUUUCUUCCUCUUUUAUAGCCGUUGUCCCCACGUUCCCAUUUGCCUUUCACCCUACCUUUUUCGGGUAGUGGCAGCCUCUCAUGGAACUCUAACCGCUGCAUUACGGGCAAACGUGGGAUCUCGCAUCCUCCGCAACGGUUCUGGGAACAGCGCAACUACCGCGAUUCUGUGGGAUCUGUUCCCGCUUUUUGGGGGACGGGUACCGGCUCGGUAUAUACCUCUGGUCGGUAUAUUUCCCUGGUUGGUAAUCGCCUCUGGUCGGUUCAUGCUUGUCCCCGUGUUCUGCUCGCACCAUUUGGCUAAGAUGAUCCAUGCCGGGGUGGAGAUUAGUAGCAUGGCCGACCUGGUGCUUUUAUUUACUUAACAAUGGUUGUGCUGAUUGUUGGAGACGUGCUUCAGGGGCGUGCGUGUUGGGAAUACAAUGCCCUAGACUCUUUGGAGUUCAGGCAGGCCGACCCGGUUGAGUUUGGGGAGCUUGUCGCUAGUCAAGGACUUAACGCUGAAGAGGGGUCUAGGAAAAUCCUGACGCACACUGGUUGGGAAUUGAAGCCGUUCUCCUGAUGAGCCCAAGGCAGGGCGAAACCAGUUGACAUUGUGUCACUUCCUCUAGGCUUACUCUCGUAGUAUGGGAUGCGGGAGUGCCGCACGGGCUCGAAACCUCUCGUCCCGUGACAAAUGGUAUCAGAGCCGCGCUUGUCAUCUCUCGAAGCCCUCGUCGCGAGCUCGCCAAGCGCUCCAAUGCCGCACCACGCGGGUCCCCACCCUUUCAGAUACAAGAGUUGACAAGCGGGACGAACAGGCGGGUUCUCACACCCCCAAGCGUUCGCACCAAGUGGAUGGUGUCUCCAUGCGGGUCCUCUCCAUGGAUUGAGGACGUGCAUGUAGGCAGGGAGUUCAUGGGUUGAGUUUGGCAAGUCGAUCUUCACAUUUUUGCGUGGAAGUGCACACUUGCGAGGCGUACUCCUCAUGCACGAGGACGUGCAUGGUUAUGGCGGUGGGAGAAUGUCACGGACCGCAAUCGUGGCACCUAAGAUAUGCGCUUGUACGCUAGUGUCGAUGAUGGUUGUGCUGAUUGUUGGAGACGUGCUUCAGGGGCAUGCGUGUUGGGAAUACAAUGCCCUAAACUCUUUGGAGUUCAGGCAGGCCGACCCGAUUGAGUUUGGGGAGCUUGUCGCUAGUCAAGGACUUAACGCUGAAGAGGGGUCUAGGAAAAUCCUGACGCACACUGGUUGGGAACUGAAGCCGUUCUCCUGAUGAGCCCAAGGCAGAGCGAAACCAGUCGACAUUGUGCCACUUCCUCUAGGCUUACUCUCGUAGUAUGGGAUGCGGGAGUGCCGCACGGGCUCGAAACCUCUCGUCCCGUGACAAAACGCUGCCUACAGACUUGUUAUAAUCUAAUCAGUAAACCUAUUCGACUUGCUAGGAAAAAAAUAGGGCUUUUUUGUUUUCAUUCCCCUUUGGUGAUUGCAAAAAUUUAAAUCUAAAUUUAUGGUGCAGGCUACAUGGCACCUAGUGGAUGAUUGUUAGGGUUUGUCUUUUGCUCUUAGUUAGGAAUUUAAUUAAGAAUUUAUAGUGUGCGCCUUAUCGAAGUAGGUUUCCUAAUAGUAAUUAAAUAAUCCAAAUUUAUGAUGCAUUAGCAUAUGAUUGUGAUAAAUAAGCUUUUUAUGUAUCCUGUAAGGCUAAUUACUGUUUUAUUAGAUUCUCUUGUUAGUCUUGUGAAUCAACGAGAUUUAAUUAGUAGUAGAUAAUACUUUAGGCUUCACAGGCGCACUAUUUUAUCCGCUAAAUCAAUUUUUUUUUUAAAUUAAAAACAAUUCAUCAAACACUUUAUAGUUCUAACUUUUAAGCUGGUAAACACUUUAAGCCACAACUUUAAAUUCAGUUUACGAGAAUUCCUAAUAGUCACAGUGGCUUGGGUGGAAAUGAAUAUAAAUAAUGAAAUACUAUCUAAGCAACUCAAGGGCGGUGAAUUGAGUUUCUAAAAAUUUUGUAAAACUUAAUUCAAAUAUGAAACGAAUUAAAACAACAGUAAGUAAAUCAACCAAAAUAUAAAAAGAUAGGGGAAGAGAGAUUCAAACACAGAGAUUUUUAUGUGGUUCGGCCAACCUCGCCUACAUCCACGCCUCCAAGCACACCGAGCUUGAGGAUUCCACUAGUCAUGCCUUUAAGGCUUCAAGAACACCUACAAUUGACUUCAAAGAUGUCAAUCAACCUUUACACCAAGAAAUUAUCCUCAAUCUCUUAACCCAAGUGUAUCCUAACACUUACAAUUUCUCAAUUUGAUUUAAAAAUAAAUACAAAAUAAAUCUCUCUCACACAAUGUGUUUGAUUACAAAUGAAAUUCUAAAGUGUGAAUAAAUGAGAUGUAUACAAGAAUUUAAAACUCAAUGAAAGUUGUAUGCUCAAUAAUUUGCUCAAUGAUAAUGGUUGGAAUCGUUGUUAUUUGAAUUUGAUUGAACUUAUUUAUAGUUGGAGCUGAAAUAUAGUCGUUAUUGACUUUUUGCUCAAUGUUGGAUUGCCGUUUUGACUAUGAGCAAGUUACCGUCGGACAAAAUUUUAAAUUCUCGGACCGUCGAUUUCAAGAUGUCGAAUCGCCGUUAAUGUCCAGAGGCUGCUCUUCAAUUCUGUUCAAUGUCGGCUAGCCGUUAUCAAGAGAUCGGUUAGCCAUUUGCUACAAUGACUGCUACAGUGAACUAUUUCUAAAAUUAUAAUUUGGCCCCAAAACUUUAUAAAAUUUACUAUGACCGAUAACUUUAUAAAAUUUUGUCAAAUAAGUCCAUUUCCAAAAUUUUAAGCAAUAUUUGCUAAUUUCAAAGUUCUCAAAACUUUUUCAAUUUAAAUCAUUAACAUGAAAAUAACUAAUAUCAUAAAAUUACUUUUCAUUGAAUAUAAAGCCUUAAUAUGAAAAAAAAAUAAUUUGAGCUUUUAAAUCAAGCUUAACCAAGUUUGUUAUCAUCAAAAUCAAUAUUAAAGAAAUAUUUAUGUUGACAAAUAAUGUUUAAUUUUAAUGUACAAAGCACUGGUGCAUUUAGAAGGUACUACUGUGUAAACAAAAUUUGUGCUUGCAACUCAUCUUUUCAUUCAACUUUCUAAUAAUAAUAAAAUAAUACAGAGGAGAAAUAGGGGCUCUCUUUCCGUUUCCCAGUGUUUGUGUUUGGUGAUUUUAACUUUAUCAUGGAAUUGUCAAUUUUUAGUUGAAAGUUAUCUAAAUCUUCUUCUCUAUAUAAGCGUUUACAAUGAUUUUGUGAAACACAGCAAAAACAAUAAUAAUAAGUAUAUUUAUUCAUCUAAGAGGUCAAACUCUCAUGCUCAGAUAUGGAUAGUCCCAUUUUUUGAUCAGGGACAUCUCUUUACAAGCGUUGAAUUAUGCAAGCAAAUCGCUCCUCAAAAUUACCAAUCUACCCUCAUCGUUACCUCUCAAGUACCCAUAACUAUAGUUACCCAUUACUCUCUUCGCCAAGGCACACAGAUUAAAGAAUGCUUAGGGUGAAGGCAGUAACUGUCCUGAAAUAUGACUUUUAAAUUUUUAUUUUUUUUUUACGAAAUUAGUUAAAAUGCCAUAUGUGUGAUCAAAGUUGUUAAAUAUCUUAUCUUUCAAAUUAUAGGAGUAAAUAUUCACCAAACACUUUAUAAUUUUUAGUCAAUGUUUAUGAAAACACGGCCGCAAAAUGGUUACUAAUGCUAGGGAUCAAUAAUCAAACUGAAGUUUGUACGAUGAUGGGCUUUCGUGUUUCAGUCAAAGAUGAAAUAAUUUGUCAAUAGUGGCCAUGUGGAACUUAAAACCAAGCAUCAAUUGUUGACAUAACAAAUGAAAUAACAAAAUGGCAGCGGGGUUGGCGAUACAAAAUCAAAUCUUUUUUAUUCUUUUGAUUUUUGAUUUUUUCUAUUGCAUUCUGCUUUCUUAAAAGUUUGGUCCAAUUAAAGAGAAUACGGAGCAAUGACUUGUAUCAUCUGUGGAAUAAUCCAUAGAAAUAUAUAUGUGAAGCACGCCAAAGAAAAUGGCGCUGAUGACAUACUCCUAAGAAUUGUUCAUACUGAGUCAUCCAUCAAUCAACGGGUGGAUUAUUAUCUCACUGUAGAUGAAAUUCAACUGCAGAAGUAAUCGGAUGUGGGAUCCCAAUUUUGGCGUGACCAAUUAGAGGUUAUCAAUAUUAUAAUGCGAAAUUGAUGAUCAAUCAUCUUAAUGUGGGGUACAUGAUUUCUGAUGAUCCAUCAAAAAUACAAAGUUGAUUCAAAAGGAUGAUACGGUGAGUGGAACAGACAGGCUGAUGGGAAAUCAAGCUAUUAAAAAACGAGCUCACAUGCUUCAUAUUGCAUUUGAUCAUGGCUGUCCUAGAAGUUCAGUGGCUGCUUCGGAUGCUUUCAAAGUUCUUAUUAACCAGAAAGCAGUUUAACAAAAACAAGUAUUGUGCAUAUUAUUAACCAUAUGCUUUCAAAGAUCAUGUAUAAGCAUAUCAGAGAUCUUGUUGGCUUGAAGAUCUUCUUUGGAUGCUUUCAAUACCUACACUUAUACUACCAUAUGUAAAGCCUUUGUUACUGAUUGCAUUCAAUUAUUCAAUUAAAAGUCUUACAAAGCAUCUAAAAUGGAAGAUGGAACAUCCUCCAUCCAAAAAACAAAACGGAAGUCAAAACGUUGAUAUUGUUUUAUGUUUAAUAUCAUGAUACUAGAACUUUUUAGGCUAAAGCACCUACCUGCUGUGAGCUUUACUACAAAAAAAUGAGACUAUUUAGUUGUGAGACAAAUAGAGAGGGAAAGUUUUUACCAUUUAGCUAAAUUUCGAUCUUAUGCAAAAUAAUAUAAUUCAUUUGUUAUUAUGACCUAACCAACUCAAAACAAAAAGGAUUAUUAUGGCCUAACACAGUUCAAAAUGCAUGCAACAAUGGUGUAUUUAAAAUGGAACUAAUGUACAAAUAAAAUUUAUGCAUCUCUUGGAGGAAGGCCUUUAGGCCAACAAAUGAAAAUAGUGAGCUCGCAUUUUCUAUUAUCAUUUUCACCACUUGAAAAAGAGAGGGAAAAAAAUUGAGAGGAAAAACAGGGCUCCCCUGUUUUCAUUUCCCAUUUUUUCAGUUUGGUAAUUGUAAAUAACAUUCUUUACUUCCCUCUUUAUUUUAUUUUUUUUUUAUUUUUAACUCAUUAAUUCUUUUUCUUAUUCUUGCUAAAGCGUUUAGUAAAUCUUAUGAUCAUCUGAUCAAAUCCCUAACAUUAACAUACCCAUAAUCUAUUAAUGAAAUUUAUUUAUUUUAUAAUCAUCAAAUUGAAGAUUUGUUCAAUUUUGUAUGGCGACCAAUUUUCAUUUUUCUAUUAAACAUAAGAAGAAUUUGUACAUAAUGUUCAGGUCGAAACUCGUAAUAACGACGCAUCAUUUUUCGACAGAACAAAUGAAAUAACAAAAAAGUAUAAAUCAAGUCAUUAUUGAUCCUACUUUGAUGAUCGAACUUUGGUUUCUUUCUAAGAUGCCAUUCCUCAUUCAAGCUCUUGCUUUUCUCUUUUAUCCGACAUCUUACAAAGCCUUGUCCCUACUAAUAAGCUCUGCAUAUCAAUAUUCUUUUCAAUUUCGCAGGAUACAAGUAAUGUAUAUGCCAAAAUUAUUCAAGCACAACAGGUAUUUAUUCGUUGAAAACUUUUAACUUGAUUAUUUCGUUAGAACAUAUGAAACGUAGAGCUAUAACUUAGUGCUCUCUUCAAAUUAACUGGGUUGAACAAAAAAUUUUAAAGUAUUUUACCCGAUCCAUUUCUUGUAUCUCACUGCAUGCUUUGUUAAAAGCUUCGUCUUUUGGUCUUGAUUCUGAACUUCAAAAAUUAAAUCUUAAGACUCGGGUAUAAAAUGGGUGCAUGAUUAAGUCUUCUUCUUUUCCAAUUCAUUGCUAUAACUCACACCAACAUUUUACUCAGACAUUCCUCUGCAGUUAACAGUGGUCUUUUACUCAUUAAAAUUUUUCUUAAUAAUUUCUUUGGAUACCCGUUCUCACUUAAUAUUCAAGGCGAAUAGAGAAGCUCAUCAACUCUUUGAUCCCAGACAAUUAAAGAAGUACACAUGUUCUAAAUCAUCUAAUAAUUUCUUUUAAUAGCUGUUCUUAAUUUCCAUCUACUUUGCAAGAAAAAAUUUAUCUUGUUUGUUUUCAUCUUGUCAUCUAUUUUGCUUGAGUUUUAAGUUAUUGUUCAUUUGUAAUGUCUGUGUUCUUAUUAUUAGCUUUGGAUAAUUUGCAUCCAUGUCUUUUCUUUGUUUGUGGGCUUUUAUUCAGACCCCCUGAAACCUUUCUGUUAAUAUAAAAACUCUAAUCCUUGAGCAAAAGGUUAAAAAAAGAAAAAGAAAGAAUUCUCUGUUUAGAUAUCAGUUGGGUUAAGAACAAUGUUGUUUGUCUCCUGUCUUUUCUUUGUUUGUUUGUUUGUUUAUUUUGUCAUUUUAUUAGAUUUGCUUUGUAUCUAAUUUUACUUGAAGAUUAAAGCUGAGCGAGAAAUGCCUUUUUUUUUUUUCUGAAGCAACCUACAAAUUUUAGAAUAGGGCCAAGAGUAUUAAAGAUUCAAUUAACCGCAAAAAGUUAUUUACAUGCAUCGCUUGCAAACUUAAGCUUAUCAUCCCAAAUUGAGUUGCUUGCAUUAGAAAUUUUCAUGCAUUCACGAGCAUUAUCAUCAUAUCACAAGAUAGCCUGAAAAACAAGAUAAAUCAAUUUGAGCAACAAGUUUCCUCUGUUUUCGUUCCUCUGUUUUCAUUCCCUGUUUAUUGAUAUUUUUUUUUUUUUUUGGCCUGAAAUUAAGAAGAAAAAAGUGGUAAAACAAGUCACCACUGUUUUUAUUCCCCUGUUUUUCGUGGAAAGAAUAAAUGAAAUUGAAAAAAAAAAAAGCAGCGUUGGCAAUACAACAUGAAACUUUAAAUUUUUAUUUUAUUUUUAUUUUUGAUUUUGAAUGUGCAUAAGUCAAAUCAUAUAUUAUUGAUCUUACUUCGAUUAUUUGCUGUUUAGUUUCUCUCUUAAAUGCUUUUUGUUUGUUUCCGGUAUUUGCUUUUAUAAAAGUUUUAGUCCUCAAUCAUUCGUUCAAGGAUUUGCUUUCUCUUUUAUUAGGCAUUUACAUUGCUCUGUCGAUCAAUAUUCAUUUGAAUUUCACAGUACACAAGCAAUGUAUAUACCAAAACUUAAUUAUUUCUUUAGAAUAUAUGAAAACGUAAGAGUUGUGAACUACUGCUUUCUUCUUCAACAUGCGUCAACAGGGCAACAAUAACCAAAUACAUGAUAUACAAAAGCGGUGCAUGACUAAUUCUUUUUCUUUUGCAGGUCAUUGUUAUUGCUCUCGUCAACUUCUUUUCUCACACAUUUCCCAGCAGUUACCAGUGAUCUUUUUUCUCCUUCAACUUGUUCUUACAUAUUAAAGGCGAAAUAGAAAAGCUCACCAACUCUCUAAUCCCAGAUAAUUAAAGAGGUGCACGUUUUCUAAAUCCUUUAACUUUUUUUUUUUUUUUUUUUAUAGUAGAACCCCUGAUCCUUGAUCUUGACAUUUGUUCCUUCAUAAUUUCCAUCUACUUUCCAAGAAAAAUUUCUCUGGUUUGUUUUAAUAUUAUAACUUAUUUUGCAUGAGUUUUAAGUUACUAUUCAUUGUUAAAGCUUGUGCUCUUAUUAUUUCCUUUGGUUAACUUGCAUGCUUUUCCCCAAAAAAAAGAAAAAAGUUUAUAAAAAGAUUAUAGGUUUUUACUCAGACCCUUGAAACCUUUCUGAUAAUACCAAAAACACUAAUCCUUUAACAAAAGAAAGCAAGAAAAAAAAAGGUCCUAUAUUUUAAUAUCUGUUGGCUUUGUAUUGAUAUUGCUUGUUUGUUGUCUUUUAUUUCAUUGUUUGUAUCUAAGUUUACUUGAAGAUUAAAGAUCAGUAGGAAAAGCCCUUUUUAUAAAGCUAACAUACACAUUUUAGAAUAGGGCUCAACCGCAUGAAAAUAUUUACAUUGUAGUAUCUCAUAUUAAUAAUCUAAAAAAAACCAAUCCAACAAGUUCAAAUUCACUGAAAUCUAAAAAAGAUUGCUUUUAAGGAGUACAUGAUAGCUAUUGAAUUUUGGUUAAAGAUCUUUUAGGCAGAAUUGAAAUUCACUCAGUCAUAAAUCAACCAAUCCAACGAGUUCAAGUGCAGAGUCAAUUGAACAAAUUCAUCACUUGCAGAAUUAAGCUUAUCUUCCGCAAUUGAGUUGUUUCCAUUAGAAAUUUUCCCGCAGUCACGAGACUAUCAUCAGAACAUGAUUAUUUAUAUAAGAACAAGAGUUAAGAGGAGAAAAAUAAGGCAAAACAAGAUUCUUCUGUUUUCAUUCCCUUUUUUUUUUUUUUGUUUGGUGGUUGAAAAAUUUUAUCUCUAAAUUUUUAUAAUUUUUCGUUAAAGUUUAUAUUUAAAUAAAGGGUUAAAAAAAUCUAGUUCUAAAUUUAUGCAUUGAAUGAUUAUUAUUAUUGGUUACGAUAUCAAUUAAAUAACAAAUAGAGCUACUAAUCACUUUGUUAAAAAUGAACAUGCGUUCUGUUUAUAUGACAGAGCAAAACACGGGGUGCACGCUUAAGUCUUGUUCUUUUACAGUUCAAUUGUAUUACUUACUCUCAUAAACUCUUUACUCACAUUCCUCUGCAGUUAACCGUGAUCUUUUGCUCAUUAAAAUUUUUCUUAUAUAUUCAAUGCCAAUAGUGAAGCUCAUAAACUCUGUGAUCCUGAAUAAUAAAAGAGGUGAACUUGUUCUAAAUGAUAGCUAUUCAACUUGGUUAAAGAUCUUUUAGAAAGAGUUCAAAUUCAGUCAAUCAUAACUCAACCUAUCCAACAACUCCAAGUCUAGAGUCGAUUGAGCAAGAUUCAUCACAUGCAAAAUUAAGCUUAUCAUACCCAAAUUGAGUUGUUUCGGUUAGAAAUUUUCCAGCAGCCAUAAGCAUCAUCAUUGUGUUUCCGUUAGGAAAUUGAGUUGCUUAUCAUACCCAAAAUAUUUAUAUAAGGACAAGAGUUAAGGAAAAGAUCCCUCAAGGAAAAGGUCCCUCUGUUUUCAUUCCCCUGUUCUUUCGUUUAGUGAUUGAAAAAUUUUAUAUCUAAAUUUUAUUAUUUUCCAUUGAGGUUCAUUUAAAACAGAAAAGAAUUAAAAAUGUAAUUCUAAAUUUACCCUAAUUCACGGAGUGAUUAUUAUUAUGUUAUCUCAAAAUUGGCCAUACGAAUUAAAUGACUAAUAGAGUUAUUGACAAUUUUGUUAAAAAUGAACAACCGAUAAGUCAUUAUCUUUUGCACUUCAUUCUUAUUACUCUCAUAAACAUUUUAAUCACAUUUCUCUGUAGUUAACAAUGAUCUUUACCCAUUAAAAUUGUUCUUACAUAUUCAUGGCAAAUGAAGAAGCUCAUCAACUCUGUGAUCCCAGAUUAUUAAAGAGGUGCACAUGUUCUAAACCCUUUAAUAGUUUCUUUUGAUACCAUAAUCUAAUCCUUGAUCUUGAUAAUAGUGCUUUCGCAACAUCCAAGUAAAAAUUUCUCUUGUUUGUCUUAAUCUUGUCAUUUAGGUUUCUCGACUUUUAAUUUAUUAUUCAUUGUUGACUUCUGUGUUCUUAAUAUUAGCAUUCGUUAACUUACUUAAAUCCAUCCUUUUCAACAGCCAGAAAAAUAUAUAUUGUUAAGCAACAGGAGAUGGCAGAAGUAUGUCUUGCUAUUUUUUCCUGCGUAUCAGAAGGUACAAAGACAUUGUCUGAACCGAUUAUAGGGCAGAUGUCUUAUGUGCUCAAGUGCCAGAGCUACAUAGAUGGGCUAAAAGACCGAGUAGAGGAGCUGGGACAAAGAAGAAAAAGGGUGGAAAUACUGGUUGAUCAGGCUCCUGGACAAGGAUAUAAGAUUUUUGGGGAUGUCACAGAGUGGCUAGGGAAAGUUGAGCAAUUCACUCAAGGGUAUGCAAAACACAUCAUUAAUGAUGAAGAUGAAGUUAGGAAGCCCUGCUUUAAAGGAUUGUCCCCAAAUUUGAUGUCUCGUUAUAAACUCAGUAAACGAGCAGUGAAGGCUGCAAAAUAUGCUGAAACUCUCUUGGCAACAGGCAACUUAUGGAUCAUGAGUAAUGUUUCCCACCCUCCUUCCCCAAAGAUGAGAGAAUUUGGCAACAUGAAAGAUUACGAUAUCUUUAAUUCGAGAAAGAAAAUAUUUCAAGAUGUUAUAGAGGCGUUGAAAGAUGAUAAGCUCAACAUAAUUGGGGUCUGCGGAAUGGGCGGCGUGGGUAAAACCACGCUAGUCAAGCAAAUUGCAAAGCAAGUUAUGGAAGAUAACGUGUUCGAUAAGGUCGUUAUGGCUGAGAUAACAAAGAACCCAGAUGCUCAAAAAAUUCAAGGAGAACUCGCUUCCGAUCUAGGCAUGAACUUUGACUCGAAUGAUCACAUAUACCACAGAGCAAAACAACUAUGUCAAAGAUUGAAGAAAGAGAAGCGAGUCCUCAUUAUAUUAGAUAAUAUUUGGACAAAACUUGAGUUGGACAAAAUUGGAAUUCCUUAUGGGGAUGUUGAUGAGAAAGAUAAAAAUGAUGAUCCGAGAAGAUGACGAUAAUAUUGACGUCUAGAAGUCGAGAUUUAUUGUGCAUUGAUAUGAAUUCUCAGAAAAUGUUCUGGAUCGAUGCUUUAUCAAAAGAAGAAGCAUUGCAGUUAUUUGAGAAGAUAGUGGGUGAUUCCACAAAAGCAUCUGAUUUUCGACCUUUAGCAGAAGAGAUUGUUGGAAAAUGCGGAGGAUUGCCUGUUGCACUGAGUACAGUUGCAAAUGCUCUGAAAAAUAAGAGUCUUGCCAUUUGGAAGGAUGCGUUGAAUAAGCUGACAAGUUCCAAUCUAAGAGAAAUUCAUGGUAUGGAUGCAGAUGUGUAUUCUUCUAUAAAAUUGAGUUACGACUUCUUGGAUGAUGAAGCAAAAUCUUUGUUCCUUCUUUGUGGUCUGCACCGUGAAGGUCGUCCUAUACACGUACAUUACUUACUGAGAUAUGUUAUGGGAUUGAGAUACGAUAAGGGUUUGGGUCUAUUUAGAAAUGUUUACACAUUGGAAGCAGCAAGGAAUAGAGUGGAUGCAUUGAUCGACAAUCUAAAAGCUUCAUGCUUAUUGUUGGACGGUGAUGCUGAAGAUGAAGCUAAACUGCAUGACGUCAUUCAUGUUGUUGCUGCAUCAAUUGCAGAAGAAAAGCUUAUGUUUAAUAUUCCAAAUGUUGCUGACUUUGAGAGAGAGAUGGAAGAGACAAUACAGAAAGGUCCAAUUGCUAUUUCUUUACCUUAUAGAGAUAUUCAAGAGCUCCCUGAAAGGUUGGAAUGUCCCCAACUCAAGUUAUUUUUGUUGUUUGCAAAGUACGAUAGCACUUUGCAAAUUUCAGACCACUUUUUUGAAGGGACGGAAGAACUCAAAGUCUUAGAUUUUACUGGAAUUCGUUUCUCUCCAUUACCUUCAUCACUCGGUCGCCUCAUUAACCUUCAAACAUUGUGUUUAGAUGGUUGGCGACUAGAAGAUAUAGCAAUAGUUGGACAGCUAAAGAAAUUAGAGAUUCUCAGCCUUCGAGGUGCCGAAAUUAAGCAGUUGCCACUUCAGAUUGGACAAUUGACAAGGUUACAGUUGCUAGAUUUGAGCAAUUGUAGCAGCCUUGUGGUGAUAGCACCAAAUGUCAUAUCGAAAUUAUCUCGAUUGGAAGAACUAUAUAUGGGUGACAGCUUUUCACAGUGGGACAAGGUUGAAGGAGGAAGUAACGCCAGUCUUGCUGAAUUGAAGGGGCUGUCAAAGCUAACUACUUUGGAGAUAGAUGUUCGGGAUGCUGAAAUGCUGCCGCAGGAUUUGGUCCUUGGGGAAUCGCUAAGAUAUAGGAUAUGAAUAGGAGAAGUGUGGGGCCGCUGGUCUGUUAAAUCUGAAACAUCAAGAUUGAUGAAGCUUCAGGGGCUAGAAAAUAUUAGCAUUCUUUUGAGGAAUCAUGGAAUGAAAAUGUUGCUGAAGAAAACUGAAGAUCUCUAUCUACAGGAACUGAAGGGUGUAAAGAAUGUUGUUCCUGAAUUAGAUGAUGGGGAAGGUUUUCCACGAUUAAAGCAUCUUCAUGUAGGAAAUUUUGCGGAGCUUUUACAUAUUGUCGGUUCAAUUCAUUGCAAAGUCUUUCCCCAGCUAGAGUCAUUGUCUCUUUUUGGUUUGCUUAAUUUGGAGAAGAUAUGUUACAGCCAAAUCACAGAUCAAUCUUUUAUCAACUUAAGAAUCUUUAGCGUACGUAAUUGUAACAAAUUGAAGCAUCUCUUCUCAUUCUCUAUGGCCAAAAGCCUAUUGCGGCUUCAACAAAUAAAAGUGGGUCUUUGCAACAACCUGGAAAUGAUUAUUGGUAAGUGUUGGAAGUAUUUUGAGGAAUUAUAAAAAGCUACUAUUACUUAAUGACAGAAGUUAAUUAUUAAUUUUGUUUCUAGGACUCAACAAGGAGACAAGUAAUUUCGGUUUUAAAGAAAUCAUUGCAGAGGAUGAUCCUGUUCAGAAGGUGAUAAUUUAUGAUCCUGUUCAGAAGGUGAUAAUUUUCUCUUUAAUAAUUAAUUAAUAUAUUAUCAUGAUUUAUUUCAAUCAUCAAAAGAAUAUUAGAGAGAUAGGGAGGGGGAAAAAAAAAAAAGCUUACGGUUUUGCUUUGCAGGUCAUUCUUCCAGGCUUAGAGGAGUUGGAACUUGAUAGAUUAGCAACCAUUGAAAAAGUAUGGCCGGAUCAGUUUGAGGGAAUGUCUUGUUGUCAAAAUUUAACAAAAGUGACCGUGGAGAGGUGUCAUCGCCUGAAGUAUCUAAUAAAUUUGUUGACAUUCUCAAUGCCUGAAAGUUUUGUGAAUCUUGAAAUAAUGAAGAUAGUUGAUUGCAAAAUGAUAGAAGAAAUCAUAAAAUCACAGGUUGGAAUAGAAGCGAAACAUUGUAUUGUUUUUAGGAAAUUGAAGUACUUGAGGCUUGAUUGUUUGCCAAGCCUGACAAGCUUUUCUUCGAGUAAUUACACUCUUGAAUUCCCCUUCUUGAAACAAGUAGUUGUGAGACAGUGCCCAAAGAUGAAGAUUUUCUCUCAAGGAGGACUCUUACACACACCAAUGUUGAACAAAGUGCAACUCACUGAAGAAGACGAUGAUGAAGGGUACUGGGAAGGCGACCUCAAUAAUACCAUACAAAAGUUGUACUACAAAGAAGUGGUGAGUAUUAAUUAAGCAUUGGUGCUAGGCCACUAGCUUUAUUUUAUGAAUAACACAGGAGCCCUAACCACAUAAAAAUUAUCUUAUAUAAAGUGGUGAAAUAAUAUGGUAGGUUGACAUAUAUAUACAUGUAUGUAUGUAUGUAUGUAUCCACGUAUAUGGCCCAUGUUUUGUUUUACAUUUAACCAGUCAUAUUAUGUUACAUCAAUUUUUAUAACAUUAUUUAGAUAAUAGUGUCUGAAACUGUAUCAUUAUUCUUGAUUUAAUUUUGUUAUUAGUUUUUUUUUCUAUUAUUAGUAUUAUCAUUAAAAGGUAAACGUUUUCUUACCCACCUCAUAAAUUAGCAUGCUUUAUUUUGUCUUUAACUUAUUGAAAACAUUAACCCACGCCCAUUUAGCGUUAAAAGUACAAAAUGUUUGCCGAAGAAUAUCAUCAACACAGGCCCCUAUUCACGCUAUUCUUUUGGAUAGUAAAUGGGGGUGCGUUGAUGUUAUCAUUAAUUUGGUAGACAUCGGGAAACUGUAAUAAUAUAAAAAACAAUUGUGUGUGUCUAGUGAAUUUUUUUUUGGUUUGUGCAGGAUAGAGUUCGUGAAAUGACGAAGUUGGAACUCUCAAACUUUCCACGUUUCAGAGAAAUGUGGCAUGCCCAAGCACUGCCUGUUAGCUUCUUCAGCAAUUUAGUAAAGCUAGUGAUGGAUGACUUCAAGAAUAUGACUACUGCUAUUCCAGCCAAUCUUCUACGGUGCUUGAACAAAUUAAAAAUUCUGGAAGUGAGGAAUUGUGAUUCAUUAGAAGAGGUGCUCCAUUUAGAAGAGCUAAAUGUUGAUGAACAUUUUGGCCCUCUGUUUCCUGUUCUUGUCCAGCUAGAGCUCAUUAAUCUUCCAAAACUCAAAAGAUUCUGCAGCUUCAUUGGGAAUGUUAUUGAACUGCCUGAGUUGUUGAAUCUGAACAUUGAGAAUUGCCCUAAUAUGGAAAUAUUCACUUGCAAUUCUAUAUCUAUAUUGCACAGGACAACAAAUAAAGAACCUCUGGAAAUAACACCAAAGGAGAACUUCCCGCUAGCUGACAUACAGCCUCUCUUUGAUGAAAAGGUGAUUGUUAUUAAGUUUUUUUUUUUUUUUUCCUUCGCUUUCAUUCACAUAGAUGUAAUUCUCAUUAGAAUUAAAAUUAAUUUUAUUUAAUGAUCUUUCUGUUGUCUUUACUCUUUAUAUCUAAUCUAACGGUUCUAAUGCAGUUAUUAACUAAAAUUUCAGUAUACACUCAUAAAAAUGUCAUCAAAUUAGUUAAAUGAUUGGUAACAAGGGGUGAACUCUAUCCAUAUUAUCUCUAUUCAGAUUUGAUUUAUGUGCUUCAAGGGUAACUAUUUGAAUUUUAUUUUUUGGUUCCUCCGCAACUAAAUACAAUUUGGAUAUAAAAUGCUGUCGUCAAUCUUUUCCAUGAAACUGCUUACGAAGACUGCCGACGUUAGAUAUAUGUUCUCAUUUACAACUUUUUUUUUUCCAGGUUGCAUUCCCCAAGUUACAUAUGUUGAACCUGUCUAGAAUACCCAAGGUGUCGCAUCUAUGGAAGAAAAUUUCCGAAUCCAACGAAGUUUCCAAGUUUUUGAAUACUCUAGUAAUAUCAGAAUGUAGUAAGUUACGAAAAUUAGUACCAUCUUUGUUGCAUUUGGAAUAUCUGGCGACUCUAGAAGUGUCGAAGUGUCACGGGUUGACAAAUUUGUUGACGAUCUCAACAACUAAAAGUUUAGAACAUCUUUUAGUAAAUCUUGAAAUAAUGAAGAUAGCUGAUUGCAAAAUGAUAGAAGAAAUCCUACAAUCACAGGUUGAAAAAGAAGAAGAAAUCCUACAAUCACAGGUUAAAAAAGAGGAAGAUUGCAUUGUUUUUGGGAAAUUGAGGUACUUAGGACUUGAUUGUUUGCCAAGCCUAACAAGCUUUUAUUCGGGUAAUUACACUCUUGCAUUCCCAUCCUUAGAAGAAGUAGUUGUGAGACAGUGCCACAAGAUGAAGAUUUUCUCUCAAAAAGGGCGCUUACACACACCAAUGUUGAACAAAGUGCAAUUCACUGAAGAAGAUGAGGAUGAAGGAUGCUGGGAAGCCAACCUCAAUGAUACUAUAAAAAAAUGGUACUACAAAGAAGUGGUCAGUAUUAAUUAAGCAUUGGUGCUAGCUUUAUUUUAUCAAUAAUACUAGAGUCUCAACCUCUUAAAAAUUAUUUUAUACAAAAUGAUGUGAUAUAAUAUGGUAGGUUGUGUGUGUGUAGCCCGCGUUUUGUUUUUUGUUUAACCAAUCAUAUUAUUUUAUAUCAGCUUUAUAACAUUAUUUAGACAAUAGUGUUUGUAACUAUAUCUUUACUCAUUAUUUAAUUUUGUUAUUAGUUUUGUUACUGUUAUUAGUAUUAUUAGUAGUAUUAUUAUUAAAUGGUAAAUGUUUUUACCCAGUACCCACCUCAUAAAUUAACAUUCCUUAUUUUUGUCUUUAACUUAUUGAAAACAUUAACCCAUGCACAUUUAGCUUUAAAAGUACAAAAUGUUUGAUUAAGAAUAUCAUCAACACAGGCUCCUAUUCACUAUAUUCUUUGAAUAGUAAACGGGGUGCGUUGAUGUUAUCAUAAAUUUGAUGGACAUCUGGAAACUGUAGUAAUCUAGAAAACAAUUGUGUCCAUAUAUAUAUCCACUACAGUUUUCCUCUUUUUUUGUGGCUUUUGCAGGAUAGAGUUCGUGAAAUGAUGAAGUUGGAACUCUCAAGCUUUCCACGUUUGAGAGAAAUGUGGCAUGCCCAAGCACUGCCUGUUCGCUUCUUCAACAAUUUAGUAAAGCUAGUGAUGGAUGACUUCACGAAUAUGACUACUGCUAUUCCAGCCAAUCUUCUACGGUGCUUGAACAAAUUAAAAAUUCUGGAAGUGAGGAAUUGUGCUUCAUUAGAAGAGGUGCUCCAUUUAGAAGAGCUAAAUGUUGAUGAACAUUUUGGCCCUCUGUUUCCUGUUCUUGACCAGCUAGAGCUCAUUAAACUUCCAAAACUCAAAAGAUUCUGCAGCUUCAUUGGGAACGUUAUUGAGCUGCCUGAGUUGUUGAAUCUGAACAUUGAGGAUUGCCCUAAUAUGGAAAUAUUCACUUGCAAUUCUAUAUCUAUGUUGCACAGGACAACAAAUAAAGAACCUCUGGAAAUAACACCAAAGGAGAACUUCCCGCUAGCUGACAUACAGCCUCUCUUUGAUGAAAAGGUGAUUGUUAUUAAGUUUUUUUUUUUUCCCUUUGCUUUCAUUCACGUAGAUGUAAUUCUCAUUAGAAUCAAAAUCAAUUUUGUUUAAUCAUCUUUCUGUUGUCUUUACUCUUUAUAUCUAAUUUAACGGUUCUAAUGCUCUUAUUAACUAAAUUUUCACUAUACACUUAUGAAAAUGUCAUCAAAUUAGUUAGAUGAUUGGUAACAAGGGGGAGAACUCCAUCCAUAUUGUCUCUAUUUAGAUCGGAUUUAUGUGUUUCGAGGGUAACUAUUUGAUUUUUAUUUUUUGCUUCCUCUGCAAAUAAAUAGAAUUUGGAUAUAAAAAGUUGUGAUCAAUCUUUUCCAUGAAACAUGCUUGUGAAGACUGCCGAUGUUAGAUAUAUAUUCUUAUCUACAACUUUUUUUUUUAUUUAAUUUUCAGGUUGCAUUCCCCAAGUUAUAUAAGUUAAAACUGACUAGAAUACCCAAGGUGUCGCAUCUAUGGAAGGAAAUUUCCGAAUCCAACAAAGUUUCCAUGGUUUUGAAUACUCUAGUAAUAUCAGAAUGUAGUGAGUUACGAAAAUUAGUACCAUCUUUGUUGCAUUUGGAAUAUCUGAUGACUCUAGAAGUGUCGAAGUGUCACCGGUUGACAAAUUUGUUGACGACCUCAACAACUAAAAGUUUGGUGAAUCUUGAAAUAAUGAAGAUAGCUGAUUGCAAAAUGAUAGAAGAAAUCCUACAAUCACAUGUUCAAGAAGAAGGGAAAGAUUGCAUUGUUUUUCGGAAAUUGAGGUACGUGGGACUUGAUUGUUUGCCAAGCCUAACAAAAGCUCAUGCCUUGUUGAUGGAUGCUGUAGAAGAAGGACUAUAUUGUUGUAGCAACAAGCCUGCAGAAAAUCACAGAAUACUUAUCUGUAUAUGAACAAAAACAAGUCUGAACCAGAGAGAAUGUUGUAGUAACUAUUGCAAAAAUCUAGAUCAAAUACAAACAAAACUGUCUAGAUUGUUCAUGUGCUAACUAAUAAAGUCUACUGCAGUCGAUACUGAACUACCACUAUCAUGUGCAGACAACAGAGUGGCAGGCAGCACAAAAGGGAAUGUGCUCCUAGGAUGCCAAAAAACACAAGUGUCCUAAUGCUUUUUAGUUGCCCAAAUCCCAAGAUAUAAAAGACCAUAUUUUAAGGAAAUACAUCAUCCACGACCGACACAUGCAAAGAGAACAGAAAGAGAGAUUUCAGAGUUGCAAUAGAGGCAUUUUUCGUGUUGAAAAAUGAGAGAUAAUAGAAGAUCAAAGCAUGACGUUUUGGGUCUUUUGUAUCUCAACGUUUUUUCUUGUAUUUGUUUAUUUUGUUCUCUCUCUGAUAAUGUAUUUAAUGGCAGACACUUGUGUUGUUACUGUUUCAAAGCUCAUCAUGAGCUAAACCUUAAUUUAGUUGGGUUUUGAAUAUGCUUAAUGGUUAUUUAAUUUACAUGUGUAUGUUGCUCAGAACCUGUUAUAGCAUUUUGUUUUAACUUUACUUAUUGUAAUUGCCUACCUCGGUUGACUACCUAUUUAGUGGAUAUUAGAUAAGAAGGAGCCUAAAAGGUUUGACUUAGUGGAAUAAAUUAAGAAAUACAUGGUUCUAGAUUAGGAUUCCCAAGUUGAGUUAAUCUCGAUUUGAAUAGGGCCAUGCUUAAUCUAAGAUUAGUGAAGAACUAGAUUUAGGGAUUCACCUUGUAGGGCAAAUAGAGUCUAAAACAUAAAAUGCUAUGUCUAAUGUUAGUUUAAUAACUAAUCACUAUUAGAUUACAUAUAGAUAUAAGAUAUCCAAAAAACGACAGUUGAAGACGCUAUAACAACUGUGUCUCAAUUGAAAGAUAUUCAAUAACCAAUAAGUGAGUUUAGAACCCGACUACCCUUUUGCCAUUUAGUAUAUUUUUUUGUUUGACUUUAGAUUCUCUUUAUUGCAUUCUAUUUGUUGCAUUGUUAAUUUCAUUAGAUCAUUAAUAUCAUCAUUUAUUUUCUUUUAUUUAGUUUAUUAAAAUUGCACUGUUAAGAUUGCUAUAGUAAGUCCUAUAACAUCAAUCCAUGUGGAGACGGUUUUGAUACUCAUCAUUAUAUUAUUUCUUGUGUACACUUGUAUAUUGACACUUUACCAAGUUUUUGGCGCCGUUGCUGGGGAUUGAGUGUAACACCCCAGUCUGAAAUCCAAGGGCAAAUAUGUCCAUAACUCACAUAUGAAUUUAAAUAACCCUUUACAAUCGAAAAAAAUUCAAACCUCCAAUAUAAUAGGCAGCGGAAUAAUUUGAAAAUUUUGUCAAACCAUCUAUCAUCCUCAAUUCAAGUCUACCUUCUCACUCAUUACGAAUCAUUCCUGACUUUUGGAAACUGAAUCACAAUAAACUAUAAUGAGUACAAAACUCAGUAAGCAAAUUAGUUUUCUUAUACUAAAAUACAUCCAUACUUAUACAUAAUGCAAAUGGAUGAUAUGUCAUGAUCUUUUGGAAAUACUAUAAAACAAAUUCAUAAAAGUCUCUUUCUGUCGCUUUCAAACUUUCUCAUUUUCUUUCAAUAAAAUACGUAUCCUACAAUGUGGCACUUUGUGCUGUGCGUGGCACUUUGCACCAUGCGUGGUACUUUGCGGCGCUCUGGCCCUCAAGAGGUGGCCCCCGCAUAGUCUCAAGAGGUGGCCCCCAAUGUAAAAUCUCAUAAAACAAAAAUUCUGUUUGCUAAAAUUCACUUGUUCAUUCAUAGAAAACUCAAUGCAUUUUCGUGCUCAUGCUAAUGAACCAUCACACAUACAUAUGCCCAUGUACAUAAUCAUGCCCAUUACAUAACAACACAUCACAUAAACACAUGAGCAGAGACAUAUAAAUCCAUAUUCGUACAUAUCAAAAUAGGUUUUUCAUACAAGUCAAACAUAUAUAUUAUUUAUUGUGAUUCGUUUUAAAGUCUAGUUUACUUACCUCUUGGUAUCCUCAUGCAACAAAUGCAUAUUGAUAUCAUCAACCUUAAAUCAUCAAUAAAUUUCUCAUAAGAUAUAAUCAAGUCUCAAUCAUAAACUCUAAUGUCCUGAAGUAUCUCAAUUUAAAUGUCCUCAAUAAUCGGCCCUCAAAACAUAACAGUCCAUAUUUCUCCGAUUUUUAAUAAACUAUUCUCUUAUUGGAAGAAUCUAAAAUUUUACCGACCAUAUGCUGACACAUUGAAAGUUCAUUGAUAAAUAUUUCGUAACAUAAUUCCUUCAAAAACUAUUGAAAAUAACUGACGUUUCAGACAUCAUCAAUACUGUCAAACAGUUUUCUAUUUUGAACACACUUGCUUUAAAAAUACAAAACAAUUUAUUGCUUUAUCAUAAAAUCAUGAACAUUUUUAGAAUCAUACUAUACAUAUAUAUAAAUCAUUGGUCCAAAUUUCGUAAUUGUUGAAGAAGUCUAGCUAUGGUAAAAAUAAUUUCGUAAUUUACGUUAUUCACUGAAAUCAUAAAUUUCCAGGUUUUCAGGCUUGAAUUUGAAAAAUCGUAAUUAAUUGAAAUCUUAUCUGAUUAACUUGAAACAAGUUUCAAAACAUUCUAAACGAUAUCUAGUUUAACAUACCCAAAAAUCAGAAUCAAAAUCAACUUGUACAAAUUACUAUGAUUUCCGUAAUAAUUCACUGUCAGCAUAUUUCUGCAAAAUCUUAGAUUUCUACUUCUAUUGCAAUAAUGCUUCUCCACAACAAUUUAAUAGAGACCAAUAAUUAAAACUUACCUCCAAAACUUCUCCCAACAAUAAAAACUUAAUUCCAUGUGUUGCCUAUGGCAGAACUAAGAAGAAGAAGAAGACUUCUUCUUUUUUUCUUUUCUUGAUUUUCUCUCUUGUCUCUCCAUCUCUCUCUCUCUCUCUCUCUCUCUCUUUUCUGUCGUUUUUUUUUUGCAACCGAUCCCUCUUUUCCUCUCUCUCUUAUAAUAAAAAAGACAUCUUGUUCUAUUUAUACUAGGGCAAAAAAGGAUCACUAAAAAUUAAAAAGAGUUAAAUACCCUUAGGAGAUUUGGAAUAUUACAUUGAGUGCAUAUUGUGAGUUUUUAAGUUAAUUUUUUUUCUUUUAAUUUGUUUGUUGUGUUAACAUAAUGCUUUAGCAACCCUUGCAUGCUCAAGUAUAAACCUGUUGAAUUUUAGUUUGAUCCAAAAAUUGAAAGAACUGCAAGGAGGCUAAGAAAAGAGCAUAGAGGUUUAGGAUCUGUUGCAGACAUGGAUGGUUUGUAAAAUGUGGGAGAUUUGAAUCCCCAAGGAGGAAUGAAUCCAAUUAAUGUUCAAAGAGAUAAUCCUCUUCCCAUUUUAGAUCUAGUUAAUGCACAAAGAGUUCAAGAAUGUCAGUACGGGUAGAUUGGUCAAGGGCAACUAGAGAAUAACAACAUUUUCUGCAUGACAGUUGAUAAAGAAAAUGUUGUUAGGGACUAUAUAGUGUUAACCCCUCAAACUAUAAAUCCUGGAAUAGUCAAACCCAAAGUUCAGGCUGCUCAUUUUGAGCUCAAACCAGUAAUGUUUCAGAUGUUACAGAAAGUAGGAUAGUUCAAUAGACUACCAUCAGAAGAUCUUCAUCUUCACCUUAAACUAUUUUUGAGGUGAGUGAUGCUUUCAAGAUUGCUGGAGCAUCACAUGAGGCAUUGAGGCUAAUACUCUUAAUUUUCUUUGAAGGAUCGAGUAAGAGAAUAGUUGAACUCUUUACUACAUGAUUCAAUCUCUACAUGGAAUACCUUAGCUGACAAAUUUUUGAUAAAGUAACCUACCAAGAAUGCAAAGUUGAGGAUGAGAUCACAUUUUUCCAUUAACUUAACGAUGAAAGCUUCUAUGAUGCUUGAGAAAGAUUCAAGGAGUUGUUUAGGAAAUAUUCUCAUGAUGGUAUCCCUUGUUGUAUACAGUUGAAAACUUUCUAUAAUUGUCUAAAUUCAAGCACUAGAUUGAUGGUAAACACUUCAGGAAGUGGGGCCUUGUUAUCUAAGUCUUACAAUGAGGCUUAUGAUAUUUUGAAAAGGAUAGCCAAUAACAACUAUUAGUGGCCAUCUACCAAACAAACUACAAUAAGAAGAAUAAUAGGAGUUUACAGUGCAGAUGCCUUGAUAGCAUUAUCAGCCUAAGUAACCUUAUUGAUAAAUAUGGUAAAGGAUAUAUCCACUGUUCCAGCAACUAUCAACAAAGUUGUUAAGGCAUCAUGUAUUUAUUGUGGAGAAGGAAAUUUAUUUGAUAGUUUUCUUAGAAAUCAUGCCUCAGUCAACUAUAUGGGCAAUUAUAACAGACAGAACCACAUCAACCCUUAUUCAAACACUUACAACCCUGGAUGGAGGCAGCACCCAAACUUUUCAUGGAGCAAUCAGAAUCAGAAUCAAUAUGUUGUAGAAUCUAGUGGACAAAAUAGACUUGCUCAACCAUUUAGAUUUCAUCAGCAAAAUCAAGGGCGAAGAGACACCAACAAUGAUCAACCCAACUCCCUUGAAGCCUUAAUUAAGGAGUACAUUGUGAAGAAUGAAACAUUUAUCUAAAGUCAAGCUAUUUCCUUAAGAGACCUAGAAAAUCAGAUGGGACAAGUUACUAUAGUAUUAGGUAACAGACCUCAAGAUAAUUUACCAGGCAAUACAGAGGACCCAAGAAGAGAAUGGAAAGAGCAUUGCAAAGUAAUUAACUUAAGAUCUAGAAAGGAUGUUCACAUUCUAGUUGGUGUACUAAAAAAAAGAGUUGAGCCCACUUCAAUCUAAGAAAAAACUCAAGUUGAAGAAGAUCCAUAACCCUCUACUUCACAGUACACAGGUGAAAACAGCAAAGCACACCAAUCCAAUACUUUACAAAAAAUGAUUAUCGAAUACCUAUUGAUGAAGAUCUUGCACACUAACCACACCAAUCCAGAACAUGGCAAAAGUGAAGCAGUUUGCACAACCUUCUACAACUCAGCCGUUUAGGCACCCACCACCCUUUUCUUAAAGGUUCAAGUGACAGAAACAUGACAAGCAGUUCAGUAAAUUCUUUGAAGUGUUGAAGCAAUUGUAUAUCAACAUCCUUUUUAUGGAAGGUCUAGAGCAAAUGCCAAAUUAUGUGAAGUUCUUGAAGGAUAUUUUGACAAAGAAAAAAAGGCUAGAAGAACUUGAAAUAGUUUCUCUAACACAAAAGUACAACCACAUGCAUCAGAAUAAGAUACCUCAGAAAUUGAAGGAUUCAGAAAGCUUCACAAUUUCAUGCUCUAUAGGCAAUAAAUACAGUGACAAGACACUUUGUGAUUUAGGAGCCAGCAUUAAUCUCGUGUCCUUAUCUAUAUUUAAGCAAUUGGGUGUUGGAAAGGUCAGACCAAUAAUAGUUACCUUACUACUUGCUGAUAGAUCUCAUGCCUAUCUAGAUUGAAGAUGUACUGGUGAAAGUAGAUGAGUUUAUUUUUGCAGUUGACUUCAUAGUAUUGGAUUUUGAAGCAGAUAAAGAAGUGUUUAUCAUUUUAGGUAGACCUUUCUUGUCUGCUGGUAAGACUCUAAUUAAUGUGUAAAAAGGAGAACCAACCGUGAGGGUUAAUGAUCAGUAAGUUACAUUCAAUGUGCUAAAUGCCAUGAAGAGUCCUGAUGAUGUUGAAGAUUGUAAUUUUGUUAAUGUUGUGGAUUUUACUAUAGUAGAAAGAUUAAACAGUUGCUGCAGCAGAAAGAUUAAACAGUUGCUGCAGCAAAGAAGAAAUCAAGGUUGCAAGAUUUAAAGAACUUGAUGAUAAACCUCAAGGCCUUGAAACAACUGACAUAACAUGGCUAGAAGAAAAACAACCCUUCAAAACUGAGAAGCAAAUUAAAUAUCUUGACCUUCAAAUAGGGAUAUAAAAUAUUCUAUUUCUUUUAUUAAGUCCUCAUAUUUUAGAAUUAAAACUUUUACCUUUACACUUGAAAUAUGCUUAUCUUAGUGACCGUGAUCAACGUCAUGUAAUCAUUUCAUCAUCUUUGAAUGCAGAACAAGAAAAUAGCUUAGUUUUUGUAUUAGGGAAACAGAAGAAGGCCAUUUGAUGGACCAUGACAGAUAUCAAAGGAAUCAGCCUCUCAAUAUGCAUGCACAAGAUUCUACUGGAGGAUAGUUAUGGCAAUUCUCUAAGCAAUUGAAAAGAUUAAAUCCUAUCAUGAAGGAAGUUGUAAAGAAAGAGAUCAUCAAAUGGCUUGAUGUUGGAAUCAUCCACCUAAUAUCAAACACCUCAUGAGUGAGCCCAAUACAAUAUGUUCCAAAGAAAAUUGGAGUGACAGUUGCAGAAAAUAAAAAGAACGAGUUUAUUCUUAUAAGAACUGUAAAUGGAUGAAGAGUCUGUAUAGACUACAUAAAGCUAAAUAAGACCACAAGGAAGGAUCGCUUUCCACUGCCUUUCAUAGAUCAGAUACUGGAUAGACUCGCUAGAAAGGAGUAUUAUUAUUUCUUAGAUGGAUACUCAGGAUACAACCAUAUUGACGUAGCACUAGAAGACCAGGAGAAGACAAAAUUCAUUUUUCCUUAUGGAACCUUUGCCUUUAGAAAGAUGCCAUUUGGCAUGUGCAAUGCUUCACCAACUUUCCAAAUGUGUAUAAUGUCCAUCGUUUCAGAUAUGAUUGAGCAAAUACUUGAGGUAUUUAUGAAUGAUUUGUUUCAGUUUUUGGGGAAUCAUAUGAUGACUAUUUGUAUAAUUUAAAAAAUAGACUUAGAAGAUGUAAAGAGACAAACUUAGUAUUGAAUUCGGAAAAAUGUCAUUUCAUUGUACAAGACGAGGAUAGUCCUAGGCUAUAAACUCUCUAAAAAAAUGAUAGAAGUGGAUAAGGUAAAAAUAGAGGUGAUUAAUAAACGUCUAUUAUCCACUUCAGUUAAAGGCAUAAGGAGUUUCUUGAGGCAUGCUGGAUUUUAUAGAAGGUUUAUUAAGGAUUUCUCCAAAAUAUCAAAACCUUUAUACAUGUUGUUGGAGUGUAACAAACCUUUUAAUUUUGAUGAUGAUUGCUUGAAGGCCUUCGUUGAGUUAAAGAGAGCUUUUGUUACAACACAAGUUGUUGUAACACCUAAUUAGAGUAUGCCUUUUGAGUUGAUGUGUGAUGCUAAUGAUCAUUCGGUUGGAGCAGUGUUAGGGCAAAGAAAAGGCAAGACUUUCCAUUCCAUUUAUUAUGCCAGUAUGACUCUAGCUAAUGCAAAUUCAACUAUACCACAACUGAAAAUGAGAUGCUGACAAUUGUAUUUGUAUUUGAUAAAUUUAGAGCCUAUUUGGUUGGCAGCAAAGUGACUGUUUACAUAGAUCACUCAGCCAUAAAAUAUUUGACUCCAAAGAAAGAUGUCAAACUAAGGCUAAUCAAGUGGAUUCUCUUCCUACAAGAGUUUGACUUAUAGAUCAAGGAUAGAAAAUGAACGGAGAAUUAAGUAGCAAAAUAUCUUUCAAGGCUUGAAGUAGAUGCAAGCACUUUGACCAAGCAGGAUAUCAUAGAAAUAUUUCCUUAUGAGCAAUUGUUCAUAUUGCAGCAUGCACAGAUGCUGCAGUAAUCUGAAUUUCCAUGGUUCACGGAUUUUGUUAAUUUUCUAGAAAGUGGAUUGCCACCACCUAACUUGAGCUACCAGCAAAAGAAGAUAUUAAUUUAUCCAUGAUGUCAGAAGCUAUUAGUGGGAUGAGCCCUACUUGUACAAGAUGUGUUUGUUAACAUAUAUGUUUCCAUAAUAUUGAUUUUGAUGAUAACAAACAAGAUUAAGAAUGAUUAAUCUUUUAAGCUCAAAUUAUUUUUAUACUUUUUAAAUAAAUCAUUAUUUUUACAUUAUAAAAGUUUUAUAUUUAAUGGAAAAAUGAUUUUAUGAAAUUGAUUGUUUUUAUUCUUUUUAAAUAAAUCAUUAUUUUCACAUUAUAAAUGUUUCAUAUUUAAUGGAAAAAAGAUUUUAUGAAAUUGGUUGUUUUUCAAAGUUUAUGGUUUAAUUGAAAGAAUUUUGAAAACUUUGAAAUAAACAAGUAUUGCUUGAAAUUUUGGAGAAGGACUUAUUUGAAAAGUGUCAUAGCUUUUUGGGCUAUAUCAUAAUUUCAAAAAGUUUUGGGAUUAACAAAGCAUUACUUAGAAAUUCUGAAAUUGGACCUAUUUGCAAAGUUUCAUGACGUUUUGGGCCAUAGUAUAGUUUUAUAAAGUUUUGGGGUCAAACCAUAAUUUCAGAAAAUAGUGCACUGUGAAGGUUACUGUAGCAUCCGGCUUAUCGGAUAUAAAAACCAAAAAACUGGAUACGGGGCAGAAUGUAUCCAGAACGUAAACGGCUUACCGGAUUUCGUAACCGGCAAGCCGGAUAGGCAAAAUUCAAAUUUUUGCCUUAAUGGUAACAUAAAUCCGGCUUACCGGAUUCCAAAAACGGCAAACCCGAUACGUCCAGAAUGUGCAUAACGGCUAGUUUUUGAGUUCAAACUAUAUAAACUCAAAACCAAUUCAUUUUUCGUAAUCCAAGCAAGCAAGAACAAGUGCACACAACAUAUAUUAAGCUUCAAUUUCGUAACUCAUCAUUUAUUAAAUCAUCUUUGUUCUUCAAUUUGUAUAUCCACUCUUAAAGAGAGAUUCAUUGUUGUAUUUUUCAUUUCUCAUUAAAUUGUGAGUGUACAAGUGUGAGAAACACUUGGAGUGAAGAGAUUGGAGAGAUAAUCUCUUGUUGUAAAGGUUCAUUGACACCUUAAAGUCAAUUGUAAACGUUUGAAGCCUUGGAAAGGCUUGGAUAGUGAAAUCCUCAAGCCCGGUGUGCUUGGAGGCGUGGACGUAGGCGGGGAUUGCCGAACUACGUAAAAAUCCUUGAGUUUGCUUUCUCUUCCCUUGCUCAUUUAUUAUUGUGCUUUCAUUGAAUUUAUUGUUUUCGAAUUUAUUAAGGAAUUAGAUUGGAUUUGUGUGUGGUUUGCUUAGCUUAAUUUUUAAAAAUCCAAUUCACCCCCCCUCUUGGAUUGCCUAGUUAGUAUUUCAUUUGGUAUUAGAGCGAGGUGCUCUUGUGUAAACUUAACCGUCUAGAGUUAAAGAUCCAUGGAAACCCAUAAUGACUCAAUCUUUAGGGAAGGACAAUCCACAAUUAGACCACCGUUCUUUGACGGUAAUGACUACCCAUAUUGGAAAACUAGGAUGAGAAUUUAUUUACAAGCUUUAGAUUAUGAAAUUUGGGAAAUUGUUUGUGAUGGUCCAUUUAUGCCUUUGACUAAAAAUGAAGUCGGGGACGAUAUUCCAAAACCUUCACAGGAAUGGAAUGAAUUGGAAAAGAAAAAAUCUACUCUAAAUUCCAAAGGUAUGAAUGCCUUGUUUUGUGCACUAGAUAAGAAAGAAUUUCAUAGAGUUUCUAGUUGUGAGAGUGCUAAUGAAAUUUGGCACAAACUUGAAGUUGUUUAUAAAGGCACAAAUCAAGUGAAAAGAGUCUAAAAUUAGUAGGUACACUCGGCAAUAUGAAUUAUUCCAAAUGGAACAAAAUGAGAGUGUGUAUUCUAUGUAUACUAGAUUUACGGACAUAGUGAACACUCUAGGAGCCCUAGGAAAGACUUUUUCAAAUAGCGAUAAGGUUACGAAAACUAUUAGGUCGCUACCUAAGGAAUGGAGACCAAAAAGGACUGCUAUUGAGGAAGCUAAGGAUUUAAAUAUCUUACCUAUUGAUGAUUUAAUUAGUUCUCUUAUUUCUUAUGAGGAAGACUUGGCAGCCGAAAGAGGCAAUAAGGAGAAGAAGAAAAACAUUGCUCUCAAAGCCUCGAAACAAGAGAGUGAUGAGGAAAGCGAGCUGGAUGAGGAGGAGAUGAAUAUGUUGGCUAGGAGGUUCAGAAAACUCUUUAAGAAAUCCGGUGAGCGAAGAAAAUUUAAAGACCUCAAGAACUGAAAGGAGAAGAAGGAAUUAAUCAAAUGUUAUGAGUGCAAGAAGCUUGGCCAUAUAAGAACGGAAUGUCCUCUUCUCAACAAGCUCAAGAAGAAAGCAAUGGUUGCCACAUGGGAUGAUAGCGAUGAGGAAACAAGUGAUGAUGAAGAGAAUCAAGAAAUGACAAAUCUAGCUCUCAUGGCAAUUGGAGAUGAAUCGGAUGAUGAACUUGAUGAGGUAAAUGAUCUUUUUACUUAUGAUGAAUUAUAUGAUGCUUUUAAAGAAUUGCAUGAUAAUUGGAUAAAAAUUGGUAAAAAGAAUGCAUGUCUUAAAAAGAAAAUGGUAGAGCUCAAAAAUGAAAAUGAAUCUCUAUGUGCAAAGAUUACAUGCCUAGAAUUAGAGAAUAAAACAUUGCAUGAUAGAGUUGCAUUAUUUGAGAAUUCUAGCACUUUACAUGAGCACUUAGAGUCACACAUGAAUGACUUGAAAAAUGAGAAUGAAAUGCUUAGAAAGAAGAGCAAUGAGUUAAAUGAGAUUGUUUUAAAAUUUACAGAUGGACAAAAGAUGUUGGAUAACUUGAUUAAUUCUCAAAAAUGUGUGUUUGAUAAAGGAGGUAUUGGUUAUAAGCCAAAUUUGAAACAAAAAUAUUAUAAAAGUUAUUUUGUUAAAACUACCUCCAUUAAUAAUCAAAUUGUAUGUCAUUAUUGCAAUCAAAAUGGUCAUAUGAAGAAUAGAUGUCCAAUUAAAAGAAAUGUGUAUUAUGGAGUAAAAUGUGUUUGGGUUCCAAAAGGAACCAUUGCUAACACUCAAGGACCCAAGAGCAUUUGGGUACCAAAGGGCACAACUUGAAUAUUCUUUUGUAUGUACCACAAACAAGGAAUGGUGGAGAGUUCCUUGAUGAAGCUUGUGAGGAUAAUCAUUUGAGCAUGAUCUAGGAGAAAAAGAUGAGGCAAGAUGAUUUAAUUGUUUUGGUAAUAAUUCUUGCCAUAUUAAUUUUGUUGAAUGGAUCAUGAUAAAUGGAUAAUAGCUUGAAUUUGUGAAAGUAUACUUGUAUGUUUACAUGAUAGAAUUAUCAUUGUGUUUAACAUUGAGUGCUUUAUCAUAAUGCAUGGUUAUAUAUAUAAGAUGAUAGCUUGUCAACUCAUCAUGAUAGCUUUGUUUGAUUUUGAUGAUUAUGUAAUGCCUAAGCUUGAUAAAUGAAUGAUAUGCUUGAAUUAUUAAUCUUUGAAUGCUUAUAUGUUUCAUGAUUGUGUAAAAUAUAUACAUGAUGAAUGAAUUAUAUGUGUAAAUUCUUGUGUCGUUAAUUGUGUUAUAUCAUCAUUCACUUAUAAAAUUGACAUCAUUGGUUGAUAUGAUUUCAUAUGUUUGGUCUUGUAUGCAUUUAUGUCUCAUGUAUUAAAUGACUUAUUGAAAAGUUUUAAAUCUCGAAAUGAUUUAAAAUUAAUCAAUUUUUAAAGCCAAAAAUAAAAUGGUGAGUGUAAUACAAGUAUAAGAGCUAGCCAAUAUUCAAUUAGAGCCAAAUAGAUUUCCAAGUCCAAACCGGUAAGCCAAAUCAUCUUUUGUUGCUCUCGGGUUAUCAUUCGGAUAACCGGAUUUUCAAUCCGGAAAACCGGAUUUGCUAAGCCUUCUCUCUGCCUCAAAACCGGAUAACCGGUUCUUAAAAUCCGGAAAACCGAAUUCAAGAGGAAACUUUUUGCCUCAAACCGGACUACCGGUUAGCAAAACCGGAAAGCCGGAUUCGCUUGAAAAGCUUACUGGAACAAAACCGGAUUUCCGGUUAUGCAUAUCCGGCACGUCGGUUUCGGGUUUCAUCUUUCUGCUCACAACCGGCUAGCCGGUUAGUGAAAUCCGGCAAGCCGGAUUCGUGAGCUUUUAGCUUUGUUCUUCCUCUUCCUCUCAUUCGGCUUUCCGUUUCUCUCUCUCUCACUAAAAGCUGAUUACUCCUCACUUGAUUUCAUUCCAAAAUCCAUCAAUCUCAUCCUUUUUCACUUCAAAUCCUUUAUGCUUGUAUUUGAACACACCAACAUUUACUAUUUUUUUUGGAUUAUAUGGAUGUUUGCUAUGAUUUUGGAUUAUAUGUCUAUUUUGAAUUAUAUGGAUUUGAUAUAGUUAUAUGUUAUGUUCUUUACUUAUGUUUUGGAUAAUAUGCAUUUUGAAUUUUUUUGUUGUCCAAAGGGGGAGACAAAAUAGUAUAUCAUUUCGAUGUUAUCAAAAGGAGGAGAAUAAUAUGCUUUUUGAGUAAUUGUUUUGAUAAUUGGUAUUUGAUUAUGAUGAUGAUUUUGAUGAAUUUGAGAUAAUGAUGAUUUGAUUACAUGGGUGUUUUAUAUGAUAAUUUCAUGUUAUGAGUUGUUGAUUUGGUAAUUAAUGGAAUAAUGGUUCAUGAUAUUUUAGUGUGAUUAUUUGUGUAUGGAGUUGGCUUUUAUCAUGAUUUAUAAUAAUUUGGAUGUGAUAUUACUAAUCUUGUAUUUGAGGUGAUGCUUGUUGUUAGGGAGAGAUUUUGUUGAAAUUUCUAUUCGGACAACAUUGGUAACAAAUUUGCUACUCUUAUUCUUUUCCUUUAAGUUUUAUUUUUGAUGAUGAAGGGGGAGAAGAAUACAUGUUUUUAAAUUUAUAAAAAUUUACUACUCUUUUUUCUUUGCCAAUUAAGUUUUCUUUUUGAUGAUGAAGGGGGAGAAAAAUCCAUGUAUUUAAAUCGUUAAUUUAGCUAAUUGGCAAAUUGUAAAAGAGGAUUAUAUUUAGGGGGAGCAAUUGUGGAAUCAUUCUUUAAAUACAUGAAAUGUUUGUCAUCAUCAAAAAGGGGGAGAUUGUUAACAUAUAUGUUAACAUAAUAUUGAUUUUGAUGAUAACAAACAAGAUUAAGAAUGAUUAAUCUUUUAAACUCAAAUUAUUUUUUAUACAUUUUAAAUAAAUCAUUAUUUUUACAUUAUAAAUGUUUUAUAUUUAAUGAAAAAAUGAUUUUGUAAAAAAUGAUUGUUUAAAUACAUGAAAUGUUUGUCAUCAUCAAAAAGGGGGAGAUUGUUAACAUAUAUGUUUCCAUAAUAUUGAUUUUGAUGAUAACAAACAAGAUUAAUAAUGAUUAAUCUUUUAAGCUCAAAUUAUUUUUAUACUUUUUAAAUAAAUCAUUAUUUUUACAUUAUAAAGGUUUUAUAUUUAAUGGAAAAAUGAUUUUAUGAAAUUGAUUGUUUUUAUUCUUUUUAAAUAAAUCAUUAUUUUCACAUUAUAAAUGUUUCAUAUUUAAUGGAAAAAUGAUUUUAUGAAAUUCGUUGUUUUUCAAAGUUUAUGGUUUAAUUGAAAGAAUUUUGAAAACUUUGAAAUAAACAAGUAUUGCUUGAAAUUUUAGAGGACUUAUUUGAAAAGUGUCAUAGCUAUUUGGGCUAUAUCAUAAUUUCAGAAAGUUUUGGGAUUAACAAAGCAUUACUUAGAAAUUCUAAAAUUGGACCUAUUUGUAAAGUUUCAUGACGUUUUGGGCCAUAGUAUAGUUUUAUAAAGUUUUAGGGUCAAACUAUAAUUUCAGAAAAUAGUGCACUGUGCAGGUGACUGUAGCAUCCGGCUUACCGGAUAUAAAAACCAGAAAACUGAAUAUGGGGCAGAAUGUAUCUAGAACGUAAACGGCUUACCAGAUUUCGUAACCGGCAAGCCGGAUAGGCAAAAUUCAAAUUUUUUCCUAACGGUAACAUAAAUCCGGCUUACCGGAUUCCAAAAACGGCAAACCCGAUACGCCCAGAAUGUGCAUAACGGCUAGUUUUUGAGUUGCAUAACGGCUAAUUUUUGAGUUCAAACUAUAUAAACUCAAAACCAAAUCAUUUUUAGUAAUCAAAGCAAGCAAGAACAAGUGCACACAACAUAUAUUGAGCUUCAAUUUCGUAACUCAUCAUUUAUUAAAUCAUCUUUGUUCUUCAAUUUGUAUAUCCACUCUUAAAGAGAGAUUCAUUGUUGUAUUUUUCAUUUCUCAUCAAAUUGUGAGUGUACAAGUGUGAGAAACACUUGGAGUGAAGAGAUUGGAGAGAUAAUCUCUUGUUGUAAAGGUUCAUUGACACCUUGAAGUCAAUUGUAAACGUUUGAAGCCUUGGAAAGGCUUGGAUAGUGAAAUCCUCAAGCCUGGUGUGCUUGGAGGCGUGGAUGUAGGCGGGGAUUGCCGAACCACGUAAAAAUCCUUGAGUUUGCUUUCUCUUCCCUUGCUAAUUUAUUAUUGUGCUUUCAUUGAAUUUAUUGUUUUCGAAUUUAUUAAGGAAUUAGAUUGGAUUUGUGUAUGGUUUGCUUAGCUUAAUUUUUAAAAAUCCAAUUCACCCCCCCCCCUCUUGGAUUGCCUAGUUAGUAUUUCAGUGUUCAGACUAGAUAAUUAGAAGAUAUGUCCCUGACGAAGAGAUUUCAAGCAUUUUAUAGUCUUAUCUUGCUGCAGUAUAUGGUAGACACUUUGGAGGACACUAAAUAGCAGUAAAAGUUUUUCAAUCAGGUUAUUACUAGCCCUCCAGCUUUAGAGAUGCUUACAAGUUUGUUAGUGCUGUGAUAGUUGUCAAAGAGCAUGAACCAUUUCUAAAAAACAUGAAAUGCCACUGACCAAUAUUUUAAAAGUUGAGCUUUUUGAUAUAUAAGGGAUAGACUUUAUGAAGUCGUUCUCACAAUCUUUUAGAAACUUAUAUAUCUUAGUUGUUGUGGACUAUAUGUUGAAAUGGGUAGAAGCUACAGCAUUGCCAACAAAUGAUGCCAAGGCAAUGGCAAAUCCUUUAUAGGAAUAUUUUCACAAGAUUUGACACCCCAGAGUUGUCAUCAGUGAUGAAAGAAGCCAUUUUUGCAACAGGAUAUUUGCUGUAGCAUUGGCUAAGUAUAAGAUCAAGCUUAAAGUUGCUACAUCAUAUCAUCCACAAACGAGUAGUCAGGUAACAUUGUCCAAUAGGGAGAUCAAAAAGAUUUUAGAAAAAGAAGCGAAUCUUAGUAGAAGGGAUUGGUUUACUAGACUAAAUGAUUCUCUAUGGGGUUACAGAACUACUUACAAGACAUCACUUGGCAUGUCUCCAUACAAACUUGUUUAUGGCAAAGCUUGCUAUUUGUUGUUAGAACUGGAGCAUAAAGUAUAUUAGGCAGUUAAACAACUGAACAUGGGUAUGCAUGCUGUAACAGAGCAAAGGAGGCUACAACUUUUUGAGCUAGAUGAGUUGAGGUUAUUCUUCUAUGAAAAGGCAAGAAUCUAUAAGGAGAGAACCAAGCAAUGGUAUGACAAGAAAAUCCAGUAAAGAGAACUCAUUACAGGCCAACAAUUAUUGCUUUACAACUCUAGACUGAAGCUUUUCCAUGAAAAUUUAAAGUCUAGAUGGUUAGGAUGCUUCAAACUCGUCAAGGUUUAUCUUUAUGGAGUUGUUAAUCUUAAAGAUGAAAGAACUGGUUAAGAAUUCAAGGUUAAUGGGCAUAGAGUGAAGCAUUAUAUGGGAGCUAAGGUGAACAACCUAAACGAGGAUCCGGUUUGAGUAAACAAGGAAGGUGAGAAUGAAGAACCUAAAACCAAGUGCUAAUUAGAAGGGAACUAAAUGAGGGGAAGUUUAUUUUGAAUUUUUAAUCACUUUAAUUUCACUUUUGUUGUUAUUAAGUUUAUUUCUCUAUUUUGUUUUAAUUUAUGCGACUAAUUUCUAUGUUUUUUUUGUCCUUCUCCCUCUCUUUUUGAAUGUUUAAAAUUUUUAAAAUCUUUAAAUUAAUUUUAUCUCUUUCUCUCUCUAUUAUCUUUCUUUAUAAAUUUAAGCUUUUCACUGUUUCACUUUUCACUACCAAUCUCUCUUCCUCUACUGUAAUUUUUAAAAUUAUGCUCUCUAUUUCUCUCUCUCUCUCUCUCUCUCUCUCUCUCUCUCUCUCUCUCUCUCUCUUACACACACUCAAAGUCCCAAUCUCUCAUUCUAACGAAACUCCUUUAAGUGUUGCAGCAAUACUGAGAGUCAAGGCACCUACUAAAAGGUUGAAGGACUAAAAAAGAUUCCAAAAUCACAAAGUUGAAGAGAAGUAUAAUAAGUCCAUAAGAUCUCGUAUAAUUUUAGAAGAGAAUGGUUUUGAAAUUUGUUGAACAACCCACUGGCCUUAUCAGCAUCAUUCUCAUAACUGCUAUAAAAAGGGGGUGGAUCAAAUGAUCCAAGUUGUAAAGGAAUUUUAUUCUAACUUGCUGGAGCAAAUCCAAAUUCCUUAAGACUCUAGGGUGAUAAAUGUCUUUUAUGGUUUGCCCCUACUAUUAAUUGUGAAUACGCUGAAUUUAUUAAGAGCAUAACUAUUAAGAAAUAGAGGGAGAUGUUUAAAGCAUUAAUUGUGGAAGGAAGUGAGUAGGUUAAUGAAGAAGCUGGGAUUGUUAAUAGGAUUGGCCUUAAAUUGAUUAUAAAGGUUUGGGUGAACUUUAUAAAGUCUAGGCUUAUGCCCACCACGGCACACCACAACAAUGUCAAUGCUAGAGUGAAAGGAUGGACAAUUGAUGUUGGGAAAGUGAUUGAGCAAGAAAUUAGAGACUGUGCUACAAAAAAAAAAAAAAAAUCAGCUGUCUUUUUAUUCCCCUCACUCAUCAUUGGGAUUUAUGAGGCCUUUGGUGUCAAAAUUUGUUGACAAUGAUGAGAGGGUUAAAAAUGAAAUGGCCCUCACAGUAAGAAGAAUAGAGAAGAUUGUAGGAGAAUCAACUGGUACAACAACCCAAAGCAUCCAGUUGUAAGAAAAUUAAUAAAAGCCACUACAUUUGGGAAGAUUCUGAAAGAUUUGAGUGACAACUUAAAUGCAUGGAGAGAAGAUCCAAAAGAGUUAAAUCAGAGGCUUUAGGCUUACUUGCUGCAUCAAGAAGCUCAAAAACACCAGUUUGUAGUUUAUAUACAGAGCAAGAAUGUAAACUUCCCAGAGUCUCUAUUGUAGCAGUACAAUUUCCACAAAGCAACAGAGACUGUUCCAGCAAAUGAUGAAAAGGAUGAAAGUGAAAAAGAGGAAAAAGAUGAAAAAGGAGAAAAAAGUGAAAAAGAUGAAGAUGAAGAAGAGACUGAUGAGAAGUAGGAAGAGGAGCUACCAGCAAUAACUCCUAAAAGCUAUGGCAAACAGAAGAUCUUGCUUGAUGAAAAUCAAAAUGAUAAUGAUGCGGCCAUUUAAGAGACCAUUAACAAGUCUGCAAUGACAGAAGGAGAAAAGAAAAGGUUAAAGGAGCUCAAUGUCUACAUAACUGCUAAGGAACUUGCAACAACACCUCGUUCAGCAUUAGCAACAAAGAAGUCUCCCAAGAAAUCUCUAGUCAAAAUUCCCACAAUCUCCAAUAAAAGAAAAAGAGCACAAAUCACUAAAGUAGAGAUAGUUUAUGGAUAAGGGUUGAAAUUCUAUCAUAACACUUAGAUUUGGAUUAAGUUUAAUGAAUAUGUUGUAGCAAACCAAGCUGGGUAGUUUAGAAAAAUUUUCAAGAAUCUAAGGAUAAAAAUAGCUCUAGUUUGGGGGAAAUUAGGAAAAUUUUCAAAGUUAUUGCAAAUUGUACUGGAAGUAGAAUAAUUUUUUCUUCAAUGACUUAGUUGCUGAGUAACCAGGGCUGUGUUUGUAACCCAUAUCCAAACUUGAGUAAAAAGACAGUAAGAGUUAUGAGCAUUGCUGUAGCAACCCAAAAAGAAGAAAAAUCCUCUAUUUAGGAAUCUGAAUAGCUAGGUCUGUUCAUGAACCUCAUAUUCAGCCUUGAGUUAAAGAUAUAUAAAGAUAAGACCAUGGUUGUAGCAUCUUAGAUGCUUUUGUUGUAGCAGCUCUGAUUUGUGUAUUGAUUAAGUAAUUGGGUUCCAUCAUUACAAGUGAUAGGCAUUCGCAUAAAAAGAUUGAUUUUACUCUGAUGGGCCUCAUAAUAAAAAAAAAUUGAUGAAUGUUGUAGCACAAUUUGUAGUUCUUUAUGACCCUUGUCCCUUAUAAAUAAAAAUGUUUUUAUUGUUGUUAUGUUUGAGAUGCAUUUGAUGCUUGAGUGAUUCUGAAGCAACUCUGAAACUUGAUCAAAGUGACACAGACACACACACUGGAUAGAAUGAAGCCUAAGUCUAGAACUAGAACUGUUGAUGGUAAUGUUUAAGAAUGAAGUCUGAGGGUUAAUGAAUUAGAGUAAUCUAAAUAGCAGAGCUAAGUAUCCUCAUGCUUUUUGGUCCUUAAUCCCAAGAUAUAAAAGAGCACAUUUUAAAUAAAUGCAUCAUCCAUGACCGUCACAUGCAAAGAGAAUAAAAAGAGAGAUUUCGGAGUUGUAAUAGAGGUAUUUUUCGUGUAGAAGAAAAAGAGAUGACUAAAGAUUAAAGCGUGACAUUUUCAGUCCUUAGUAUUUUAACUUUUCUUUUAUUUGCUUGCUUUGUUCUUUCUUUGAUAAUUUAUUUAAUGGUAAACACUUGUGUUGUUACUAUUUCAAAGCUCAUCAUGAGCUAAACCUUAAUUUAGUAGUUAUUUAAUUUACAUGUUUAUGUUGCUUAGAAUCUGCUGUAGUAAUUUGUUUUAACUUUACUUAUUGUAAUUCCAUAUUUCACGUUGACUAUGCAUUUAUUAGAUACUAGCUAAGAAGGAGCCCCAAAAUAACUUGACUUAGUGGAACAAAUUACGACAAUACAUGGUUUUCGAUUGAGUUUUCCAAGUUGAGUUAAUCUCGAUUUGAAUAGAGUCAUGCUUGAUUUAAAAUUAUGAAGAACUAGAUAUAAGGAUUCAUCGUAUACAACAAUAGAGUCUAAAAUGUAUAAUGCAAUGUCUAAUGUUAAUUUACCAAAUAGUCACUGUUAGAUUGCAUAUAGAUAUAAGAUAUCCAAAAUGCGACCGCUGAGGAUACAUUAUAGAUUCUGUCCAAUUGUGUAGUAGAUGUUGUAGCAACUGUGCCUCAAUUAAAAGAUAAUCAAUAACCAAUAAGUGAGUUUAGAUCCCAACUACCCCUUUGCCAUUGAGUAUAUCUUUGUGUUUGACUUUAGAUUCUCUUUAUUGCAUUUUGUUUAUUGCUUUAUUAGUUUCGUUAGAUCAUUAAUUUCAUCAUUAAUUUUUUUAUUUAAUGUAGUAAAAUUACACUGUUAAAUUUACUAUAGCAAGUAAUAUAACAUUAAUCUCUAUGGAGACGAUCUUGAUACUCAUUAAUGUGCUCCAAAGUUUUAUUUGUGCGUUUGAAAUGCAAGAAACCAAAGUCUCAACAGUUUAAGCCUGCCAACUUUUGAAAUAUGCAUUUUUAUCAAUAGUACGUCAAGAAACUAAAGCAUGCCAACAUUUGAAAGAUGCAUUUCCACAGUUAAGGUUGCCAGUAGUUCGACAAAUUGUCCGCUGGGCAAAUUAUUAACCAUUGUGUUAACUCCACAAAAUUCUUGUUGGACUAGAUAUGACGCCAGUCCUUUUGUUGACUCUUUCAAUGCAAUGUUGGGUCCUUUAGAAAAAAGCUAUUUCUACUUGUUAACGCAACUGUAGAAAGAAGUUUUUUGUUCCUGGUCUUGAGGUCCCAACAGCAGACAUUAAAUUAUUGCCUUUUCAAUUCUGAGUUGUCUUCAAUUAGAUGCAUUAUGCUAGACUAGUAAUUGUUUUAAAAAAGAAAGCUUCAUAGUGAGAAGCUGAUUUUUUAAGGAAGGAUAAGUUUAUUCUUACCUGAAAGUGAAUGUUCCACUGAAGAAAACACGGCUGGUGCCUGGAAGGAGAGCUAGUUCAGGAUGAAAGACAGGCAAUGAUUAUAUAUUUGAAAAGAGAGAUGAUAAAAUCAAGUUUGCAUGGGGCAGGUAAAGCAUGGCAUUAAUCAGGCUCUCUGCACUUUAGGAGUGUAGAUAAUCAAUCAAAGGCCAUCAAUCAACUCUAUUUUGUUUUUUUUAAUAUUAUAAUCAAACAAAUGUUAGCCUUUAAUUGGCAUCCAAUUGUUCAUUGUCUUAUAUUAGGAUAUAAGCUAAAUUCAUAAGAGGAUCCCUCUACAUAUAUAUUUCAUGUGCAUAAGGUGUAUGAAUAAUGUUUUCUGUAUGCUUUUGCUACUCUGUUAGUAGUCUGUUUAAGGCCCAUUUCUGAUUAUCUAAUAUCUAUGUUCAUGAUUUGUUUCGUGAUGUUGGUCUGUCAUUUGGUUUUUAGUUUUUCCCAGAGGCAAAUGAAGUCAAAUUUGCAAGAACAUCGGUCUUUGAAGGAGCAUCAUUUAAGUUGGACUCUCUAACAAAACCUUCAUUCUUUGAGAAUUUUGGAUUCACUGAGAAGGUCAAAAUGGCAGGCCGUGUGAAGCCGGAAGAUGAAUUGUUUCUAGUGGCCUAUCCAUAUUUUAAUGUCAAUGGUAGUCUUACACCUUGUCUUCUCAUUGAUAUUCAUUCCUUAAGGUCAUUAAUUUUGCUUUUCUUUUGUCUUGUAGAAAUGCUUGUGGUUGAAGAGCUUUACAAAGAAGCUAUAUUCAAUACUGCCCGGAAACUGAUUAUAUUCAAUGGAGAACUUGACCAGAUAAUGUCUGGGUGUAUUAUUCACCAUUCUUUCAUUCUUAUUGUACUUUCUGUAAAUUUAGUAUGAUUUUGAUGCUAUAUAAUAGUUUCUAGAUGCCCGCCCAUUGAAUUGCUUAUUUACAACUUUUUGGUAUAUUAUAGCAGAUUUGUUUUAUAGCUUAUAGCAGAUUUUUUUUAUAGCUUAUAAAAGAUCAACUUAUGUGCUGAGUUCAAUCAUUAUUCCAUAAACUUUUUCUGUACCUAUUUUCACAUGGUAUCAAAGCUAGACUCCCUUUCUUUUUGAUCUCUUUCCCACCAUGUCUGACUAAUCUUCUAAAACCACAGUCACCUAAAAAAGACUAGAACAAAAAAUUUUUGAUUCUGAAUCUCAUUCUGUCCAUAUUACAACUAUCCGGCUGAAUGAAGGAAAUUUUCAAAGAUGGUCUCAGUCAGUUAGAAUGCAUAUUAGGGGAAGAAGGAAGAUUGGUUAUCUUACUAGAGAUGUUAAGGCUCCUGAAAUAUCUGAUCCCUCUUAUGGUGUAUGGGAUGACGAAAAAUCCAUGAUUAUGGCAUGGUUAGUCAACUCCAUGGAUGAAGACAUUUGUGCAAAUUAUAUGUGCUACUCUACUGCAAAGAACUCUGGGAUAAUGUGAGUCAGAUGUACUCUGACAAUGGAAAUUAGUCUUAAAUCUAUUAGUUGCAGCUUGCUCUUGGAGAUAACCAUCAAAGAGAUUAUAGGAUAACAAAAUACUUCAAUACUCUAAAGAGAUUGUGGCAAGAUCUGGACUUAUUCAACAACUACGAGUGGAAGAGCACGGAAGAUUUUAAACACCAAAAACAAACUAUCAAUAAUGAGCGAAUCUUGAAGUUCCUAGCUAGGCUCAAUGUUGAAUUGGUAAGAGGAAGAAUUAUUGGGAGAAAGCCACUUCCUACUCUUGAGGAUGUUUUCUCUGAAGUAAGGAGAAAAAAAAUUCGUCGAGGUGUUAUAUUGGGAAAAAGGAACUCCAUUGUCUUUGUGGAAAAAUCUGCCCUUGUUACAGCAGAUGCUAAUGCUACCUGCUCCUUCACUCAACAGCAACAAAAACCUCGAGUAUGGUGUGAUUACUGUAAUAAACCAUGUCAUACUCGGGAGGCUUGCUGGAAACUCCACGGAAAGCCUACAUAAUGGAAAAACAGCAAGCAUAGCCGUGCGUCUACCAAUAAAGUGGAGGAUAUAGAAAAAAAUCUUAACGAGGAGCAAAUUGAUCAUCUCAUAAAGCUGCUGACUUCUAAUCCUCCACCUGGUACUCCUAGUGGUUCACUAGCCUAAACAUGUAGUAUUAUUAAUGCUCUAUUUAGCCACUCAUCUACUGCACCAUGGAUUAUUGAUUCGGGUGCUUCUGAUCAUAUGACCAUCAUUUCUAGUUUAUUUGAUUCCUAUUAUCCUUGUCCUAGUAACAAAAAGGUAAGAGUUGCUUAUGGAAACUUAUCUUCCAUAACUGGAAAAGGAUCAAUAAAAAUCUUUGAAACCAUUGAGCUUAAUAAAUGUGCUACAUGUCCCUAAACUUUCUUGCAAUCUGUUACUUGUCAAUCAAUUAGCCAAAGAUUCUAAUUGUUGUGCUGUCGUUUUUUACUCCCAUUGUGAAUUUCAAGACAGGGAUUUGGGGACGAUGAUUGGCAGUGCUAGUUUGCGAGAAGUUCUUUACUAUUUUGAUGACUACUUAUCAAGGAAUAAACAAGCUCAAGGUUUGAGCAAUAGGAUUAGUUCAAACUCUGCUAGGGAUCAAAUAAUGCUUUGGCACCUUAGACUAGGACACCCUACCUUUCCUUAUUUGAAAUAUUUGUCUCCAGAUUUAUUUAAAAAUGUUGAUUGUACUACUUUUCAGUGUGAAAGUUGUUUUUAAUCUAAAAGUCAUCGAGUUUCAUAUAAAGCACUUACUUAUUGUGCCUCAAAACCAUUUUAUUUAAUUCAUAGUGAUGUUUGGGGACCCUAAAAAAUCAUUACUUUAACUGGCAAAAAAUGGUUUGUAACAUUCAUAGAUGAUCAUACGCGGCUUCAUUGGGUUUAUUUAAUGAGAGAAAAAUCUGAAGUUGAGGGUUAUUCAAAGAUUUUUAUAACAUGGUUGAAAAUUAAUUUCAAACAAAAAUAAGCCUACUCGAUACAGAUAAUGGUCUGAAUAUUUUAAUAAUUAUCUAGAGGUGUUUUGUAAGGAAAAGGGUAUAAUUCACACAUCCACUAGUCGUGAUACUCCACAACAAAAUGGAAUUGCGGAAUGAAAAAACCGCCAUUUACUUGAAGUUAGUCUGGCUAUCAUACUCUCUAUGCAUGUUCCUAAAUAUUUGUGGGGUGAUGUUGUUUUAACAGCAUGUUAUUUGAUUAAUAGGAUGCCUACCCGUGUUUUAAAGUAUCAAUCACCUUUAGAAUACUUUACACUUAUAUAUCCUUCUAGUAGGAUUACCUCGAAUAUUCAGUUAAGAGUCUUUGGGUGCACUGUAUUUGUUCACCUUCCUAACCAUCUUAGAUCUAAAUUGGAUCCUAGAUUUGAAAAUUGUGUUUUCUUGGGCUAUGCUCCUAAUAAAGAGGCUACAAAUAUUUCAAUCCUCAAACAAAGAAAUUCCAUGUCAGUAUGGAUGUUAUAUUUCUCGAAAAUCAACCUUUUUUUGGCCAAAAUUCUCUUCAGGGGGAGAAAGAAAAUAGUGAAGAUCAUUUUUGGCAUACUUAUACACCUAUGCCUAAUUUGUUUUUACCUGAUCUGAGCACUUCAAUUCAAACUCAAAAAACUAAUAUUUCUAAUAAUGAAAACUUAGGAAACUUUGAACUACAAGAACCAAGUGUUAAUGUACCAGAGACAGGGGGAGAAAUAUUACAAGAUAAAAUUCCACCACCAAAGCUUCGUGUUUAUACUCGACUAAGGUAUCAUCACAGCAAUAAAGACCCUCCCAUAAACUUGGUACAACCUCAAUUGUCGCCUCCAAGCACUGAUUCCUCAUAAAAUUUAGGUAACAUUUCUUCUCCUAAAAAUUCCAGCACUUUUUUUUUCCUGAUCUUGACUUACCCAUAGCACAUAGGAACGAAACCCGAACCUGUACUAAGCACCCCAUUGCUGGAUAUGUUUCCUAUGAAAAGUUUUCCAAUAAACGAAGAGCCUUUACCACAAAAAUCUCUCAGAUACCAAUUCCUAAAGCCAUAAAAGAAAAAUUGGACAAUGGUUUGGUCUGCAUGCUGAACAUUCCUACAGAUGAGCAAAUUGCUAAUAUACUCACCAAGGGACUACCUAAGAAACAUUUCGAGAAAUUGGUUUGCAAGCUAGCCUUGAAAGACAUUUUUAUACCAGCUUGAGGGGGAGUGUUGAAAGGUUGACCAAAUCAAAUUGAUUUGGUUUCCUUAUAUAUUUAGGUGUAUAUUAGGCGUAAAUAUAGAGUUAUUGCUUCCUAGAAAUCAGUGUGUAAUAUUCUGCUUUAAUUUUUUCUUUCCUUUCUUAGUCUCUUGUAUCCCUAUAUUAAGACUGUAUACAGUCUCAUGAAGAUAUGAAAAAGAGAAUUAUUCCAUAAACUUUUUCUCUACCUAUUUUCACACUUCCACAUCAUACGGUGAUUAAUAUGUCAUCUCUACUCAAUUUAUUUAGCAUCAAAUUAUCAGAAGAUUUUGUUACUUAAAUAGAUGGUUUUCAUUUCAACUUCAAUGUUUUUUCAGGCCUAAAGCUUCAUAGUGCUUGUUUAUAUUGUUAAUCAAUAUAUAUAAGUUUACUUGCAGGCAAUAUCAGGCAUUUUCGAAAUAUGCGUAAGUAUGACAAGGAAAUCUCAAAAAGAAACAAAAACUUAUUGCUUGGAAAAAUUUAUUUAUUUGGGGGAAGCCAUUAUGAGUUUUGGGCUCCUUAAUAGCUUUAGUAAAUUUUGGACCAUUAUUUUGAACUAUGACCCAGUUUCCCUUGUUUACACCACAGAAAAUUAGCAACACUCUCUUAUGUCUCAACUCUCUCUGUCUCAACCAACAAAAUCAACUCUGUUAGUAGUCUGUUUAAAGCCCAUUUCUGAUUAUCUGAUAUCUGUGUUCAUGAUAUGUUUCGUGAUCUUGGACUGUAAUUUGGUUUUUAGUUUUUCCAGAGGCAAAUGAAGUCAAAUUUGCAAGAACAUCGGUCUUUGAAGGAGCAUCAUUUAAGUUGGACUAUCUAACAAAACCUUCAUUCUUUGAGAAUUUUGGAUUCACUGAGAAGGUCAAAAUGGCAGACCGUGUGAAGCCGGAAGAUGAAUUGUUUCUAGUGGCCUAUCCAUAUUUUAAUGUCAAUGGUAGUCUUACACCUUGUCUUCUCAUUGAUAUUCAUUCCUUAAGGUCAUUAAUUUUGCUUUUCUUUUGUCUUGUAGAAAUGCUUGUGGUUGAAGAGCUUUACAAAGAAGCUGUCUUCAAUACUGCCCGGAAACUGAUUAUAUUCAAUGGAGAACUUGACCGGAUAAGGUCUGGGUGUAUCCUUCACCAUUCUUUCAUUAUUAUUGUACUUUCUGUAAAUUUAGUGUGAUUUUGAUGCUAUAUAACAGUUUCUAGAUGCCCACCCAUUGAAUUGCUUGUUUACAACUUUUUGGUCCUUCAAUUGGUAUCAUUUUGCAAAAAUUGAAAGUAAAGUGGGUUUUUUGCUUUUAUUUUUUAAUACAAUAAUUUGAAAUUCACUCCCAGAAAUCUAAAGGGGAAUUAAUAAGGAUGAUCGUGUUAUAUCUUUCACUAAAAUGUCGCAAGGAAGACUUUUUUUAAAAAAAUAAAUAACAAUGACUUAACCAAACUAAUUAGUGACUUGGUUGUAGUAUAGUUGUUUUGGAAUGUGCAAUAAAAGGAUCAGAGAGGAUUUCCUUAAAUGAGCAGAAGAUUAUCCAUCGUUCUUCUACCCUAAGCUGGCUGCACUAUCCAGAACACUUUUUCCUGUGAUGGAGACCAUAUAUUACAUUCACAACUUUAAGGGUGGCAAUGGAGGAACCCUUUUCAGGUUUGCCAGCUAGUUACCGACGCGUUUCCUGUGGCAACAUAUUAAUGCUUGCCUAGUAUCACUCACUGUUUUCCUGCUGUUUAACUUAUAUUUUACAUGUUUUUCUUUUCCACUUCCUGUUAGGUGCUACCCAGGUUCCUGGAAGGUCCUGAAGAAAGUGAGUAAUAAAUAUAUAUGUUUGCAUCAGCAGGAAGUGAUGCCUUCCCUUAAGGAGGUUGCUUUGGAUAUCCUUCCCUCAGCUUGAGUUUCACCAAAAUAUUUGUCUGGUGAUAAAUCCCACUUUCUUAUGUUAUAGCAGAUUUGUUUUAUAGCUUAUAAAAGAUCAACUUAUGUGCUGAGUUCAAUAAUUGGUUCAUGAUUUCUAGUUUGUAGGUCUUAUGCUGAGUAUUUUGAUACUAAUCUGCCAGUGUUUGAAAGAUCUUAUUCUUAAGAUGAAUAUAAUCAUAACUUCCACAUCAUAGCGUGAUUAAUAUGUCAUCUCUGCUCUAUUUAUUAAGCAUCAAAUUAUCAGAAGAUUUUGUUACUUAAAUAGAUGGUUUUCAUUUCAACCUCAAUGUUUUUUCAGGCCUAAAGCUUCAUAGUGCUUGUUUAUAUUGUUAAUCAAUAUAUAUAAGUUUACUUGCAGGCAAUAUCAGGCAUUUUCGAAAUAUGCGUAAGUAUGACAAGGAAAUCUCAAAAAGAAACAAAAACUUAUUGCUUGGAAAAAUUUAUUUAUUUGGGGGAAGCCAUUAUGAGUUUUGGGCUCCUUAAUAGCUUUAGUAAAUUUUGGACCAUUAUUUUGAACUAUGACCCAGUUUCCCUUGUUUACACCACAGAAAAUUAGCAACACUCUCUUAAGUCUCAACUCUCUCUCUCUCAACCAACAAAAAUCAACUCCCUUUCCAAUCUAUAUCACAAUGCACGCUAUUUCAUCAAACCCAAGACUUACUUCAACUUAGAUUCAUAUAUGUUAUUUGAUUCAUGAUUAAGAAACUGUGUUUUUUUUCUUUUUUCAAAGUACGCUUGGAGAAUAAUAAAUAAAUUUACCAACCAACACAAAAAAAGUUUAUGUGAGGCUUGGUUGACAAUUUUAUUGUGGUAAUAUGUCGUUUAAAGAUAAAUGUUGUUGAUUUAUUGAUUCUUGUGUUGACUUGGAUGGAAGAUAUGUUGAAGAAAAAGAAACCCAAAAAUUACAUAUGCAGUUUUUUUCGUCAUUUCUGACUUUCAUGAUUUUGUACAAGAUAUAAGUUUUGUUUUCUAGACUUUGUUCUAAGUAGUAUUGGAAAACUUUGCAUUGCACAUUGUAGGUGUCCUCAAAUCUAUUAAAUUGGAUUAGGCAGUCUGAACACAUUAUUAGGGUUGUAAAGGGUCCAUGCAGUAUAAUUUUCUCUUGAUGCUUUCAUAUUUUUUGGCUGUACAGAUUUGAUGCAUCAUUGAUUCUUUGAUUCUGAUGUCUAAUGAAAAUGUAUGUUUAUAUUGCAUCGAUGAAUUUUUUAAUCCGGGAAUUGUAGUAAUUGUCUGUUGUAUUUCCAUGCAGUUGAAACCUUCUUGAUUUUUUGAAAAAGGAAAAUUACUUAAUUUGAUAAAGAAGAAUAUAUGAAUUUCUGAACAAUAAAAACUGUAGGAAGCAAAAAGAUAUCCUUGUGGCAUUAAUGAGUUGCUGGAAACAAGGUUUAAGAAUUUUGUAUGCUUUUGUUAAAGCUAUAAAAUGCUAUUUAUUAUCUGUGUUGUUACAAACUAAAGUACUUUUGUGCUUUAUGCAAAUUUAAAAAUGCUAUGCUAUGCGUUAGAGCAAUAAAGUUGUUAAGAAACAGUGAAGGCUUUUGUUGCUUUACUUAAGAUGAGGUUCAAGAAUAUUAUAUAACUUUAGUGAAUGUUUGCAUGGUGGCUUUGAUCUUGUUGCUGCCCCAAACUGACUGAUUGAAGGAGAGAAUUUUACAGCUAGAUCAAGCUUCUUUCCCCAGAUUAACUUCUGACAUGGACCAAUCAAAUGGCUGUCGCAUUCUUAAAAAAAUGGUUCAAGUUUUCCAUAGUUAUGGUCCACUUAUACAGAAUCUGGAGAAAUGAAUAUAUGAAUUGUGACUUAUAUCAUCUGUGAAGGCAAGGAAUAAUCCAUGGAAUUAUAUAAGAAGCAUUGAAACUGCUUUGUUGAUGGCCUGAGGCCAGAGAAAAUGCCGAAAACAUAUUCCUAAGAAAGUUGUUCCUUCUAGUUCAGUCCGGUCCAUUAAUUAAUCCUGGCUACAGCCCUCCAAGUAGUCGGGAUUGAGGGGCUUCUGUACGUGUAAGAAUGCUCUUGUAUUUUUUUUUAAUUCUUUUUAAAUUACUAAUUGUUGAAUUGAUCAAAUUUCGCGCCAUGUUUUCAGUUUAUAACAUGGAAGAGUGCUUGCAAGUUAAGUUGGAAAAAUUAUCACCAUUGCCCUCAAACUGCUGCAUCUACAGAGUUCCGGAGCGAUUACGUCAGAUAAAUGAAAAGGCAUAUACACCUCAGGUAGUCUCAAUUGGCCCUCUUCACCAUGGCAAAGCAAACUUACAGUUCAUGGAAGCUCAUAAACAGCGGUACCUGCGUUACUUACUUCAACGGACCAUAAUAAGCUUUGACGAGUUUGUUCAAUUUAUAAAGCUCAGAGAAGCAGAAUUAAGAGGUUCUUAUGCAGAAAAAGUCGAACUAAGUAGUGAUAAAUUUGUUGAAAUGAUUCUGCUGGAUGCUGCCUUCAUCAUUGAACUCUUAUUGAGGUAUCAUUUUCGUCAACUUCAAAAAAAAGAUGAUCAUAUAUUUCAUAAACCAUAUUUAAUAGAGGAUAUAUGGUAUGAUAUGUAGUUGCUUGAGAAUCAGCUUCCUUUCUUCAUUCUUGAGGAUCUUUUUGCUCUAGCUGCAAUUGAAAUCCCUGAACAACAUGAAAAUCCAACCAUCAUCACAGUCACAUAUGAGUAUUUCAAGGGUUUAGAGGCAGUACAAGGUAAUCGGCAAAAAUUCCCUCCUUACACUGAGGUUAGGGUACAGCAUUUCCUUGAUUUUCUAAGGAUUUGUCAUCUACCAUCAUCGAGGAAUCAGGAAAAACAAGAAGGUCAGCAAUACCACAAAGGUAAAACCGCACCAAGUGUGACUGAGCUCCACCAAGCUGGAGUCCACUUCAGUUUGAGCAAGAGCAAUGAUUUGUUCGCCAUAGAAUUCAAAAACAGGACAUUGCAUAUUCCGAAACUGAAGCUACAGCUGGAAACAGAAUCCUUAUUUCGUAAUCUCAUUGCCUUUGAACAACGGCAUUACUCAGAGAAUUACAUAAAUGAUUAUGUGUUCCUUAUUCAUCAUCUCGUGAACACAGCGAAGGACGUCGAGUUGCUUGUUCAGAACGGAAUCAUUGAGAACUGGUUGCGGGAUAAAGAGACUGCGUCAAUGCUUAUAAAUAACCUUUCUAGAGGUACUACUCUGCUGUCUGAUAGCUUCUAUUUUUCUGGGCUAUGCAAAGGAUUGAAUGAUCACUGCAAAAGAACGUGCUACAAAUGGAGGGCAAACUUGAAACAAAAUUACUUCAAUACUCCAUGGGCUGGCAUUUCGGUGUGUGGCGCCGUUUUCCUUCUUAUUCUCACCGUCAUUCAGUCUGUAUGCUCUGUUAUACAAGUGUUGUCUCAACCCAAAAAUAUCUCGUGACGAAAAACCUCUGUGCGGUAUUUGUAUGUCGUUUUUGAGUUGCUGUUUUCUUUUUUUUAUUUUAAUUCUUAUUCUCAACCAAUUUUAUCAUGGAAUUGUUAAUUUUACUUGAAUGUUGAACCAAGCCUUUAUUUUUUAAUAAUGAAAUGAAAUAAAAGGUGGGGGUAUACCCUUCACAAUACCCUCUUCACUCCUUAUUUAGUGUUGCAUUUACCGCAAUAAAAAAUAAUUUUUAAACGAUAAACAUAUUUACUUGAAAACAAAAAUUAGUUUAUGCUAUUUAUUUAUCUUAUAAUGUUGGAACUUGAAAGUUAAUUUAAAUUAAUGUAAUCCUACCAACUUGAUUUGGUUUUCAUAUUGGUUGGUUUCAUGUAUCAUGCGAAUUGUUAGGCACCGACUAACUCAAGCGUAUGUUACUCAAACAUCACGCUUGAAUAAUAGUUUAAGGAAUGUUGAUUUGGAUGGUAGAUAUUUAAUCAACUAAAACUAACGUUCUCAACUCAAAGCUCAUCUACUAGUAAAAGUAAAACCCUUCUCCGUCAACUUAUCUUCUUCAUUAUAUAACAAAAGAUGUUCAAUGAAAGAAUGAAAUAUAUAUAUAUAUAUAUAUAUAUAUAUAUAUAUAUAUAAUUAAGUCAAAGUAGUCAAGAUCCAGCCACUCGGCUUGAGGGCUUGAGUUCGAACCCACAAGAACUUAUUUCAAUCCUUAUUUUAUAAAUAUGAGAUUAGGGAUAGAUUUAUCUCUAAUUAUUUAUUUAUCGAGUAAUUAAUUUUAACAAUAUUAUUAAUUGUAGUUGAAACUGGAAUGAAUUUUCUGAAAGAUGCUCUCUCAUAACUAACCAACUAAAACUAACAAUCAAAUUAUCAAACUCAGAGCUCACCUACUAGUAAAACUGUAAAACUAAAACACUUGCUUCUCCAUUAAGUCAUCUCUUUAUAUAUAAAAAAGAGUGUUUUUAUGAAAUAAUCAGUAACAAUUAGGUAUCAAAUAAUUCAUAAAAGAUGUCAAGCUCCGUUGCUACUGCUGCUGAGGCCGAGAUUUGGAUUGUCCCAUUCUUCGGUCAGGGACAUCUAUUUCCAUGCAUUGAAUUAUGCAACCAAAUCGCUUCCCGUAAUUACAAAUCUACCCUCAUCAUUCCCUCUCACAUUUCCGCCACCAGCAUUAUCCCAUCCUCGUUUCACCAAUAUCCUCUCUUUGAAGUUACUGAAAUACCCUCCUUCGCCUCCUCACCCCCAUGUUGUCGUGCACAGCCAAAUGCUUCAAGGCCUUCGAAACCUCCUUUCAACCCGGGAACCCAAAAGCCGACCCGUUUGUGCAGUCAUCGACGUUAUGAUGGGCUGGACGGCUGAUGUUUUCAAGAUUUUUGAAGUUCCCAUUGUUGGGUUCUUCACUUCUGGUGCUUGCUCAGCGGCUGUGGAGUGUGCCAUGUGGCAGGCUCACAUCCAAGAUGUCAAACCAGGAGAGGCCCGUUUACUUCCUGGGUUACCCGAGGAUAUGGCUUUAUUUGAAUCGAAUCUUAAACACAGGCCUCAUGAGCCCCCUCCUGGUGGUCCACCACCUCUGAGAGGUGCACCCGGUUCCGAGAAAAUAGGUCCACCAGAAGCCGGUGAUCAACCACACUGGAUGAAGGAAGUGGAGGGAUCAAUGGCGUUGAUGUUCAACACGUGUGAUGGUCUUGAGGGACCAUUUAUUAAUUAUUUAGCCAAUGAAUUGGGAAAGCCGAUGUGGGGAGUGGGCCCACUGUUACCUGAACAAUUUUACAAAUCGGCCGGUUCAGUGCUUCAUGAUCAUGAGAUGAGAAUCAACCGGUGGAGUUCUAACAUGACGGAAGAUGAGAUCAUUCAAUGGUUGAAUUUGAAAUCAUGCGGAUCUGUGUUAUAUGUGUCAUUUGGUACUGAAGUGGAUCCGACCUUAGAUGAGUAUUUAGUACUAGCCAAUGCUUUAGAAGCAUCAAAUCGACCGUUUAUUUGGGUAAUUUAAGGUGAUGCAAGUAGAUUGGAUCCUCUAUGUCAUUUGGACAAAACAGUAGAAGGCAGUUAUUUUCGUUAGAUGAGUUUAGUGUUGUUGACGAGGCACCAUAUGCACAACAUAGUGAUAUUGUUUAGUGUUUAAUAUUAGAGUAAUGAUAUAGCCACAAACUCUUGUACAAAUUUAUUUUGUACAAACUUAUGUGGCAUGAUAAGAUUGGUUGAAUUAAAUAUCACUUGGCCCACAUGAUUUGUUUUCAUUAUUUUAUAUUUUCAUUCAACCAAUGAAUUAGUGCCACGUCAGUUUGUAUAAAAUAAGUUUGUACAAUAGUUUGUGGCUGUAUCAUUACUCUUAAUAUUAUAGGGAAGUUUUUAAUAGAUCUUCAUUUCCGUGCAUAUUGUGAGCUUAUUGCCAAAAAUGAGACUAUAUAGUUGUGGGACAAACAAAAAGGGAAAUUCUUUACCAUUCGGCUAAAUUUUGAUGUCAUGCAAAAUAAUAUAGGAUCUUGAAUUCACUUUAAUUGGAUGUCAGCCGGGUUACCAUUCAGAGAAACGGGUCUGAAUCCGACCCGUUUCAACUCCUCCCCCCAUCUCUCCACUUUCACCUCACCCGUCCUCUUGGGUCCACCAACCGCCACUAUGUUCCUAAUUUCACACCCAAACAACUGCUGCUCCACCGUAUGCCUCUCUAUACUGUCAGCACCCAGUCCGUCCCCCAGCACAGUGACGGAAAAAAAAAAAAAAGAACACUCAGAAUAAUAACAAUAUAUAAAACAAAAAAAUACAUAAAAAUAUUAAGAAAUGGAAAAAGAAGCCAACUUCUCUUGUUCGACGAGAUGGACCCUUUCGAUCAAUAAAUUGCAGUAGCCUUCCAUCAUACCAAAAGCAUCCAACAUAUUUUGCUCCUUCAUCACAUGCUCAACCUGCAAAAACCAAACCAGGUCAUUAGACAAAUGCAAUUGAACUAGUCAAUAAUUAUAACGAAUCAAACAGAAAAAGAGACCAUGCAUGAGCGACUUUGAUUCUUCAUGCAUGUGCAUAUGUCUUACGCGAGGAGAGCACGCUCUUGAAAGCCUUGUUGGAGGAACUGAACGACGUCGGAGCGUGCUUGGGAGCACUUGACUUGGCGUUGGUUUUUGAGAACGGCCAGGCGAGAGAUUGCAAGGUUGACCUGCGGCUUGAAUUUGUAGGUCUUGAAGUUGUUUUCUCUAAGAAGAAAAUCGAGUUUCUUUCCCAUGCCGCCGCCUGCUCUUCUGAUGAGUAACUGAGCUGAUCACGCUUCCAACUCAAUCACCCAACGCACAGUGACGGAGAGAAGGAGAAGAAACAAGCAAACGAAGGCUUGUUUACUCCUUUUAGAGAUGACGAGUGAUUGCGUUGUUAUUUUAUAGUUUCAUUAGCCUGAAACUUGGACUGAAGUUGUUAUUGCUGGACAAAAGGAAAAAGAGUUCAAUCACUUCAGUACCGUUAUUAUUGCUGGAUUCAUCUCCUCUCUCGGCAGCAAAAAUCACUUCCAUAUUUUGGCAACUACUCACUUCAAUGGACUGAAGUUGUUGAAGGCCUCCGCCAAUGACCAAUGGAAAUACAUUUUUCAAUUUAUCACACCCUUCCACCCUUAUGGUCUUUAGUUUGCAAAAAGACUCUGCUGUGAGUGGACCACGACAUAUUUCCUGUAGAUUCCUUAAAUCUCUCAGAAAUAAUGACUCCAAAAGGGGGAAUGCAGGCGUCGGAGCUGGCGUACAAUCCAUUGUGUCAACAACACAAGAAAGGUUGCCAUUAUGUUUGAUUUUGUUAAGGAAGUUAAGGAAGCUCAUAUUUGUAGUCAAGCAGAGGAUCACAGCAGCUUCUAUAAUCAGUUGCAAGUUGAUGACAUGUACUGCCAGCUGGCACCAGGUGGUUAUGUAGCUGCUUGUACUCAUACAUGUGAUAAGUUUGUUAAUCAUUUUUUAAUUAGUUAGUUAGUAUUGUAACCUUCAGCUGAGAAGCAACACUUGUAUAUAUAUGCUUGUAAUCAUUCAGUAGCAUUUUAAGCUUGAGAAAAUAAAAGAAGAAAGUUUUCUAGAUCUCAGUUUAUUUUCUUAUUAGCCAAACACUCAUUUUCUGUUUUCUAACUUGGUAUCAGAGCUAGUCAUGGCGUCUCUGAAUAUUGCCUCAUCAAAUCACACUUCGAAUAUUCAUACAAACUCAACAAACUUCUCAUUCACAUUCAAUACCCCUGUGAAACUGGAUCAGGCAAACUAUCUGAUCUGGAGGUCCCAAGUUCUAGCUUCCAUACACGGCAAUAGGCUAGAAAAGUUCAUUGAUGAAAAUGUCACUCCUCCUCCAUCUCAUAUUGCUCAAAGGAUUGACGAUGAACUUAGAUCUGUUGAGAAUCCAGAUUCAUCAAGCUGGAAAGCACAAGAUCAAGUACUUCUUGGCUGGUUGCUGUCAUCGAUGAGUGAAGGUAUUAUAAGCCUGGUGUUUAAUCUGGAAACUUCUCUUGAGGUAUGGAAAGCUAUUGAAACUCAAUUUGGAUCACAGUCAAAAUCCAGACUCUUACAUUUGAGAUAUUUGAUGAAUUCAACUAGGAAAGAUGAUCUGAAAAUCAAUGAGUAUUUCAUUAAAAUGAAGAAUAUUGCUGAUAACAUGGCUGCGGCAGGAAGUGCCUUAAGCAGUGAUGAUUUAAUUUUGCAUGUACUGUCAGGACUAGGACCAGAUUAUAAUGUUGUUGCUACUUAUAUUACUGGUCAAAUAAGUGGUGAUAAAAUGAAUUUGAAUGAGGCUUAUGCUAUGUUGUUGACUCAAGAAGCUAGAAUUGAGCAACAAGCACAUAUGCUUUCUGGAAUGGAUGUUAAGCAUAAUUUUGAAGCUAAUUUUGCUCAGAACAGAGGUUUCAAGAAAGGAAAUUUCUCAGGUGGUAGAGGAUCUGGUAAUCAUAACUAUUUUACUGGAUUAGAUAAUGCUGGAAAUUUUGGAAAUAAUUACAGAAGUGGCUAUAGAAGAUCUGGUUUCUUUGGCAAUGGUUUUGGAAAUAAUCAUAGUAACCAGUUCAGAGGAUUUCAAAGUGAUAAUCAAAGGGGAUCAGGCUCAGGAAAUUGGAACAAUGAUGGGGGUGGUAACAAUAAUUCUAUCAGGCCUCAAAUGAAUCCAAAACCUCAGUGGAAUGCUUCUAAACCUACUUGUCAAAUCUGCUUCAAAACUGGUCAUACUGCAAAUGUGUGCUGGAAGCUUGAAGAAUUCUUUACCUCUGGUGCUUACAAACCUCCUCCAAACAAAAAUCCCAAAGCUACAUAUCUAGCUGAUAUGGAUGGUGCAGCUGAUCCCAACUGGUAUCUGGAUAGUGGAGCUACACACCAUCUUACCAAUGACAUGAGGAAUAUGACUAUGGCAGAAUCCUUUGCAGGUAACUCUAAACUCAUCAUUGGAAAUGGUACUGGUUUACACAUAACACAUGUUGGAAAUGCUGUGUUAAGAAUGCAUAACUCUUCUGCUCAUCAUACACUCAAAUUAAACAACAUGCUUCUUGUUCCACAAAUAUCCAAGAAUCUUAUUAGCAUAUCUCAGCUUACCAAAGAUAACAACAUUGUUAUUGAAUUUACUGAUAAAUCCUGUUUUGUGAAGGACAAGGUGAGGAAUUUGAUCAUACUGUAGGGCAAAGCUGAAAAAGGUUUAUACAGAUUGCUAUUGUUUCCCUCUAAUAAAGUCUCUUCUCAAUCAUGUCAAAGGUCUCUUGAAGCCACUCAAUCCAAAAUUUCAGAUGUUCCUCUGUUUAUGUUUUCAGUUGUUCAGUCAGUUGUCAAUAAUCAAACAAGUCCCUGCUUGCAUACUGCAGCAGAAUCUUGUAUCGGUCUAAAUUGUAUGCUGAGUGUUUCUGUUUUGCAUCAGAAACUUGGUCAUCCUAAUUCCAAAGUUUUAAGUCAUGUAAUAAACUCUUGUUCAGCUUUCAAGAAUUUAAAUGGAAGUAACUUUCUUGAUUCAUGUGAUGCAUGUAAAAUGGGAAAAAUGCAUAGAUUACACUUUCCAGUUUCUACUACCAAAACAAAGCAUGUAUUAGAAGUUUUGCACACUGAUUUAUGGGGACCUGCCCCUGUGCUUUCAGUUCAAGGUUAUAGAUAUUAUGAGUUUUGUGGAUGAUUUUUCGAGGUUCACAUGGAUAUUCCCAUUAAAAACCAAGGAUGAAACACUAGUUGUGUUUAAAAUCUUUAAGAAACAAAUUGAGAAAUAGCUAGAUAGAUCCAUUAAGUGCAUUCAAUCAGAUUGGGGUGGAGAGUAUAGAUCAUUUGUUAAUUUUCUUCAUGAGGAAGAUAUUCAAUUCAGGCACUCAUGUCCCUAUACUCACAAUCAGAAUGGCUUAGUUGAGAGAAAACAUAGACACAUAACCGACCUAGGUCUCACCUUACUUGCUCAAGCUACUUUGCCUCUCAAAUUUUGGUGGGAUUCCUUCCAUACAGCCACCUAUAUUAUCAAUAGACUUCCCACACCCAUACUAUCUAUGCAGUCACCUUAUGAAUGUGUCUUCAAAACCAAACCUGAUUACAAAUUUCUCAAGGUCUUUGGUUGUUCAUGCUUCCCUUUCUUAAGGGAUUAUAAUACUCACAAAUUUCAUUUUCAUACCUCAAAAUGUGUAUUUCUUGGUUACAGCCCUUUACAUAAGGGUUACAAGUGUAUGCAUUCUUCUGGAAAGAUUUUUAUAGCCAGUCAUGUGUUAUUUGAUGAAACUUCUUUUCCUUACACAUCAAAUUCACAAUUUUUAACUUCAUCAUCCAAACCCUCUGAUUUCCAUUACAGUCUUAUUCAAUCUUAUACUGUUUCACUUCCCAAUAGCAAUCAAGAAACCUGUGAAGCUAGCUCUGCAGAAGAUGAAGCUCCAUAUCAUCAUUUCAGUGAUCAUUCCUCACCUGACAGUCAUAAUACAACCUUUGAUGUUUCACCUUCUCAAAUACAUCUUCAACCCUCUACCAUAGCUACUUCACAAACACAACAGCCAUCAUCAUCUACUAUUCAAUCCACACAACCAUCCCAACAUUCUCUGCCAAAUCAUCCCAUGAUUACUAGAGCAAAAGCUGGUAUAUUCAAGCCUAAAGCAUUCUUAACAUCACAUAACAGCCUGGAACCAUCCACUGUUGAUGAAGCUUUGUCUGAUUCUAAGUGGAAAGCUGCAAUGCAAUUAGAGUUUGAUGCUUUAACCAGAAAUAAUACCUGGACUCUAGUACCUAUGACAUCUCAGCACAAGUUGGUUGGUUGUAAAUGGGUCUUUAGAACCAAGUACAAUACAGAUGGUACAGUUUCUAAACACAAAGCAAGAUUGGUGGCCAAGGGCUUUCACCAGACAGCAGGAGUGGAUUAUAAGGAAACUUUUAGUCCUGUGGUAAAGUCUUCUACAGUCAAAACUAUACUAAGUUUGGCAGUGAUGAAAUGUUGGAAAGUCAGGCAAAUCGAUAUAAAUAAUACUUUUCUUAAUGGAGAUAUUUCAGAGGAUAUAUACAUGACACAACCAGAGGGCUUCAUCACCAAAGAGGGCUAUGUCUGCAAACUUAGCAAGGCUCUUUAUGGCUUGAAGCAAGCUCCUAGAGCUUGGUAUGACAAACUCAAAUGGUGUCUUACAAGCUGGAAUUUCUUCAACUCCAAGGCUGAUACAUCCCUGUUCAUCAGACAUGACACAAGAGGUAUCAUUCUUGUUCUUAUCUAUGUGGAUGAUAUUCUCAUUACAGGACCAAUUCUUCCAUGUUGGAAACAUUCAUCACUAAAUUCAGUAAGGCUUUUGCCUUAAAAGAUUUGGGAUUGGUAUCCUAUUUUCUGGGUGUUGAGGUGUGUUAUACUGAUAGUGGGAUGCAUUUAUCACAAACAAAAUAUAUUAAAGAGCUCUUAAGUAGAGCUUCAAUGCAGAACUGUAAAGGUUUUGAUACACCUCUCAGCACAGGUCAAAAGUUAGAAAAGGUAGCAAAGGGCUGUUUGGGGAAAGAAUUUGAAGAUCCAACUCUCUAUAGAAGUAUUGUUGGAGGGCUCCAAUACUUGAUACUCACCAGACCUGAUAUUGCAUACUCAGUUCAUAAGCUCAUUCAAUAUCAGAGUGCUCCUACACUUCAGCAUUGGCUUGCUUGUAAGAAGGUACUUAGAUAUCUUCAAGCAACUGUCACUCAUGGAAUAUAUAUUCAAAAGGAAGGAGAGCUUGAAGUUACAGGUUUGAAUGGAUACUCAGAUGCAGAUUGGGUUUGUGAUACAGAUGAUAGAAAGCCCAUUGGAGCAUAUUGCAUCUAUCUUGGCAACAAUUUAAUUUCAUGGUCCUCUAAGAAACAAGCUAUAGUGGCCAAAUCCAGCACUGAAAGUGAGUAUAGAGCACUAUCAUCAGCAAGUUCAGAAAUCUCUUGGCUUGAAUCUCUAUUUUCUGAGCUCAACAUUGUAAAGCUGCCAACACCAGUGCUUUGGUGUGAUAAUCAGAGUGCUGGGGAAUUAGCCAAAAAUCCUGUGUUUCACUCCAGGUCUAAGCAUAUCGAGUUGGACAUUCAUUACAUUCGAGAUAAGGUACUUCAAAACCAAUUAGAAGUGAGAUACAUUCCUACAGAUGAACAAGUUGCUGAUGUCCUCACCAAAGCUUUAUCACUUCCAAAAUUCAGCUACUUCAGGUCCAAGCUCAAUGUCAUUAGCAGACCCUUGAGCUUGAGGGGGGAUGUUAAGGAAGUUAAGGAAGCUCAUAUUUGUAGUCAAGCAGAGGAUCACAGCAGCUUCUAUAAUCAGUUGCAAGUUGAUGACAUGUACUGCCAGCUGGCACCAGGUGGUUAUGUAGCUGCUUGUACUCAUACACGUGAUAAGUUUGUUAAUCAUUUUGUAAUUAGUUAGUUAGUUUUGUAACCUUCAGUUGAGAAGAAACACUUGUAUAUAUAUGCUUGUAAUCGUUCAGUAGCAUUUUAAGCUUGAGAAAAUAAAAGAAGAAAGUUUUCUAGAUCUCAGUUUAUUUUCUUAUUAGCCAAACACUCAUUUUCUGUUUUCUAACUGAUUUGGAGACGCUUCAGUUUUGGAAAGCCUUCUCUGUCUGAUCCAAAAAGAACAUUCUUCAUGUCCGGCAAUCCAUCUAAAGUUAGGUCUUCAAUACCCUUCAAUUUCAUGAUAUGCGCCCCGUUCAAGCAAAUGUUGGCACCACUGGCGAGCUUCAGUGUGAACGUUCUAGAAAUCCCAUCCGAUGGGCCAUACCGCCGCCGCCGAUCUCCUAUCAAUAUUCUGUACCUUUGCAGCAUUUUGAAGAACGACAAGUCACUUGGUAGAUUCAUUGCAUCCGGGAUGAGUAUUUCUAAAGAAGUCAAUUUAGAUAAAUGAUUCAACUCAUGAAGGCUGGCAUUUCUUCUUCUACUGUUGUUAGGUCCCAGUCAGAGACAGCCAAUGAUCACGCAUAACACAAGUGAUAUUUUUCUGCUUAUGGCGAGAAAGGACUAAAUAAUUGUUGUUUAGAAUUCUCAAUACUUUUAUUCAUAUUCUGGAGCUUAUUUAUAAUAACAAGACUUUGGUUUCCAUCCUACAAUUACGGCUAAAUAAACGAGUAUAACAACUUAGCUAAAAAUUCGAAACCGAAAGAUAAUCGAAAACAACUUCCGUGUCUUAGCUUCCCUCCUUACUCGCUGCACAAUUGUUGACAAGCGUAUUCCUAGAUCACGGCUCCAGCUCCAGCACGUAUCUUCACGAUCUCAGCACAUGCAUGUUUCAUGCAUGGCUUGCAUGGGACUCAUGCCCUUACGUAGCAAACUUAGGAUUUGGCUUUGGCAUUUCCAGAUCUUCGUGGCUCAUGCAUUUGCUGUCUAUCAUUACCCCAUCCUCGAAGAAUACCCUUGUCCUCAAGGGUCAGAUUGGGAAACUGUUGGUGCAGCAUUAUGGUGUCCUCCCAUGUUGCUUCUUCAGCCAACAUUUUUUUUCCAACGGACUAGAUUCUGCUCGAUCACUUUACCUCCUCUCUUCACCCAACGUGUGUCAAGGAUAGCUUCAGGGUCCAUGAUCACCAAGCCUUCAUCAUCCACAGGUGGUAAAUCGACGCCGUUGCUAAGGAAAUCACCCACAGCUUUCUUAAGCAAAGAGACGUGAAACACUGGGUGAAUUCGAGCAUUCUCUGGUAAUUGUAGUUCGUAGGCAACGGCUCCAACUUUGCGAAGAACUAAAUACGGCCCAAAGUACCUGCAAGUUAAUUUCUGAUGUGCCCUUCUGAACACUGAAGUCUGCCGAUAGGACUGCAACUUUAAUAACACCAUAUCUCCCUGUUUGAACUCAACGUCGCGGCGACCCUUGUCAGCUGUUUGCUUCAUCCUGUUAGCUGUUGUGGCUAAGUUUUUCUUUAAUUGUAAGAGCAGUUCAUCACGCGAAUGUAAGGCUUGAUCAACCUCAUGCACCGGCGAGGAACCAAGUUGAUACAUGGGCAUGGCUGGAGGUGGUCUUCCAUACAAAGCUUGGAAUGCAGUCAUUCCGGUGGAGACGUGGAAUGUGGUGUUGUACCAAAAUUCUGCCCACGGCAAAAAAGAAUGUCACUUUCGCAGCCACUGGUGAACAAAACAUCUCAAGUAUUGUUCCAAGCAUCGAUUAAUUACCUCCGUUUGGCCGUUGGUUUGCGGGUGGUAUGUGUUGAGUGUUAGAAAAUGCAUAUUUAUAAAGGAGAAAACCGUCAUUUUACAUUUCAAGUCUUACUAACAACCCUUACUUUUAUGUAUUUAACCUUCUUGUGAUUUAAUUACAUGUGUUUUAUUUUAAUUAAGUAUUUUAUGUAUUUUAGGGGCAUUAUAGUCAUUUCACAAUAAAGGAGAGAUUAGACGGCAAAACGGACAUCACUUUUGAACUCAGGACGGUCGAAAACCUUAGGAGGAGCAUAAAAGGAAAAAUGGAACUAUUCACAUGUACGGUACUAUUCACGUGUACGGGACUGUCUAUGUUACUGUUCACGACACUGUUCACAUAGACGGAUCGAUGACGUGGCAUUGACCGAUGAUGUGGCAUUGACUGAUGAGGUGUCACGAUCCUGUUGGGCUAAAAUUCUUAUGUACUGUUGAUGCUGACGUGGCAGCAUAUCAGUGGACGAAAAAUCUCGCGUACGGUACAUGCAUCACACAGGAUUAUUUUCAACCAAACUGCGUUACUGUUCAUCCGGGUCAAACCGUAUUACUGUUCAUCCACGUUGUCAAACCGCGUACUGUUGACUGAUGACGUGGUGCAAUCCUGAGCGUCCAAACUGUUUUUAAUCUGAUGGCCAUGAUUUACUCCAUGUAUCUAUAAAAAGGGGGCCUCUCCCCCUUAAUUUGAUAGCUCUGAAUCCAUUUUUGGGAUCCAUUUUCUAUAAUUCCCUCUCCAUCUUGUAUUUUCUACGUAUUUUAAUAAAUUCCCAUUUUGCCCCUAGUUCAAUUAUGAAUAGCUAAUUUUCUUUCAAGCUUGGGUUGAAGGUGAAGUCUCAACAUGUGUCAUGGGCUUAAUUUGGUAAAUUUAUUUUCUCUUCCCCUUUAGUUUUUGUGGAUGUUUUGACUUCUCGUCGACAAAUAAUAAUAAUCUUGUCUAGAUAUCGUCUUGGUUACACCGGCUCUCUAGUAUAAGGUUAUUAUUAUUUGGCACGAUAAGCCCUUAGCACCAUAUUGAUUAGAGUGUGGUUCAUAAGGUGUGGAUUCCCCCCUCAUGAUUUAAUUGGUAUUAAUAAGGAAUAUUUAGCCCAUGGUGCAUGUUGAUACGGAUCCAAAUACCCAAGUACGUCAUUUCAAUAGAUUUCUCUUCAAUUUAUUCUCGCCAUUUAAAUUCCAAUUUUAGAAUUUAUUCUCGCCAUUUUAAUUUAAGUUUUAGCAUAUUCCAAAUCAUUUCCAUCACAAAUCCAAUCACCCAUUUACAAAAUUAAUUCUACACACAAUUAAAAUCCACCUCCUCGUGGGAUCGACACUCGUCACCAUUGAUCUAUACUACAAUAGAUUCGUGCGCUUGCGAGUACAUUAAAAUUUGCACAACAGUAUGGUGAGCUCAUUUUGAGUUUGGUGCCUGAUAAAUUAAAGAACUCUUGCCAAAAUUUGCUGAUGAAUAUGGGGUCACGAUCGCUGAUGAUUGACUUGGGCAUACCGUGCAGCCUCACUACUCCUUCACUUUCUUCUCGAACUGGCCGCGGUGAACCAAUGGUUUCGUUGGUGCCGUGGCUAGUGGUGUCUUUGGAUGCAUUGAAAGUUUCUGCUAAUUUGCUAAUGGUGUCUUCUAAUCGCUGAAGCUUGUCAUUGAUCCCAAUCUCCAUGCGUUCCAUUCGGCUCUCCAUGCUUUUCAGAUCAGCUUCAAUUCGCUCAAUACGUUCUUUGUUGGUCAUCAUUGUUAACCCGCUCUGAUACCAAUGUUAGGUCCCAGUCAGAGACAGCCAAUGAUCAUGCGUAACACAAGUGAUAUUUUUCUGCUUAUGACGAAAAAGGACCAAAUAAUUGUUGUUUAGAAUUCUCAAUACUUUUAUUCAUAUUCUGGAGCUUAUUUAUAAUAACAAGACUUUGGUUUCCAUCCUACAAUUACGGCUAAAUAAACGAGUAUAACAACUUAGCUAAAAAUUCGAAACCGAAAGAUAAUCGAAAACAACUUCCGUGUCUUAGCUUCCCUCCUUACUCGCUGCACAAUUGUUGAUAAGCGUAUUCCUAGAUCACGGCUCCAGCUCCAGCACGUAUCUUCACGAUCUCAGCACAUGCAUGUUUCAUGCAUGGCUUGCAUGGGACUCAUGCCCUCACGUAGCAAACUUAGGAUUUGGCUUUGGCAUUUCCAGAUCUCCGUGGCUCAUGCAUUUGCUGUCUAUCAGUUGGUCCUUUCACGCUUCCCCCACUCAAUGGGACUCUCACCAAUGUACAAUUCUUCUAAUCGUGAUAAGCUUGAUAUGACAUUUGGUGGAAUAACUUUUAGAUUGAAACAGUUGCUCAGAUCCAACAACCUCAACUGAGUCAGCCGGCCUAUUUCUUCAACCAGUUUCUGCAUAUUAGAACCUCGAAGUGUAAGGAUUUCUAAUUUCUUUAGAUCUCUAAUAAUAGCGAUGUCUCCGAGUUGGCAAUCAUCGAGAGACAAUGUUUGAAGGUUUUGUAAGAGACCAAGCGAUGGAGGCAAAGGCAACAAAUGCAUCGUAGUGAAAUCUAAAACUCUAAGCCCUGUCAUCCCAGUAAAAAGGUUAUCUGGGAUUCUCAAAGAUGGAACAUUAUCAAUGGUGAGGUAUUUAAGUUGCGGACAUUCAAAAUCUUGAGGAAACUCACUAAUAUUACACCUACAUAAGGAAAUAACUUUGCAAACCUUCAGUCUCUCCUUAUCUGGCCAGCUGGUCAGCGGAAUAACCUCGUUUUCCACCGCAAACACAUGUUGGUCUCUAGAUGCAAUUGAUAUGGCUACAUCACGAACAACAUCAUGCAUAGAAAACCAUUCACUUGUAUUGCCAUCAAGCAACAAACAAGAUUUUUUGAGUUUUUCAACCAAUUCAUGUGCUCUAUCCCGCGCCUCUUCCAACGUGUUGAUGUUUUGAAACAGACCCAAACCCAUUCCAUAAAAGAGCACGUCUUCAACGCAAGAGAUGAAGGCGUACCUUAUUAGCAAAAAUGUACUCUUGAGCUCCUCCCCGUUUAAAUGACUGUAACUUAGCUCUAUACUUUUAUAUGCCACCUCCAGUGUUCCACUGAAGUUCCUCAAGGAAGGCCUUCUUAAUUCUAGCAAAGCAUCAUUCCAUUCACACAAUCUCUUAUUUCUCAAUGCCCUUGCUACGGGUACAAUGGCAAUGGGCAAACCAGCACAUUCCUUGACUAUAUCUUUUGCUACCGAUCUCAAUUCAUCAUUUUCUAUGCAAUCACCUGUCGUCUUCGUAAAAAGACUACAAGCUUCUCCUCCAUUCAAAACAUCAACACGAAAAUUCUGUUGACAAUCAAUCUUACAGGACAACACAUCUACACUUCUUGAUGUCAGCAGAACUUUACGUCCGCUGUUAUCAUCUGCCAAUGGAAUUCCAAUCGCCUCCAAAUCAAGACUCCCCCAAAUAUCAUCCAAGAUUAUAAGGAUCUUCUUCUCUACUUUCAAUCGUUCAUAUAGCCUCCCUGCUCUUACAGUUUCAGUCUCUUUAACUAAUCGCAAGCCCAUCUUCUCUGCAAUUUCUUCACCAGCGUCGUCUUUCCAACCCCACCCAUCCCGUAGACCCCAAUCAUGUUGAAUUUACGGUUGCUGAGUGCGUCUAGUAUCUCCUUCAAAGUGCACUUCCUCGAUUGAAAGUGCACGAAACCCUGGGUAGACUUAAGCCAUGGCUCUUCUGGAAUGGUUCGAAAAGAAACACUGUCCAAUCUCCCUUUUUCAAGGAGUUCAACAAUAGCAUUCACCUCCCUCACUGCUUUCUUGCUAAGCUGGUACCGAGUCUUCAAAUCAGGGCAUAACCCCUUCAAACACCGGUUGUUUGAAUUCUCUUUGUAUCCAAUAAGUUCUCCGACUUCAUUGAUGAGCCUGUGCGCACUAAUCAGCCACUCCGCAACUUUCGGUAGAAUUCCAUCCCCAUUAUUUCUGGAAUCAUCAACUUUAUGCUGCACACUGUCUCUAGCAUUCUUUAGGUUACCAACUUCAUUCUUCAGCUUCUCGAAGUUGGUCUUGUAGCUGCGGCAGUAAGUAAAUGGGUGAAAAAUGGGACCAACCAAGUUCUUUGAAGCUUUUGUAACAAUGGAGAUAACAAUUUCCAUUAUCCUUUUUUUUCCCCCCGCUUUCAGAAAACAGGGAAAAGCAAAACUAAUCAAACUAAGCAGAGCUAAUCAAUCGGCUGGGAAUUUGGAUAAAUUGCUGAAAUAAGAAGUUGUCCGAAUGAAAUUGAUGAAACAAAUAUUUAAGGGAGAAGGAGGGGAAAGGAGUGAAAAAUCUAGAGAUGAAGCGAAGAGGAGACAAAUUAAAAAGUGAGUGCAAUGAAAGAUUUGCAAAGAAGGUAUGGGAGGACAAGGAUGAUUCAGACAAGGGAAACAGAAUAUGAAGAAAGGGAUUUCAGAGAACUCUAAAGAUUAGGGAAGAAUGAUGAUUAGGAAAAUGAAGAGGCAGACAGUUGUGAUCUCGAGACUCAAGGGGUAAACUGAAUCAUGCAAAAAUGCCAAACUAAAUUCAUACAAGGAGAAGACUCGUGCUUCCAAGUCAACUAGAUUCUCCAUAAGUAAAUAGCGUUAAAGUCGCAGGUUAAAUGCUAAAUGGCAUUUUGGCAUUUCGUUGAAUUUUCUUGUUACCAGUAAGUGCUGUGCUGCCGACAUUUUUCAACUUGUAAUUGUAAGACUUUCCAAGCAAUUUUUGUGGUAGUUUUAAUUAAUUUUAAUUGUAUAUCAAAUAUUUUAUUACUGUAAUUUAAAAAUCACAAUUGAUAAACAACAAUAGUAGAGAGAACGUUAAAUAGUUUGAGAAUGAUUUUUUAUUUAGGGCAUGUUUGUGAUUGCUUUACGAACAAUCAAAAUGCUAAUUCUAUUAGCCAAUAAACACAAGCGCUUUGUCAAGAACAUUACGCGAAGAACCCUUUAUAUAAAUAGCAAUCAUGUAAUUACGGAAGGCUUAUCCUAAUUACAUUUUAGUUACAUUCAAUAACAAAUUAACAACAAUAUUACUUAAAAAUUUUCGUUUGGCAAUGAGUAUAUUGGAGGUAGCAUAAAAAAAUCUGAAAACUUUGCAAACUUUUUAUGAAAAUGCAUUAGAGUUGUUAUGUUCUUUCACUGUUGAUAAUGGAAAUAUAAUGCAGGCCAAGAGACCCAAAGUGAAAGUGACCCAUGUGCUUUUCUAAUUACUCUGCUAUAAAGCCAAAGUUUGCGGACUUUAUGAUUUUUUUUUUCAGAAAUAGAUAUGCAAAUAAAUUGAAAAGAAAAAAAAAAACCCUGUUGCGUGGUCAUGUGGGUCCUCGAAAUCAUUUCGGCAUUUAAUCGAACAGUUGGAUGUACUCGGCAAGACGGCAACUAUACUUCCUCGAAGGUUCCUGGAUGUUGCAAGUGCUGCCGGCAUUUUCAAACUCGGAAGGUUUCAAUAAUUUUUUUUCUUUGAAAUAAAGGUUUCAAUAAUUAGCUUUGAUUAUUGUGUAAUAUACGAUAAUCUAGUGAUGAUGGUCACUUAUAUAUGUGAUUAAAAGCUAAGCUGGUUGAUUUGUAAGUAAGAACACACGGCAAAGUAUUUGAGCAAGCAUUUUUAUCUUCUUAUUACCACAUUCUUCUAACCAAUUUGCUUUCACCAACAAAAUAAUUAAUAAUUUGUAAAUAGUUGGAUCUUAAGCUCAGAUUUUGACAAUACAUGAAUGAUAAUAUAUACUUAUUUUCCAAGAGUAUACUCUAUUCAAGAGAGGAUCUCAAAUUUUUAUUAGAGAAGAUCAUAUUUAAAGCUCAAGUGCAAGAAUAAUAAUGGUUGCGUUGACUGGAGAACAUCAAAUACAAACAAAGACCAUGCUAAAGGAAAAGCAAAAGCUGGCGAGAUUGAUAAAGAAAGACUAAUAAAGCUUUCCUUUCAGCAUUAAUCAUGAUUAUUGGAUGAACUAGAGGUGAUCACUGUUUUAUAUUUUUAGUGCAAAAUAGAAUACACUGCAAGAGCUGAUGGCUUUCUUUGUUGUCCUCUUAUUGUCACGUAUUUUGUAGCUUUCUCAUUUUGAUUAGUUGUUCGCUCAAUAACCUAAAUGGGUCAGGGUUUUGAUGAAUUGAAAUUGACAUCAUUUCUGUUAAGAGUAGUUUGUUAUAGUUAGUUAUAGCUGCUGACUUAUGCUGACGUGUUAGAUGAGCUAAUAAUUGUUAGUUAUAUUGGUUGUAGUUUGUUAGUAAUCUUUUAGCACAUGUAUAAGCUAAGCUCAGCUCGCGUGAAUUGAUUCCAGAAUAUUCAAGAGCUUAGUAUAAAUACUCUUGUAACAAAUACAACAAUUAAUUCUAAGCUCUCCAUUCUUCUUUCAAACUUUCUUUCGUUUUCUCUGUUUUUCUCAGAUGCUAAACACUUUUCUUAUAUUUUAACUUGGUAUCAGAGCUUCAAUCUUCAAUUCUCAUGGCAUCAUCAAGCUCAAACUCAAACACAAACUCAAUUAUUUCAUCAUUUACUUUCAUCUCACCGAUCAAACUUGAUCGUUCAAAUUAAACAAUCUGGAAGUCUCAAAUUCUUUCAUUUGUUCAAGCCAAUGGUCUAGAAGAUUUGCUUGAUGGAUAAAAAACCUAUCCAGAUCAAUUUCUUCAAGGUGAAACUGAAAACGCCUCUGCUAAUACUCAGCUAAAUCCAGCAUAUACUACAUGAGAGGGAAAGGGUCAGUUGCUACUGAACUGGUUGAUGUCAUCUAUCAGUAUUGAGAUUCUGAGUCUUGUAGUAAACUCUGAAACUUCUCUAGAACUUUGGACUAGUUUGGAACAACAGUUUGGAUUUGAAACUUUUGCUAAGAAAAUUCAUCUAAAAAAUGAUGCUUAAUAACCUUAAAAAAAGUUCGAUGACAGUCACUGAAUUUUUUGGCAAGUUAAAAACAAUUACUGAUGAGUUAGUCAUUACUGGUAAUCCAAUAAGUUCUCUGGACUUUCUUACACACCUGAUUUCUGGAUUAGGUCAGCCUUAUUAUCCUGUUGUAGUUUAUCUUGAAGCAAAUCUUGUUAAGAUCUCUAUCAAUGAGGCAUAUUCUAUGUUAUUAACUCAUGAAGUUAGUCUAUAGGCAAAUCAGUUAAGUGCAAGCAAGGAAGUUAAGUUGAACUAUACUGCAAAUAUUGCUCAAACUGGAUCUAGAUCUAAUAAUAACAAGAAACAAGGUGGUCAAUUCAAUAACAAUUGGACUGGUGGUCAAUUUAACAAUAAUUGGAACAAGAAUGCUAGCUUUAGAGGUGGAUAUGCUGGAGGCAAAGGUGGUUAUGGUAGAAAUUUUUCACAAGGAUAACGAAGAGGAAACUGGAAUGGUGUGCCAUUUGGAAAUUUUUCACAAGGAGGCAAAGGAAGUAAUUACAAUGGCAAUCCUAGUCAAAAUGAGGGAUUUACUAGUGGAUUUACUAAUGGCACAGGUGUUAUGGAUCAGGCUACUGCCACUGUAAUUUGCCAGAUUUGCUUUAAACCUAAGCGCACUGCAGCUGAGUGCAGAAACUGAUUCAACAAGGAUUAUGUUCCUUUCAACAAUCCAUUUCAGAACUCAUCAAGAAUUGCCCAUCUUACAACUUCAGAAGGGGCAAUAGCUGAUCAAGGAUGGUAUAUCGAUAGUGGUGCCACAUAUCACAUCACUAACAACUUACAAAAUCUACAAAUUGGAAGUGAGUAUUCAGGUAAUCAGCUGCUCCUUGUAGGUAAUAGUCAGGGUUUACAUAUUUCACAUAUUGGCUAUGCAUAUCUUCAAACAUCAUGCAAUACAACUUUAUACUUAAGAGAUACUUUGUGUGCUCCUAAACUUACUAAAAAUCUCAUAAGUGUUUCGAAAUUGCUUGAAGAUAACAUUGAUGUAACCAUUGAGUUUGUUGCCAAUAUGUGUUUUAUAAAAGAUAAGAGGAAGGAACGACAUCUGGCUCAAGGGAUUGCUAGAGGAGGAUUGUAUCUGUUGUUGUCAAAGAAUGACUUUGUUUCGAAUUCUAGUUGUCUCACUUAUGCACCUAGCUCUAUGCUUUCUGUUUUGAAUAAUUCAGCUUGUAAAAUUUUUGAUACUGCUACAAAUAAAGUUUGUAAUCCACAAUGUCAAAUGAACACAACCAAGAUAACAAACUUGUUUCAUCAGAAAUUUGGUCAUCCUAAUAAACAUGUGUUGAAAUCCAUUUUAUCUUCUCUUUCUAUUGAGUACUCAUCUAUAUCAGCACCUGAUUUUUGUGAUGCCUGUCAAUAUGGUAAAGUCCCUCAAAUGCCCUUUUACACAACUAGAAUCAUAACUAAAGCUCCUUUAGAGCUUAUCCACACUAAUCUUUGGGGUCCAACACCCUUACCAUCUCUACAUGGCUAUAGUUAUUACAUUAGCUUUGUAGAUGACCAUAGUAGAUAUUGCUGGAUUUUUCCAUUGACCCUCAAAUUAGAAGCAUUAGGCACUUUCAAAUUCUUCAAAACCUUAGUCAAAAAAUAGUUUGGCUACACUCUAAAAUCACUGCAGUCUAAUUGAGGGGGUGAGUAUAGAAGCUCUCAAAGUUUCCUUGAAGAAGAAGGGAUAAGGUUUAGACAUAGUUGUCCUCACACACACCAUCAAAAUGGUGUGGUUGAAAGAAAACAUAGACACUUGGUUCAAACAGGACUUACCCUUCUGACACAAGCCAAAAUGCCUCUGUCUUUCUGGUGAGAAUCAUUCCAUACAGCUUCCUUGUUAACAUAUAUGUUUCCAUAAUGUUGAUUUUGAUGAUAACAAAUAAGAUUAAGAGUGAUAAAUCUUUUAAGCUCAAAUUAUUUUUUAUACAUUUUAAAUAAAUCAUUAUUUUUACAUUAUAAAGGUUUUAUAUUUAAUGGAAAAAUGAUUUUAUGAAAUUGAUUGUUUUUAUUCUUUUUAAAUAAAUCAUUAUUUUUGCAUUAUAAAUGUUUCAUAUUUAAUGGAAAAAUGAUUUUAUGAAAUUGGUUGUUUUUCAAAGUUUAUGGUUUAAUUGAAAGAAUUUUGAAAACUUUGAAAUAAACAAGUAUUGCUUGAAAUUUUAGAGAAGGACUUAUUUGAAAAGUAUCAUAGCAUUUUGGGCUAUACCAUAAUUUCAAAAAAUUUUGGGAUUAACAAAGCAUUAUUUAGAAAUUCUGGAAUCGGACCUAUUUACAAAGUUUUAUAAUAUUUUGGGUCGUAAUACAGUUUUAUAAAGUUUUGGGGUCAAACUAUAAAUUUGGGAAAUAUUUCACUGUAGCAGUUACUGUAGUAGCUACUGUAGAAAACGGCGAUCCGACAUCUUGAUAACGGCUCGCCGAUAUCUAACAGAGUUGAAGAUUAGCCUCUGGACCUAAACGGCGAUCCGACAAUUGUGAUAAACGGCUCGCCGAUAUUUAACAGAACUGAAGAUCAGCCUCUGGACCUAAACGGCGAUCCGACAUCUAGAAUAAACGGCGAUCCGACAAUUUGAAAAAUCAGCCCAACGGUCAUAUUGACCAGUCAAACGGCGAUCCGACAGUGUGCAGACAGUCUAUAACGGCUAGUUUUCAGCUGCAGCUAUAAAUAAGCUCAUUCAAAUUCAAACAAAGGUUAAUCACAACACGACUAUUGAGCUUAUAUCCGAGAAUACAAUCUUCAUAGAGCUUUAAACACAUUCUCUCUUCAUCUAUUCACAUAUUGGGCAUUGAUUUGUAAUCUUAAAUAUUGUGUGAGAGAAAAACAAUUUGUAAUCUUUUACUUUGAGUGAUUGUAAGUGUUGGGAUACACUUGGGUUAAGAGAUUGGGGAUAAUCUCUUGUUGUAAAGGUCCAUUGACACCUUGGAAGUCAAUUGUAAGCGUUUGAAGCCUUGGGAGGCUAGCUUAGUGAAAUCCUCAAGCCCGGUGAGCUUGGAGGCGUGGACGUAGGCGGGGAUUGCCGAACCACGUAAAAAUCCUUGAGUUUGCUUUCUCUUCCCUUGCUCAUUUAUUAUUGUGCUUUCAUUGAAUUUAUUGUUUUCAAAUUUAUUAAGGCAUUAGAUUGGAUUGUUGUGUGGUUUGCUUAGCUUAAUUUUUAAAUCCCAAUUCACCCUCCCUCUUGGGUUGCCUAGUUAGUAUUUCAUUUGGUAUCAGAGCGAGGUGCUCUUGUGUAGACUUAACGUCUAGAGUCAAAGAUCCAUAGCAACCCAAAUUAGCUCAACCAUCAUGGAAGGCCAAUCUAUCACUAGACCUCCAUUUUUCGACGGAAAUGAUUAUCCUUAUUGGAAAACUAGGAUGAGAAUUUAUUUACAAGCUUUAGAUUAUGAAAUUUGGGAAGUUGUUUGUGAUGAUUUACUCAUUCCUAGAAAGAAUGCUUUAAGUGAGUUGGAUAAGAAAAAGAUGUCUUUAAAUUCCAAGGCUAUGAAUGCUUUAUUUUGUGCCUUAGAUAAAAAGGAAUUUCAUAGAGUUUCAAAUUGUUCUAAUGCUUAUGAAAUUUGGAGAAAACUUGAAAUUGUGUAUGAGGAGACUACAAACGAGGAGAAUUUUCAUGAAGUGUCAAAUUUGGCACUUAUGGCAAUUGGAGAUGAAUCGGAUGAUGACCCAUGUGCUUUUCUAAUUACCCUGCUGAAAACUAUAAAGCCAAAGUUUGCAGAUUUUAUUAUCAAUUUUUUUUUUCAAAAUAGAUAUGCAAAUAAAAAGACAAAAGAUGAGACUUAUUAUAGUACCAGUGGCGGGCCCCCUGGGUCCUCAACUUCUUCAAAUGGGCAUUUUAAUAUAUUUACAUAUAAAUAAAUGAAUAUCUUAUGUAAUAUUCACUCCAUCAAGCAUGAAGUAUAUAAUUAAUUGAAUGUACAAGCAUCGGCAUUAGUUGACAGGAAAAGAGCUCGUUAAUAAAUUAUAUGAGUGAUAAUACUACUUGAAUCAAACUCACGUCCAAAGUUGGGACUCGCCUAUUGUGCAACAGUGGCACCAUGCCACCGUUUUUGUCUUUUUCUGUGUAAAAUUUCAUGAAGCCCUUUCACUUAUUCUUAUUUGAACUUUGCUUCACAAAUAUUAAGUUCAUUUCUCCCAAACUCGUGAAUCCUUCAACGGCCGAUCAACGGCAAAUCGGCUCCUCCAAUGGCUGUGGUUGGUCAGAAAAGACAAAGGGAACUGUGGAGAACAAAACCCAAGUGGUGGUGUCACCGGAAACCGGAGAAACCGCAGUGAAUUGAAGCGGGGAUUCUGUGACUUUUUGCGGCUUUGAUCAACAGCUUUCCGAAUGCUUUACGGCAACAAGGAUGGCAUGAAGAUGACCAGCGUCGCACGAGCUUCCGAUCGGUACCAACCUUGGCUGGUGGAGUAGGCAGAAACGUAAAAAAAAUUUGGGUCGGGUUCACGAGUCAGGUUGACUCAGUUAUUUUUGCGACAAGGAUGGUGUGGAGAUGACCGGCAUCGCAUGAUCUUCCGAUCGGUACCAACCUUGGCCGGUGGCAUGGACGAAAAUGGAAACGAAAUUCGGGUCGGGUUCGUGGGUAUUUGUGAUAAAGAGAGGGGUAUUGUGAUAAAAGGUGCAAUAUAGAAGGAAAAUGUAUAAAUAGGAAAUAGUAUAAGGUGCUAAUUAUAAUGUUUAUAUGGAUGCAAUAGAAAUUAAUUUAAUAUUUAUGAGGUAAAGUUUAAAUAAAAAUGAAUGAAAGUGGUUCAAUGAAAUUUUACAACAAUGCUGGCACAAAAGACAAAACCAGUGGUACGGUACCACGGUGGUACCGUAGCUGGAUCCCCAAAGUUGAUAAGAGUUAAAUUAAAUAAAGCUUUGAUGAUUUAAUGUGCAUAAAAUUAUAAAUUUAUAAUCAUCAAAUGGAUCCACCUAUGUCACAAUAGUUGCACCAUACCACACUUUUUGUCUCUAUUUCGCAGAGCCGUAAGAUGUUUUAUUGUUCAAUCUAACUAUUGAUGCCAAAAUCGGCUCGUCCUUGGACCGACCAGAUUCGUUCACCAACGUUUAAGUUAUCCACUGCUGCACGAACCGCUAAGGCUGGAAUUACCCUCCUUUCUCUCACUAGACCUGCGUUCACCAAAAACAGAUCAGAGACGCCGGUGGUUUUGCCGGCGUAAACCCUCCGAUGCCUAAGUUAGCACAAGGUGUUUACGGGAAAACAGUUAAAUUUUGAUUCAACAGUGGUUCUAAUUUGUUCGAAGUUUGUAAUAAAAUUGUCUGGUUUCAAUUUGGCAGCGUUUUCCCUCUCCCAGUUUUGUUAUCUCCAUCUUCAUCGAUUUCUUCUUCUUUUAUAGCUGCUGUUUGUCCCACGUCUUCCGCUUACCCUCUAUCCCCCCUUUUCUCGGGUUGUGGCAGCCCCUCAUGGGGCUCUGACUGUUGCAUUGUGGCAAACGUGGGAUCUUAUGUGUCCUUCAACGGUUCCGGGAAAGGCGCAGCAGCCGCGAUUCUGUGGGAUCGUGUUCCCGCUUUUCUGGGGAGUGUGUAUCGGUUCGGUAUUAACAUCUGGUCGGCAUACGCUCCCGUGCUCUGCUCGUACCCACGGCUGAGGUGAUCCAUGCCGGGGUGGAGGUAGUAGCAUGGUCGACCUGGUGCUUUUAUUAACUUAACACCAGUCCCCCAGUUUCUGGUCUUGCGAGUGAAAUGAGUUAGGAGUAGAAACUGAUAGUCAAAUCUUACCAACCUGGGGAGCGUCUCGCCUGGUCUUCCGCUUACCAGGACAGAUCUCAGGUACCAUUUUCCUUCUAGGGAGAUUCCGACCUGAGCAUGGGCCUAAAUGAGCCUGUCCGUUGCAUAUCUGGGCUUUCAUCUAACCCGGUCUCUUGUAACGGUUGGUGACGUGGUGCUUCCCGACUCUUCGUAUUUGAAAUUUGAAACGACGGGCUAUCCGUCCUCGAUAUAUGGGGGGGUGAGCUGGCAUAUCCCAUCACUUAAAUGCUUCCAUUUCCCCCUUUUCGUUUUAAAUCCCUAGACUGGAGUCUUCACCAUCUUGUUACUCGUUUCUCCGCCGUUAACCAAAUUUUCUCUGAACUUUGCUCACACUUCCAGCGUCCGGAGUAUCCAUUUGCUGGGUGUUUUCUCUGUUACGGCAGCGCUAUCAGUGUCAGUCUAUUCCAGGUAUAGCCUUUAACCUUUUCUUCGGCUGUUGUUGAUUGGGUUCUGUGUUGCCCCUUUGUGUCCAUAUACUCGAGUUUUCUCUGUUUUCUUUUGGGAUUCCGGUAUGUCAAAUCGGAAGAGGAAGUUAAUUGUUGAUGAGGGUGAUGACGAAUCAGGGGAUUCAGGCCUCAACGUGCCAAUACCCACCGAUUUUUUAGGUCCCUCCAGUAGUGUAGGUCCUCCCCAUGGUAGGGAUACCCUUGAUUACCUACGCCCCCUGGUUGUCUCUCCCUCUCCCGAAUUAGAGCUUGUAGGAAAUAGGGGUGGACCUGCGUCGGGCUCUGGUGAGAACCACAGCUUUGGUGGGGUUGGGAUCCCUGAAGGAGUUGGUGAUGGUGAGGGGGAGCAGUUCCGGACCGAGCAGACCUGCUCAGAAAAGGAACCUAGGCCAUAGGGUGGAGGUUGAUUCCUACCCUAUUGAUUUCAUGGCUUGUGCCACCACCCCCACCGAUCUAUUUAAACUUAGGAAUCUCUACAACAUCCCCAACGAGGUUCUUCUUGUAGUUCCUGGAAAAGGUGAUGUCCCUAGUCGGCCUCCGAAAGGGUAUGUGACGAUGCACUUGGAGAGUUUCAGACUAGGAGCUCGGCUGCCCCUUCAACCUUACUUUGCCAAGAUACUGGGCGGUAUGCACCUGGCCCCAGGUCAGCUACACCCAAAUGGGUGGAGGGUUCUCUCGGCAAUGUUUGUGUUGUGGGAGAGGUGCGGGUCGGAGGAGCCUUCUCUUGUUGAAGUGAAACAUCUGUACCAGUUGCGGAGUAGCCCGAAAGAGGCAGGCUGGUACUAUUUCAUGUCCAGUUCCGCAAAGAGGAAACCGAUCACUGGGUUUCCAUCUUCAUGUAAAAAUUGGAAGAAUAAAUUCUUCUUUGCUGGAGGGAACUGGUGUCCAGCGGUUCGGUCGCUUGGUGGGGAGAUUUAUCUUCCCACCCAUUUUGUCACCCCAGGUCGUUCAUUUUUUGCCUAUAUUCUUUCUCAAAUUGACACUCAUUGGGUUCUUUAACCUUGUUUGUUUUUUCAGAAUCGUGGGGUUUGGUGAAGGACCUUGAAGACCGACCUUUGCUUCAGGUGGAAACUGCUCUGUUGAACGCGUCUACUUGCCAAGACCUCCUGUCGCCAACAAACUUGGUCGGUUCCCGCUUAGUCGAUAUUGCCGCUGGAAUGGAUAACAAGAUCCUCAGCGCGUUGAGCAGAAAGCGUGGUCGGGCUCCGAGUAGCUCCAGCAACCCUCCUCCUCCUCCAAAGAAACCCAGCGUCGGUCCUUCCAAGGUGCCAGUUCCUGCUCUGCCCCCUCCUCCACCUCGUAAGAGUGGUGGGGAUAAAACCUCCGACAAGAGUCCUGAGGUCAGCUUGCAGUCUGGGGACCGCUCUUCUCCUCUUCCAUCUCGGGAUCAGGGUGACUACCUAAGCCCAUAUCAGAAGGAUUAUAGAAAAUCGGUUGGGCCCAAGAUGGUGAAGGACAUCGAGAGCAUGAGCCUCUCCGAGUUAACUGCUUCUGUUCAAAGAGUCUCCUUCAGGCUGGCCACAAUGGUCUCGUGCUACAAGACCGGGUCCGCGCGUCAUGAGAGGAAGCUUCAAGCUGAUAACCAGGAGUUGAAAAAGAAAGUUGAAUCUGCUGACCGCUCCAAGGAGAAACUGGCCGAGCUGAACAAGCAGCUUACGGAGCUUGAGGAGAAAGUUGCUGUUGCUGAGUCCACUUCCUCCAAGCUUGAGGGUGAGUUGGGUGAUCUGAAGUCCGAUCUUCAGGCUACCCAAAGUGAAAAGGAUACUCUGAGGAUCGCCCUUGAAGGAGAGAUCAACUUCCUGAAGGACAGCUGGCUGAGGAGAAAAGCAAAUCCGCUGACGUGGAUGAUCGGCUGGAUGCCGAGUAUGACUCCGGGGUUGCUUUCAGCUAUAAGUGCAUCAUGUCUGUGCUUAAGGAAGAAUACCACGAGCUCGACAUGAGCAAGCUGGAAUCUGGGGUGGAGAGGUAUAUGGCUGGGGCCGGCCAGGGAGAUAAGGAGCAGGUGGAGGUUCCUUUUGAUGAGGUGCGGGAGGGAGGAGCUGGUCAGUGUGUUUUUUAAGUGGGACAAGGGUCUGUGCCUCCUCCUCCCGUUAUUGCUGAUCUUCCACCUCCCGAGAUAGCCGACCCUUCUCCUACUGAGGCCGUUGACCUUCCUAAUCCUUAGGUCUAUUUUUGUAAAAACUCUAGAUUGUUAUUCGCUUUGUAAACAUUUGAACAUUUAUAAAUUUUUAAAUGCUCUCUAUUGGCUUUCUUGUCUGGUUUUGCUCACGGGUUGCUUCUGCAAAACAACUUGGCAAUUUAUCUGAUUUUGCCUGUUGGUUCUUUAGUGCAUUGAGCAGGAAUAGGCAUCCGUUUGCCUUAGCGAAAUUUUCGCAAAAUUGCCUGCUGGUCUUCGGUGACCGAGCAGGAUUGGACACUUAUUUGCCUUAGUAGAAUUGUCGUAAAUUUAACUGCUGCUUUUCGUUGACCGAGUAGAGGUAGGCACUUGCCUUAGUAGAGUUUUCGUAGCUUUAGCUGCUGAUCUUUUACUUCACCGAGCAGAAGUAGGCACCGAUUUGCCUUAGUAGAAUUUUCGUAGCUUUAGCUGCUGGUCUUACGUUGACCGAGCAGAAGUAGGCACUGAUUUGCCUUAGUAGAAUUUUCGUAGCUUUAGCUGCUGGUCUUACGUUGACCGAGCAGAAGUAGGCACUGAUUUGCCUUAAUAGAAUUUUCGUAGCUUUAGCUGCUGGUCUUACGUUGACCGAGCAGAAGUAGGCACUUAUUUGCCUUAGUAGAAUUUCCGUAGCUUAAGCUGCUGGUCUUUCGUUGACCGAGCAGAAGUAGGCACUGAUUUGCCUUAGUAGAAUUUCCGUAGCUUAAGCUGCUGGUCUUUCGUUGACCGAGCAGAAGUAGGCACUGAUUUGCCUUAGUAGAAUUUUCGUAGCUUUAGCUGCUGGUCUUUCGUUGACCGAGCAGAAGUAGGCACUGAUUUGCCUUAGUAGAAUUUUGGUAGCUUUAGCUGCUGGUCUUUCGUUGACCGAGCAGAAGUAGGCACUGAUUUGCCUUAGUGAACUUUCAAGAAUUUAGCUGCUGGUCUUUCGUUGACCGAGCAGAAGCAGGCACUGAUUUGCCUUAGUGAACUUUCAAGAAUUUAGCUGCUGGUCUUUCGUUGACCGAGCAGAAGCAGGCACUUGCCUUAGUGAAAUUUUUAUUGAUCUUGCUAGCAGGGGGAUUUCAUGUUGAAUUCAUCUUUAUUGAAAUUUGAAUGUAUUACAAAAAACAUAGAAUAUAUGCAUGUGCGACAGGCCAUCGGGCAUUGUAACAGAAAUAACUUGCCAGAGUGAGGAUUUAAUAGAGCAUUUUGCUUACUGGAAAUACUUCUUCAGGUGUUCGGCGUUCCAUGACCUCUUCACGUCUCGUCCGUCUUGGCACGCUAAUUUAUAUGCUCCUGGUCCAGUGGCUCGUAUCACUCGGUAUGGGCCUUCCCACUUUGGGCCAAGAGCGCCAUGGUUAGGAUUCCUGGUGUUCUGGUUCACCUUCCUAAGUACCCAAUCUCAUGCUCGGAACUGCCUCACGCGUAAAUUCUUGUUGUAAUAACGCAUGACCCUUUGCUGACAUUGGGCCACUUUCUGCGAGGCCUCUUCCCUUUUCUCCUCCAGCAGGUCUAGGCUUAAGCAGAUCUGCUCGUCAUUUUGCUCCUCAACGAAAUGUUCUGUUCGAUGUGUCCCCACUCCAAUUUCCGCUGGGGCUACCGCCUCAUGACCAAAAGCUAAAGCAAACAGGUUUCCCCUGUGGCGGUUUUGUGGGUUGUCCGAUAGGCCCAUAAUACCCCUGGUAGUUCGUCAACCCAAGCUCCCUUCUUCUCUCCCAAUCUAGUUUUCAAGAGCUUCUUUAUUACUUUGUUAGCUGCCUCCACUUGUCCGUUUGCCUGGGGGUGCGAGGGGGUGCAAAACUUCAGGUCCACCCCCAGAUUCCGACAAAAUUCUCUGAAGUUGUUGUUGUCAAAUUGCCUCCCAUUGUCGGUAAUAAUGGCAUAAGGGAUUCCGUAUCUGCAGAUGAUAUUCUUCCAAAUAAAAUCUGUUGUCUUUCUUUCCGUGAUUUGGCUGAGGGUCCCCACUUCUAUCCACUUGGUGAAGUAGUCUAUUGCUACAAUCGCAUGGGUUGCCGCUCAUCGGCCUUUCGGUAACGGACCAAUCAGUUCUAUUCCCCAUUGAGCAAAUGGCCAUGGGGAUGUCAUAGUAGUCAGCUUUUCUGGGGUUGUGUGGGAACCUCUGAAAAGCUUUGGCAGAUAUUGCACCUCUUUGUCAUCCAUUUUGCAUCCUGGUGCAUGGUCGGCCAGAAGUAUCCUUGCCGGAGUGCCUUGAAGGCUAAAGCUCUGGCUCCUGAAUGAUUUCCACAUAUCCCUUCAUGAAUCUCCCUUAGUACAUAGUUUACCUCCUCGUCAUCCAAACAUCUCAAAAGGGGUAAGGUGAACCCUCGGCGGUAUAACACUCCAUCUAGUAGCGUGUACCUCGCUGCUCGGCAUUUUAACUUUCUUGCUUGCCUUUUGUCUUUCGGUAAAACUCCGUCGCGGACAUACGCGCAAAUCGGGUCCAUCCAGGAUUCUCCAGCGCUUACUCUCAUCACCUCUACUUCCUCCCCUAUACUCGGCGAGGUCCUCACCUCUAGUGGAACCGACUUAGGUAAUUUUGGAUCUGCAAUUGCAGCCAUCCUAGCCAACAUAUCCGCUCGGUAAUUCUCAUUCCGAGAUAUCUGCUUUACUUCCACCUCUUGGAAAAGCCCGACCAUCUGCUUCGCUUUUUUUAAAUAAAGACCCAUCUUCUCUCCCCUUGCUUGGAACUGAUCAUUGAGCUGAUUACAUACCAAUUGGGAAUCUGCUCGGAUUUCUACCCUUUCUGCUCUCAAAGCGUGUGCAAGCCCGAGCCCGGUGAUAAAGGCUUCAUACUCAGCUUGGUUGUUUGUGAGCUGAAAUUCGAACUUCACCGCAUAUGUUAUCUCGGUUCCCUCUGGGCUUCGUAUUACAACUCCUGCUCCGGAUCCUUGCUCACUACAUGAUCCGUCAACCAUUACCAGCCAUAUCCCCUUUGAAUCAUGUUGCUCUGCCGGUUGUUCCUCUUGGACCUCUUCCCCCGGUUCAACACGGUCCACCAUAAAAUCUACCAGGGCUUGGGCCUUGAUUGCUCCUCGGGGCCUGUAGGACAGGUCAAAUUCGCUCAGCUCCAUGGACCAUUUUACUAACCGACCAGACACAUCUGGUUUUUGAAACACUUGCCGAAGUGGCUGGUCAGUCAUCACAACGAUCUGGUGGGCUUGGAAGUAUGGUCGGAGUUUGCGUGCUGCCGUUAUCAAAGCCAGCGCCCACUUCUCCAUUAGCGGAUAUCUGGUUUCUGCAUCCACCAGGGCCUUGCUUGUGUAGUAUACCGGGUGUUGCUUCCCUUCUUCUUCCCUGACUAAGACCGAGCUGGUAGCCUGCUUAGAGAUUGCCAAGUACAAGAGCAGCUGAUCACCCUCUCUCGAAGUUGAUAGUAACGGGGCGCGGGCUAGGUAUUCCUUCAGCUGUCCAAAUGCCCCCUCGCAUUCCGGUGUCCAUUCUAGCUUCUUCCCUUUCUUUAUGACUUGGAAGAAAGGGUGGCACUUAUCAGUGGCUCGCGAAAUGAAUCGGUUCAAUGCUGUCAAUUUCCCCGUAAGGCUCUGCACCUCCUUAACUGUUCGUGGGGACCUCAUUUCUAUUACCGCCCGUAUUUUUUCUGGGUUGGCUUCAAUACCCCGAUGGCUCACCAGGUAUCCCAAAAAUUUGCCCGAGCCGACCCCAAAUGCACAUUUCUCCGGGUUCAGCUUCAUUUCGUACCUCCUCAGCAAUUCGAAAGUCUCCUCCAAGUGCUUCACAUGAUCUCUCGGGUCUCUUGACUUGGUGAUCAUAUCGUCCACAUAUACUUCCAUAGUGUGACCGAUCAAUGGUUUGAAGACCUUGUUCACUAACCUUUGAUAGGUAGCUCCUGCAUUUUUCAGGCCAAAGGGCAUCACCCUGUAACAAAACAGACCCAUGUUAGUUAUAAAGGUGGUGCUUUCCUCAUCCUGCUCGUUCAUGGGUAUCUGGUUGUAUCCGGAGAAGGCAUCUAUGAAACUGAGCAGACUAUGACCCGCGGUUGAGUCCACCAACUGAUCUAUUUUUGGUAGGGGAAAUCUAUCCUUCGGGCAUGCCUUAUUAAGGUCCGUGAAGUCUACACACAUUCUCCACUUCCCAUUGGCCUUCUUUACCAGUACCACAUUGGAAAUCCACUCCGGGUACUUGGCUUCCCUUAUAAAUCCUGCUUUUAGCAGCUUUUCCACUUCGGCAUUUAUGGCCUCGUACCUUUCAUGAUUGAAGCACCUCCUUUUCUGCCUCACCGGCCUUGCCCCUCUCUUGACCGCCAGCUUGUGACAAGCUAUCCCGCGGUCAAUACCUGGCAUAUCCUCAUGAGACCAGGCAAAUAUGUCUGCAUGGGACUGUAGACACUUCACCAGCUCGGCCUUUAUUGCUUCGCCCAAUUCUGAUCCGAUCUUAACAACUCUGCUAGGGUCACUCCUGCUUACAACAACUUCCUCCAGCUUCUCAACAGGUUCCUGACGACCAUUUUUUGAAUCCCCUCGGUUAUCUAGAGAGGUAACCUGCAGCGUUUCCUUGGCCGCUGUAGCAUAGCAGCUCCUGGCCAUUCUCUGGUCGCCCUUUACCACACCCACAACUCCAUUUAUUCUGUACUUCAUCGCCAGAUAAUGCGUGGACAUUACACAUUGGCUUAUCCUCAUGAACGGUGUCCCCAAUAUCAUCUGGUAAGGACUUCUUUCCUCUACCACUACAAAGUCCAACAUCAUCGUUCUUUCAAAUGGCUUUGUCCCCACAGUAAUCGGGAGUUCAAUGACCCCCAUGGGAGUUAACCGUCCCCCUCCAAAUCCCUUCAAGGAUGUAUUCGUUCGCUCCAGCUUGAAGUCUAAAAUCCCCAUAUCAUCUAGGGCCGACUUAAACAGAAUGUCUACUGAGCUGCCCGUAUCUACCAGUAUUCGUCGCAAUUCUGUACUGGCCACCAAUGCUUUAAUCACCAGUGCAUCCUCGUGAGGGUACAAAAUGCCCUCUUCGUCGUCCUCUGUCCACAUAAUAGGAACUUGCCGCACUUUUGCCCUAUUGGCUACUGGCAAAUUGAGAAGCACUUCCUUGCCAGUCAUGGCAUAUCUCCUAUAGUUUUUUCGUGCUCUGUUUGAAUCCCCGGCCAAUGUUGGCCCUCCUGCUAUCACCUGGAUAGUCGGCUGUUCUCGUUCCAAACCCCUUUCAACUCCUUCAUCCUGUGCAUAUUGCGACUCACUGACGGGCGACACUCUAUCUACGUACUCACCCAAGUACUGGUUCCUCACCAAAUCCUCCACCUGAAUCCUUAGGUCACGGCAUUGGCUGAUGGUAUGACCGUGAGUAUUGUGAAAUUUGCAGAACCUGCUCUUAUCACGCCGGUGAGCGGGUUUCGUUAUAGGGGCCGGAGUAUACAGCAGUCCUCGUCCCUCGAUCCUUUCAUAUAGUUCCUCCAUGGAGAUUUUUAAUGGAGUAUAUUGUCUAUAUGCCGCGCUCUGGUCAACCAACUGAACUGCUCGGCUAUGAUGGAUGUCACCUCGGUCUGGUAUAGCCGGUAGCUGCUCUGGUCGGCCAGACCUGUAAUUAGUUGCAUUUACCGCUCUGGGGGUGCUGUGAUAAGGGUGAGCAGUCAUCUGCCUGAAUUCUCGCUGCCGCUCUGGGAUCGGGGGGCGCGGAGGUUGAGCCCGGCUGUGUUGGAACUGUUGUGCUCUCUGAGCUAUGGGGUAAGGGCGAGACCGAACUGAUAUUCCGCCCAUCCCUGAAGAUUCUCCAGUUCGCUUUCCCGACCCGCUCCCUUUCGGGGCUCUCCGUUCCCUUCGCCUCAGCUCUUCUAGCUGUUCACUUUUAAUUCUUGCUGAUUUCUCCUCUUCUAUUUCUAUAUCUCAUCUCGCCUGCUCAUACCCCGACGAGUAAUUCUGUACGAGGGGGCUUCUUAAGUUAUACCACAAUCGGCCGAUUCUUACACCUUCUUUUAAUCCCCUCAAUGCCUGCGGGUGAUUAAAAGCUCCCAAAUCCAGCACGGCUCGGUGAUAUCGUUUUACGAAAUCUCGAAGGGAUUCAUUCUCCUCCUGCUUCAUCCCCAUCAAUUCCAUCAUGUCAUCCUCUGGGGCCACUGCCCCUCGGAACUGCUCGGCCAACUCCUGGCACAUCUGCUCAUACCCCUUUAUUCCUCCUCGGGGCUGCUUGCGGUACCAUUCUCGGGCUCGUCCCUCUAGUGUCAACGGGAACACCCUGCACCUCUGAGCUGGUGUCAGCCCCUGCACACCCGUCAUGUCGUUGAAACGCUCAAUGUGCACCAACGGGUCACUUCGCCCGGAGUAUUUGAGGUCGGGGAAGCGGAAAUCUCUUGGGAUUAUGGUACUCAUGAUCUUAGUUGAUAACGGGGAUUCUUCAUCUAGCAUUAUCCUCCAGCUCGGGGGCUUUCUCUUGCCCUGCAUCUCCUCUAUCACCUGCGCCAAUCUGCGCACCUCCCCCUCCAAUUCUAUAGCACGAUCAGGAUCAUGUGCAGCUAUCUGGUCUCGCUCCUGCUCGACGUUCUGCAACCGCUGUCUGAGCUCUCCUUCAUCAACACUGGCCCCUCGGCCAUUUAUUUCCAGUACCCGUCUGGGGCGAGGUUGGUCUCUCCCUUCAUCCACGUGUUCCCCUGGGACCCGACCAGUACUUCGGUGAGGAUGCACUCCGUUAGGUUGGUCUGCGGGCGGGGGGAUUUCCCCGACCCUACGCCCCCGGAGGCUGGGUUCUGCUCCAACUCCAUCUCUUCCCACGGGGGUUUCACAAUCCCUUCUCUGCUCGUCCCUCAGCUCAAACAAUACAGCCGCGAGAGUCUCCAUUUGUUUCUCCAUCUGCUCCAGUCUAUCUUGCAUCAUCCUCUCUCGGGCUUCAUUUGCAAUCUCCCGGAGAGUGAUUGUCUCCACCGUUUCAUUGCCCUCCCUUAAAGUAUCCUUUCUUGACGCAUCCAUAUCCAAUCGUUCGCUGCUUCUCCGGUACUUACUAAUUUGGUGGUAGCUUUUUAUUCAGCUCCCCACAGACGGCGCCAAAAUGUUGAUGCCAAAAUCGGCUCGUCCUUGGACCGACCAGAUUCGUUCACCAACGUUUAAGUUAUCCACUGCUGCACGAACCGCUAAGGCUGGAAUUACCCUCCUUUCUCUCACUAGACCUGCGUUCACCAAAAACAGAUCAGAGAUGCCGGUGGUUUUGCCGGCGUAAACCCUCCGAUGCCUAAGUUAGCACAAGGUGUUUACGGGAAAACAGUUAAAUUUUGAUUCAAGAGUGGUUCUAAUUUGCUCGAAGUUUGUAAUAAAAUUGCCUGGUUUCAAUUUGGCAGCGUUUUCCCUCUCCCAGUUUUGUUAUCUCCGUCUUCAUCGAUUUCUUCUUCUUUUAUAGCUGCUGUUUGUCCCACGUCUUCCGCUUACCCUCUAUCCCCCCUUUUCUCGGGUUGUGGCAGCCCCUCAUGGGGCUCUGACUGUUGCAUUGUGGCAAACGUGGGAUCUUAUGUGUCCUUCAACGGUUCCGGGAAAGGCGCAGCAGCCGCGAUUCUGUGGGAUCGUGUUCCCGCUUUUCUGGGGAGUGUGUAUCGGUUCGGUAUUAACAUCUGGUCGGCAUACGCUCCCGUGCUCUGCUCGUACCCACGGCUGAGGUGAUCCAUGCCGGGGUGGAGGUAGUAGCAUGGUCGACCUGGUGCUUUUAUUAACUUAACACUAACGACUACAAAUUUUUUUUAAAAAUCAAAUAGCUACUGAUCAACUGUGCAAUUGCUUUAUACAAUUAGGGUUCUUGCCUUAAUGAUGUCAUGGAGAUGGGUGAAUCAAUGGCCACCAGGCACCAAAUUCAUGACCAAUCAAUGACCAACAAGCACCAAAGUAAUGCCAAGCACACCAACAACCACCGAUUAAUGGCAAGCUUAGUGUUUAGAAUUUGGAGAAGCACUUGGUACUGUAUCGAGGUAUUAAAUCAUCAAAAACCAAUUUGGUUUGGACUCUUCAAUUUCAACUUGACUCCUACACCAAAGCCGCCCAACAACAACUCAACAACCGAAUCACUCGUCCUAAUAGCAUAACAAUCCAGUCGUCAGUUGCCUGCACAUGAGAGACCAUUUUCUAAUUUAUGAUCGAAAUUGUUGAAUUAAUUUUACAAUUCUCUUGUACCAAUUUUCAUCAUAUAUGUUGCCUCAAGAAGUGAAGAUUGAUGUCGGAAUCACUUUCAGUUUCAAUUACAUGAUGUUUGCGAUCUUCUUAUACCAAUUCGGUUUACAGUUGCCUUAAGUAUCCAUGUCCGUCAAAUCUUAUCUAUAUUAAAGUAACCGCCUAAACUGUUAACCAGUGGCUGUUUGAUUUUAAAAAAAUAUUUGCAGCCGUUAGAUUGAACAAUAAAGCAUCCGACGGCUCUGCCAAAUAGAGACAAAAAGUGUGGUAUAGUGCAACUGUUGUAACAUAGGUGGAUCCUCAUCAAUAUAUCUCGAGACUUUGUAAAGUUACUAUGAAAAUCCAUCACAGCUGUAGUUAUUAUGAUUUAUUUGGUCCAAAUAGUCUAAUGCCAGUGGCGUGACCUCGUGGGUCCUCAAAUUAUUCAAAUGGGCAUUUCAUCGAAUAGUUGAUAUACUCGGCAUCUGCAAUUGGAAGACACGUUCAAAAACUCUAAAUCAUGUUAAAGUCAACCAGAAAGACGAAACAUAGAAAGCAACAAUCCAACAACUUGUUUAAAAUAUUCGCUUCAACAAAUGGUUGCGUUGACGUGUAUUUUGGGGGAUCAUCAAAUAUAAACAAAGACCAUGUUAAAGACAAGCAAAAGCUGGCGAGAUUGGUACUGAUAUACUAAAAGAAAGACUAAUAAAGCUUUCCUAGCGGCAUCACUCGUGAUUAUUUGAUAAACUAGCGGUAAUAAAUGAUUAUAUUUUUAGUGGAUAACAGAGUACGUUACAAGAGCUGAUAACUGAUCGCUUUCUUUAUUUUUUGUCAAUAUUCAAGCAAAAAUACAAGUCAAUCAAAAUAACGUACCAUAUUAACAUUAAAUAAACAGAGAGGGAUAAGCUGGGCCAAGUCUUUAAAUCAGCUACGUCAUGGAAGAUUAAAAAAAUAGAUCAACUAGAAUAUAAUAUAAUGCUCUCACAUUUAAUUAAUUAGGAGGCUAAUGCACUAUAACUCAGCAUUAAUCAAAAUUAUUUCAUAAACUAGUAUAUACUGGAUAUCUCGAUCGGUGCAAAACCGAGUACUGAGAGAUAAAAAUUAACCUGGUGUCUUUGGCAGGUCUUUAAUAUAAUUGCUAAGCUUGCCCCAUGCCAUUGCCAACUUUGGCCAUCGGCUAGCUGCUACUUAUGAAGCAACUCAAGGAAACAUAAAGCAGCCGUCGUAAGAUCAAGCACAACAAGUGUGAUCACUGAUCAUGCAUCCAGGACAAUUUUAUAUUUAUUCAAUUUCAAUAAUCAUAAUAUACUAUUGAAUUAUAGACCAGGAUUUCUAUUUUUAAGAAUAUAAGACACAAGCACGAGCAUAUUCGCGCAUCUUUAAUAAAUUUAUUGGGACACACUAUUUCUGCUUAUUGAAGAAAAUCAAGAAAUGCUGAUUCCACCGUGCAUGGUUUAAUGUUAAUUAAAGUUUAAAGGGAUCAGAUUCAUAUUCAUUAAUAUGCUUUUAUACGAAUCGUUCUGUUUGAAUAUAAUAAUGGUUUCAGAAAUGCAUACCUGUUAAUUCUCCAUUUCUUGUCUCCGAGGAAAGUUUGACUUCAAGCAAUGUUAUAAGAGGUUUAAUUGUGGGUCAAUUUCUUGCGAGCAUUUCAACAAACAGGUGAUAUGCAUGCACAUCUCCUACGCUAUCACUGCCAUACUUGCCCUGUAGUUGCUUCCAGUUGUAACAGGAUGCUGACAUGUCAUCAUACUUGGACAGAUCUUUAGAGGCCAUUCUUCGAAGCGCUUGAUGAUGCAAACACGUGAGGACAAAUCAUGCACGUAUGAUAUGUGUUUAUUAAUUAAAUAUAACUAUUAAUUACAAGAUUAUUUUUUUAAAUAAAUACAUACAUGUCAUGUAUCUAUUAAUUAUAUAGAAAUAGAAUACAACAAAAUAUUUUUAGAAUCUGUGGGUGAACACAAUGUAAUUAUUAUAAUAAAAGAAAAACUUUAGAGCCUUUGGUGUACUCAUUAGUGAAAUUUGAGCAAAAGAAAAAUUCAUGUUUGUAAACCUCGAAACCACAAUAACCUUAAAUUUGAGAUCAUUAAUCAUUGAAUGUUUUGUUUGUAAUAUCAGUGGCAACACGUUUAAUGAUUUGAUUAAAUUUGUGUUUUGUUCUAUGAAUGAUUUCAUUCAUUUUUAUGAUUUUUUUGGGUUGACUCAACGGAACAACUAAUAAUUACCCAGUUCCAUAACCGUAAUUAUAACAGCGGCAAUUAGAUUUUUUUAUUGUUAUUAUUUUAAUGUGUAUUUUAUAGAAUAUAGAUAUUUUAGGCUAAUGAUAUUUAAGGGUGUUUUAAUUUAUUUUUUUUUUUAAGUUUCAAAUCACUUAACUUUUUUACCAAUCUAUUAAGGGUCCGCCUAAGUUACGUUUAAUGUAACUUACGGCUUGGCCCUAAAAUUUUGGCAACUACUCACUUCAAUGGACUGAAGUUGUUAUUGCUGGACAAAAGGAAAAAGAGCGGGUUCAAUAGAUGAGUUGUUCCCAUUGAAGCUAUCAAAGAAAGAAAAGGAAAAAGAGCGGCUGCAAAAGGGAGGAAAGUGGGAGGAGUUGAAAGGCUGUCACAGUAAAUUGAUCGCCUUGUUGAUACUGUGGAAAUGGAGGUCGAAUUCAAGAAGAAGAUCAUGGUAUUAAUGUUCCUAAAGGUAAAGGUCGAGAGAUGGGGAGAUUGAGAAAUAAUAGUGCUGCAAGUUUAAUGAGUGGACAAUAUUGUAGUUAUAUAUAUAUAUUUUUUUACACACAUGUAUAAAAUAUUUUAUUUUUAUGAGCUACUUCGAUUGCAAUAGUUUUAUGUACAUAAAAGUUUACAUAAAGAUUAAAUUUUUGCAUUUUCUUUUUGCACUUAUUUAUCAAUCAAUUUAAUAAUAUGUUAGCAUUUGUGCACAUUACAAACUGCAUAACAAUUUUUUUAGUUAAAAAAAAAUUAAAGUUAGUUUUAUUGCAAAUUAAAAUAGUUAAUAAAAAUUAUAUAAGUAUGUAAUAAAGAAAAUAGAAUAUACUCUUUAAAAAUCCAGUAAAUAAAAAAAUGAUGUUAAUAAUAAUAUUCUAAAUAAACUACAAAUAAACAAACAAGUACAUUUUUAUUAUUGCACAUGAAUAUUACACUUUGAAUUUUCACUUAUCAAAUUUGUAUAGUAGAUUAUUUGAAAAAUGAUUGUCAAAUAAUCAUCAUUUACCAAACACCCUACUAAAUUAUUCGUGAAAUUAAUUAUUGGGAAGUAAAAGAAAUCCCCAAUGUACCCUCAAUCAAUCACAAGAAGUUAUUUAAGUUAUGAUAUCUAAUGAAUUCUAUUAAUAGUGAGCGUGUUUAUCAAAAAUAUAAAAAUAAAUAUUUUAGUUAUUAUCCACCUGUUUUCCUGAAAUCAUUCCCAAUUUUUUUUCGUUUGCCGAAAAUUCCAAGGAAAAUAUAAAAAGAAGAAGAGUUGGGGGAAAAAAGAAAAGGAAGGAAAAACAGGUUCCUCUGUUUUCAUUCCCCUGUUUUGAAAUUAUCUAUCAUCGAUAUAAUUUAAUCCCCCUGUUACUAAAGGAGAAUGGUUCAGAUUAGUUGCCUGGACUCGCUUAUCUUGAUCUGGGUGGUCAAACCCGCCCAUCAGGAGGAUUCAGAUUUUGAAUUACCUGUCAUAAUUUGUUUUCCCACCUAAGCAUCUUGAGCAUGCUUAUUAAAAGAAUUGUUGUUCCACUCGUAUAGUCAAUGGAUUCCCACCUACGCGUUUGCUUAUUAAAAGAAUUAAUCUUGCUUUUCUAGGAAAAUAAUGCAAUACGCAUGACGGUACGUGUCCAUGUGAGAAAGUUGAUGAAAUCUUCACUUUCAGUGUUGGAACUCCACAAUCGAAACAAUCAAUACGACAAUUUUUCUCCAUCGUUUCAAUCUUAAUUAAAUAGAAAACAAGUACGGUCAAAUAAAUUCUGGUCUACCAAUUUAAUUAGUAUAAACAUAUGGAUCCCAUCAUUAAUAUUAUAAAUAUGUGGGUAUUUUUAAUUAUUACAUUAUAUGACUAUUUACAGAUUGCUUUCAUUAUGUCAUAUUAGGUAAGGAGAUUCCCCUUAAAAAAACAAAAAGAGGGAGAGAUUCCCUCUUCGGCGAAUGAAAAUAAAAGAAAUUAAAAAUAAAAUAAGACUUGGUAAAUUUCGCUCUUUUUUUCUCUUUUUGCUGUUGGCAUUUUAUUCAUAAAAGAAAUGAUCACAAGUCAUUCAAUAAAUAUUAAGGGCUGCAUGAUUAAGUCUUCUUCUUUUCCAAAUCAUUGUCAUUACUCUCAUAAGCUCUCUAUAAUCACAUUCCUCUGCAGGUAACAGAAAUUUUUUGUUCAUUGAAAUUGCUCUUAAAUGUUCAAGGCGAUCACAGAGGCUCAUCAACUUUCUGACCCCACAUAAUUAAACAGGUGCACUUGUUCUAAAACCUUCAAUUAAUUUCUUUUAAUAGCAUAAUCUCUAAUGCUUGAUCUUUAUAGCAUUUCUUUCUUAAUUUCCAUCCACUUUCCAAGAUAAAAAUUAUGUGGCUUGUUUUGCUUGAGUUUUGUAGUUAUUGUUCAUUUAUGGUAAAUUUAUGGUUGUUUUUUUUUUAAGACGCUUGAAGUAGGUUUUGUUAAUAGCAAAAACUCUGAUCCUUAACAAAGAAGAAAAAAUGUUGCGAUACUGUUUACUGUCUUUUCCUUUUUUGUCUUUCCCUCUAGUUCAUUUUAAUUUAUUUGAAUUCCUUUCUUUGACAUUUUAUUAGAUUUGUUAAGCAGCAGGCAAUGGCAGAGGUGGGUCUUGCAGCUCUCUCCAGCAUCGUAUCAGAAGGUGCAAAUUCACUGUUCAAAGCGAUUAUACGGCAGAUAUCUUAUGUGUUCAGGUACCAGAGCUACAUAGAUGGGCUAAAAGAUCAAGUGAAGCAGCUGGGAUAUAAAAGAGAAAUGGUGCAGCAACCAGUUAAUCAUGCUAGGCUACAAGGGGAUGAGCUUUAUGAGGGUGUCACAGACUGGCUACAUAACGUUGAUGAAUUCAUCAGUGAAGGGGUUGCAAAAUCCAUCAUUGAUGAUGAAGAUAGAGCUAAGAAGUCCUGCUUCAAAGGGUUAUGCCCAAACUUGAUUUCUCGUUACAAGCUUAGUAAACAAGCAGCAAAGGCGGCAGAAGCUGCCGCUAGUCUCGUGGGAAAAGGCAACUUCUCCAAUGUUUCCUACCGUCCUGCUCCAAAGCUGGCAGAACAUAUGCAAGUGAAAGAUUUUGAGGCGUUUGAUUCAAGAAUGAAAGUAUUUCAAGAUGUUGUGGAGGCAGUGAAGGAUGACAAGGUCAACAUAAUUGGGGUCUAUGGGAUGGGCGGCGUGGGCAAAACCACGCUGGUCAAACAAGUUGCAAACCAAGUGAUGGAAGAUAAGUUGUUCGAUAAGUUCGUUAUGGCUGAGAUAACACAGACCCCAGAUUAUCAUAAAAUUCAAGACAAACUUGCUUUUGAUUUAGGCAUGGAAUUUGACUUGAAUGAGAAUGAAUUUCAAAGAGCUUCUCGACUGUGUCAAAGGUUGAAGCAAGAGAAGCGGCUCCUCAUUAUACUGGAUAAUAUUUGGACAAAACUUGAGUUCGAUACAGUUGGAAUUCCUUAUGGGGAUGUUGAUGAGAAAGAUAGAGAGGACGAUCGGAGAAGUCGCACAAUAAUAUUGACGUCUAGAAGUCGAGAUUUAUUGCGCAAUGAUAUGAAAUCUCAAAAGGAUUUCUCAAUUGAAGUUUUAUCCAAGGAAGAAGCAUUGCAAUUGUUUGGAAAGAUAGUGUGUAAUUCUGCAAAAGCAUCUGCUUUUCAACCUUUAGCAGAUGCGAUCGUUGAAAAAUGCGGAGGAUUGCCUGUUGCACUGAUUACACUUGCAAAAGCUUUGAAAAAUGAGAGCUUUGACACUUGGAAGGAUGUGCUGCGUCAGCUAAGAAGUUCCUGUGCAAAAGAAAUUGAUGGAAUGGAAAGAAAUGUGUACACCUCCAUAAAAUUGAGUUACGACUUGUUGGGAAAUAAGGAAGCAAAAUCUCUGUUCCUUCUUUGUGGUCUAUAUACUGAAGGUGAUGUCAUACACGUUUCUGACUUAUUGAGAUAUGGUAUGGGUAUGGGCUAUUUUAAAAACGUUUACACGCUGGAAGAAGCAAGGAGUAGAGUGCAUACGUUGAUCGGCAAACUCAAAUCUUCAUGCUUAUUGUUGGACGGUGAUGCUGAAGAUGAAGUUAAAAUGCAUGACAUCAUUCAUGCUGUUGCUAUAUCAAUUGCAGAAGAGGAGCUCAUGUUUAAUAUUCCAAAUGUUGCCUACGUGGAGAAAAAGAUGGAAGAGACAAUACGGGAUGGUCCAAUAGCUAUUUCUUUACCUUAUAGAGAUAUUCAAGAGCUUCCCAAAAGGUUGGAAUGCCCCCGUCUCGAGUUACUUUUGUUGUUUUCAAAGCGUUAUAGCUCUUUGCAAAUUUCAGACCUCUUUUUUCAAGGGACAGAAGAACUCAAAGUUUUAGAUUUUACUGGAAUAUUUUUCUCUUCAUUACCUUCAUCACUUGGUUGCCUCAUUAACGUUCAAACAUUAUGUUUAGAUGGUUGCCGACUGAACGAUAUAACUGUAAUUGGACAGCUAAGGAAAUUAGAGAUUCUCAGCUUCCGAGAUUCUGAUGUCAAGGAGUUGCCACUUGUAAUUGGACAAUUGACGAGAUUACAGUUGCUAGAUUUGAGCAAUUGUAGCAGCCUUGUGGUGAUAGCUCCAAAUGUCAUAUCAAAAUUAUCUCGAUUAGAAGAACUAUAUAUUGGUAACAGCUUUUCACAGUGGGAGAAGGUUGAAGUAGGAAGUAACGCCAGUCUUGCUGAAUUGAAUGGGCUGUCAAAGCUAACUACUUUGGAGAUACACGUUCGGCAUGCCGAAAUUCUACCGCGGGAUUUGGUCUCUGUGGAAUUGCAAAGCUAUAGGAUAUGUAUAGGAAAUGAGUGGUGGAGCAGCUGGUCCGUUAAAUCUGGAUUAUCAAGAUUGAUGAAGCUCCAGGGGCUAGUAAAGUUUGGCAUUCUUUUGCAGAAUUAUAGGAUGAAACUGUUGUUGAAGAGAACUGAAUAUCUCUAUCUAGAAGAACUGAAGGGUGUUCAGAAUGUUGUUCAUGAAUUAGAUGAUGGGGAAGGUUAUCCACGAUUGAAGCAUCUUUCUGUAGAAAGAUGUUAUGAGAUUUUGCAUAUUGUCGGUUCAGUUGGACGGGUUCGUCGUAAAGUCUUCCCCUUGCUGGAGUCAUUGUCUCUUAUUGAUUUGAACAAUUUGGAGACAAUAUGUGACAGCCAACUCACAGAAGAUCAAUCUUUCAGCAACUUAAGGAUUAUAGAAGUAAAAUCCUGUCACAAAUUGAAGCAUCUUUUCUCAUUCUCCAUAGCCAAAAACCUAUUGCGGCUUCAAAAUGUAGAAGUGGAUGAUUGCGAUGAUCUGGAAAUGAUUUUUGGUAAGUGUUGAAAUUAAGAAUUGGUGGGAUAAUGGACUUCGCCUCAAUUAUUUUGAAAAAAAAAAACAACAAAGAUUAAUUAUGUAUAUAUUGUUUUUGUUUGUUUAUAGGACCCGACAGGGAGAAACCAACAACUUCUUUGGGAUUCAACGAAAUCAUUGCUGAUGAUGAUACUGCUCCAAAGGUGAUAAUUUUCUGUUCAAUAAUUAAUUGAUUAAUUUAUUAUCACCAUUAAUCUUCGAUCAUCAAAAGAAUAUUAUACUGGACGGUUGUACUUGAAGGAACAAAAAUGUACGGGUUUUCUUUGCAGGUUAUUCUUCCGAGGUUAGAGGAAUUGAAUCUCGCGCAUUUAAGAAACAUCAAAAAAUUAUGGGCCGAUCAUAAUCAAGGAAUGUACUGUUGUCAAAAUUUAACAAAAGUGACUGUGAGAUGGUAUUAUCGUCUGAAGUAUCUGUUUUCGUAUUCUAUGGUUAAUAGUCUUUUGCAACUCCAACAUCUUGAGAUAAGUUAUUGUUCGUCAAUGGAAGGGGUAGUCGACACCACGGGAUGGUUAGGAAGGGAUGAAGGAAAGUUGAUUGAAUUGAAGGUUUUUCCUAAACUACACUCCCUCAAGCUCUCUCAUCUUCCAGAACUAACAAGCUUUGCCAAUACGGGACAUAUUCAUUCAGAUUUAGUUGUUGAAUUCCCUUCAUUGCUAAACCUGAAGAUCCAUUGUUGCACUAAUAUGUUAAGAUUUAUCUCUACAAGCUCACCAGAAGACACCAUUCAUUCUGAAAUGCAACCUCCUCCUCUCUUUGACGAAAAGGUUUUUUUUUUUAUAAAAAAAAUAAUUUUAGUCACAAUACUUAAUUUGUCUUUUCCUUGAGUCUUCGAAUUUAGUUAAUACCUGCCUCUAAUUUAGUUAUCAAUUGAUUAUGCCAUUAAUUGAUUAAUUAGUUAUUUAAUCUUUAACUGCCAGGUACGACUUCCUAGGUUGGAGGUAUUAGAUAUUAAGUGGACGGAUAAUUUGAGAAGAAUAUGGCACCACCAGCUUGCUUCGGAGUCUUUCAGCAAAUUGAAGAAUUUAGAGAUAUUUGAGUGUAAUAACCUAAAGAAUAUUUUUCCUCCAUUGGUAAGGUUGCUGUAUUCAUUUCGAAUCUUUUUUUUUUUCAAAUUACAUCCAACAAUAUUUUAACCAUUUUUGGGUUUACAAAUGAUAUUCAGCCACUAAUUCUUUAUUUCAAGUAUUGUACUUCGAACCACCACUCUCAAAUCUACAUUUUAAGUCCAGUUUUUAGGUUCGCCAGCAUUACAAUCAACAAUAUAAUUUUUUUAAUCACGAUUCAACAGCAUAAUAUAAUUCAAUUUAAUUGUUUCUGCUCAUAUCUUAAUAAGUACAAUUUUCAACAAUUAAAGGAUAGUCACUCAUCUUAUAGGUUCACAAAUUCAUCUAUAUAUUUCUCUUUUCCUUAAUUCAUCUAUAACAGUCCCAUGUUGAUGGCGUUGGGAAGUGUUUUCCAGAAAUGUUUUCCAUUUUUAAAAGCAUGAAUAUCGGGAAAAAAUGUGAAAUACAGCGUUUUAGUUUAGUUAUUUUAAAAAUAGGCAUGUUUGAAAAUUAAAUUUUUUUAAAAAACUAGAAUCAAGAUGAAAAAUGAAUUUAGAAUAUUUAAAAAUUACCUGAAAUUCUUUCUCCGUUCCUAAUACUAAAUAGUGUAAAUACAUUUUCAUUAUCUUUGUUUUUCUGGACUUCUAUUUAUUUGUUUUUGUUUUAAUUUUUUCCUUUUUUCUUUAACAAAAAAUAUCUAGUAGACAUUCAUGGUUUGUUAUUUUUCAUAAAACAAUUGUAUGAUUUUGACAUACUUUGAAUCUAGUUGAAUGCUACUCUUUAUUUUCAGGUUGGAAUUCCCAAUAGUCUGGUGAAUCUUAAUGUAUCGGACUGCAAAAAAUUAGAAGAAAUCGUAGGACAUGUUGGAGAAGAAGCGAAGGAGAAUCGUAUUGCUUUCAACGAAUUAAAACUUUUGGAACUUGAUGAUUUACCAAGGCUUACCAGCUUUUGUUUGGAGAAUUACACUCUUGAAUUCCCAUCAUUGGAGCGAAUUUCUAUGACAGGUUGCCUGAACAUGAAGACUUUUUCUCAGGGAAUCGUAUCCACACCAAAGCUGCACGAAGUGCAGGUGAGUAAAAAGGAAGUAUUAAGUUUUAUAUGAAACUGUGAUGUUGUUUGGUUACUAAGAAAAUAGGAAGAAAGAAAACUUCUGUAAGCUGAGAAUUCUGUUAUUAUUGAUCUAAUGAAUCUGGAAAUUACAAGCCUUUUUAUAUGUGCAUAGAAGAUUCUACACACAUUGCACACACGCACAGUUUACUACUAACAACCUUUAGCUGACUCAGCUGCCAUGUCAGCAUACUCAUUAACUAACUAAUUCUAUUCUUAACAGGAAGAGGGUGAAUUGCGCCGUUGGGAAGGCAACCUUAAUUCCACUAUACAAAAGUGUUACAAAGAAAUGGUAUGUGUUAAAUCGAUUCGUCGAAAUUACUUAUGCAUCUCCCUUGCACUUGCACAUUUGAACAUAUACACCUGCCUUGUAUAUAUAGUUUUAGAAGUUAAAACACAAAACAUGUAAGUUUAAUGUAUAUAUAUAUCUAAUGCCUUUCAAAAAAAAAAUUUAUAUAUAUCCAGUGCAAUUGUUUUGGUUUGUGCAGAUUGGAUUCCAUGACAUACAGUAUUUGCAACUCUCACAUUUUCCACGUUUGAAAGAAAUAUGGCAUGGCCAAGCACUGCCUGUCAGCUUCUUCAACAAUUUAUUUAAGCUGGUGGUGGAUGACUGCACGAAUAUGUCGAGUGCUAUUCCUGCCAAUCUGCUACGUUGCUUGAACAAUUUGGAAUGGCUGGAAGUGAGGAAUUGUGAUUCACUAGAAGAGGUGCUUCAUUUGGAAGAGCUAAGUGCUGACAAAGAACAUAUAGGACCCCUGUUUCCUAAGCUUUCCGACCUAAGGCUCAUUGAUCUUCCAAAACUCAAAAGAUUCUGCAACUUCACUGGGAAUAUAAUUGAAAUGCCUGAGUUGGGAUAUCUAACUAUUGAGAAUUGCCGAGAUAUGGAAACAUUCAUAUCCAACUCUGUAGUGCACAUGACAACAGAUAACAAGGAACCUCAAAAAUUAACAUCAGAAGAGAACUUCUUGCUGGCUCAUCAAGUACAACCUCUCUUCGAUGAAAAGGU
rnacentral:lncRNA from 1 species